AGCACCAUUUCAUCGUCACCAUCAAACCAUCCUUCCAAUAGUGCAACCCAUUCUCCCUACCACGUACCUCAAUGCUGCCGCCACAUCGACGACUAUCGGUGCUCCAAAAUUUAUCGGAAUCUUCAUCAAAAGCGAAUUCAAGUCUUAAAGCCCUACUUUAGGGUCUGAGGUUUUGGGCUUUCUUCAACAUAGAGAAAGAAGAGGGCCAAGAUUCGAUUUUCAACAGGGCCGCCCUAACCCUCGAGACAGAGAAAGAAGGGACCAAAUUCCAGAUCCAUUUUUUUUUAUUCCGAAUUUUGGGAUUUUGGAACAAAGAAGAUUCACCCAUAUACACAGGGGUAGAGAGUUAAUUUGUGAGUGUAGCUCCACCAUGGAAUCCGCCGCCGGUUUGCGUCGCCACACCUUCCCCGAUGCUGGUUGAACCUCCGUUUUUCUGCGGUCCUUAUAUUAGGAGAAAAAAGAAGAUUGUUGGAAUUUUGUUAGUUUUUUGGGAAGAUCUGAAGGAGGGGAGGGAGAAGAGGAUGUAAGUGGAGGGGGAGGGGGUACAACGGCAAAAAGAGGGAGGAGGAAGGAGAUGGAGAAGAAAAACAAAAGAAAAAUAAAGUUCAUGUCGAAGAAGAUGAUCGGAAACAAGAAUCCAACCCAGAAGAUGGACCGUAGGCGGAUAUGUUUUUGGGAUUUGGAUAUUUUACUUUAUUAUUAUUUUUUAAUUAGGGGUAGUUUAGUAAUUUCACAUGGGUCAACAGCUAAUUUUAAAAUAAGGGGCAGUAUACUUUGUCAAAAAUAACAUAAGGGCUUUCUUGCUAAUAUUUUUAACACAAGGGUCUUUUUAACCAUUCAAGAUUACACAGGGGGUUAUGUGCAAUUAGCUCGUUAAUUUUAUUGUGUUAACAGUAAUAUAGUUAAUAUUACUGUCAAUCACAACAAUAUUUUUGUUUAAACGAAAAAAAAAGUUAGAGAAAGAAAAAAAAAGUUUGAAAAACAAGGUUUUGGGUCAUAAUUGAAUAAUUUGUGAAAUUUGGGGUCAAAUUGAGGUUAAAUUAAGUUAAGGAUGAAAUUGGAGCAUAUUAAAGUAUGAGGGGUUAUUUUAGUCCUUUACAAAAAUCUGGACCCUCUACAAAAAUCAGGACCAUGUGUGGACUUAUUGGUAAAGGAGUUUUUUGUCUGGAUCUCUUUAUAAAUAAGUACCCAUUGAUGGGCUUAUUUGCAAUCACCCCCUUUAAAUUAACGAUGAACAAUCCUAUAAUUAAGAGAUCGAGACCAAUGGUUUAAUUUGUUUCAUGUUACUAUCAUAAAAACUUAUCUACUAUGUAUCUGUAAAGGGCAAAUUGCAAAAAGGCCCAUCACAUGGGACUUAAAUGCAUUUUAGUUCACAAAAAAAAACAGUCUAUCAAUUAAAUUCAUCCUCAUGUCUUCAGUCUAAAAUACCCUCCAUAAUAUAAUUCGUAUCAAUUUCUUCCAUUAUGCUCUAACUUCCUUAAUAUUACACAUUAACCCCAGAUUUAAACAAAUGUAUCACAUUAACCCCCAGAAUAUUUUUUUUCUAAAAUUUUUACCACCGUUGACCGUCCGUCUCCGGCGUUGACUUUUUUUUUUUUUUUAAUUUUUUUUUUCUUAGAAAAAAAUAUUUUAAUUUAUAUUACUGUCUUGGCUACUAAAUUACUGUCUCAGACAGUAAUAUUACUAUUUGGGACAGUAAUAUAAGGAAUAUUAUUUUCCCGAACAGUAAUAUUAUUAAUAUUGUUGUCUAGGACAGUUAAAUUACUGUUGGAGACUGUAAUUUAGCAGCCAAUGCAGUAAUAUUAAUUAAAAUAAGUUUUUUUAAGAAAAAAAGUUUCAAAAAAAAAGUCAAUUAACAGUUAAAUUACUAUCUCUGACAGUUAAACAACUGUUGGAGACAGUAAUUUAGCAACGAAUACGGUAAUAUUAACUAAAAAUAUUUUUAUUUAGAAUAAAAAAAGUCAAUUAACAGUUAAAUUACUGUCUCCGACAGUUAAAUAACUGCUGGAGACAGUAAUUUAACAACGAAUACAGUAAUAUUAAUUAAAAAUGAUUUUUUAAGAGUAAAAAAAUCAAUUAACAGUUAAAUUACUGCCGAUAGUUAAGUAACUGCUAGAGACAGUAAUUUGACAAUGAAUACAGUAAUAUUAAUUAAAGUAUUUAAAAAAAUUCAAUUAAUAGUUAAAUUACUGUCUCCGACAGUUAAAUAAAUGCUGGAGACAGUAAUUUAGCAGCAAAGACAGUAAUAUUAAUUAAAAUAUUUUUGAAAAAAAAAACAAUUAAGAGUUAAGUUACUGUCUCCUACAGUUAAAUAACUCCUAGAGACAGUAAUUUAGCAGCAAAGACAGUAAUAUUAAUUAAAAUGUUUUUGAAAAAAAAAGUCAAUUAAUAGUUAAAUUACUGUCUCCGACAGUAAAAUAACUGUCGGAGACAGUAAAAUAACUGUCGGAGACAGUAAUUUAGCAGCCAAAACAGUAAUAUUAAUUAAAAUAUUUUUUUUAAGAAAAAACAAAAUAUAUAUAUAAAAAAAAAGUCAACGCCGGAGACCCGGUGGUCAACGGUAGUUGACCGGCCGGAAAAAAGUUUCAGGGUAAAAAAGUUUAAAAACAAAAAAAAGUCAACGCUGGAGACCGGCGGUCUCUGGUGGUGGCGGGUCAAAAUUGAAAUUAUGGUUAAAAUUGGUUAAUUGAUGAAAUUGGGCUAAAUUGGGGUGUAAAUCAUGAAAUUGGAGUUGAAUUGGGUUUCAAUGAACUGAGGGUAAUUUUGGUAUAUAGAAAAGGAUUUUACUUAUUUACAAAUAAGUUUGAAUAAGCUGGAUUUAUUUGAAAAACAAAAAAGUUGGAUGUCCCUCUUUUAAUUACGUGCUCUUGUCAUGGGCAUUUUUGUGAUUAACCCAUUUGUAAAAUGAAUGAACAAUAUAGACCGGACAGCAAUGUCCACGUGAAUUUUUGUGAUUAACCCAUUUUUGGGAAUUUAUCUUAAGUGCGUGAAUUUAUCAGCAAUGUUUUUUUAAAUUAGACCGGACAUAAAACUGGACAUGCAAUUAGGUCAUGAUUGGAAGCAUUUAACUAGGUCAAAUCGAGUUUUUUCAUUUUCUUUUUACUUUUUUUAUAUACAUAUUUAUUAAUUUUAAUACUUUUAAAGUACUAUUUUCUCUAUAUAUUUACAUAAUAUCAUUACAUUUCUUAAUUUUAUCCAUCCACCUCACUCCCUAUGUUUUUUAUAUAGGAGCUUUUGUGCAUAAGUCCACAACCAAGCAUCUUUGUUAUUUUAGGUACAGAGGUUAUAUUUCUUUCACCAAUAAACCAUCCAUUUAAUAUUUAUUAUAAAUAAAAGAAAUAUUCAUAUAUAUGCCAAUAUUACCCCCAACCAUUUAUACUCAAUUCUUAAUUGUAACCCCAAUUUAAUCAAUUUUGUCCACAAAGAUCCAAUUUGGACUUUUUUUUCAAAAAUUUUCUGCUGCCGGUCUCCGGCGUUCACUUUUCGAUUUUUUUUUUUUUCUUCCGGAUUUUUUCGCCGGUUUCUGGCGUUGACUUUUUUUUUCUUUUUUCUUUUUUUUUUUUUAUUUUUCUUUCUUUCUUUCUUUUCUUUUCUUCCGGAUUUUUUCGCCGGUUUCCGGCCUUGACUUUAUUUAGUGUUUUUUUAAGGGUUUUUUUUUGUACGUCCGUUGCUAAACGUUGACCGUAAUUGUGCUGUCACUGACAGUAAAUUAACGUAAUUAUACUGUCAAUGACAGUUAAUUAACGUAAUUGUAUUGCCGUUGACAAUACAUUUAUGUAAUAAUUGUUCUGCCGUUGAAAGUAAAUUAAUGUAAUAUUUUUAUAUUUUAUUUUUUGUUAUUUUGUUUUUAUUUUUUUUUUAUUUGUUGACAAGUCAACGUAAUUAUAUUACUGUCGUUGACAGUAAAAUAACUGUAAACACAAUAAUAUUACUGUCACAACAUCAAUAUAAUUUUUUUUUUGAGUUUUUUAUUUUGUUUGAGUUAUUAAUAAUAUUACUAUCACAACAUCAAUAUUAUUUUUUUUUUGAGUUUUUUAUUUUGUUUGAGUUAUUCACGGAGUAACGUAAUAAUUUUACUGUGGUUGACGGUAAUAUUACUGUUGUUAUGGUAAUAUUGUUAUCAACCACAUCAAUAUUAUUAUUUGUAACGUAAUAAUAUUAGUGUCUAUUAUUGUAAUAUUUCAAUAUUAUUAUUUUGUUUGGAUUUUUUUGUUUGUUUGAGUUAUUCACGGAGUAACGUAAUAAUAUUACUGUCUAUUAUUGUAAUAUUACUGAGGUUAACGGUAAUAUUAGUGUUGUUAUAGUAAUAUUACUGUCACUCACAUAAAUAUUAAUUCUUUUGGUGUCACUCACAUAAAUAUUAAUUAUUUUGGCUUUUUAUUAUGUUUAGAUUUGUUGAACGGUCAACAUAGUAAUAUUACUCUAUUACACAAUAAUAAUUAGACACGGCCACGGGUCGGGUUUGACCCGGACCCGGCCCGGACCUGACCCGAAGACCGCCCCGGCCCCGACCAGUUGACCAUGGACCCGGACCCGGGUAUUAAACCGGAUUUUUUUGUACAAAAAAUGCACCUUGGGGGGUUUGAACUCGGAAAGAUGGGGGAAGAAUGGGCAAUUCUUAACACUGGGCCAAACAACAUUUUUGUUUAAAUGUAGACAAGAAAUAUAUAUAAUAUAAACACGCUAGUGUAAAAUGAUAAUUAUGUUAAAAAAAUUAUUAAUUUUCAUUUUAAUUGUUAUUAAAUAAUUUUAAUUAACUUAUUAACAAAUGCAAUAUAAGAAACUUUUAAAAAAAUAUAUAGAAUUACGAUUCAAUACUUGAAAACAUGUAUUAGUAAUUAUUAUAUCAAUAUAAUCUCCACUAUUGAAAUAUAUAAAAUAUUGAAUCAAUUCAAUAUAUAAACAAAUGCGUUGAUUCAUAUAAUCUCCACUAUUGAAAAAUAUAUAGGAUUGAAUCAAUUCAAUAUUUAAUCAAAUGCGUAUACUUAAUACAAACUCACUUUUGUUAUUAAAAUCGAUAGUGUGAAAAAAUCGAAUGAAAAAUUAAAUAAUAUGAGUAUUUUAACAUAAGAUAAUUAUUUGAAAAUAUAAAUGAUGUUUAUUUUAACAAAAAUAGAUUAUAUCUCAAUUCAAUUAAUUUUCUUACUUUAAAAAUAAUAUUAUAUAUGACUACUAUAUUCAAAAUAUUAUGAUGUAAUUUCUCUUUUAAUAAUUGGUUUAAUUUGUAAAAAUCGUAAGAAUUAAAUUGUAGAUCAUAUGAUUUAAUCCUUUUUUUUUACAUAUACAUUUUAUUCAAAUAUUAGAAUUGAAUCGUAAGAUUUAAAUGGAUUAAGCUCAAGUUCUUUCAAUUUAUUUUAAUUUUUUUAUUAUAUUAUAUUUGUGAAUAAUUUAAUUAAAAUUCUUUAAUAAUUAUGAAUAUGAUAAUUAAUAAUCCAUUAAACAUUAUUUUUAUAAUCAUUUUACACUAUGUGUUAUUGUUAUAUAUAUUUCUUGCAAGUAAUUUCACAAAUAAUUGCCUUGUCCCACUGGUUUGGAUUGGCAUUUUCAUGUGAAGGGAACCAGAGUUCAAACCCCAUUCCAAGCAUAUUUUGGAAAAAGUUUCAAAAUCCGGUUCGGACCCGGCCCGACCUGGACCCGGAUGGACCCGCCCCGGACCUGGACCCGCCUCCCCGCGGGUCGGUUUCGGGUCCUCCAAAUCUCGGACCCGGACCCGGCGGGUCCGACCCGGACCCGGACCCGGACCCGACCCGACCCGGGGCCGUGUCUAAUAAUAAUGAGUUUUGUUGUGUUAAUAUUACUGUGCUAGAUAUUAAUAUAGCAAUAUUAAUGUGUUAAACGGUAGUUUAGUUAAUUUUACUGUAUUUAACAGUAAUAUAGUUAAUAUUGUAAUAUAUUUAAUAUUACUGUCAAUCACAGCAAUAUUGUUGUUUAAACGAAAAAAAAGUUACAGAAAUGAAAGAAAAAAGAAAAUUUGAAAAAAUUUAACAGUAAUAUAGUUAAUAUUACUGUCAAUCACAGCAAUAUUGUUGUUUAAACGAAAAAAAAGUUACAGAAAGAAAGAAAAAAGAAAAUUUGAAAAAGUCAACGCCGAAAACCUGCGAAAAAACCUGGAAGAGAGAAAAUGAAAAGUUAACGCCGGAAUCUGGCGGGAAAAAAAAAAUUGAAAAAAAAAAUAUUUUGGGUCAAAAUUGAAUAAUUUGUGAAAUUUUGGGUCAAAUUGAGGUUAAACAAAAUUAAGGAUGAAAUUGGAGUAUAUUAAAGUAUGAGGGGUUAUUUUAGUCAUUUACAAAAAUGUGAACCUUGUGUGGACUUAUUGGUAAAGGAGUUUUUUAUCUGCAUCUAUUUAUGAAUAAGUACCCAUUGAUGGGCUUAUUUGUAAUGACCCAUUUUAUUUAAUUUACUAACUAGUACUUCACACGUGCGUUGCACGGAUGUCAGUUCUAAAAUGAAAAAAAUAAUAAUAUUCAAACGAUUGUGUCUUUAUAACAACACCAAUUCAAGUAAAACAAAAUGAAAGGAAAUAAAAGAAACUAUCUUUUAAUUCAGAGUUGUAACACAUGAAAUUGAAUUAAAUAUUACAAAGAAGAAUAUGCGAAUGGCGCAAAGCACGAUAUGAAGAUUAAGUGAAAUAAUUUAAAACAUAUGGUACAAAUCUAUUUCAUGGAAUGCAAUCUACUACACCAUGUGAAUCCUCUGCAAAAUAACUAACUUAACAACAACACAGUAGCAUAGAGGUACCACAAUAGAUAUUCAAAUAACCUGCAAGUUUAUCACUAACAACAUUCAAUUAGUAAUGCACAUUACUUAAACAACAACACAACCUAUAAAUAUUGCAAAAGAGAUAAGAUGUAUACACCAAUACCAAUAAUAAUACCAUUACUGAUAUCAAUAUUGAUACUAUUAUUGAUAUUAAUACUGAUAGUAAUACUUAUACCAAUACUAAUACUAAUACUAAUACUACUAAUACUAAUACUAAUACUAAUAUUGAUACUCAUACUAAUACUGAUACUAAUAUUAUUACUCAUGCUGAUACUGAUGCCGAUAAAAAUAGUAAUACUAAUACUAAUAUUAUACUAAUAAUACUGAUACUAAUACUAAUAUUGAUACUGAAAUUGAUACUAAUAUUGAUACUCAUACUGAUAUUGAUACUGAAAUUAAUACCGAUACUGAUACAUAUACUGAUACUUAUAUUGAUACCAAUACUGAUACUUAUACUGAUAUUGGUAUUGAUAUCGAUACUAAUACCGAUACGGAUACUUAUAUUGAUAUUAAUACUAAUAUUAGUACUAAUACUAAUACUAUUACUAAUAGUAAUAUUAAUACUAAUAUUGAUACUAAUAUUAUUACUAAUACUAUUACUAAUACUAAUAUAAAUGCUAAAACUAAUUUUAAUGCUAAUGAUUUAAUGCUAAUGAUACAUAUACAUAUACUGAUACUGAUACAGAUAUCGAUAUUGAUACUGAUACUGAUACUGAUAUUGAUACUGAUACUGAUACUGAUACUGAUAUUGAUAUUGAUAUUGAUAUUGAUACUGAUAUUGGUAUUGGUACUGGUACUGGUACUGAUACUGAUAUUGAUAUUGAUACCGAUAUUGAUACCGAUGCUAAUAAUGAUACUGAUACUGGUAGUAAUACUGAUAUUGGUACUGAUACAUAUUGUGGUAUUGAUACUUAUACUGAUACCGAUACUAAUACUGAUACGGAUACUUAUACUUAUGUUAAUCCUAAUAUUUGUACUAAUAGUAAUACUAUUACUAAUACUUAUACUAAUACUAAUACUAAUACUAAUACUAAUAUUAAUACUAAUAUUAAUACUAAUACUAAUACUAAUAGUAAUACUAUAUCAAUACUAAUACUAUUACUAAUACUAAUAUUAAUACUAAUAAUAUUAUUAAUACUAUCACUAAUACUAAUAUGUUAAUAUUGUUAAUGUUAAUGCUAAUACUAAUUUUGAUGCUAAUGCUAAUCUAGAUAUGCUAAUUAUUAUGUUAAUGCUCAUUAUGAUUGUAAUUCUAAUAUUAUCCAAAUCCUUAUCGUAUUCUUGAUCAUAUUCAUAACACUAAUCAUAGUUCUAAUCCUAAUCAUAAUCAUAAUCCUAUUCCUAACAUUAAUCAUCUUUCCAAUAAUUUUAAUACUAAUAACGCUAAUGUUAAUUCUAAUUCUAAUCUUAAUUCUAAUUCUAAUUCUAAUCCUAAUGAUAAUUAUAAUCCUAAUACUAAUGUAUAUCACUAAUUAUCGUACUAAGCAUAAUCAUAACCUUAAUUAUAAUUCUAAUACUAAUGUUAAUCAUAAUCCUAAUAUUAAGCACAACUUCUGAGUUUGCAACAACUUUUUUUGCAAUGAUCUAUUAUUUAGUAUAAAAAAAUCAAGUUUAUUCAAUGUCGAACCUUUAUAUCAAAUUUCUUAUGUGUGGUAGCUGAACCAUAAAAAAUCACAUAUUAAAUAUAUUAGAAAUUAAUAUUUAAUUAUAUUAUCAAACUGACAUUAAAAUUAUUUAAAAUAUUAUAAGGGCAUAAGCAAACGUUGACGUAAAAGAACAGUAAUCAUUGUUAAUAAGUUAAAUUAUGAAAAUCCUCCUGAACUUAGGCUAAUUUACAGAAAACACCCCCACUUAUCGGUGAUUACCAAAAUCCCCCUGAUGUUUGUUUCUGUCUUACACGACCCUCUUAUGGUGUGAUUUUUUACGGAAUUUUUUUUAUUCCAUGUAGUGUCACAAAAAAUAUGGAGUCUACCCUUGCAGACGUGACAUUUAUUUUAUCGUACUUUUUAAACUAAAAAAUUACCCUCAGGGGUGGUCAUGGUAAUAAUAAAAGUUUAUGAAAGUGUUAUUUAAGAAGAAUAAAGAUUUCGUGUAAAGUUCACCUGAGGGUAAUUUUUGUCUUUAAAAAGUACCAUAAAGAAAUGUCGUGUGUGCAAGGGUAUAAUAAACAUUAGAGGAAUAUUCCACGUAAUAAAAAAAUUCCUUGAAAAAUCAUACCAUAAGGGGGUCGAUCUAAGACGUAAACAAACAUUAGGGGAAUUAUUAAUAUAAACUAUUUACGGCAAGAGCACUUCGAGUGGGAUUAUUAAAUGAGCUAUCAAAACAUUUAACCACCAUUUUUAUACUCCAAAAUAGUAAUUUUUAAUUUUAAUAGAAUUAUGAAAUGAGGUCUUUUGAUAUUUCACCUUUCAGAAUGUAAAAAUACAUUAUGCAAUCAUGCAAAAUAAAAUAUCAAACAUGAGUUAUGAAUUUAACCACCUCAGUGUCCAUUUAGAAAAUAACAUGUGGCAGUUAGAUAUAUUUAAUUAACAACUAUUUAAUACCUAUGGUUGGAGCAAAUACAUUUAGAUAAAUAUCAAAAUAAAAUAUUAAAUAGCACAUAAAUAUUUGCAAAACCAUUUUGAUACUUUUGGGUUGGAGUUGCUCUAAAUAUUUACUUAAUUAUAUUUAUUAAAGUUAUAAUGAAAUAAUUAUAAGUGGAAUACAAUAUAUAGUAUAUACGGCCAUUAUACAUUUUAAACAAAACAAUUGAUAUUCUUAAUGUUAGGCAUUAAAUAAAGUGGAUAAACGAAUUUAAUACCGAAGAUUUAGAAUAACAUUAUUAUAUUUUGAAAUAUAUAAAAUCAAUUAGUUUUUCUUUAUCAAUUGAUUAAACUUAACUUAGAUUAUUCAGUUUAUUAGUAUAAUCAUGAUAAAAUUUGUAUUUUAAUUAGUAUAUAAUUUAAAAAGUUAAAUCAAUCGUAAAAUUUAUUGUCACUGGAUUCGGUGAAGAAACAAUAAUUGUUUAAAUAAUAACAUGAAAUUCAUGUAGUAUAAUUUUCAAUAUGGUAGAUAAUUAGGAGUACAUUACUCUACACAUGGCAUAAUAAAUAGAGUCAAUUUUCGCAAGAUAGUAAAUUCAAUAGUCAUGUAUCUUUCUUUUUUACAGAUAAUAUUAGUAUAUAAUAUUAAAUUAGUAAAAAAAUGCAUAUUCAAUAGUCAUGUUCAUGUAAAAUGUAUAAUAUCAAAUAAUUUAUUCUGUAAUAUUUUUUUUUAAUAUAAAUCCAAGUUUAUGAAUUAAAAUACAAAAUUUUCGAAACACUAUCAAUCAUACAAUUAUAAUAAGUGAAGAUUUUAAAUUGAAUUUCAAUUAAAUUAAUUACUAUUAAAAUUAAAUUAAAAAUAAAACUAUUUAAAAUUUCCAAGAAAGUUUAUAUGUUUAGAGCAUUUUAUAAAUAGUAUGAUAUAAAUAUAUAAUAAAAUAAUUUAAUAUCUUUUUAAUUUUGGAAAAUGGUGACAUGUUUUUUAAUGAUUUAUUUUCACCAAUCAAUUUGCCACAUAGGGUGAAAUUGAAUACAUGUCACCAAUUGAAAUUGACAAAUGUCAAUCAAUUAGGUGUGGAAUUCAACUUUUAUAUAUUAUAUAGAUAUAUAGAUUAUAUAGAUUAUAUAGAUAUAAAUUAGAAAUUAAUAUUUAAUUAUAUUAUCAAGAUGACAUUAAAAUUAAAUCAAAAUAAUAUCUGGGUAAAAGCGAACGAUAAGACGUGAAAAGAACGAUAAUCGUUGUUAAUAGGAUAAAUUACAAAAAUUCUCAUGAACUUAGGCUAAAUUACGGAAAGCACCCCAACUUAUCGGUAAUUACCAAAACCCCCCAGAUGAUUGGUUAUGUCUUACACGACCCCCUUAUGGUGUGAUUUUUCACGGAAUCUUUUUAUUUAAAUGUAAUAUCCCGAAAAUUGAAGAUUCUACCCUUGGAGACGUGACAUUUCUUUUAUCUUACUUUUUAAAUACAAUAAUUACCCUCAGGGGAGGUAAUAGUAAUACUAAAAAGUUGUGAAGAUGUUAUUUAAGAAGAAUAAAUGUUUCGUGUAAAGUCCCUAUCAGGGAAAUUUUUGUCUUUAAAAAGUACCAUAAACAAAUGUCGAGUGCGGGGUAGAAUCUGCAUUUUUCGGGGAUUAUUCCACUUAAUGAAAAAAAUUCCAUGAACAAUCUGACCGUAAGGGGGUCGAUGUAAGACGGAAACAAACAUCAGGGAAAUUUUGGUAAUUACGAAUAUGAUAUUAAAUUAGUAAAAAGGAUAAACAUAUUCUCUGGUCAUGUUCAAGUAAAAUGUAUAAUAAUAUCAAAUAAUUUAUUUCACAAUAUUCUUUUUUAUAUAAAUCCAAGUUUAUGAAUUAAAAUACAAAAUUUUCGUAACACCAUCAAUCAUACAAUUAUAAUAAGUGAAGAUUUUAAAUUGCAUUUAAAUAAAUUUAAAUUAAAUUAAUUUAAAUUAAAUUAAAAACUAUUAAAAUUAAAUUAAAGAAUAAAUAUUUAAAAUUUCCAAGAAAGUUGAUAUAUUUAGAGCAUUUUAUAAAUACUAUGAUAUAAAUAUAUAAUAAAAUAAUUUAAUAUCUUUUUAAUUUUGGAAAAUGGUGACAUGUUUUUUGAUGAUUUAUUUUCACCAAUUAAUUUGCCACAUAGGAUGAAAUUGAAUACAUGUCACCAAUUGAAAUUGACAAAUGUCAAUCAAUUAGGUGUGAAAUUCAACUUUUAUAUAUUAUAUAGAUUAUAUAGAUUUAUAGAUUAUAUAGAUUAUAUAGAUAUAAAUUAGAAAUUAAUAUUUAAUUAUAUUAUCAAGAUGACAUUAAAAUUAUUUAAGAUAAUAUCUGGGUAUAAGAAAACGAUAAGACGUGAAAAGAACGAUAAUCGUUGUUAAUAGGAUAAAUUACAAAAAUUCUCAUGAACUUAGGCUAAAUUACGGAAAGCACCCCAACUUAUUGAUAAUUACCAAAACCCCCCCAGAUGAUUGGUUAUGUCUUACACGACCCCCUUAUGGUGUGAUUUUUUACGAAUCUUUUUAUUUAAAUGUAAUAUCCCGAAAAUUGUAGAUUCUACCCUUGCAGACGUGACAUUUCUUUUAUCUUACUUUUUAAAUACAAUAAUUACCCUUAGGGGAGGUAAUAGUAAUACUAAAAAGUUGUGAAGAUGUUAUUUAAGAAGAAUAAAUAUUUCGUGUAAAGUCCCUAUCAGGGUAAUUUUUGUCUUUCAAAAGUAGCAUAAACAAAUGUCGAGUGCGGGGUAGAAUCUGCAUUUUUCGGGGAUUAUUCCACUUAAUGAAAAAAAUUCCGUGAACAAUCUGACCGUAAGGGGGUCGAUGUAAGACGAAAACAAACAUCAGGGAAAUUUUGGUAAUUACGAAUAUGAUAUUAAAUUAGUAAAAAGGAUAAACGUAUUCUCUGGUCAUGUUCAAGUCAAAUGUAUAAUAAUAUCAAAUAAUUUAUUUCACAAUAUUUUUUUUAUAUAAAUCCAAGUUUAUGAAUUAAAAUACAAAAUUUUCGUAACACCAUCAAUCGUACAAUUAUAAUAAGUGAAGAAUUUAAAUUGAAUUUAAAUAAAUUUAAAUUAAUUUAAUUACUAUUAAAAUUAAAUUAAAGAAUAACUAUUUAAAAUUUCCAAGAAAGUUGAUAUAUUUAGAGCAUUUUAUAAAUAGUAUGAUAUAAAUAUAUAAUAAAUUAAUUUAAUAUCUUUUUAAUUUUGGAAAAUGGUGACAUUUUUUUGAUGAUUUAUUUUCACCAAUUAAUUUGCCACAUAUGAUGAAAUUGAAUACAUGUCACCAAUUGAAAUUGACAAAUGUCAAUCAAUUAGGUGUGGAAUUCAACUUUUAUAUAUUAUAUAGAUGACAUUGUUUUCUUAUGUAACUCUUCUUUGUUGAUCACUUGCCAUCUCUGUUACACAGAUACGCCUAGUCUGAGAAGUGUCCACAUGUCGGACACGUUUCCGACCGAAACACCCAAAUACGCGUAUAAUAUGCUUGGGGACCGUGUCAGUAAUAAUUAAAUAAUUGGACACGCGUAUCCAAAAUUGAUACGCGUGUCAAAAAAGAAAAAGAAAAAUUAGCAGCCUUUUUUUAAAAGCCCAAAAAGCAAAAGUCAAGACCUAUUUUACCUUUUUAAUUAUAGGCUGUACCUAGCCGUAAAUUUCUUUAUUAUAUUUAAUUUGAUUGUUUUCUUAAUUUUUAGUAUGAUGUGAAAAUGGCUACAACACUAGCCACUCACGGUCUCUCUCUUCUUCUCUCCCAAAUUCAAAAUCCCGCCUCCACAAACAUCCCACCGGCGAAAUUGCUUCCCGGAGCCAUAACUCUCUCUCCGGUGGUCGGAAUUCGAUGGUUUAACUACCGUUGGAUUCCUCUCGUCGAGCUCUUUCUUUUGGUGGUGAUUUCAUUCAGUUUCGAACGCUGAUCUGUUUCUGCAAUUUUUUUUCAUUCGAGAACGGUGGUCUUGUCGGAGUUUUAUUUUGUGUUCCACCGGUCGAAAUUUGACGGGUCACCUACAGUUGGAUUCCUCUCGUCGGGAUCUAUAUUUUGAUGGUAAUUUCGUUUAUUUUUAUGUUUUCAGAUUUAUUUCUAUAUUUUUUGCAUUUGUGGCCGCACAGAACCAUUGGUGGUUACUCUCUAUCUCUCGAUCUCUUAAUGUUUGGUGAUUUUUGAGUGUUUUGAUGUUUUUCUUCAAAUUUGUUGAUUCGCACUAAAGUAAUUUCUUUUGUUUUGAUUUUGCAAUUACAGCUUAAUGAAGGCCAUUAAUCCUUUCCUUGAAGGUGUCAAAUUUUUGUUUUUUUAAGUUACAUCAGAUCUGUUCAAUAGACUGUAUACAUUACUAUACAUUACUAUAGUAACAUGUAGUUACAUAUGCGUAUAUUUAUGUAUUUUCGAUUUGUAUUUUAUUGGUUUUGAUGUGAUUUAUAACAAACAGAUUUAUAAAAAAAUAAUAAUAAAUAAAUCAGCGAAAAUGAUAAAUGCAGGACCAUAAAUGUUGAAUGCAGUUUGGCCAAAAAUUGCACAUAAGGGUAGUAUAGUACUUUCGCUUCCUCAGGAGGUAUGUCAAAGGAUGAUUUGGACUUGGAUUUAUCCCUAAUUUAUUUGGUGGCUGGGGGUAUGUAAAAUAACCAUUUACCAGCACCCCUUUCAUCCUCUCACUUCUUACCUUCCGACUCUCUCUUCUCUUUUGGACAAAAACCAAGGUUUUUCCUUCUUUUUCUGGUUUUAAGGUGUAUCGGUCGAAUCGGUGGUUUUCCCACUCACUCCAAUUUUCAUUUUUUAUUAACCAAUCAAACUCAGACCAUUGCUUAAUGCUUCAAGAUCCGAAAAUGGCGAAUAAUUGUUCAGCCUGAAAACAAGAGUCACUUUUUUAAUCCCUUAUUAGCUGACUUAAAUUGUCCCUCGCCCGAAACUUCAAUUCUUCUGAUAUCAAUUCUUCAUGUAUUGAAAUACAAUAUUAUUAAUGAUUGUAGGAAUGUUGCGUAAGAAAAGAUACUCUACCUAGAGAUUCUACAAUUCUUGCAACGACAUUGGCAUUUGCAUUAUGCGAGCGUGCAUUUGGAUGGAGGGAUUUGGGGAAGAGAUUUCAAAUCCAUAAUAACAAAUCUCUCGGACUUGUUUGGAUUGAGGGAUUUGGAGAUGGAUUUCAAACCUCCACCCCUCCUUUUUAGUUGAUUUUGGAGCAAUAGUGAUGGAUUUCAAAUGACUCCAAAAUUGGAGUCAUUUCAAAUCCAUUCCCCAAAUCAAAUCCCUCCAUCCAAAUGAACCCUGAGAGAAAUUAAGGGCCUUGGUGCAUAAGAGAAGAUAUUCCACCAAGCCAUAAUCACCUUCUGACCUAAUAUUCUUGUUACCAUAUCCAAACGGGUCACGAUAUAUAAGCCGAUUUCUUGUUUGGGUUAAUUGAAAAAUUUAACCGCUUCAGAUUCAAUUUCGGUCAACAACUCAGUGAAAACAUCCGAUAUUGUUGUGAACAAUUAUGUAGCAGCAGUGAAAAACAUGGCAUGCGGAAAUCUUGAAAUGAUAACUGAGGAAUUGAAGCUUAAGGAGAGGGAUACUUUAUGUAGGUUAAAUGUGGAAAUAAUCCAAGUUGAACAAUUAUCUUCCAUGUUUGAAUCUUGAAGCAUUUAGUAAAGGUUAAGUACAAGUUUUGGGGUUGAACCAUACCAUUUAAGGUGUCGGGUCACAUUUAAACCAGUUGGACCAACCGAUUAAGUCCGAUUCUAAUAAUCAUAGUUAUAAGUAAAAUUAAAAUAAAAUAAAAUUGUGCGCUUGUAAGUUUUCUGAUGUUGAUAGAUUUUGUAGUAAUUUGAUCUAAUAAUGAAAUGUUUUUCAUAUAAUUUAUUUUAAUUCAUAUCAUCAAGUUUAUCGUGAUUUCUCAUGCAAAGAACUUAGAGGAAUACCUGUAGUAAGAUAACUAGUAGAUAUGUCAUUAGUGUUUAGGAUGGAUAUUGUUAAGAAAAUUCCUAGCUUCUCCGAUUCCUAUUCAAAAUUUUUGAUUUUGGAACAAUAAUUUUCAUUACGAAUUCCGAAGUUUUUUAUUGGCAAAUUGUUUUUAUGUUCUUUGUAUUGGAAUUUAAAUAAAUACAUGAUUCCCAUUUGCAAUUUGAUUUUUAAGUUAUUAAUAUGUAUUUAGUAAUAUAUGUGAAUUAGUAAUUUGACUUUUGAAUCCAGAUCUGUAACUUUUUGAUUUUGGAGUAUAGGGGUCUAAUAUUCAAUUGGGGAUUCAAUCACAAAUUGAAAUAAAAGGAUUUGGUACUUUAGUGCAAUUUUCACAAACUUUUACCCAUUAAAUUACAACUGCUACAUAUAUAUAUAUAUAUAUAUAUAUAUAUAUAUAUAUAUAUAUAUAUAUAUAUAUAUAUAUAUAUAUAUAUAUAUAUAUAUUCGCGUGUUGCUAAGAAUGUUCCCUUUAUUUAUAAUAAAUAUUAAAGGGAUAGGCUUAUUAGUGAAAGAGAUAUAGCCCAUAAACCUAAAAUAAUAAACAUGCUUGAUUGGGUACUUAUGCACAAAAACCCCUUCUAAAUAUUUCAAGAGCCCUACGCCUGUAGAAUCUAACAAACCAUCUAUUUAUUUAUCUAUCUAUCUAUCAACCUACUAUAAUAUAUACAUGAGAAUAAAUUCAAAACGGACCAUCCGUUAAUUGAUCUUAAUCGGAUGUCCACUCAACAUGUGACACGUGGAAUUAACUACUUAUAUUAAUUUAGAUAAUUUAUAUAUAAUAGUAAUAUACAAUAUUGCGUAUAAUUCAAGAAGAAAAACUAUAUAUUUAAAGUUGCUACUAACAAAAUAAUAAUAAUAAUAAUAAUAAUAAUAAUAAUAAUAAUAAUAAUAAUAAUAAUAAUAAUAAUAAUAAUAAUAAUAAUAAUAAUAAUAAACCUUAUGUUCAACGGACGGGUUUUCGGGUUUUGGGUUUUUCGGGGUUUUGAGUUUUUCGGGGUUCCGGGUUUUGGGGUUUCAGGCAAGGUUGUAAAAAUCGGUAAUCGGGUCUAAGUCGGUCAGGCACCGACUCACGAUUAAUCGGUGCGGCGGUGAUUAAUCAGUGAUAAAUCGGAAAUAAAUCGAUUUUUAAAAUUUAAUAUAAUAUAUUUGUAGAUAUUAUUUAUAAAUACUCAAAACAUAGAUAAAAAAUAUUUAAACAUAGUUAUAUCUCGAUCAUGUAUAUUCUAAUAACAUAAUAAAAGUUUAAUAAUAAUAAGAUCAUAAUACAUAAAUAUCCUUAUAAAAUAUAAAUAAAAAGGCAUUUUUUUUUUAAUUUACAUACAUUCUUGGCAUACAUCAUUAGUUCUUUAACAAUAAUAAUUAACAUAAACAAAAUAAAGCAUAAACUCAUUUUUUUUUUAUUAAAAUCCCAACUUUUAUUUUGAUUUAUAAAAAAAAAAAAAAAAAACCGAUUUUGACCGAUUUUUUGCGAUUUUUGCCACCGAAGUUUGACCUGCCUUAAAGGUUUGACCGCCUCGGACCGCCUCACAGGCAAAAAACCGAUUUUUCAAACCUUUACACUAAAAUCGUAAAGGUUUUGGACCGCCUCGGCCGAUUUUUAGAACACUGGUUUCAGGUUUUUUGGGGUUUCGGGUUUUUCGGGGUUUUGGGUUUCAGGUUUUUCGGGGUUUUGGGUUUUCGGGUUUCGGGUUUCGGGUUUUUUUGGGUUUUUGGGUUUCGAUUUUCGGUUUUGGGGUUUCGGGUUUUUCGAGGUUUUGGGUUUCGGGUUUUUCGAGGUUUUGGGUUUUCGGGUUUCGAUUGUCGGGUUUUGGGUUUUUUUGGAAAAAAGAAAGAAAUUAAAAUGAUUUAAAGAAAAAUGUUACCUGUGUCCAUAUGGUUGUUAUGGCGGGUGCUGCACUCGCACGAUUAACUAUAGUGGUUAAGGAAUUUUUAUAUUUUAAAAUGCCUACUACUUAGGAGCAUAACAACCAUGUUUUUAUCCACGUGUCCAUUGUUAAGUGGAAUCCGAUUUUUCAAUAAAAAUAGGCAGUCCGGUGUAAAUUUGCUCCCUAUAUACAUCCAUAUACAUAAAUCUAACUCAAAGGAAAUCUCGACCGACAAAGCGGGCAAAACGGAUUAUUCCUCAGCCAUUUCCCGAUGCAACUCCCGUGAAAGAUAUGCGAACACGGCAUUCCCAACGGCUCUUCACCGGAGAAUCCUUCCAAGCAAAUCGAGCAACAAUCACUCGUAACAUUCCGGCGUCCGGAAUCCGGCGCCCGCUCGACAACCUCUCUCGAGAAAACGAGCUUCCAAUCCACAACUACAUCAAAGUGGAGAUCCAAAACCUCGUGGCCCUUCAUAUGGCAGAGAGCCCUUUCGAGAGCUUUCGUCCACGCGUACUCGACCAACUCCCGGCGCGGGCCGGACUCUUCCAACGGGGGCCCGAUACACGGGCCCACCGCCUCUAGGGUUUCUCCUAAACACGACAGCUGGCGGAAGCUGACGCGGGCAUGGUAACUACUCGUCCUUGUGGGUGGGAAACCCACGCGCUUGAUGCACUGCAGCUCGGUCGGAUUAUCUUGAUGGAGAACCCAUAUCGACGAUUCGAUCUUGCAAGAGAAGAAGAAGUUGAUGCGGGAGAGUUCCGGAAGCGAAAAUCGGGGUUUGAAACGACGACUCGGGGUGCUGAAUAUAACCCCCGAAAGCUCGAGUUUUUUGAUGUUUUGUAGGCUGUGGAAUCGUACUUGUUCCAUGUUCUUCUUCUUCAGCAGAAUUUUUAUAUAUAAGAAAAAUAAAUAAUGAAUAACUCUUUAUAUAUAUAUAUAUAUAUAUAUAUAUAUAUAUAUAUAUAUAUAUAUAUAUAUAUAUAUAUAUAUAUAUAUAUAUAUAUAUAUAUAUAUAUAUAUAUAUAUAUAUAUAUAUAUAUAUAUAUAUAUAUAUAUAUAUAUAUAUAUAUAUAUAUAUAUAUAUAUAUAUGUGGUGAGAAAUAUCUCCCCAUAUAUAUAUAUAUAAAAAAAUAGAGGGAGAGAUAUAUAUGUAUAUAUCUGUAUGUAUAUGUAUACAGAGAUAUACAUAUAUAUAUAUAUAUAUAUAUAUAUAUAUAUAUGUAUAUAUAUAUAUAUAUAUAUAUAUAUAUAUAUAUAUAUAUAUAUAUAUAUAUAUACAUAUAUGUAUAUGUGUAUAUAUACUGAUAAAUAUAAUAAAGAUCUCGACACGAUAAAAUAAAGUAUGUGUGUGAGAGAGAGAGAUAGAGAGAGUGUGGAGAGAGAGAGAGAAAAGAGCCACACAGAGAGUGUGUUAUACACACUCGCGCGCACAUGUAUAUACAGACACGGAGAGGAGUGCACACGCUCACACGCGUGCACAAUGUCUCAAAGAGUGGGGGAAGAGCCCACACGUGCUCUCACACUUGACAAAAGACUAAACACCUUUGUGCGAGCGCCCCAAAUGCUCUCUNNNNNNNNNNNNNNNNNNNNNNNNNNNNNNNNNNNNNNNNNNNNNNNNNNNNNNNNNNNNNNNNNNNNNNNNNNNNNNNNNNNNNNNNNNNNNNNNNNNNNNNNNNNNNNNNNNNNNNNNNNNNNNNNNNNNNNNNNNNNNNNNNNNNNNNNNNNNNNNNNNNNNNNNNNNNNNNNNNNNNNNNNNNNNNNNNNNNNNNNNNNNNNNNNNNNNNNNNNNNNNNNNNNNNNNNNNNNNNNNNNNNNNNNNNNNNNNNNNNNNNNNNNNNNNNNNNNNNNNNNNNNNNNNNNNNNNNNNNNNNNNNNNNNNNNNNNNNNNNNNNNNNNNNNNNNNNNNNNNNNNNNNNNNNNNNNNNNNNNNNNNNNNNNNNNNNNNNNNNNNNNNNNNNNNNNNNNNNNNNNNNNNNNNNNNNNNNNNNNNNNNNNNNNNNNNNNNNNNNNNNNNNNNNNNNNNNNNNNNNNNNNNNNNNNNNNNNNNNNNNNNNNNNNNNNNNNNNNNNNNNNNNNNNNNNNNNNNNNNNNNNNNNNNNNNNNNNNNNNNNNNNNNNNNNNNNNNNNNNNNNNNNNNNNNNNNNNNNNNNNNNNNNNNNNNNNNNNNNNNNNNNNNNNNNNNNNNNNNNNNNNNNNNNNNNNNNNNNNNNNNNNNNNNNNNNNNNNNNNNNNNNNNNNNNNNNNNNNNNNNNNNNNNNNNNNNNNNNNNNNNNNNNNNNNNNNNNNNNNNNNNNNNNNNNNNNNNNNNNNNNNNNNNNNNNNNNNNNNNNNNNNNNNNNNNNNNNNNNNNNNNNNNNNNNNNNNNNNNNNNNNNNNNNNNNNNNNNNNNNNNNNNNNNNNNNNNNNNNNNNNNNNNNNNNNNNNNNNNNNNNNNNNNNNNNNNNNNNNNNNNNNNNNNNNNNNNNNNNNNNNNNNNNNNNNNNNNNNNNNNNNNNNNNNNNNNNNNNNNNNNNNNNNNNNNNNNNNNNNNNNNNNNNNNNNNNNNNNNNNNNNNNNNNNNNNNNNNNNNNNNNNNNNNNNNNNNNNNNNNNNNNNNNNNNNNNNNNNNNNNNNNNNNNNNNNNNNNNNNNGGGUUAUAUUUACGGCUUCUAUAUCGGCCAUUAUUGGGGACUACAACGUCCACCAUCUCUACGAACAUUAUGUUCGGAGUAAUUUUCAUAGCCUUUAAAUCGACUCUUAAUUUGGGCUCCUAUGGGACGGAGUCAUUUUCAUUUCUUUAUCUAAAUCAGCCCAUUUUCUUUUGCUAAUUUAAACAAGAUUAUUAAAUAAAUAGAUCGAAACUUGCACAUGCCAAUUACAUGUUUCUAAAUUUACAAAAUCAAAAUCAUGUAAUGCAAGUUGAAAAUUCAUAGUCGAGGCCAGAGAUAAUGACUCUUUUUUUCCUCAUAAAUCAACAUGCACAUAAUUAUAGAUAUAUAUCCUUCCUUUCCUCCGAAAAUCGGUGGCGUAUAAAAUACCGUAGUAUUUGCUUCACCCUUUGAUAUCGAGGAUCUGGAUUUUAUCAAAUAAAAUGAAAUAACAUAAACAAACUUACAUAACCUACCUUUUUUCGACCAGAACCUCGUGCUGAUAACGUGUUGUGAAAUAAUUCCCAUAAGCUCUAUAUAGUAUAAACACUAAUGGUGUGAAUAUUAUUAAUUAAUCAGUAUUAGUUAGUUAUCAAUGUGUAACUAAUAUAUAUAUAUGUAUAUACGGUUAUGUAUAUGUAUGUAUAUAUAUACAUAUAUAUAUAUUAGUAUAUACGGAUAUGUAUAUAUGUAUAUAUACUAAUUAAUAUAAUAUAAUAUCAUUACAAUAUAAUAUAAUAUAAAUGUGAGUGGGAAAGAUAGAGAGAGUGUAUAAGGAGAGAGAGAGAAAUGCUAGCCAAAAAUUGUGUUUUAUUAAUUCACUUGUACAUGUAUUUAUAGAUACAAAGUGAUAAGUCAUCAUUAACACUUGUCAACAUUUCAUCUAACAUUGUUGGAAAUGACUACACAUGUCCUAACACUUGUCAAAAGACUAAUAACCCAUUUGCUAAAGUCCACAAUAUUAUAACAAAAUAUUAAUUAUAGGAGGAUUAAUUAGGAUAAACACACUACACAUCUUAUAAUUUGCCUCUCCUCCCGAAUCUUCAGUCGUACGGUAUUGAUUGGGAUAAUUAUAGUUUUCUCCCCUCAAGUUUGCACCGAUGUUCACAUUUAGUCCUUCAUGUUUCACAAAGCACAUAUUUGGUCUGUCGUUCAAUAAUCUGACAUUUUCGGUCAUUUACGUCAAUUUACCAUUAAUGUAUCUGUUAAGUAGGUGAUGGGCACACGCAUGGUUCCGUUAGUUUUAACCGAAAAUUGAUCGAAAGGACUAAAAAUGUUGAUUUUGUGAAACAUGAGUGAUCAAAUGUGGUUUUUGUGAAUAUGAGGGAUCAGAUGUGGUUUUUGUGAAUAUAAGAGACCAAAUAUGAAAUUGGUGCAAUCUUAACGGAUGAAAACUGUGAUCCUAAGAUUUUGAUCCGAAUAUGUCCAAUUUUGUAAAAUAUUUUUCAUUUAGAAUUCCGAUAAUCGGGUUCCGUAUUUUUCUAACUUGAUUCUAAUGGAUUGGGAUACAUAUUUUUCAUUUUGACUUCCGAUCCAAUUUUUGGAUUUCCGAAAAUAUUUGAAAUUCCUGAAUUUCUCCAAUUACGAUCCAAAAGCAUUCCAAUUUUCGAAAGUUCUUUCAUUACGAUUUCCAAAAUCUGUGGUUGGCUGGUUGCUCAUGUAAAUACGUUACUAGCAAACACAGCACUAUUGAUAUUUGUAAAGAUUAUAACAUAUUUUACUCAAAAAAAAAAAAGAUUAUAAGAUAUUGACACACCUAAAUGGGCUCCAUUGGACCAUUCAUAUUAUAGAACCAUGUGGGCCGAAAUACUAGACCCCAAAGCCCGCCAGAUAAAGAAAUCAAGCUCAUUCUCCUAGCUGAGCCCAAAUAGGUCCCACUACUUAUGCUCGUAUUAAUAAAACCUUAAUUAGAGUCCUAAUCAAAGAGAAACUAGAUUACUGCUCUCUAAUUAGGAUUCUUCUAUUAAUUAAGUAUAAAUAAGGAAAGGUACGUUCGAACAAAUCCCUUGAGUAUUAUUGAUCUCGUGUUCUCUACUCUAUUGUAUGUGCUAGCAUCUGACUUGAGCGUUGGAGGGGUUUCCGCCCGAUGAACCUCCGUCUUAGUUCCCGUGCUAUGAUUUUACGGGUUCGGCAAUCAAGCGUGCUGGAUCAACCCCAGGCUUAGUUCACGUGCUUUGAUUUUACAGGUUGGGUGUUCGACCAAAUCCCUCGAGUAUUAUUGAUUUAGUGUUCUCUACUCUAUUAUCUGUGCUAGCAUCUGACUUGAGCGUCGGACUAGGGAUUUCCGCCUGAUCAACCCCCGGCUUAAUUCACGUGCUUUGAUUUUACAGGUUGGGCGUGCAAGAAACUUAUCCAUGUUCCCAAUAAACCGAACAAGAUGAUAUACACAUCAUCACAUAUCCAGACUAUUAGUAAAAUUUUAUAUUUUAAAAAACAAAAUAUAUAACAAAUUCCAUUCACAAAAAAAACCUAAUUCAAUUAGCAGAAAUCCCCAAUGCAUGUAUUUUGUAUUAACAGUACUGUUAGAAUCUAAUUAGAUUCUAAUAAACAAGGGAUGAGUAAAGACUUGUGCAACAAGUCCUACGUACCGUGAAACACAAAAGGGAAGUCUCCUUGUUUACUUAAAUUCUUUAAUUUGUCAUUAAUUGUUUCUUUUAUAUAGGAAAAUAUUUUAUUAAUUAAAAAGAGUUUUUGUGCAAGACUAUCCAAUAGUUCUUGACUCUUGUGCGUAUGAUUUUUCAAGAAGGAAAAGAUUUUCUUAAUUAUCUUUUAUAUUUUAUUGUCAUUAAUUGGUUGUUUGUUUACAUGGGAAUUCCCAUUAAAUUUGGAUGACAAUAUUUUAAUAAGGCAUGGACUUUUAUUCCAUAUAUUUUAACAAGAUAAUUCCUUCUACGUCUCUAACCUUGUAAAACCUAAUACAGGAGUGUUCCUAAACUAUAAAAGAAGAAGCAGGAACAUAAUACGGUGUGUGCGUUUUUUUGGAGAGAAGCCGAUCUCUCUCUUCUUGGUUGUUGUUGCACGCCUUUUGUUGGAGCAGAAAAAUUAUAUUUUUCUGCUCUUAUUUUUGCUGCACCUGGAGCGUCUUUUUCAUCGAGAGAAGAUUUCAGAGAAAUAUUUUUUUCUCUCGUUUUUUAUUGCUCCAUCGUGAUACGUGAUUUUCAUCGAAAAUAUAUCGGCUUCAAGGCUUUGUGGUGAAGACACCAAGAUUCAACGAGUAUCACAAGUUUGCUUCUUCUAUACAAAAAGAAGAUCGGUUCUUCGGGAGAGGGGCUUAAACAGAUCUCGGGAGGAGAUCGAUCCGCCGACUGAGGGAUUCAGCGUUGAAGGGAGUUCAACCGUGCGGAGCAAGGGACGUGCUGCAAAUUGAAGAUUUAUAAUUCAGCGUAGUAUACAAGAACGGCGUCAACAAAGAGGGAGUCUUUGUAUUUUGAUUAAGUCCUAUUAUUGUAUUCGUAAAACUAAAAAUUAGUAAAUUUUAUUUGCAGGUCCCCGUGGAUGUAGGGUACAAUUGUAUCCGAACCACAUUAAAAUUUGUGUCUCGUUUAUUUCUGUUUUUACGAACUGCUUCACGAACUGUUGCAACUCUUCACGCAACAGUUACGAAAAACUGAAUCUGACACAAAUAAUUUAUAUCUGCACGAAAUAAAUUCUAACAAUUGGCAUCAAGAGCCUGUCACUAGAUAUACUUAGUGAGAUUUUGGGAUUUAAUUUUUUUAUUUUAUUGUGCAGAUAUGAAUAAUCAUCGUGAAGGCGCAUUCCUACCUCCUCUCUUGGGUGAAUUGAACUACUCUGAUUGGAAAAUAAGGAUGAAGAUGUUCAUCAAAUCUAUUGAUGAAUGGGCCUGGCGCGCGAUUCUAUUUGGUUGGACACCUCCUACCUCAAUGAACGAGUCACACGAGAUCAUUCAAACGCCAAAAGAGAAGUGGAGUGAUGAAGAAGUACGAAUAGCAGAUUAUAAUUCCAAGGCAAUCAAUGCUAUCUUGAGUUGUAUCGAUGACGACCAAUUCAAAUUGAUAUCGAUGUGCAAAUCAGCAAAGGAGGCAUGGGAUGUUCUACAAGAGGCCUACGAAGGAACUACUCUGAUAAGCAAGUGCAAAGAGACUGUUGUUGAAACUGUUGCAACAGUUGGACAGACAGUUCAAACAGAACUCAGGUAUGAUAAUUUGCCUUCAAUAGACGACAUCGGUUUAACUCCCUUUAUUCUUGCAGGAGACGAUGGGGAUUCAGAAAACAACAGUGAUGAUGACGAGACGACCUUGGAAGAAUUAAAGAAGUGCUACGAAAGGAUGUACGAAAAAUUGCUUCAGGUAUGCGAGUCGAAUAAAUUCUUAGAAAAAGAGAAGCUUGUCCUAAUUGAGGAAAACAAAGUGUUGAAGGUAAGAAUUUCUACUCUUGAACAAAAUGUUAUUUCUGCUAGUAGAGAAACAGAUAGUUUGAAGGCUAAAUUUGCUCAAACCCAAGAUGCUAUUUCUAAGUUUAAUACUGGUAGAGUAACUUUGAAUGAAAUUUUGAACAAAAAUCAGCCGAACUAUGGUCGUAUAGGUAUAGGGGGGUAAUCAGCUAUCUAAUGAUGCAUUGAAACAGAAAGAGAAUCCAAAAAGAAAAAUCAAUUUUGUUAAACAAUCCACUGUUUCACAAACUGUUGCGACAGUUGCACCAACACAGCCAUUUCAAAGAAAAGUUUUUGUUCCUACCUGUCAUUUUUGUCAUGUUCCUGGUCAUAUACGACCCAGGUGUUUUAAGUACUUGAAAAUGGUUAAAAGAAUAAUGGCCCGCUCACCACUUUCCGCUAAAAUUGAUCAUACUUUUGUGUCAUCUCAAAAACCCAAGAUAAAGGUUGAUUUAGUGAAUAAAACUCAACAAAAAAUCUGGGUAAAGAAGUCUGAUCUAAAUUGUUUAUCUGCCAUUACUUCUUUAAACUCAUGUAAUGAUAGUACUAACUGUUCCAACAGUUCUGGUGACAAAGCUAGUUUGGGGAAUAAAAAACUUUGUAAUCUGAAUUGUGAUAAUUUGUAUGCGAAAAAUAAGUUUAUGAAUCCAAUUCAGCAUUCGAGAACUAAGCUUACUGAUAUUUGUCAUCUUUUCAUAAGGGGCUUGGUUGAAAAGGGGGUUGUCUCAAUUGAUUAUGCUGCAACGGAGAAUGAAUUAACUGAUGCUUUUGCAAAAACCCUUGAUGCACAGAGAUUUGAUUCCUUGCGAAAAUCGCUGGGAAUUUAUGUUGCUUAAUCUGAUGCAGUUGCAUGAACUGUUGCAACAGUCUGUGUGUCCAGACUUGCAACUUUUAGUGGUAGGACACUUCAUAUGUUUUUGCAUCUCAUAUAGGAUCUGCAUUAAGCAUACUGCAUCUGAUUGAGACAAAUGUGAAUUUGAUGCUUCAUGUACUUCUAAUCUUUGUGGGGGUAGAACUUCACCAAUUCCCAAAAUGAUUACUUAAAAGGCUCCAACUUAUUUAUUUCUCUGAAUAGUCUUGUCAUGGUUGGAUGUUUUUAUAGGGAAAAGCUGCCUCUUUUAAUGAGUGAAAGCUACUCUUGAACUACUGUUACUAAUAUAUAUAUAUAUAUAUAUAUAUAUAUAUAUAUAUAUAUAUAUAUAUAUCUACAACCAUUUGGUCAGUGAAUAGUUCGAAGCCUUUUUGAGUCGAGUCAGUAAAUCACGUGGCCGAAAGCUCGCUAUACGGCUCAAUUAGAAAGCCCAGGGGACUACACAUUGCACGUCCAAUAUAAAUUAUACAUAUGGUCAGUGAAUAGUUCGAAGCCUAGUUGAGUCGAGCCAGUAAACCACUUGACCGAACACUCACUACAAGGCUCAAUUAGAAAGCCCAGGGGACUACACAUUGCACGACCACCAUAAUCUCGUUCCUUUUAUUUGCUCUGUUUUUCAUGAGAAAAAACUACCAUUAGACGUGUGUGUACGCUACCUAAUAAGAGCAUCUUUGUGUUUGACUUGGGAUUAUUAAGUUUGUUGGUUGCAUUGGCAGUCGGAUUUUUGGGGAUUGCGCUUAUCGUGAAUGUGAAGAUAAAUCCCAUAUGUUUUGUUUGUCCAUGCAGUAUCCUAUUCACAUAUGUCUCUUCACUCAUGUUUAUUUCUCAUGUUUAAUUCUUGUCUUGCAUUAGGCAUUAUUUAAAAAAAAAAAAAAAAAAAAAAAAAAAAAAGAGAGAGAGAGAGAGACGGGAUUUUUGUUAAUGUGCCGGUUAAAUUUGAUCUUUUGUUGCAACCGGAUCUAUUGGGCCUACUACUCACAUUUCCACGUUUCGUAUGAAGUUUGGCAAAGUCUGUAGUCUUUGUUAUUUAAUGCUGGAUUUGAUAUCACUAUCCUUUUGAUUUCGUAUUGCAAUUAUCGUGUGUUAUUGAGUGUGUGAGCGUGUGAUUUUGUGUUCCCGUCAUGAAUGGUGAUUCUUCUUACUUACUUUCAAAAUUCUCUCUACGUUUGAUAUUUUUGUUAAGUGUUUGAACAGCUUGCUCAAAUCAUCAAGAUCAUUAGUCCAUGUUGAGUUAUCUAUGCAUGGUGAUUGCCCAGAAAGGGGGAGAAAAGAACAGUCAGCGAUGGCAUGAACACAGGGAGAGUUCCGACAACUGUUGCGACAGUGCAUCAGACAGUUGCUGGAACAGUGCAUGAAUGCAGGGGGAGUUCAGACAACAGUUGAGACAAUGCAUCAUACUGUUGUUGGAACAGUGCAUAAAUACAUGACAAAUAAGGAGGAAUUCAUUGUAAAGGGAAGUUGAUUAUGCUAUUGCAUAUUUUUAGUUGUUCUUUGCUUAAUUGAACAACUGUACACUAUCUGCUGAACUGUUUGAUAAACUGUUGCAACAGUUUAUAUUUGCAGAUGUUAUUUUGAAUUUGCUGACCCUUGUUCAUGCAUGUAUCAUAUAUUUAGGGGGAGUAAAUGUUCUGACCAAUCAAUGCCAAAGGGGGAGAGUGUUAGAAUCUCGGUGGGAUUCUAAGUCCUCAACACCAAGUGGAAUUCUAUGGAGAUGUUUAUUGUCAUUAAUUGGUUUAGGUCUUCACAAGAGUAUAAAAUGAGGAGCUAUAAUGCCGACGUUAUUUGUUGAGUCUUUUAUCACGUGGGUGAUUUACCACGUCGCCCUCCAAGUCUACAAAGCCAAGUAAGCAAAGUGGAAGAAUGAAGUCACUUACAAGGGGAGCUGCCUAAGGUUCAUUCACAAGGGGAGAUACACAUGCAGGGGGAGCCGACUCCGUUGUGAACCACAUGCCGAAGCCACUACUGUGGGAACAGUUGUUGAAACUGUGACACUUACUAUUGCAGCAGUUCAUGCCACUCUUGUUGCUGAAAGAGAUUAUGAUGAUGAGCUGUUCCUUUGAUGCUGAGGAUGAUCUUUAUUUUUAUUGUUUCCUUAUAUCCUCUAUUGUUUCAUUUUCAGGCAAUUUACUCAGGGGGAGAAAAUGUUAGAAUCAAUAAAUGACAAAGGGGGAGAUUGUUAGAAUCUAAUUAGAUUCUAAUAAACAAGGGAUGAGUAAAGACUUGUGCAACAAGUCCUACGUACCGUGAAACACAAAAGGGAAGUCUCCUUGUUUACUUAAAUUCUUUAAUUUGUCAUUAAUUGUUUCUUUUAUAUAGGAAAAUAUUUUAUUAAUUAAAAAGAGUUUUUGUGCAAGACUAUCCAAUAGUUCUUGACUCUUGUGCGUAUGAUUUUUCAAGAAGGAAAAGAUUUUCUUAAUUAUCUUUUAUAUUUUAUUGUCAUUAAUUGGUUGUUUGUUUACAUGAGAAUUCCCAUUAAAUUUGGAUGACAAUAUUUUAAUAAGGCAUGGACUUUUAUUCCAUAUAUUUUAACAAGAUAAUUCCUUCUACGUCUCUAACCUUGUAAAACCUAAUACAGGAGUGUUCCUAAACUAUAAAAGAAGAAGCAGGAACAUAAUACGGUGUGUGCGUUUUUUUGGAGAGAAGCCGAUCUCUCUCUUCUUGGUUGUUGUUGCACGCCUUUUGUUGGAGCAGAAAAAUUAUAUUUUUCUGCUCUUAUUUUUGCUGCACCUGGAGCGUCUUUUUCAUCGAGAGAAGAUUUCAGAGAAAUAUUUUUUUCUCUCGUUUUUUAUUGCUCCAUCGUGAUACGUGAUUUUCAUCGAAAAUAUAUCGGCUUCAAGGCUUUGUGGUGAAGACACCAAGAUUCAACGAGUAUCACAAGUUUGCUUCUUCUAUACAAAAAGAAGAUCGGUUCUUCGGGAGAGGGGCUUAAACAGAUCUCGGGAGGAGAUCGAUCCGCCGACUGAGGGAUUCAGCGUUGAAGGGAGUUCAACCGUGCGGAGCAAGGGACGUGCUGCAAAUUGAAGAUUUAUAAUUCAGCGUAGUAUACAAGAACGGCGUCAACAAAGAGGGAGUCUUUGUAUUUUGAUUAAGUCCUAUUAUUGUAUUCGUAAAACUAAAAAUUAGUAAAUUUUAUUUGCAGGUCCCCGUGGAUGUAGGGUACAAUUGUAUCCGAACCACAUUAAAAUUUGUGUCUCGUUUAUUUCUGUUUUUACGAACUGCUUCACGAACUGUUGCAACUCUUCACGCAACAGUUACGAAAAACUGAAUCUGACACAAAUAAUUUAUAUCUGCACGAAAUAAAUUCUAACAAGUACAUAUCAUAGAAAAUAAUCAAUUACAUUCAUAGCAUAACGUAACACAAUUCGAUCCCUAAUUCAAUUAUACAUGUCGUCGUCUAACUAGUCGGCAUCUCGAAUCGGCAAAGCGGGCAAUAAUGGCUAGUCCUCAGCCACUUCUUGAUGCAAUCGCCGUGAAAAAUAUGCGCGCACGGCAUACUCAACAAUUCUUCUCGAUUAUAAUCAUCGCCCCAGAAGCUUUCCAAGCAGACGGAGCAAUCCAUCUCGGGAAUAUUGCGAGAAUAUUCCACCGUCUUCAACACGCGAUCAAUCGACGAAUUCUCGGCCGGAACCAUACGAAGAGUAGAUUCAUCAUAAUUAUUAAUAUCACGGAGAUAAAUAUAUUCGUGCUCCAAAAGUACAUCGAAGUGGAGAUUCAAAACUCGGUAGGCCCUGCCGCCUGCGAUGUAUUUGCCGGCUUCGCGCAACGGGUAAUCGACCAACUCUCGACGGUUACUGGAUUUCAGUCGCGAUAAUCCACUACUCGUCGUCGUCAGUUUUUCUUCCAUGUAUUUUUGUGAUUCUUCGAAACUCGAGAACUGAUUGGAACUCAUGGAGACGAGGCAAUCGACGACGGGAUGAUGAGACUGGCUCACGAGCUGCGACUCGUCGUCUUCGGAUAAAAUCCACUCAGAAACAUCGAAUUCGAAAGAAAAGUUGAAGUUGAUUUGGAAUUUACGUACCGAACUCGGAAUUACGGCUGUGGUUUCCGAUUUUACGAGUUUGUAGGUGAAGGUGUAGACGCAUAAAAUUAAUUAAUUGGUUAAUUAAAUUAGCCAAUUAAAUUGUGUCUAAAUUAAAUUAUAAUUUAUCUUACAAAAUAAGUUAUGGAGAUAAUUAUCAAUUAAUUAUUGGCCAAUAGGAUUAUUUCUUCUCUUCCAAGUUAUAAGAGAUAAAUAUCAAUUUAAAUAGAGCCAAUCAAAUCGCGCCACGUCAUCAAGUAGACUUUAAGUAGGACUCUUAUUCUACCACUAGGGACCCUCUCUACACAAUUCAAAAAACACAACUCAAGAAGAAUAAAAAUCGUAGGAGAAAAUUCUCUCUACAACAUUCAAGUCAUCUUCAUCAAAUUCAAGGCGUUCUUCAUCAAAUCAAGGGCGUUCUUCAACAAAUCAAGAUCGAAGGAAGAUUGAAGGGCCAAAUCCAUCAAGAUCUUCAUCAGAGGGCGUUCUUCAACAAAUCAAGAUCGAAGGAAGAUUGAAGGGCCAAAUCCAUCAGGAACUCCAAGAUCUUCAAGUCAAAACCCGUCAAAGUUCUGCGUUCGAUCCGAGAUUCAAGUCGCAAGACCCUCGGAAAACGUUAUUCAAGUUCAAAAUCAAAUCCGGAGAAGAUCAAGUCAACGACCCGACUCCGAAAUUCAAAGUCAACAUAUAUUGUUCUUGAGAGAAGAAUCAGAGGAUUAAAUUAGAGUUUGUAACCCGCAAUAUUUAUAUUUAUUUCAAUAAAAUUAUAUUUGUGCAAGUUUUUCUUGUUUGUCUAAAUCGCAGAUAAGAUUUUGUUGCUACAAAUUUUGGCACGCCCGGUGGGACUUCUCUACCUCUCAUCUCUUCUCUCUCUCGAAGAUCCUCAAAGUGUUGCAUUGACUGCUCUACGUUCGCAAUGAACACUGCUACUUCGGAUUCAUCAAGUGUGGGCUUAGUUACAAGGAGUAUGGCUAAGAAGCUGCAAGCAUCCUCCAAGACUAGCUCGACGCCCCAAACCGUUCAAAAAGGCUUACCACCUCUUGUCAACACAAGUGCAAACGUGGAAGGCUCAAAAUGAGAGAUUUCACAGCCCAUGCCUCAUUCAACAUCAAGCUACUCAGAGAUGGCAUCCGUCAUGACAACAAACGCUACAACUAUGGAAGAAGCAUCCUCCAAGACUAGCUCGACGCCCCAAACCAUUCAGAAAGGCUUACCACCUCUUGUCAACACAAGCGCAGAAGUGGAAGGCUCAAAACGAGAGAUGUCACAGUCCAUGCCUCAUUCAACAUCAAGCUACUCAGAGAUGGCAUCCGUCAUGACAACAAACGCUACAACUAUGGAAGAGCAAAUUGCAAAUUUGACCAAGGCUAUUGAGGGACUCACAAAGCAUGUUCAACAACGAGAUUCUCAAAUUGCCAAGUUGAUCAACAAGAUGGACAAAGCCGAUGCUAGUCAAGCUGUGGAGAAUCAGAUAGAGGUUCAAGACGAAGUCGAGACAUCCACAAAGCAACAACCAGUUGAAAACGAGAAGGCUCCAGCUCAAGAACUUCAAGUUUCUCCCGAAGGGCUGAUUCAUGUAGAUCAAGUGAUGACGCUGAUCAGUGAGACAAUCAAAGACAAGUUGGAAGGAGGCUCGAAGUCUCCAUCAACCUAUGUCAAGCCAUACACGCAAAUGAUUGAUGAUCUAAGGAUGCCAAUGGGCUAUAUAUACUUCCAAAGUUUCAACAAUUUGACGGCAAAGGCAACCCCAAGCAACAUGUUGCACACUUCGUCGAGACUUGCAAUGAUGCCGGGACGUACGGAGAUCACCUCGUCAAGAAAUUCGUCCGAUCGCUCGAAGACAACGCGUUUGAUUGGUACAUUGAUUUGGGGGCAAACUCCAUUGAUAGUUGGAAGCACUUGGAGGAAGAAUUUCUCAACCGCUUUUACAGCACUCGAAGAACAGUCAACAUGAUUGAGCUCACCAAUUCGCGCCAAUGGAAGAAAGAACCUGUCAUCGACUACAUCAAUCGUUGGAGAAAUUUGAGUCUUAAUUGCAAGGAUCGACUGCCUGGGAUAUCAGCUAUUGAACUGUGCAUCCAAGGAAUGCAAUGGGGACUCCGAUAUAUCCUUCAAGGAAUUCAACCUAAAAGUUUUGAAGAGUUGGCCACUCGAGCACAUGAUAUGGAAUUGAGCAUAACUGCAAAUGAAGUCGAAGAACCUUCAUUCCAAAAGUCGUACCAGCUCAAUGAAGAACAUGUCGAAGAAGAACAAGAAGAUCACGAGGAUGGGGGCAAGCCUUUUGAAGAAACAACAUCCUAUGCAAUAUGACAAGUCCAAAUCAAGUGAAUACUCCUCGACAUGAGUUUAAAAGGUCUACAAGUCCAAAUCAAAUAAAAUACUCCUUGACACGAGUUUAAAAGGUCUACAUGUCCAAAUCAAAUCAAAUACUCCUUGACACGAGUUUAAAAUGUCAACAUAUCCAAAUCAAACCAAGGCUCCUCGAUACGAGCAUAAACUAUCUAUAUGUUCAAAUCAAGUCAAUGUUCCUUGAUACGAGCAUAAAUUAUCUAUAUAUCUAAAUCAAGUCAAGGCUCCUUGAUACGAGCAUAAACUAUCUACACAUAUCAAGUCAAGGCUCCUUGAUACGAGCAUAAACUAUCAACAUAUUCAAAUCAAGUCAAGGCUCCUUGAUACGAGCAUAAACUGUCUAUAUAUCUAAAUCAAGUCAAGGCUCCUUGAUACAAACAUAAACUAUCUAUACAUAUCAAGUCAAGGCUCCUUGAUACGAGCAUAAACUAUCUAUAUAUCGAAAUCAAGUCAAGGCUCCUCGAUACGAGCAUAAACUAUCUAUAUAUCGAAAUCAAGUCAAGGCUCCUUGAUACGAGCAUAAACUAUCUAUAAAUUCAAGUCAAAUGCUCCUUCAGUACGAGCUUAAACUGCGAAUGUUUCUCCUUGUCCACAUGAGUAUAAACUGUGCACGACAUCCCUUAAAAGGAUAUAUUUUGAACUACGUUAUGACUUGAUCCCUUUAUAGGGUACGUAGGCAACUUAGAAUCUCUGUAAGUUCAGUCAUGAUUUCAAAAGAUAUAUGUUCUUUGCUAGAUCAAGCCGCAAUCGAAGUUGAGCAAUUAUCGAGACUCAUCCACUCCAAGAUGCAUUGUCCGUGAACAAGUCUCAGGGGGGUGUGUGUAAUUUACCCAAAUUAAUUAAUUGGUUAAUUAAAUUAGCCAAUUAAAUUGUGUCUAAAUUAAAUUAUAAUUUAUCUUACAAAAUAAGUUAUGGAGAUAAUUAUCAAUUAAUUAUUGGCCAAUAGGAUUAUUUCUUCUCUUCCAAGUUAUAAGAGAUAAAUAUCAAUUUAAAUAGAGCCAAUCAAAUCGCGCCACGUCAUCAAGUAGACUUUAAGUAGGACUCUUAUUCUACCACUAUAAAUAGGGACCCUCUCUACACAAUUUAAAAAACACAACUCAAGAAGAAUAAAAAUCGUAGGAGAAAAUUCUCUCUACAACAUUCAAGUCAUCUUCAUCAAAUUCAAGGCGUUCUUCAUCAAAUCGAGGGCGUUCUUCAACAAAUCAAGAUCGAAGGAAGAUUGAAGGGCCAAAUCCAUCAAGAUCUUCAUCAAAUUGAGGGCGUUCUGCAACAAAUCAAGAUCGAAGGAAGAUUGAAGGGCCAAAUCCAUCAAGAACUCCAAGAUCUUCAAGUUAAAACCCGUCAAAGUUCUGCGUUCGAUCCGAGAUUCAAGUCGCAAGACCCUCGGAAAACGUUAUUCAAGUUCAAAAUCAAAUCCGGAAUCAAGUCAACGACCCGACUCCGAAAUUCAAAGUCAACAUAUAUUGUUCUUGAGAGAAGAAUCAUAGGAUUAAAUUAGAGUUUGUAACCCGCAAUAUUUAUAUUUAUUUCAAUAAAAUUAUAUUUGUGCAAGUUUUUCUUGUUUGUCUAAAUCGCAGAUAAGAUUUUGUUGCUACAAAAGGAUUCUUGAAAAUCAUAUAAAUCAUCCAUGGCGUCGUCAAAAGAUUUCAAAGAUUUCAAGGAAAAAGAAAAUUUAUCUGUGAAGAGGGUUCUGUUUUAAGGUUGAUGCGAAUAGAAGAUUUCAAGAAAAAAGAAAAUUUAAAAGAAAAUUUAUUUGUGAAGAGGGUUAUGUUUUAAGGUUGAUGUGAAUAGAUUUUUAAAAUAAUAUAUAUUAGGUUAGAAGUAGUGUAAUAGGAUUAGACUUUGUCGACACGUGUCAAAAUCCAAAAGUGCAUUGUAAUUUGUAAUAUAAUUAGUUUUAUCAAUUUCAACGGUUUUAUUAAUUUUAGUAAUAAUAUUUAACUUAUAAAAACGUGUCUUAAAUUAGUAAUUAAGUAACUUUUAAAUAAGUGUUUUAUAAAUAUUGGAGCUAAGGGUGGAAAUCGAAAUGAAAUUUUUUAAUUCCACCAAUUCUGAUUCGAAAAUAUCCGAAUUUGAAACCAUAUUUUUCAUUCUGAUUUCUGAAGUUUUGAUUUUCGAUUCUUCCGAAUUUAUUUGGAAUGGAUCUUUGCAUUCCGAUUUUUUGGAAUGAAAAUCGGAACCUAAUUUUUACUUCCGAAAAAAAUUGGAAAUAUUUCGAAAAAGUCAUUUCCGAUCCAUUCCGUCUGAUUUCCAUCCCUAAUUAGAACAUUACGUUUUAUUUUUGUUUUUUCAUUAUUAUGAUGAUUUUUUUUUUUUAAAUAUACUUGUACAUAUUUAACAUGUAUCCUUUUAGUAUUUAUAUAUAAUAACACUUUGCACCCUCAAAAUACAAUAAAUCAAUUAUAAUGCACCCUAAAUUGAAUAUUUAAAAUUAAUGAGAGCAAUUUCAUAUUUUGUAAACCAUAGUAUGAUAUAUGAUAUCCUUGAUGCUUUGUUUCUAAAGACAUAGUAUUGUGAAAAUAACUUCUUCAAAAAGUAUUAAAAAUCUCUUAUAAAUUAUUUAAUUGAGAGUAUAGAUCUCAAAAUGUAUUAUUCGUGAAAAAGACAAUUGAGUAAUAGAACUUAUAUUAUUUUUCAACUUAUAUAUAUAAAGUUAAUCAAUGUGUUUCACUAGAUCUGUCAUCUACAAAAAAACAAUUACUGCCAGUCGUAUUUUUUCUGUGGGACGCCAACGGGACCCACAUGAGUUACCUCGUUCGGACUAAAAUAAAUGCCAUCUGCCCUAGCUAUCCAACUGCAAAUAUUACCACCAAUCCCUGUUUGACAGUCUCCAGACAAAUGUUUACUGAACACAUCAAACGUUUGUUGCUUCCCAUUCCACCACAAGUGACAGAAGUACAGAGUUCUUUUAAACAAAUCUUGAUGAAAAGCCCAUUGUUGAUAUUGGUUCACAUAAAGCGUACGAUUUCCGAAAUCGUCGUUCCCAGAUUGACAAUGAGUUACUAACUUAGAAUUGUCUUUGGGAAGAUUAUUGUACACAUUAACCUCAAACCUUUUUGUAAGAGGAUCGGCAUCGAUUAUUUGGACAAUGCCGAUCAAUACUACGAGCGCAAAGAAAACGAGGCUUUGAUUAUCGUAUCCAUGAUAUGUUGUAUAAGAAAAGAUUAAUUAGUAUUGCACUUAUUUUAUUUUUUGUGUAUCUAGUUUUUAUAGAGGAAAUUGGUUUGGAUAGAGAUUGCAUAUUCUUGUGAUUGUGAAUUUUUUUUCAAUUAAAAUUGCACUUUUCUCUUUUCGUGUAUCUGGUUUUUAUAGAGGAAAUUAAUUUGGAUGGAGAUGCAUACUAAUUAAUGUAUUUUUUUUUGGAGAUUAUACAAUAUACUACAGAAACCCAAAACCCAAAUAUGGUAUCACAAUGUAAUUAAAAUAAGGGUAAAAUUCAUUUUGCAUCCCUGUACUAUGAGAAAGUUAUCGUUUACCCCCUGAUGUAUGAGAAACAUCAAACACCCCAUGCCGUUAACUUUUUUCUUGACUCCGUUAGUCAAACCUUUUGACUGGCCGUUAUAAAGACCCGCUGGCUUUUUUUUGACGAAAUUACCCCCAAUAAUCUCUAUAUAUAGAUUGUCUAGUUUUAGCCAUUUUUUACAAAAUUUUCCCACUUACUCAGCCCUUGAUAAAAAUAAAGCUUUGCAGAUUUUGAUCGCAAGACGCACGAAAAAAAAAAAAGUGAAAACCCCUAAAAUCGAAAAAAAAUGCUAAAUCAAAAUAAAACUCUAAUGAACCGCAAACUAAAAACAAAGAUUUAAAGACUUUGCAUAAAAAAAUUUUUUUAAUCCGAGUUGGAAAUAUACACUCCGCAAAAGAAAAAAAAAACAUUACGUGUUCAUUGAAAGUAAAAAUUUAUUUAAGUCCAAGCAUAAAAGUCAUACAGAUUUGAAAAAUCUAUUCCUAUAGCAAAACUAAAAAAAAUCAAUAAAAUUGAUCAUUCAAUAAAGAUAUUGCGUCUGUUAUUUGUAUAUAUAGCUAUGCAACAAAUUGCAUCUACUGUUUGAAAUUAAAAAUAAACCCCUAAAGUCAAACAACAAUAAAAUCGACAAUAUUCUCUACAUUGAACAAAUUCUGAAAAUUGUCAAUAAUUAACAAAAUACGCUUUUUUUUUAAGUUAAAAUCGUGUCAUUUAUCCUCUAAGUUCAUCGGGUUACAGAACCCCCAAAAAAAUCAGUUCACCCAAAUGUUAAUCCCGUAAUUGGGAAAAAAGAACCUAAAACUAAAAUUCAUACCUUCUUUUAGGGUAAACGUCCUUCGAAUAUGCUCAUACAAGGUUUCCUCAACAAAUUUCACAAAUAUCUUGAGAAUUAUAUGAAUUUUUUUUGGGUGUUGUUUUCUUGGAAAAUCGAAGAGAGGGAGAAGACGAGAGAGAGCGAGCGAGAGUUGUACAGAGUAAAUGACGUGAAAUGUUUUUGGGAUUCUCUAAGCCGUGUAAAACAAGGUAAAAUUGUAAUUGCACGCUCAAAUUUAACAGGGUUAAAAGUUUGACCAUUGACUGUCAAAAGUAGGGGGGUAUUUGAUGUUUUUCAUACAUCAGGGGGGUAAACGAUACCUUUCUCAUAGUACAAGGGUGCAAAAUGAAUUUUACCCUUAAAAUAAUAUUCCUAUUUCAACUUGAGGUUAAAGGCAAAAAGAUCUACCAAUUAUUCCAUUUUAAUUUGAACACUUUUCACCUAUGAUACACGGACACGGAUACGUGGACACGACGAUACGCGGAUACGAACACGGUGAUACGGCAUUUUCAAAAAAUUAGGAUACGGACACGCCGGGAUACGCAUAAAUUUAAAAAAUAUAGGGGUAUAUUUAUAAAUAGGGUACAUUUAUAAAUUGUAAAAAAUAUGUAUAAGUCAUCAUCGCAUAAGAGAACCACUCGCCCUUGUUGCUCGUGUUCUUGGUCGCCGUCGCAUGCUAGACUUUUGGAGUUUUUUGUGGACUCACAAAGAAAACAGAGGAAAUUUGUAUUAUAGAGAAAAGAAAAGGGCAAAUUACGGCCACCCCCCUGAUGUAUGGUCAAAUUACGAAAAAACCCCUCUUGUUUAGGUAAUUACAUCCACCCCUCAUUUUAAUUAUUUUUACGUAAAAUUUAUGUAAUUCGGUUAUUUACCGAACCAAAUCGUAUAUUUUGUUCGGUAAACGGUAUGAAAUGUUGGCGUACCGAAAUUUUGGUCCGGUUUUACCGAAUUAACAACCCUAAAUUUACCUCUGGAGGGAUCUUUUCGUAAGAUAAAUACAUAGUUGAGGGGGUAGCUGUAAUUACCCAAACAGGAGCGGGGUUUUCGUAAUUUGACCAUAGCUCAGGGGGGUGGCCGUAAUUUGCCCAAAAGAAAAUGCGCAUUUUUUUUUAUUAGGGCUCUCUUUUAAAACGUAAGAGAAGUGUCCCAACUUUUUUAAAAUUGUGGACACUGCCCGACACGGGUGUCCUACUUUUAGCGAAAUUACGACACGGCCCGACACGAGUGUCCGAGAAGUGUCCGGGGGUGUCCGAGUGUCCAGGUAUCGGACCGGGGACUGUUCACCUUCUAAAAGUGUCCGUGCAGCAUAGCUUUUCACAAUCUUUUCUUUUCACUUUACAAUAGUAUGAAUGAUUCAAUUGUAAACGAGUUGACUUACGCCAAUAAAUUGAUUAAAACGAGAGGGUACGUAUUACCGACUCUCCUAAUGAAUGUUGGUUAUUCAUAUAAACAUUGUAACUAUAAUAAGUUAUUCAAAAAGUAUUAAACAUCUCUCAUAUAAAUUAUCAUUGACAAUAUAAAUCACAAAAAAUUACAAAAAAACAAAAGUGAUUAAAUUUAUAAUAGAAGUACUUAUUUUAUAAAUUCAUACAUCUAACUCCGUCGGCAUCUCGAAGCGGCAAAGUGGGCAAUAAUGACUAGUCCUCAGCCAUUUCUUAAUACAAUCUCCGUGAAAAAUAUGCGAACACGGCAUGGAUAAUAAUAAUACUUCUUCACCUUCAUCGCCACCGCCGGAUAAGUCUUCCAAGCAAACCGAGCAACAACUCAUCUCCGCCAUAUCCCUACGAUAAUCAAUUGUCUUCAGCCCCUCGAUCGAGGAAUACUCCGCCGGAACCAUACGAAAAGAAUAAUCACUAGCCUCCUCUUCAAGUAUAACGCAACGAUGCUCGUACAAAGCGUUGAAGUGGUGGUAAUUCAGAUAAACACUACUUCUAGAAGCUUCUCUCCAUGCAUAAUCCACCAAUCUUGUAAGGUUGACUUCUUCCAAAGUCAAAACCUUAAUAAGUUCUUGUUCAAUGAAUAUUCGCGACAGCUGUUCACAGCUCACACAAAAAUCGUGGUUUAUUAAUACCGGUUCCUCGUACACCCGAACGAACUCGGGUUCGGGUGAAUCUUGGCGUAUAAUCCAUUCCGAAAAUUCGACCCGCAAUGAAACGUGGAAGUGGAUCUUCGGAUCAGUAUUUUCGGUAGUAAUAAAUUCUUCUUUGAUUAUAUGAUUGAAGGAGAAAAAUCGAUGGUAUUCACAAUAAUUGGAAUCCAUGGUUGAAAGGUUUGAAGAAAAAAAAAGUGGGUUAAAAGUUAAACGACGUAGUUUUGAUUUGAAUUAGGUCAAUUGUUGGGAAGAGAAAUAUAUAGGAGUUUGUGAACACCAAAAUAAUAGGUUAAACGAUUUGUUCCUACUUGAGUUAGGCCUUGUUUCCUUCACUGUAUUGGAUUAGAUCGGAUUAGAUUAAUUUCCUACUGAUUAAUUAAAUAAUUGAUUAAUAAUAUAUUUACUUCUUUAGAUUACAUGUUGUAUUAAAUUUGUUAAAUUAUUUUAUUAUAUGUAAAUUUUCUAUAAAGUCUUUUAUUUACAAAAUUAAAUUAUUAUUUUAAGGAUAAAUUAAUAAUGUUUCAUCUUAGUCACCCCCUGCAAAAUGAAUGGGCGAGGGGUGUUACCAAUUUCAUGACGCAGUAGCAUUUAAUUGCGGGCUUCAACUUUAGUAGCAAGCUUCAGUAAUAUUGAAUUCUACCAACCAAACAUCUUAUUAAUUCCUAUUUAGUUAAUAUAACCUAAUAGGGGUGCAGUUCGGAUUUUUUUUUUCGAAUUAUGCCUAUUUCAAUUUGCGAUUUCCAGCUUUGGAACAAAUAUCUUCAUUCCGGUAUUCGAUAUUUCGAUUUUACAUUUUCCCGAAAUACUUUGUGGAUUGGAAUUGAAAUUUUAUUUUUCUUUCCAACAUCAAUUUUCACAUAUAUUCAUCUAUAACAAAAACUAAAAGUUCAAUUAUUUUAGUACUUAAUCAUCUCAAAUAAAGGAAUUAAGCAAAUAUAUGCUAAUUGUUUUUCCUUGUAGAAUUUGAUUGAUAUAAAUAGAGAGAUUGUUUCUUGUAAGAUUUGGUUUACAUAAAUAAUAAGAGAGAUUGUUGAUUAAGUGCAAUUCUAUCUGUAAUUAUUGUUAAUUUCUCUAACAGUGUAAGUUGAUAUUAUAUUCUAUUACCAUAAAAACUAUUAUGCCAAAAUUUAUUUUAAUGUUGCUAAUAAUAAUGUUUCUAACACAACUCUUUAGAUAAUUAUAAACAUGCAAAAAUAUCAUCAUUAAGCAUAUUCUUUAUUCUUUAGGGUGAAAUAUAUUUAUAUAUAUAUAUAUAUAUAUAUAUAUAUAUAUAUAUAUAUAUAUAUAUGUAGCAUCUAUAAAAAACAAUUACUGCCAGUCGUAUCUUUUCUGCGGGACACCAAUGGGACCAGCAGAAGUUACCCUGUCCGGACUAAAAUAAAUGCCAUCCGCCUUAGCUAUCCAACUACAAAUAUUACCACCAAUCCCAGUUUGGCAGUCUCCGGACAAAUGCUUACUAAACACAUCGAACGUCUGUUGCUUGCCGUUCCACCACAAGUGACAGAAGUAAAGAGUUCUCUUAAACACGUCUUGAUGAAAAGCCCAUUGUUGAUAUUGGUUCAGAUAAAGCGUGUGAUUUCCAAAAUCGUCGUCCUUAGACUGGCAAUGAGUUAUUAACUUAGAAUUUUCUUUGGGGAGAAAAUCGUACACAUUAACCUCGAAUCUCUUUGUAAAAGGAUCGGCACCGACGAUUAUUUGGACGAUGUUGAUUGAUAGUACGAUGGAGAGGAAAACGAGGGGUUUGAUUAUCAUAUGAGCCAUGAUCAUAUGUAUGAGAAAAAGAUUAUUUAAUUUAAUAUUGCAUUUUUCUUUUUUGUUUACGUAGUUUUUAUACAUGAGAUUAAUUUGGAUAGAGAUGCAUGUUAUUGUAAUUUUCUAAGAUUAUGUACUAUGUUACUAUUUUAUGGUUACAUAUUGGGUAUCAUAUUAACGUACUGGGAAUAUAUUUUAUUGGGACUUACUAAGUAUUAUUUAUUGGUUGUUCGAAUUCAUUAAUUUAAAGGGUAAUUUGAGAUGAUUUCUUGCAACUCCAGAAUAUGGUGGUCAACACUUAGAAAAAAAAUCUUAUUUUAUAAUCCUGGGUAUCAAAUAAAUUAGGGAUAAAUUCAAGUAAAAAAGAGUAUUUGACAUACGUCUUGGUGAGAAGAAAGUACUAUACUAUCUUUAUAUGCAAUUUUCGGUCAAACUGCAUUCAACAUUUCUGGUCCUGCAUUUAUCCUUUUCACUGAUUUAUUUAUUAUUAUUAUUUUUUUAAUAAAUCUGUUUGUUUGAUUUAUAUGUUUUUUUAUUAACUUUUUAAUUAAUUUUUAUUUAAUUUUUUAUUAUUUUAUUAUUUUUUUUAUUUUUUUAUUUUUGUAAAAUCAAUAUAUUUACUGUACUAAAAAUAACUACAUGUAACUGUAGUAAACUAUAGUCAUUCGUAGUUAUGUUUUUUUACCCCAUAUUUUUGGUCGAUCAAUUAUGUAUACAUGUGAAUACUGGCUUAUACAAAAGAAAUUCAUAAACACGAACAACAAAAAUUUACAAAUUUCAAUAUUUAUAUUAUAAAUUAUCUCAGAAUCACUAAAAUAAAAAUCGAAAAUACACAAAUAUAUGCAUAUAUAACUAUAAGUUAUUGUAGUAAGCUGUACUGGAAACUACAUGUAAUUGUAGUAAAGUAUAGUCAUUUGUUGUUAUGUUCUUUUUUUUGGCCCCAUAUUUUUAGUGGAUCAAUUAUGUACAUACUCGAAUAUUGGCUUAUACAAAAGAGAUUCAUAAGCCCCAACAACAAAAAUUUACAAAUUUCAAUAUCUAUAUUAUAAAUAACCUCAAAACCAAUAAAAUACAUAUCGAAAACACACAAAUAUAUGCAUAUGUAACUACAUGUUACUAUAUGUAAGUAGUAAUGUAUAGUAAUGUAUAGUAAUGUACAGUAAUGUAUACAAUGUGUUGAACACUGUAACUUGACGCAGAUGUAACUUCAACCAAUUUUUUUGACACCUUUAAGUCGAGGAUCAAUGGCUUCCAUUAAGCUGCAAUAGCAAAAUCAAAACAAAACAAAAAAGUUAUUUUAGUGCAAAUCAACAAAAAUUGAAGAAACAUCAAAACAUUCAAAAUCAACAAACACUAAGAGAGAGAGAGAGAGAGAGAGAGAGAGAGAGAGAGAGAGAGAGAGAGAGAGAGAGAGAGAGAGAGAGAGAGAGCAUAGCUAUGAAAUGUUACGAAUUUUAGACCAAACCGCCAAUGAUUCCUCACCCAAGCGCCUCUACCAAAACCCAGCCGUCGUUAACCAACCCAGGUUUCGCGCUCACAAAUGAAAAAAUAUAUAGAAAUAAAUAUGACAAUUAAAAAUGAACGAAAUCGCCAUCAAAAUAUCGAUCUCGUUGAGAGGAAUCCAACGGUGGGUAGCCCGUCAAAUUUCGACUACCAGAAUACAAAUUACACCUCCGGCAAGACCCACCGUUGUCGAAAUACGCACCGACUGUAAAACGAUUGCAGAAAUAGACCAAGUGCUUCAAAUUGAAUGAAAUUACCACCAAGAGAAAGAGCUUGACAAGAGGAAUCUAACGGUAGUUCAACCAUCGAAUUCCGAUCACCAGAUGCAGAGUUAUGACUCCGGGAAGCAACUUCCCUGGUUGGAGAUCUAUGGGAGCGAGAUUUGAAUCUGGGAGGUGAGAGAUGAAGAGAGAGACGACUGUGAGUGACUAGGGUUUAAAACUGAUUUUUAAAAGGACAUUUUAGGUACUUUAGGGUGGGCGAGGCGAGUAUGUCAAAUUAAUUUCAAAAUGGAGGAUAUAUGCAUAAGAAUAUAAUUAGUUGAGUAAAAAGCAGUUUACCCCCUAAACUAUGACCCGUUUUGCACUUUGCCUCCCAAACAAAAAAAAAUUGCACGUUUUUUCCUUAACUCGUCUAUUCGUUGCAUAGUUCCCCUGAAUUAAAUUUUCCGGCAAUUUUGACCGGAAUUCUGAAACAUGUUCAAUGCACGGCGGCGAUGGUGUUGUCGCCCUGGCUGAGGCGGAGAAUAAUUGCCUUGUUGAGAUUUAGGGCAGGGAAUAAUUUCUCCGGUGAAAGAUUUCUUGCUUUUCCCCAAAUUCUCGGGGUGGUUUAUUUGUUGUGGCAAUUGGUAGUAAUUUUUGUGGAGGAUAAAGUUGCACGCGUAGAUGCCCCCGCCAGCGGAGGGGCAUCGGCGUCAACGUCGAGUUUGCCGGCGGAGACGGGAGCAGUGUUGAUGGUCAAAGGAAAUCCCAAAUUGUCAUUCCAAAAAAUCCCCAAAUUCAGUUCAAAUAAAAUAUAUUUAUAUCGAUUCCAUCUUUGAGUUGGUAGUGAAAAAUUACUAGGAGCAAGUUUUCUACGGCGGCGACAAUAAUAGACAAUUUUGGUUCUCUCAAGUUUGCAGGUUUUUCUCGAGGAAGAAGGAGGACGGGGUUGCAGAUUUUUGCUUCUUUUCUUUUCUUUUAUUAUUAUUAUUAUUAUUAUUAUUAUUAUUAUUAUUAUUAUUAUUAUUAUUAUUAUUAUUUGUUUUUUUUUUCUUUUUUUUUUAUUUAGUUUGAUGAAUGUAAGGGAAUAGACACUUUUAACCCUGCCAAACUCACGUGAAUGGCAUGUGGUGUAAAAUUCCGGUCAAUUGCAAUUUUAGGGCACCGUGCAACAAAAAAUCAAGUUUAGGUAAAAACGUGCAAAACAAAUUUAUUUGGGGGGUAAAGUGCAAAACGGGUCAUAAUUUAGGGGGUAAAUAUAUAUACAAUUGCUUUUUACUCUAAUUAGUUUGGUGAUUAAUUAUAUAUAAUUUUCAUAUGGAGGGGUCUCUAACAUAAUUCUAUAAAAGAACAAAGGAUUAUGGUCAACCGUUCAAACAAAGUCAGGUGCACUGGGUCAAACAAAGUGAGGUACACUAGGUAAAGUUACACUAGGCUAAUCAUGUGUGACAUGUUCCAUCUAGUGAUCGUUGGCAAAGGAAUUCAAACUUGGGUCAAUUGACACAGACUCACUUGUUCCAACUGUUAGGUCAUCCCUUGCGGGAUUGUUUUAAAAUUCAAAUUUAGUUUUUUGUGAUAAAUGAGUAUCCAAUUCCAACUCGAUACUAAUUAGUUGUAACCUAUUUAUCACAGAAAUUUCAACUUCUUAACGUUUCUGUCGGCCACGUUUCGUGUCGGAAAGUUGAAGACUACUGUCGAAUACCUUAUGGAUCAUUUUGCCAUCUUCAAAAAGAUAUAAAAACAUGUUUGAUAGCAAUUUUAUAAAUAUUUUUGAUGUAUCCAUAAUUAUUUACAUGGUUUAUUGUUCAAUUAUACAUUGACAUAUUAUAGUAAAAAAUUUAUUUUUAAUAUGUUUGUUGAAAAUAUGUAGAAAAAAAAUUAUAUAUAAAUAAAAAAAUUUAUAUAUUUAUACUGCACAUUUAUAAACAUAUCUAUAUACUUCUAAUAUUUACAUGUUUCUCCCAUUUUUUUUGUAUGUUUCCUCGUGUCCGAUUUCCCCUAUCGCCGCUCCUUCGUGUAACUAUUGUUAUCUCAUAGUCAUUACAAUCCCAAUAAUUCUAUAUUAUCUUAGUUCUAUCGUCCGAACUCUAAUUGCACUGAUUUCAAGUUGCGCUGAAAAACCGACAUAAAAAAUACAAAUUUUGUGUUUUUCAAUUUUGAGGUUCGUCUCAAAUAAAGAACUUACGCAAACAAGUACCUUUCUAUCUGUAAUAAUCUUAAAUUUCUCUAUUAUGCCAAAAUUAAUUUUAAUGUUGUUAAUUAUAAUUUAUAAUUCUAACACAGCUCUUUAAAUUAUAAACAUAUAAAUAAAGACGUUGCAAACUCCCCAAAAAUAUUAUCGCUGUAGCAUAUUCUUUAUGGUGAAUUCAAUAUAUACACAAAAGUUUAAAAAUUGUGAAAAAAUAAAUCAUCCAAAUUUAAAUUAUAAAGAUGCAGAAACAGAAUAAAGACGUUGCAAAGUCCACCACUGUAGCAUAUUCUUUAUGGUGAAAUCAAUAUAUAUAUAUAUAUAUAUAUAUAUAUAUAUAUAAGUUUAAAAACUGUGAAAAAAAAGCAUCUAGUUAGAAAAAUAUAGGUAUGCAAAUUGAUAAAUAACGAGCUUUCGAAAUCGAUGUAAUGAUCUAUAUAACCUCUACUUCGAUCGAGCACGUACGACAUGAUUAACGCCGCAUCUUCACAAUCGCCAAUCUCCAAAGCAUCUCGGGCAACUCAUAUUCCAAUGCGGCAACCUCGUCUUCAAACUCCAGUCACCGGAAUAUUCCCCCGCCACCGUCUUCAAUUCCUCAACCGAUGAAUCGUCCGCCAAACAAGGACUAGAUUCAUUAAAAAUAUCCCGCGGUCGAUGUUCUAACGAUAAAUAAAAGUCGAUCUUCAUAGCUUUGUCUUUGUUUAUUUCAUCAGCGGAGUGGAGAGCUUUUACCGCUUCCCUCCACGCGUACUCCACCAGCUCUCUACGAGUACCAGAAUCCACUAGAAGAUCCCAGAGUUUUUCUUCCAUGGAAUUCCGUGUUUCUUCGAAGCGGAAGAUUUUCUCUCGGUCCACAUGGACGAUGUAAAGUGUAACGGAUCUCGAAUCGGGCAAUAUAGUGGAUGUGAUUAAAUUAAAGGUAAAGGUGAUCAUAUCAUCGUCGGGUUUCGUCCCGGUUCGGAAUUCGUAAGAGUUUAGUUUACACGAAAAUAUCUUUUCGCAAUCCAUAUCGGUGAACAAGGAGAAGAAAGAACAAGAGAUCUAGUUGGUAUUGCAAGAUUUUAAUUAUCAACGCUGCUAUGAAUUGAAAAAUAAAAGGAUGCUUUGUAUAUAUAUAUAGAGAUUGAGUCUUGAGACAAAAUCUAGUAGGAUUAGGAAUUUAGGAUAUUCAAUUAUGGUAGGAUUACGAAACUUGUACUAUACAUAAAUUAUUAUAGCCCCCGGCGGUGUUAAAAUAUAGGGCAAAUUACGGCCAACCCCCUGAGGUAUGGUCAUAUUACGAAAAAACUCCACUUGUUUGGGUAAUUGCAGCCACCCCCUUCCUUUUAAAUAUGUAUACAUAAAAUCUAUGUAAUUAGGUUAUGUACCGAACCGAAUCGUGUAUUAAGUUCGGUUUCGAAUUUUACCGAUUUAACAUCCAUAAUUUUACAUCUGAAGAGGGUUUUUUCGAGAUAAUACAUAGUUGAGGGGUGGCUGUAAUUACCCAAACAAGAGGGGGCUUUCGUAAUUUGACCAUAAUUUAGGGGUGGCAGUAAUAUACCCUAAAAUAUAUAAGUUGUUUUAGUUUUUUUCAGCCCUAGUGGAAAAAAUCUUGUUUCUAAAGUUCAAGAAAUAAUUCCAAGUAAAUUCAAGUGCAGGGAAAAAUACGAAACACCCUAAUUAAACUAAUUUAUAUCCAAAACAUUCCAAGUGAAAUUCUUUUAUCCAAAAUUUUAUAAUAUCAAACUAGUCAUACUAACUUGUCAUAUUAAUCAAUUCAAAUAGUUGAUUUUUUGCUUAAUAAAUUAGUUAUUGUUCGUAAAAUACCAUCUACAUUACACUAAAUUAUGGUUAAAUACAUGCAAUUAAAUAAUAUAUGUGUUUUUUCGUAGUUAAUUUGCGAGUUUUAUAUAUAUAUAUAUAUAUAUAUAUAUAUAUAUAUAUAUAUAUAUAUAUAUAUAUAUAUAUAUAUAUAUAUAUAAAUUGUCUAUUUAAGUUAGGCCUUGUUUCCUUAAUUGUAUUGGAUGAGAUCAGAUUGGAUUAAUUUUCUACUGGUUAAUUAAUUAAUUAGUUAAUAAUAUAUUUACUUCUUUAGAUUACAUGUUGUAUUAAAUUUGUUAAAUUAUUUUAUUAUAUGUAAAUUGUCCUUUUAUUUAACAAAAUUAAAUUAUUAUUUAAGGAUAACUUUGUAAUUUCCUGUUUUAGCACCCCCACUAAAACAGAGUGUUGCUAAGAAUGUUUCGUUUAAGGAUAACUUUAAAUAAUAAUUUAACAAAAUUAAAUUAUUAUUUAAGGAUAACUUUGUAAUUUCCUGUUUUUAAUUUUCUUUUUACUUUUUUAUAUGCAUAUUAAUUAAUUUUAAUACUUUUAAAAUAUUAUUUUCUCAAUAUAUUACAUAACUGAAAUGCUAAUUGUAGCGGGACUUUUACUGAAAUUGGCUUAUUUGCAGCGAUACCUUUUCAUUUCAACUUUUCCAACUUUUUGGAUUUCUCAAAACGCUCUCAACUAAAAAAAGUCGAGAAUUAAGAUUUUCGUGUUUUUUUGAUAAAUCGACUGCCCGACGGCAACAUAUAACAAUAUGGCCGAUCCUGACGAGUUUUACGAGGUAAAUCGAAAAAAGUUGCGGAUUUUUUUAGUUUUUCGUCGGGUUUAACGUGCUGUGUAGCACGGGAACCCAAAAAAUUAGGGAUUCCCGUGCUGUACAGCACGGGAGCACUAUAAAAAAAAAAAAAAAAUUGAAAUGCAGGUCCCGUCUUGUGGAGCACGGGAAUAUCGUGCUCCCGUGCUAAAGAGGACGGAAGUUUGGGGUUCCCGUGCCCUUGCGGACGGGAACAGUAAACCACCGUGCCCUACGGCACGGGAACCCCUACUGUUUAAUUUUUAUUUUUAUUUUUUUAUUUAUAUUUUUAAUAUUGUUAUUUACAUACUAAUUAUUACUUGUUAUAUCUUAAUAGGGUACUGAAGGUGAUUUUGACGGCGAGUUUACAACUGAUCGUGACAAAGCGUACAACGAGUACGAGGAUCCCAACAUGUGUUUCGAUGUUCCUCAAGACACACCAACAACUUCUGAGGAUCACAGUCAACAUUUCAAUGUAGGUGUUGAGUUUGAAACUGGGAAAGAAUUAGUGGAAUGGGCAAAAAAAAUGGCUGCUACUCAUGGUCAUCGAUUGAUAGUAACUUCAAGCAAGAAAAACGUGUAUGUAGUAAUUAGAUGUCAUUUGUCUGGGGAGGGACGUGAAAAACGAACCGUAGGUGCGAUACCACGGAAUGUGGGAACAAAAAAAUGUGGAUGUCCUUUUCGUAUAUACUGUAGCGAAAAUUCAAACGAUGGACUAUGGCGAAUGAAUUUAAAAAGUGGCACUCACACUCACCCGAUACUACCGUAUCCUACCGGACAAGGACCGGAUAGUCGUUUGACACCAGAAGAAUACGAGGUAGUGAAGUUACUUAGAAGGAGCCACGUGAAGCCGGCAUUAAUUAUGGAUCGAUUGAGAAAGGAUAAUCCACAGACAUCAACGAGUGUGAAACAUGUCUACAACCAACUUGAGAAGAUGAAAAAAGAGAAUAUGGCGGGGAAGACUGUGAUACAACACGUGAUGUCGAACCUUCAAGAAUCUGGAUAUGAAUAUUGGUAUCGAAGUAAUGAAGCUGAUGAUACACUUACUGAUUUGAUGUUCGCUGCUCCUAAAUCGUUGAAGCUUUUGCGGUUAUUCUCUCACGUUAUAUUGAUGGACUGCACUUACAAAACCAAUAGGUAUGUUGUUAAUUAUUAUUUAUUAUUGUGCUAUUUUACAUUGAUUGAUUGCAUUUGAUAUUUAUGUAUUUACGUAGGUAUGAGAUGCCACUUUUGGAAAUAAUAGGAAUCACUCCUGCUGGUAAGAAUUUUACAAUUGCUGUUGCUUUCAUGUCACAUGAAGAUGCAAACACAUACGAAUGGGCUUUGCGUUGUUUGAAAUGUGCAUUAGGGGGGCUGGUACCUAAUGUGAUAUUGACGGAUCGUGAAUUGGGACUUAUCAAAGCAAUGCCUCUAAUAUUUCCAGAUUCCGCUCAUUUCUUGUGUUUGUUUCACAUCAAUAGAAACGUGGAAAAAAAUGCAUCGAGAUUUAUUGGUAGUACUAAACACGGGCUUAUAUGUCGGCGCAUACAGUGGGCAAAAUUAGUGGAAUCAAAAACAGAAGAAGAUUACAAUGAUAAUUACGAGGAAAUGGUUAGACGCUAUGGUUGUUACCCCAAAUUGAUAUCAUACCUUAACGAUACUUGGCUAAUUUACAAGCACAAAUUCGUCAAAGCAUGGACUAAUAAGAUUUUGCAUUUUGGGAACACGUCGACAUCUAGGUAUGUUGGGUUUCAUUAUCGUCUUAUAUUUUAUAUUAUAUUGUGGGCGUUUUUAUUUAUUAGUUGUUAUUUUAAUGGCUAUUAACAGGGUGGAAAGUGCUCAUAAAUCGUCGAAGGGUUGGAUUAAUGCUUCUACCGGUGGUGUGAACACCAUUCAAUAUCAGCUCGACUCCGGGGUUGAGUAUCAACUAACCAAGAUCAAGGGUGAGUUUUCAAAAUGCAGUUUAAUCCGAUUGCACUCAUCAUCGUAUCCGGUAUUUCAGGGUUUGAUAUGCAAAGUCACACAUAAAGCAUUAAAUUUGCUUGAUGAUGAGCUCAAAAAACCGGGGUUUGAAGACCCAUCUCUUUGUGAUCACGUUUUGUGGGAUACUCAUGCACUUCCUUGUGCAUGCCAAAUUGCGUUGAAAAUCCAGCAACGUGAUACAUUUAUAUGUAUGGAUCUACAUCCAUUUUGGAGUACCAUGCACGUUGAAGAACCAGAAAUACCCGAAGCACAGAUGGAUCGUGAAACAAAUAUGAGAGACCGAAUAAUCAGACUAGCCACGGAAGUGUUAGAAAAAUAUUAUAUGACUCAAAAGAUGACUGCUGAUUACAUGAAUAGCACUAUUCAUCCAGACACCACCCACUUGGCAGAGCCUGCAUAUGUUAUACCGAAAGGAAGGCCAAAGGAUAAAUCGACGAAGAGAGAUAAAUCCAGUUGGGAGUUUCCACCAUUCCAGCGGAAGCCGUCUACUGGUGAAGAAAAGGGUAAAUCGUCUGCAGGUUCUAAGGGUCGAAAAAGUACUUCUACCGGAACCCCACCAUCGAAAGUAACCGAUCCCGGUUCUGGUCGUUGACGGGGGCGGGGUCGAGGGAGUGGUAGAUCAAGUGAUGAAUCCACUGCCAAUCAGAAUCGUACGCCAAUGCCUCGAAAGGAACCGGGCGAUGAGCUCAAUUUCAGAUCUUACAUCCCAGGUUUUGUGGCAGGAUCUAUUGUGUCGUAUGUUAAUGUUAUAGCAGAUGGAAAUUGUGGGUACAGAUGUGUUGCAGAAGCAGUGUUCCGAGAUCAGAACAGAUGGAGUCGUGUAAGGAGAGAUUUGAUUGCCGAUAUGUACGAGCAUUUUGGUACGUACGCAUCGCAAAAUGGUCAAGAUGAAGUCAUCCGAUGGAUAGAAAAAUGCGAUUGGCAAGAAGGACCGUGCAGUUGGGACAAAUGGAUGUCAUUUCCGGAUAUGGGAAUGUCGAUAGCGACUAAAUACAAUGCGGCUUUGGUCUUAUACGCCAUUGGCGGAAAUAUAACCUACUUACCUCUAGUUGGUCCGGGUGAAUUAUCCCAUAUGAUCCAUAUGGUGUUGUUAGGAAACCAUUUUGUCAUUAUCCAGUUACCGGUUAAUUGUCCUCUACCACCUAUCACUCCACAGUGGCGACAUGUUAGAGCCGCAAAUCUUGCCCACUUGUCGGAAAUGUUCGAAGAACGCCUAUACAUGUGGCGUCGUUUAUCUAGGUUGGAAUAGGCAUUUUAUUUUAGUUGGUAUUUGGACCUUGUAUUUUUAUUUUAGUUGGUAUUUGGACCUUGUAUUAUUUUAUUUUAGUUCGUAUGUAUUUGGACCUUGUAUUAUUUUAUUUAAGUUCGUAUGUUUAGACCUUGUAUUAUAUUAUAUUAUUUUGGUUGGAAUGUAUUUGAAAUUAAACCCGAAACAAAAAUAACAUAAAUAAAAUAGUCAAACAAAAAUAACAUAAAUAAAAUAGUCAAACAAAAAUAACAUAAAUGUCAAACAAAUACAAAACAUAGCCAAAUGUCAGAAAAAACCAAUAAAUGUCAAACAAAUAUAACGACCGUCUACUGUCUACCCCUAGACCUCCUCGAAGUGCCACUCGUCCCACCCGGACGCCGACGCGGUGGUGGCAUCUCCAUAAAGUCGUCGUCGUCGGAAUCUCCAGUGGGGGAUAAACCUAGAAAACGUGCAUGUGGCUCCACACGAGGCUGUAACUGGACACGUAGAUGCUGGGGUAUCUCGUGCAUGUGCGGAUGGAUGAUACGCACAAUGUCAUAAAAGUCCGGCUGAAUAGGAGGGGGGCGUACGACUGGCGGUGGUCCUUCUGGCGCUGGAUCCCGGUUGAUCACGUACUGAUGAGUACGAGGAACGUAUCACUCCAUGUACCGAGUGGCAGUCUCAGACGGCGGCCAGGCUAAUGUCCUACCGUCCAACGUAAUCGAGCUGGUAGCUAGGUCCAUCCACUCCUGCCCUGGAGGAUCAUACCGUACCUGGUAUGUCUGUCCUCCAAGCGGACCACGUAGGCACGGCUCUCUGGACUGGAUGUAGCACUGCGGUAUGGUCUGUCUAAAUCCAAACUGCCGAAGGACGCGAUCCGGUAAAUAUGGCUCGACAAUCUCCAUGAACUGUAUGCAGCCAUAAUAUAAUGUACGCGGAACGCGUCUAUGUACGUGUGGCCCGUAAGGCAUCCAGUCAAUCUGGAAAAUUAGAUUAACAUAAUAAAAAUUACAUUUACAUAAUAAUUAAUAAUAAAUAAAUUCAACAAUUAAAAUACAUACCUGAUCGGCCUGCAUAUCAUCAAGCAUCCUUCGGACCGAGAGCAAAUCCGAAAUACCCUUGCGUGGUUUCCAUUUCAGGAAACGAGGCUGCAUCUCCCUAUAAUCCGAAUUAAUAGGUGCUCGGAAAGGGCGAAAGUACUCGUAAAUCCAGCACUACAAAUAAACAAGACUAUAUUAGAUUAAUAUUAUAUUAAAUCACAAUAUAUUAUAUUAAAUUAAUGUACUGUUGAGGCUAUAUUAUAUAACUACCUACGUUAUACUAAUUAUAAUAAUAUAUUAUAUUAAAUUAUAGUAUACGAAUUAUAAUAAUAUAUUAAACAUAAUAUAUUGAGUAUAAUAUAUUAUAUUAAAAUUUUACUUAAAUACCUGGAGCAGUAACGUGCAACCCUGUAACCCCUUCACGUGGGCCCUACUAGCCAAGCCCAACUGUCGGUAUAAAUGAGCCAAUACAGCUGCACCCCAAGCAUACUCGCCGACGUGCUCGAGAUCGGAAGAAUAUCUCAUCCACGUUGGCUUGAACCUGUCUACACUCCGGUCGGGGAACAAAGCCAUACCGAUCAAAAACGUCAAAUAUCCUAUCACCUUCUGCCGACAAGUUCGAGACCGACUGCGCACACGCUCCACAAACUCCGACCAUUUUAUCCCACUAUUGCCGAGCUUGGCAUGCGGCUCGACCAUGUCCAAAUCAAGAACCUCAGCUAGCAACAACUCACACAUAGGCCUCUCCUCAACAGAAUCACCGUGCACCGCUAGACCGUCAACACGCAACCCCAAAAUCAAAUGGACAUCAUGUAGGGUGAUCGUCAUCUCACCCCAAGGCAUGUGGAAACUGUUCGUUUCCGGCUGCCACCUCUCUAUAAAUGCCCCCAUGAGUCCCUUGUCUACAUUUUUUAUGUAGAAGUACUCGAGUGAGUCUAGGCCAGAUGCCUCCAGUAGCUCUAACUCAUCCUGCCCGUAAGGAGCCAUGAGUUGCUUCAACUCAUGUUUCUUAAAAGCAUUAAGCGCAGUAAUCCUUGACUCACAUCGCCCCACGCUGCGCUCCUGUAGAAUUUCUAAUUUAAUUAGACAAAAUAUAUUAAAAUAAAUAUAUUUAAAAUAUAUAAAAAUAAAUAUAUUUAAACUUACAUGUCCUGCCCAAAUGUAGUAGGCAAUAUGACUCUUGAAACUUGGAAUCAUCCUCCAAUCAGUCGGUCCUCUUGGAGCCGGACCAUGUAACUCAAGUGGGCCACUGAAAGUGUCAAACUCGUACCGAGACUUCCGUGCGCGCGCGGCCGGGACGGGAACAUCAUCAAAAUCGCUCUCAACAUGGUCAUGCUCCUCCUCGUGUCCAUCGUAGGGGAUACGAGAAUCUGCCCCUGCAGAUCGAAUGCUACCCGCCAUAGAUCUAGAACUAUGAUCUAUGUGGGGAAUCUCGUCCACGACGGGUAAAUCAGUGUCGCGCUCCAUAACUCUCCUACGACGAUGAGAUGCAGUCAUACGAAUGCGCUCCGCUUCCGCCUCGGCUUCCGUCGCGCCUUGCCCGCCAUACCGAAAUUUAAUCUUCGGAAAUUUAUCCGAACUUGAAGAAGAACCCAUAAGCCCUUUCCCCUUGUCCUGACGUGCCAUCUGUAAAAGAUAAAAAAAACAAAUUAAAUAAAAUAAUUAAAUAAAAUAAUUAAAUAAAAUAAUUAAAAAAAAAAAAAAAAAAUAGUUUGAAUUUCCCGUUCUGCAGAACACGGAAACUUGAAGAUUCUUCAAGUUCCCGUGUUCUGCAGAACGGGAAACACAAAAUUUUUCAAGUUCCCGUUCCCCAGAACACGGGAAACUUAAAAAAACUUCAAGUUCCCGUGUCCUUCAAGACGGGAAUCUUGAAUAAUUUUUUUUUUUUUUUUUUUUUUUUUUUUAUUUCGGAAAAUUUAAAUUUCAAAAACACUUUGGAACUCCCGUUCUGUAGAGAACGAAGAUUCGAAUCACCCGUUUUCUGGAGCACGGGAACUCGAAGAACAUUGAAGUUCCCGUGCUCCAGAAAACGGGUGUCGUAAAUUUUUUUUUUUUUUCCGAAAUUUGCUAGAUCUAUUCCUAAACACGUGUUUUUACCUAAAUUGGAAAUAAAAAUAAUUAAAAGUAGUAGGAAAUCGAAAACUUACCGGAAUCAAGCCUCGUUACUACGGUUUGAAUGUCGAAAAAUUUUACGAAAUUCAAAUUUCUAGAGAGUGUUUGGGAAUAGGAGAGAGAAAUUGAAAGUUGGAAAAAUUAAAAUGAAAAAGGUACCGCUGCAAAUAAGCCAAUUUCAGUAAAAGUCCCGCUGCAAAUAGUAACACCCAUUACAUAAUCUCAUUAAAUUUCUUAAUUUUAUCCAUCCACCUCACUCCAUAUGUUUUUAUUUAAUUUACUAAUGACAUUGUUUUCUUAUUUAAUUCUCCUUUGUUUACUUAAUGCUUCAAGAUCCGAAAAUGGCGAAUAAUUGUGCAUUCUCUGAAAACAAGAGUCACUUUUUUAAUCUAUUAUUAGCUGACUUAAAUUGUUCCUCUUCUGAAGCUUCAAUUCUUCAGAUAUCAUUUCAAGAACUCCACAUGUCAUGUUUUUAUUAUUGCUGACACGUACUCGUUCACAGCAGUAUCAAGUAUUCUCAUUGAGUAAUUGCCUGAAAUAGAAUAUGAACUUGUUAAUUUUUUCGAAUUUACCCCAACAAGAAAUGAUUAAUGCCACCAUCAUUGCAAGAUUGAAGAAUCUUUACGGUUCGAAUUUUCGUUUUUAGAUGAUUUCUUAUAGAAUUAUAUUCAUGUAUUGAAAUACAUAUUAUUAAUGAUUGUAGGAAUGUUGUGUAAGAGAAAUUGAGGGCCUUGGUGCAAAAGAGAAGAUAUUCCACCAAGACAAAAUCACCUUCUGACCCGAUAUUCUUGUUACCAUAUCCAAACGGGCCACAAUAAGCCGAUUCUUGUUUGGAUUAAUUGAAAAUUUUAACCGCUUCAGAUUCUAUUUCGGUCAACAACUCAGUGAAAAUAUCCAAUAUUGUUGUGAACAAGUAUGUAGCAGCAGUGAAAAACAUGGCAUGUGGAAAUCUUGAAAUCAUGCCUGAGGAAUUGAAGCUUAAGGAGAGGGAUAAUUUAAGAAGGUUGAUAAGAGAUGAAAAAAGUGACUCUUGUUUUCAGGUUGUACAAUUAUGUGCCAUGUUUGAAUCUUGAAGCAUUUAGUAAAGGUUGAGUACAAGUUUUGGCGUUGAACCAUACCAUUUAAAGUGUCGGGCCGCAGUUAACCAAUUGGGUCGGCAGAUUCAGUCCGAUUCUGAUAACCAUAGUUAUAAGUAAAAUUAAAAUAAAAUAAAAUGGUGUGCUUGUAAGUUUUCUAAUGCUCAUAGAUUUUGUAGUAACCUAUAUAUAAUAUAUAUAUAUAUAUAUAUAUAUAUAUAUAUAUAUAUAUAUAUAUAUAUAUAUAUAUAUAUAUAAUAUAAAAAGAGGAUCUAUACCCUUAAUGAUUGACAUGUGGCAAAUGAUGAUGUCAUUUGUCAAAAUUGCUUAGUUGGACUUGAAUUGAUGAGGUGGAUUCUUCAAUUGAUUUGAUGACAUUUUUAUUUAGGUAUGCUUUUAAGUUAUUUCCUAUUUUACAUUUACACAAUCAUUUAAUAAUUACCACAUGUAUAUUUACUAUUUCCAAAGUUAAUAGUUUAUAAAUUCGAAAUAAAAAAGAAAAGGGAACAGUAUUAAAAUAAAACGAACGCUUACCUUGCCACCUAAUCAGCAAAAUAAAACGAACGAUUACCUUUCCAAAGUUAAAGUUUUCUUUUCUUUUAUUCGAGAAGCGAUGAUUCUGCUGAUUAUGACGGUAUGCAGUUUUGCAAAUAAUUUUUACACAUUAGUCUUUUGUUCACAAAUUCUGUUAAUUAUUUUUAUACAUUGAUAAAUUUUCAUAGAUUACGACGAUCUUGGUGAUCAAAGUUGCGUUUGUGAAUCAUGUGGUGCGAUGUUGUGGUACGGCGAGAGACUUGCCAAACACUGUGAAACAGAAUCGCCAAAAUUUUCACUAUGUUGCAUGAACGGUAAAGUCCAGCUGCCCAAAUUGAAGGAUCCUCCAACUAUACUAUCAAGUCUCUUAUUCGGUAGGGAUAGAUGCAGUAGGAACUUCCAAGAUAAUAUUAGAUCGUACAAUAUGAUGUUUUCUUUCAGCUCACUGGGGGGAAAAAUACAGACAACUGGCAACAACAGUCCCGGUCCGUACACUUUUGUUCUACACGGUCAAAAUUAUCAUUUGUUGGGUAGUUUAUUACCUGAGGAGGGUACAACGCCGAAGUUUGCACAACUUUAUAUAUCGACACAGAGAAUGAAGUUCAAUAUAUAUAUGUAUCUGUAUGGAAAAAAAUAUAUAUAUUUUUAUAUAUAUAUAUAUAUAUAUAUAUAUAUAUAUAUAUAUAUAUAUAUAUAUAUAUAUAUAUGUAUAUAUAUAUAUAUAUAUAUGUAUAUAUAUAUAUAUAUAUAUAUAUGUAUAUAUAUAUAUAUAUAUAUAUAUGUAUAUAUAUAUAUAUAUAUAUAUAUAUAUAUAUAUAUAUUUCAGCGUCAUCAUUUGUUAUAAUGGCCACUAAUUAUUACUCUGUUAUAUUUGAGAUCUGGAAAUAAUUCUAAUAAUUUAGAUCCGUCAAUAAUGUCUUCGAUAAAAGAUAUGAUUGAUGAGUCGAACGUACUUGCUCGGUCAUACAGAGUGCACGCGAUCGUAUUGCUACAGAUGGAAAUAGAGGUGUAAAAUUAAGACUGGUUAAGAGCCGAAGUACUGAUGGUCGGACAUAUAAUCUACCAAAUGCCAGUGAAAUUGCAGCGCUCAUUGUUGGCGACUUCGAUAACCAGAAGGGUGUAAGGGACAUUGUGGUCGAAACGGAGUCUAAGAGGCUUCAGCGCAUUAGUGAACUACACCCUCUUUAUCUACCGUUACAGUACCCCUUGAUUUUUCCUUACGGUGAAGAUGGGUAUAGAGAUGAUAUUCCUUUGAGAGAGUCUUCAUCAAAUAGUAGCCGGAAACGAAGAUGCGUGAGCAUGAGAGAAUGGUUUACAUAUAUGAUGCAAAAAAGGAAUGGAGAGAGUCAAGUAUUGUUGAACUCGAAAAAAUUAUACCAGCAGUUUCAAGUUGAUGGCUUUUCAAUGAUAGAAUCUCAACGACUGAAUUUCAUUAGAUUUAAUCAGGACAAGCUUAGGGUUGACAUGUAUAAGGGACUUCAGGAAAUGAUUGUCAAGGGUGACGGUGAAGGCACGUCUGCUGGAAUGCGCAUAGUUCUUCCAUCGACAUUUACAAACGGUCCCAGAUUUAUGUUUAACAACUUCAUGGACGCCCUCCAGAUAUGCAAUUGGAUUGGAUUUCCAUCGCUUUUUAUAACAAUAACAUGCAAUCCCAAGUGGCCAGAAAUACAAAGGGUGUUGAGAGAUACGAAUCUGCGUCCCGAAGAUCGACUUGAUAUUCUUUGUCGCGUGUUCAAGAUGAAACUGGACAGUCUGAUCUCAGAUUUCAAAAAAGGGCAUAUUUUCGGACGGAUAAGAUCAUGUAAGUACCACAUUCUCAAAUAAUUAUUUAAAAUUUCAUAUGAUAUGAAUGUAUAAAAUUAUUUUAUUUUUAUAAAAUAUAUAAUUGUUCCUAUCAAACUUUAUUAUUUUUAAUAUAUUAUUUCAUUUCAAUUUGCAGACGUCUGCACCAUUGAGUUCCAAAAACGUGGUUUGCCGCAUGCGCACAUCCUACUUCGGUUGUAUAAUGACGAUAAGCCAAAAUGUUCGGAAGAUAUUGAUCGAAUAAUAUGUGCCGAAAUACCCGAUAAGACUUGCGACAGGAAAAUGUAUAAGUUGCUAAAAAAGUACAUGAUCCACGGACCAUGCGGACAUGCAAACAUGAAUUCUCCCUGCAUGAAGGAUGGUAUUUGCACCAAGCGCUUUCCAAAGAGAUUUGUGCAACGUACUGAGGCUGACGAUGAAGGAUACCAUUCAUAUAGAAGAAAGGAAGACGGCCGGACAGUAACGAAGAAGAAAAGAAUAUUGGACAAUGGGUAUGUCGUUCCUUACAACCGUGCUCUACUGUUGAAAUACAUAGCUCACAUCAACAUCGAGCUCUGUAACCAGAACAAAUCGAUAAAGUAUCUUUUCAAAUAUGUCAACAAGGGCAAUGAUCGAGUUACAACUGCCUUUUAUCAGUCACGUAAUACCAAUGAUGGUGAACAAAUACGCGAUGAGAUAAAGAUGUACUACGACUGCAAGUAUAUUUCCGACUUAUGUUGUUACUUAUCUUAAUGUUCAUUCGUGUAUAUAUUCGUUUAUUUCCACAAUAUAUUUACUUCAACGUGUAUAUAUUUGAUUUUCUUAUAUAUAUUUUAAAAUAUUUUUGCAGGUACUUAUCUGCAUGCGAGUCCAGUUGGAGGUUGUUUGGGUUUGAUAUUUUUGCAGGCCAGUUGGAGGUACUUAUGUUGUUACUUACCAGUUGGAGGUUGUUUGGGUUUGAUAUUUUUGCAGGCCAGUUGGAGGUUGUUUGGCCAGAGCAAUGGUAAGAGUUUACGUAAUUAUGCACCUAUGCCUGUACCGAUACAUACAUCGCUAGACGACUCAGAGAAUAGGUUAAUACUAGAUGAACUGGAUUACGAUGUCUCUGAAAUGCGUGCCGAACUUCAAAAGUUAUUAUCGUCUAUAACACCUGACCAGAAAAAAUUUUACGACACGAUCAUGAAUGCAGUGUCGGAGAACAGUGGAGGUAUGUUUUUUCUGUACGGCCAUGGGGGCACCGGGAAGACAUUUAUUUGGAACACACUUUCCGCCGCUGUUCGUUCUGAUAAGGGCAUUGUCAUUAAUGUUGCCUCGAGCGGUAUUGCUUCAUUGCUCCUUCCGGGUGGUAGAACAGCACAUUCUAGAUUUGGACUCCCGAUAAUUGUGCAUGAGAGCUCCACUUGCAGCAUCAAACAACAAAGUCCUCAAGCAGAGCUGUUGAUUGAAGCAAAACUUAUUAUAUGGGAUGAGGCCCCGAUGAUGCAUAGGUUUGUUUUGAAGCAUUAGACAGAACCAUGCGAUCGAUUUUGAAUUCUGAAAAACCUUUUGGUGGUAAGGUUAUCGUACUUGGUGGUGACUUUAGACAGAUAUUACCUGUUGUACUUAAAGCAUCGAGGCAAGACAUCGUACAUGCUACGAUCAAUUCAUCGUGUCAUGAGGUUGCAUAAAAAUAUGAGGCUUCAGUUGAAUGCAUCUUCAUCUAAUGAAGAUGAAAUAAGGGAAUUUGCAGAAUGGAUUCUGAGAAUUGGAAACGGAGAAGCUGGAGACUACAAUAUCGUGCUCCAGUCUGCCGCCGCAUGAGCUAAAAUUAAAGAAAGGAGUUCCCGUCAUGCUCAUUAGGAAUAUCGAUCAAGCAAGAGGUUUGUGCAAUGGAACUCGUCUCCAAGUUGAAAGACUGGGGAUGCAUGUAAUUAGUUGCAAAGUAUUAUCCGGUAAGAAUGUUGGCGACAUGGUAUUUAUUCCUCGGAUGACUUUGAUACCUUCAAAUUCCACAUUGCUAGUUAAAUUUCAAAGACGUCAAUAUCAGGUGAUUAUAUCAUUUGCCAUGACAAUCAACAAAAGUCAAGGGCAAACUCUCUCGCACGUUGGAUUGUAUCUUCCAAGGCCUGUUUUCAGUCACGGUCAAUUGUACGUAGCGUUGUCUCGGGUGAAGAGUAGAUCUGGAAUAAAGAUUUUAAUCAAGGGCGAAUCCGGUGAGUUAUCCAGUGUUACUAGCACCGUCGUGUACAAGGAAGUAUUCAAAUAUAAAGGGUACCACGUUGGCAAACACCAUAAUAUUAGUUUAUUUAUGUNNNNNNNNNNNNNNNNNNNNNNNNNNNNNNNNNNNNNNNNNNNNNNNNNNNNNNNNNNNNNNNNNNNNNNNNNNNNNNNNNNNNNNNNNNNNNNNNNNNNAGAAUGUGGUAGUUACAUGAUCUUAUCCGUCCGAAAAUGUGCCCUUUUUUGAAAUCUGAGAUCAGACUGUCCAGUGUCAUCUUGAACACGCGACAAAGAAUAUCAAGUGGAUCUUCGGGACGCAGAUUCGUAUCUCUCAACACCCUUCGUAUUUCUGGCCACUCGGGAGUGCAUGUUAUUGUUCUAAACAGCGAUGGAAAUCCAAUCCAAUUGCAUAUCUGGAGGGCGUCCAUGUAGUUGUUAAACAUAAAUCUGGGACCGUCUGUAAAUGUCGAUGGAAGAACUAUGCGCAUUCCAGCAGACGUGCCUUCACCGUCACCCUUGACAAUCAUUUCCUGAAGUCCCUUAUACAUGUCAACCCUAAGCUUGUCAUGAUUAAAUCUAAUGAAAUUCAGUCGUUGAGAUUCUCUCAUUGAAAAGCCAUCAACUUGAAACGGCUGGUAUAAUUUUUUGAUGUUCUCACACACACACACACACACACACACACACACACACAUAUAUAUAUAUAUAUAUAUAUAUAUAUAUAUAUAUAUAUAUAUAUAUAUAUAUAUAUAUAUAUAUAUAUAUAUAUAUAUAAAUAUAAGUAUUCUUUAUCUACGUAAUGUCUUUAACUUAUAUAUUGAAAAUGUGGAAAAAUAACAAGUUAUUUGUCCUCCUAUCGUAUAUCUGAUUGCAGUUUCAUUGUCUCAUUUAACAACAAUCAGAUUCAUGUGCAAGACUGGUGCGAUGCUUUGAUUUCAGUAUGGGAGUUACUUGCUACAUUUGAAUGUGGAUGGUUUUUAGAACGUUGUCAGUUUAUUCUAUAUGCAGAUUUUUUAUUGAUUGAUUAAGAUACGAAUUUUUAUUUUUUUGUUCCUUUGUAUUCUUAGUUGAUUUUAUACAUUAACUCAUUUUAAUGUUUUUAAUUAAUCUACGUGCAUCGCACGGCUGAGAUACUAGUUUGAUCUAAUAAUGAAAUGUUUUUCAUAUUAUUUAUCUUAAUUCAUAUCAUCAAGUUUAUCGUAAUUUCUCAUGCAAAGAACUUAGAGGACCACCUGAAGUAAGAUAACUAGUAGAGAAGCACAAUGAUAUAUGUCAUUAGUGUUUAGGCUAGAAAUUGGAAAAAAAAUUUCUAGCUUCUCCGAUUCCUAUUCAAAAUUCUUGAUUUUGAAACAAUAAUUCUCAUUAAGAAUUUCGAAGUUUUUUAUUCGCAAUUUUUUUUUUAUGUUCUCUGUAUUGGAAUUGAAAUAAAUUCAUGGUUCCCAUUUGCAAUUUGAUUUUAAUUUAUUAAUAUUUAUUUCUUAAUAUAUGUGAAUUAAAAAUUGAACUUUUGACUCCAGAUCUGUAACUUUUUGAUUUUGGAAAAAAAAUAUCGGAAUAUAGGGGUCUAAAAUUCAAUUGGGGAUUGAAUCACAAAUUGGAAUAAAAGGGUUUGGCACUCGGUGUAAUUUUCACAAACUUUUACCCAUUAAAGUACAACUGCAACAUUGUAACAACACGAGUACAUGUUUAUAUGUCACAUAUAUAAUUUUAGAUAAUAAUUGUAAGCUAAGUAUCCAAAAUGCCAACACUUACACACCACACAUCACAUAAUACAACAAUUAAACAUAAUAACAUUGAUUAAACAUUACAUUUUGCCAAAUCAUCACCAACCUUGUUUCUUUUUUUAAUUAGUUUUUAAACCCCUACAAAUUUAUAGAUAUCACAAUUGGCCCCUCUCCUUUAUCAACCACAAAGGAAGCCUUAACCAUUUUCUCUUUAGAAACAUCAUUAGCAACUUCAACUUCAACUUCAUACACUCCAUAAAAUCCUCUAAACCCGAACUUUCCUUGCUCGUCUAUUCGCCCACGCGCGCGGCUCAACCACUCCUGCUUAAGAGCAACGUAUCUUUUUCCGGCCUCGUUCAAAUCCCCCUCCGCGUUCACCAAAUACGCGUUAUCUCUACUCAUAAACAACUCCCAAAACCCCCACAACACCACCCCUUCAACCGCGGGAUGAGCGAAACUCUCCCUCAACAUAACCUCCAAAUCGUCCGCCCGAACAAACUCGUUAUCCGACGCGACGUCGAGUUCCGUGAACCAUAUCGGAAGUCCGAGCACCCCCAACUUGUCGAGCGCCGACCGAACAACGGGCCCCACGGGGCUAUUUAUAUGCCCUUGUACACCUAUUCCACCAACCGGACCACCCUGCGCCCGGAGAUCGAGAAUGUGCUCGAUGUACUUCUCCGGCGAUGACCUGGCAUCGCACCCGUCCUCGAUGUUGUAAUCGUUCACGAAGAGAGUGGCGGUGGGGUCCAGUUGAUAUGCGGUUUUGAACAUGUGGGCCCGGAUGUCCUUUCCAAGGCGGUCUUGAUAGAACGACCCGUGGAGCAUUUCGUUGUUGACGUCGUAGUGCUUGAAUUUCCCGUUGUAGCGAGCGAGAAGGCCCGCCAGACGAUUUUCAACGGCCGAGGUUAAAUCGUCCUUGUUUAGAUUGCGUAUCCAUGAUUGGACGGAGGAUUCCGCCUCCCAGAAGAUGCAGUGGCCGCGGAGUUGAAUGUUGUGGUUCGCGCAGAGGUUUAAUAAAUCGUCGGCGUCUUUGUAGUUGAGGUUACCCUUUUGGGGUUCGGUCCAGUACCAUUUGAGCUCGUUUUCGAAGACGGACCAAUUGAAGUUCUUCGUGAAGAAAUCGACAAUGUCUUCGUUGUCUAUGUUCGAGCGGUUAAUGCAUGUUCCGAACGGGAAGGUGUUUUGUAUUUGUCGGAUUUUGACGGAGGUGCCGACGAGUGUGGCGGAAUCGGACGAGGAGAAUUUCAAAAUAACAUCGCGCUUGCGUAUCUGCAUUCUCGAGCAUGUACACAUUAUAAUUUAAUGAAUUUCGACAGUUAUUUUCAAACGGAGGGAGUAAUUACUAAAAAUUAGCAAAACCUACCAAAUCGGUUUCCUUUUUCAACUGUCGAAAUCUCGCACGUCGGUCAACAGGAAAUAUUUGAAGACCAGCAACCAUCAAAUCAACGCCAGCCUCUGGACCCUGCACAUAAACCAUCACCUUGGUAGGCUGCUUCUCGAUUCUGAAAGAUCCACCAACUUCGUGCCACUUGUCGUCGCUCGAUUCGAUCUGGCCACCGUUGACCCAUUGACCGUCCACGCCAAGAGCAAUAUUAAUAUUCUGAGGCUUGCUUGCGUGAUUGGCUACUCGUAUCCAUGCAGAAACUUGAUACGUCAAGUAGAGCUUCAGUUUCUCGGUUAUCAUCUGAGCGGGACCCAUCCACGUUUGUGUCCGAUUCGUCACAAGAAUGUAGGAACCGCUUAAAGGCUCGUGGGCCCCGAGGGAAUCUUUGGCCAUUGGAGGAAGAAUAUGCGGAGAUCCGUUUCCGACACUCAGAUUGCAGUUUCCUAACGGGAACCAACCGUUUGUGCCAUCGUUGAGGUUGCUGUUAGCAAUAACGUUGACCCCGAAAGCAGCAUUCUGUAUUUAAAAAUAAUUUAUUUUUAAAAAUUAAAAGAAAACGAUGAAAAAAAAAUGGAAGUAUCGGAAUACAUUUAAGGCCUUGUUUGGUUCGCCAAGAUAAGAUUUUUUUCAAAGAUAAGACAUGAUUAACUAAAUAAUUGGACUUUGUUUGAUAUUUGGUAAAAUCAAUAAUUUAAAUGGACGUAUCGUAUAACAUUUAAGGCCUUGUUUGGUAGCCACUAGCCAAAGGAAAGAUUAGUCAAGAUAAAAUUAUUCGAUGUUACGAGGGCCCAAUACACAUUUACUCAAGGGCCCAAUACACAUUUUUUAUUUUCUUUAAGACCGGCAUAAAUAGGUAAGGACUUGUUUGGUUGGGGUGAUUAGCCGUGAUUAAUUAAAUAACUGGACUUCGUUUGAUGUCUGGUAAACCCGAUAAUUUUCCGGGUUGACAUGGAAAUAUUAUUUUAUCAUAUAUUAUUUAACAAUUGAGUUUUCAUUUGAUUAUUUAAUCUUAUCUUGGCCAAUCUGAUCUGAUGAACCAAACGAGCCUUAUUGUACUAACCAAACAUCAAAUUAUGAUCUAAUUAUUUAAUCCAUUUAAUUGAGGUGAAUUAUGUGAAAUCUUGAAAUAUAUCGCGUGCAAUUUGAAACGUUAAUCGCUUAUUUAAACUACCUCGACGACUGGUGGAGAUGCUGGCGGGGCUUUGGCGGCAUGUUUUACAACUAAAUUAUCGAGGAGAAUAUCAGUGCCCGGUGGUGGGCCCUCCAGAAAAAUAACUGCCCUCGAAGGAGAACCGUUUACGAGAAAUUUUCCUUUCAACUGCACCCAAUCUUUGUCAGUCGCCUGCACACUGAAUAACCGAAGAAAAAUUACGAUAAAAAGAAAAAAUCGGGUUCUUCAAAGAAAUGAUCCAUAAUUAAAAAAAAAAAAAAAAAAAAAAAAAAAAAAAUUCAAGAUUACGAAAAACAUUUUCACCAAGAAUGAGGAAAUUACCUAGCAACCCCUAUGUACUGUUCUCGAAGAUCUGCUGUUUGAAUGUAAAGGGUAGCCUUAACAUUAGCAGCACUGAUGUUAUUACCAAAUAUCCGAACGGUGGCAAUAAAAUCGUAGGCAAGCUUCCGUUUCACUUGUCCCGUUAUAUCCUGCUGAAUACCGUUCCAGUAAUCUGUACGAUUUUCCGUUGAUCCAAAGAACUUUCCGGAUACAGGAAGAAUAUUCCCAUCCGACAUAGUAUCAUGCAAUGCAAUCUUGCAACCUCGUCCCGACCAAUUAUUCAGACCGUCGUCAAAUCUUGGAUUUUGUAUUAUGUUUUCCUCGCCAUCGGAUAAAGCACAUGUUUGUUUAUCACUCUGUCAAAAUGAUUUCACAAAAUAUCGGACAAGGGAGCGUGGGAAACAUGUAAAUUUUAUCGUUUGUAAAAAUAUAUUAAUAAAUUAUAAAUUUUAAUGAUUCAAUUAAUUAAUUACUACUAAAACUUACUCACUUUUUUCUGUUCCACAAUAUCUAUCUUUUUUAAGAAUUUUUUUUGUUUUGUUCCAUAUUAUUUGUCACUUUACAAUUCCAAUGCUGCAUUAAUUACAUAUUUUUCAAUUAUACCCUUAUUAACACUCCAACACCUUUUCCGCAUUAAUUAGUAAACAAGGGUAUUUUGAUCUAUAUAUAUCUAUUUUCCUAAAUUCAAGACCUAUUUAUUGAGAUUCUUAAGACUCGUUCCAAGGUGUAAAACGACACAUAGAUUAUCAUUUUACAAUCAAUCGUCAAUUGAUGUAAAAGAUUAAGGAAGCCACAAAGACAUUUUGGGAUUUGCCGCUAAAACGUGUUUGUUUUAAAUUUUUCAAAAAAAUUACAGAAAUGCCACACAAAAAAUAAUUACCUCACACUGGCUGAAACUAAUGCAGGAAAUCACUACAGAUUUUACGAGAAGAUCAACGCCGGGCGAAGGCCCUUCCACAUAAAACACAACUCUUCUCGGCAUAGCAGACAACGAAAAUGUACCUUCGACCUUCUCCCAAUGCUCCGUCGAAGCACAAGUUCUGAAUAAAUAGUUUUUUUUUUUUUUUACGGAAUAAAAUAAUCAAGAAUGGAGAAAAUUAAUUCAUUACGUACCUUCCGAUGAAUAGAUAUCUAACUGAAUUGUCUUCGAAUUCAAGUUUCAAAGUGGCCAGCACAUGUUCUUGAUUUCCGGAAGCGCCGCUCGAUAUUCCGACAAAAGCACAAAUGUUGUAAACGGAAAACGGGGAAACUCUGUCGGUGAUGUCUUGCUCGAGUCCUUGCCAUUGUUGUUUACGUUUUGUAAUAACGGCGAACGGGGCGCUUAAGUUAUCGGAUAGUCCUUUCGGGCGAGUAGUUUCUUGGGAUACAAGAAACGCUUCGCAGGAAUUGGGGUGCCAUAAAUGAAGCCCUCCGGAAAAAUCAUGGUUGAUUAUUAUAUUAUUUGAGUAGUGAGAAUCCAUUGGUUCGUUAUUUGGGCUCUGAUAAAAAUGUUCGAAAAGUUAGUUCGAGCAUUACAGUACUAUGGUAAUUGAACACAAUUCUUGUAACGAGUAAAUAUUAAGAUUAAUUAUUUUUCAAAAAAAAUUAAAUGUUGAAACGAUUUGGUAAUGUCUCGAAAAAAAACUUUACAAUAGAAGAUGCAAUUCGAAGGCUUAACUUAAAAAAAUCCAUGAAUUUGUAACGUUUAAAAGCCCGGAAAGUUCAAUCAUUUAAAAGAAAAUUCAAUGUAUUUGAAGAUGAAAUACGGGCCUCGUUCCAAAACUGGAAUCUUGGUUAGGGAAAUACGGGCCUCAUUCCCAAAAUUUCAAAAAUACUAAGGCCCCGUUUGGUUGGGGAGAUUAACCAUGAUUAACUAAAUAAUAGGAAUUUGUUUGAUGUUUGGUAUCCUCAAUAACUUGCCGGGUCGACCCGCAAAUAUUAUGUCAUUGUGCCUUAUCUUGCGUUCUAGACAUGUUUUUUUUAUUGAAUCAUCGAAGGUCCAAUAAUAUAAUGGAGUUUCAUUAGAUUAUUAAUUUAAUGUUGCUAAUCUUAUCUUGGCAACCAAACGAGGCCUAAUGAGAUAAGUUUAUCAUUUCGGAAAAUAUACGUCAGCCCCUUAAACAUCACACGGUGCAGCCGGGGAUAAACACUAAACCACAAAAUUGGCAAAAGAGUAUACGGAACAAACGACGAAUGAGUCGCAUUUGCUCUAUUACAAGAGGCACGCAUCAGCGAAAUAUAAAACUUACAAACGCGUUGAGCAAAUAUACGACUAAUAAUAAUAAUAAUAAUAAUAAUAAUAAUAAUAGUGAGAAAAUCGAAAACUUUUUGAUUACCUCAGACGGAAGACUUAUUAUAUCAGCAUUGCUUGUGGAUGGCUGAGCUUCCAUAUUAGCUCCUAAUCCCUAAAACAAUAACAACAACAAAAUAUCCACUAAGAACUUCAAAGCAAGAAUGUAUUAUGCAGGAGGGUAAUGAAUUUAGGAUAAAUUACAAAAAAAACCCCUGAACAUAGGCCCAAAUUACAAUAUUUCAUUGUGUUCACAUUUUACAGGCCGGAAAGAAAUCACUUUCACUCUGAACGAGACAAAAGAAAAUUGAAUGAGAAGAAGAUGAAGGGGCGGAAGUGAAGUGGUGAAGAAAUCAACAAAAACAUCAUUAUUAUUACUUUAAAAAAAGCAAAUAAUAAUAAAAUAAAAUAAAAUAAAUAUAAAUAAAUAAAAAAGAAUCCAAAGUCUUUCACCUGAGGAUAAAGGGUAUCUUCUUCGUGGGCAUUGCUCGUGGGUGGCUUCUCCAUUAUAUCUAUCGACGAUGUCUGAAAACCGACAACAAAAAAAGCUCAAAUUUAAACAGCUUAAUUACAUCACAUCAAAUAAAACACCAAAUGGGGUUUUUCGAUAAUUCUAAUUAUCGGGAAAAUCAAAAUUUGCCCACUUGAAAUAAACAUCAAGAAAAUAAAAGGAGCUUGAAACUCGCACGCACCUCUAGGUGUGGUGGGGUUUUGUUAAAGACUCUAUUUUUGAAGCAUAAAUUCAAGAAACGCCGCAUUAUAUAUAUUUAUAUAUCUAUAUUAUAUAUUUUGGGGGAGUUUUACAAGUGAAGCCGAAGAAAAGCGCGGGACCAUCUUUCGAAAACUAAUUUUCAAUUAGAAUAGAAAUUUCAAUUAGGAAAUUGGGUAAUGAUUGAUUGAUUUAGGUUAUCUUUGGAUUGCAGAUUGGGGGUUGAUUGUAAACCAGUAUAUUAUAUAUUGGGAUGCUUGAAUUGAGAAGAAAGAAUUAGUAAAGAGUGUUUCUGUUUUUGCUUUAAGUAAUUGAUUUACAUUAUUAUUAUACCUUUCUUCGUGUUUCGGCAUUUCUUGUAUUAUUGGGGAUUUAAAUUGUUGGUUCAAGAUUUGCUUUCAUUUCCUAGACUCUUUAUUUUGAUUUUUCUAUAUUUUCCUUCUCACUUUUUGUUCUUUGAUUCAACUCUACUCAAAAGUCAAAAAACAAAACCAGAAAAAAAAAAACUUGUCAAAGUUGGGUCUUAAUAUAUAGGGUAAAUUACAACCACCCCUGAGGUAUGGCUAAUUUACGAAAAAAACCCCCUUGUUUAGAUAAUUACAUCUACCCCUCAACUAUAAUUUUUUUCUUACAUCGCCACCCUUAUGGUGUUAUAUUCAACAUAAUCAUCUAUAUUUCGUGGAAUGUGCUCUAGUUUGUACUCGUUUUGUGUAAAAAUACAGUUUCUGAUAAAUACAAGCCAAAAAACACAUAUUACGAUUAUCUUGCUUCAAAAUGUGGAGUUUGAAUGGGAUAAAACAAUUACAAAAGUGAUAAUAUUCCAUAUAAUCUCGAAGAUUCCACUAAAUUUGAAACUGUAAGGGUGGACGUGUAAGAAGAUUUAUAGUUGAGGUUUUUUUUUUUCGUAAUUACCCAAACAAGAAGGGGGUUUUGUAAUUUAACCAUAUAUAUAUAUAUAUAUAUAUAUAUAUAUAUAUAUAUAUAUAUAUAUAUAUAUAUAUAUAUAUAUAUAUAUAUAUAUAUAUAUUGAUAUGCCUAAUUGGGCCAACCCAAUGGGCCUACAAUUACUUUACCUACUGGGCUACGAGCCCAAUAUCGAAGACUAAUAUCACCGAGGCCCAAACACCUUCAAGUAAGGCUUGGGCCCAACAAAGCAAACCCAACCCAAUAAACGACAUAUAGAGGUUCUCCUCAUUUUAUUAAGAAGAGUACGUCCUAUUAACUGAGCUAUACACACACGCGUAUUCUCUGGUCUAUAUCUAUGAGCAGCGCGUCUNNNNNNNNNNNNNNNNNNNNNNNNNNNNNNNNNNNNNNNNNNNNNNNNNNNNNNNNNNNNNNNNNNNNNNNNNNNNNNNNNNNNNNNNNNNNNNNNNNNNNNNNNNNNNNNNNNNNNNNNNNNNNNNNNNNNNNNNNNNNNNNNNNNNNNNNNNNNNNNNNNNNNNNNNNNNNNNNNNNNNNNNNNNNNNNNNNNNNNNNNNNNNNNNNNNNNNNNNNNNNNNNNNNNNNNNNNNNNNNNNNNNNNNNNNNNNNNNNNNNNNNNNNNNNNNNNNNNNNNNNNNNNNNNNNNNNNNNNNNNNNNNNNNNNNNNNNNNNNNNNNNNNNNNNNNNNNNNNNNNNNNNNNNNNNNNNNNNNNNNNNNNNNNNNNNNNNNNNNNNNNNNNNNNNNNNNNNNNNNNNNNNNNNNNNNNNNNNNNNNNNNNNNNNNNNNNNNNNNNNNNNNNNNNNNNNNNNNNNNNNNNNNNNNNNNNNNNNNNNNNNNNNNNNNNNNNNNNNNNNNNNNNNNNNNNNNNNNNNNNNNNNNNNNNNNNNNNNNNNNNNNNNNNNNNNNNNNNNNNNNNNNNNNNNNNNNNNNNNNNNNNNNNNNNNNNNNNNNNNNNNNNNNNNNNNNNNNNNNNNNNNNNNNUUACAUCUGCCCCCAAAAUAUUUCGCUCGCCAAGAGGUUAUCGACUCCCUGGAGAGCUUACAUCUGCCCCCAAAAUAUUUCGCUCGCCAAGGGUUAUCAACUCCCUGGGGGCUUACAUCGCCCCCAAAAUAUUUCGUUCGCCAAGGGUUAUCGACUCCCUGGGGGCUUACAUCUGCCCCCAAAAUAUUUCGUUCGCCAAGGGUUAUCGACUCCCUGGGGUCACAUCGCCCCCAAAACAUUUCAUUCGUCAUAGCAGGAGCCAACGCUCCUCCUCGUGAGGCCCCACUGGGUCCUCAACAUGAUCAAUUUCUACUUAAUUCUCGAACGGUUCAGAUAACCGAAGAAGACCUUCAGCGUAUGAUCACGGAAGAUUCAAGUCGUGCUGCCACUGAAUCAGUGGCACCAUAUAUCGCCAAGGUGGGGCAUCUCACCCCAGUGGUUCGUGAUCGCCUCAUCCUAAAUGGGGGGCUAUCCCAUCCUAAAGUUGGGCAUCACAUCUCAAGGGUGGUACAUCCACUUACCUUUCAACCCCAAGGGGUUUCACAUCCCAUCAAGUGUUUCACGUCCCUAGUUCAAAAACAGAAAAAAUGGUAUGACGCGCACGCGCGAACCAAUGGCACAACCAUGCGCAUCCACCUCAGACCAUAGGUCUCGAACGCCUCAUCCUACAGUGGGCAGUUAUCCCCAUCCUAAGGUUGGGCAUCACCCUUACCUUUCAGCCCUAAGUGGGUUCACAUCACAUCUCAAGAGACGAGUAUAAACUCACUACUCAAAAAAUAGAACAUCCCCAAGGGGGUGCACAUCCGAUCUCAAGGAACGAGGAUAAUCUCCAUACUCAAAAAAUAGAACAUCCCCAAGGGGGUGCACAUCCCAUCUCAAGGAACGAGGAUAAUAUCCCUACUCAAAAAAUAGAACAUCCCCAAGGGGGUGCACAUCCGAUCUCAAGGAACGAGGAUAAUCUCCCUACUCAAAAAAUAGAACAUCCCCAAGGGGGUGCACAUCCCAUCUCAAGGAACGAGGAUAAUCUCCCUACUCAAAAAAUAGAACAUCCCCAAGGGGGCGCACAUCCGAUCUCAAGGAACGAGGAUAAUCUCCCUACUAAAAAAAUAGAACAUCCCCAAGGGGGUGCACAUUCCAUCUCAAGGAACGAGGGUAAUAUCCCUAUUCAAAAAAUAAAACAUCCCCAAGGGGGUGAAUAUCAACCAAAUAAAAGCAAAUAGAAGAAAAGAAAAAGAGAAUGAAAAAAGAGAAGAAGAAAGAAGAAGAAAAAAGAAUACAAAGAAAUAAGAAAAGAAGAAAGAAGAAGAAAAAAGAAGAUGAAAAAAUAGAAGAAAAAAGAAGAAGAUGAAAAAAGAGAAGAAGAAAGAAGGAAAAAUACAAGAAAAAAAAAGGGAGGCGCGCGUGCAGUGCACGCGCGCGCUGACGCGCGCUGGCGUCAGCAAAAAAAAAAAAAAAAAAAGCUGGAGGGGGGGGUGCACAACCCGCGCGCGGGGGUAACACCCGUUGGACGCGCGCGCGUGCCCAGCACGCGCGCCCGGGAAAAAAAAAAAAAAAAAAAAAAAAAAAAGGUGGGGGCGCGCGUGCCCCGCACGCGCGCGUGGAGUACACGCGCUGACGCGCGCGCGCGUCCGCCGGGAGAAAAAAAAAAAAAAAAAAAAAAAAAAAAAUUCUUGGAGCGCGCGUGAGCACGUGCGCGCGCUUUCCAAGACACCCUUGGACUGCGCGCUCCUAUCAGAUCGCGCGCAACUUUGUCUACUCUCUACCAAAUUGCGCGUAGAUUUUGACUCGCUUCUCAAAAUCGCACGAGAAUUUCAACGCGCUCCACCACAUUCCGCGAGCUCUUUAACGCACCUACCAAAUGGCGUUCGCUAUCAAAUGGAAAAAAAAAAAAAAAAAAAAAAUUAUUUCUCCACGCCAUGCCAACGAUUAACGCAAGACUACAACACCGAUCUACUCUCAAUACGAUCCGGUACCCCUUUCAACUUGGCUCCCACAUCGUCUCGAGAGUGGGGGGCUUGCGAGACAACUUCCAAGAGGAGCCAACUCGCUCAGUACUACCACCCGUUGCGAGAUAACUCCCACGAGGAGCCAACUCCCUCGGAUCUACGAAACCAUAGCGAGAUAACUCCCACGAGGAGACCACUCGCUCCGUCUUAUAACCCGUUGUGAGAUAACUCCCACGGGGAGCCAACUCCCUCGGGUCCACGAACCCAUAGCGAGAUAACUCCUACGAGGAGACCACUCGCUCCACCCUACGACCCGUAGCGAGGAAACUCCCACGAGGAGCCAACUCGCUCGGUUCCACGAACCCACAGCGAGAUAACUCCCACGAGGAGACCACUCGCUCCAUCCUUUCACCCGUUGUGAGGCAACUCCCACGAGGAGUCAACUCUCUCGGGUCCACGAACCCACAGCGAGAUAACUCCUACGAGGAGACCACUCGCUCCAUCCUACGACCCGCAGCGAGGAAACUCCCACGAGGAGCCAACUCGCUCGGUCCUACGAACAGCGAGAUAACUCCUACGAGGAGACCACUCGCUCCAUCCUACGACCCACAGCAAGGAAACUCCCAUGAGGAGCCAACUCGCUCGGUCCUACGAACCCACAGCGAGAUAACUCCUACGAGGAGACCACUCGCUCCAUCCUAUAACCCGUUUCGAGAUAACUCCCACGAGGAGACAAUUCGCUCAGAGCGACCUCAGUCCGCGCGCUCCUCAGUCGCGCGCCAUCCGAUGCUUUUACAACUCCCCUGCGAGACAACUCCCACGAGGAGCCAACUCGUGCAGUAAUACAACCCGCAGCGAGACAACUCCCACGAGGAGACAACUCGCUCGGUCCUACAACCUCUUACAAGGAAACUCCCACGAGGAGCCAACCCCCUCGGGUCUCAAAACCACAGCGAGAUAACUCCCACGAGGAGACCAUUCGCUCCGUCCUAUAACCCGUUGGGACAACUCCCACGAGGAGCUAACCCCCUCUAGUCUCAAAACUACACCGAGAUAACUCCCACGAGGAGUCCACUCGCUCAAUCCUACAACCCGUUGCGAGACAACUCCCACGAGGAGCCAACUCCCUCGGAUCUCAACACCACAGCGUGACAACUCCCACGUGCAACCACCUCACUCGAUAAAUAUUACUCACCGCGAGACAACUCCCAUGAGGAGACAACUCGCCCGAAAUUCACUAUAUAAUCACAAGCUCAAGUUAGCACGAUUACAACCCUAGAAGCACUUAGAGACAUUAUGAGAAUCUAUAUAGCCUGGCCAGCUUGAUUACUCAAAAAUAUCUACUUGUUUUCGAUGGGUCAUUCAUUAAAACGUGGCCACGGUCCAAACAUACUUAAGACCCACGAGGUCUAACAAGGGGCACGACCCCCAUAAAAAAAAAAAAAAAAAAAAUCUUGAGAGUCUGAUCCCCUCCUCAAGUACAUCACGCACAAGGCUAUAUGUAAACACAUAUAAGCAACGCGUUAAAACAUUGACAAUGUCGAAAAAUAACAACUCCCAUGAGGAGAAUACUAGCUCCGUGCUACUACAUUAUCGUGAGACAACAUCCACGAGGACGUAACUCGAUCAACUCGAUUACCCAAAAGACAACUCCCACGAGGAGAUUACAUGAUCCGUGCUACUACAUUAUCGCGAGACAACUCCCACGAGGAGAUAACUCGAUCAACACUAUUACCCCGCGACAAGACAACUCCCACGAGGAGAUAAUUCUCUACUACAUCGUCGCGGGACAAAACCGACGACUCAAUUAACUUACAUCGCGACAACCUUGUCGCGUUAUGCGCCAACGCGCAUUCACGCCCCUCCGACAUACGCUCCAACGCGUUUUCGCAUACUAUUAGGCCAUACGCCAAUGAUCGACUUCUACAAUUUUUACUCUCGACACGAUUUGAGACCCAUCACAACAUGGCCCCCACAUCGACUCGAGAGUGGGAGGCUUAAUGAUAUGCCUAAUUGGGCCAACCCAAUGGGCCUACAAUUACUUUACCUACUGGGCUACGAGCCCAAUAUCGAAGACUAAUAUCACCGAGGCCCAAACACCUUCAAGUAAGGCUUGGGCCCAACAAAGCAAACCCAACCCAAUAAACGACAUAUAAAUAGAGGUUUUCCUCAUUUUAUUAAGGUACGUCCUAUUAACUGAGCAAUACAAAAACGCGUAUUCUCUGGACUAUUUCUAUGAUCAGUCUUCAGUCCUAUAACAUCUGAGGGGUUUCCGCCGGAUCAACCCCCGGCUUAGUUCAUGUGUUCUAUGAUCGCAGGUACCUCAGGAUCAUCAAGUUAUCAAGCUACUGAUCUGCUUUGCUCUCCCAGCUCAUUUUCUACACCACCCUAGGUGAGCUAUAUUUUAGCAUCAUCAUAUAUAUAUAUAUAUAUAUAUAUAUAUAUAUAUAUAUAUAUAUAUAUACAUAUAUAUAUAUAUAUAGAGAGAGAGACACAUAUAUAUAUAUAUAUACAUAUAUAUAUAUAUAUAUAUAUAUAUAUAUAUAUAUAUAUAUAUAUAUAUAUAUAUAUAUAUAUAUAUACACAUAUAUAUAUAUAUAUAUAUACACAUAUAUAUAUAUAUAUAUAUAUACAUAUAUAUAUAUAUAUAUAUAUAUAUAUAUAUAUAUAUAUAUAUAUAUAUAUAUAUAUAAUAUAUAAAAUUGAUCUAUACACGUAUACGAUAUGAGCUCUGCUCCUAUAAAAUUUGUCGUACGUAGCAUAAACUAACCGUCGAAGAUAUAUUUAAUUGCGGGCUAACUCUACUAGGCUAUGGAACUUAAGGGUCCGUUUGGAUGGAGGGAUUUGAAGGGGGGUUUGGUUUUAGGGAAGAAAUUUGAAAUGACACCAAUUUAGAAUCAUUUGAAAUUCACCACAAUUGCUCAAAAAACAACUAAAAAUAAGGAGUGUGAAUUUAAAAUUCAUUCUCAAAUCCCUCAAUCCAAAUGGACCCUAAUAACUUUUCGAUACCUUAAAUUGUCUAUGGUAUACUUCAAUGGAACUUUUCAAUAGGAAAAACAAUAGAUAACAACUCUCGGAUAUGUUUUAUUGUGCGCACUUUCCAUCCGGAAGAUUCUACACCGCUCCGGUAGUACCCACCAUGCAGAUGCUCUGCGCGGCCGCUAUGGCCCCGCAGAUGUAGUCGUAGGCUGAGUGGAGAAUCGUAGGAAUGAAAUGCUAGGGAUGUUGUCAUAUCCAUGUUUGGUACAUACAAAUAAUGAAAAAGAUAAUGAAAUAAUAAUUUCUUGAUUGAUUCUAGUUUCAUAUUUGAUAAUUAAAAAAUAAUUUUAAUUUUAAUAACUAGUAUUCAAUGAUAUAAUUAUCCCUAGUUAUUGUCAUAUAUGGCAAAUCUUUUUAACUAUUGUAAUUUUAAGGUUAAUUUCCUAUUAAAUUACUAUAUAUUAUGAAUAAAUAUAUUCAAAAUUUCAAAUAUCUUAAUAUUGAAAUAAAUAUUUAAAUAUAAUUUUUUUGUCAACGAUAUUAUUUUAUUUUGAUAAAAUAAUGAUUGAUUGGUUGAGUAUGAAACAAAAUAUGUUUUUCUUGAGUUUCAUCUUCAAUUUUAUCGAUAUUACUCGAUUUAUUCAUUGAUAAUUACAAAUCCAACCUCAUGUUGGUGUGGAUGUUUGACCCAGAAGAUUGAUUUACGGACUAUAUCAUUCUGACAUUUGAUUCUGACAUUUGAUUCGAAAGAUUGAGUGGGAUGAGCAUAGAAAAUCCCUAUUUUGCCCCUGCUUUGGGGUUUAUAAAAGGGGAAUUUUUUCGCCUCUAUUUAUUUGAGAUUUUGUGUUUGUACUUUCUGUCUAACUUUUUUCCUAUUUAUUUUCCUGUUCUUCACAUAGCUUUCAGUAAUUACGAUUAAGUUUAUUUGUCUUUUAAUAAUUACGAAUAAAUUACUUUUAAUCCAUUUAAAAAUAUAAGUAGCAGCAGUACAAGUGGAUUUUGUGGUGGUCCAAACGUAGCGCACUGCGGUGUUGGAGGUGGUCAUAAUCAUCCUUUCGUCUGUCUUUGCGGUUUUAAUAUCGUAUUCCAAACUUCAUGGACCACGGCGAAUCCAGGGCGGCGAUUUGUUACAUGUCCAACCAGAGGUGUCAGUACUAGAUUUUGUAUCGAAUACAUCCUCCUCCAUUUGGAAACAUCAUUAAAAGCUGUUGUUUCCCGUUUUUUUUCUCUUGCAGGCUAAUAAAUGCAAGUUCUUCUACUGGUGUGAUUCUGAGGUUUGUGAUAGAGCUAAAGCAAUCAUUCCUGGAUUAUUGGACAAAAUCAACACAUUGCAAUCAUCAUUGGCUACUGAAAAAGAAACGUUUGAAAAAAUGAAAACACAUUGUAAUAUGUAUUUCAACAGUUAUUGCAUUGGGUGUGUUGAAAUAUGUUUUGUAAUUCGUUUGGCCUGUAGUUUAAUUUUUAUUUAUCUGUUGUUGUGAUAUCUCCCUUCAAGUUGUAUAUUGUGUAUGCUACUUCGAACGUGUUGUAAAAUCUUUUUGAGGCUUCCCGAAUUUAGUUGUUCUUUAAUGAAUCGGGGGAUUUAUAUAAAUCAAGCGUGGAUCGUUUAUUGAACGGGCAUGUAAGCCUGCGAAACCAUGUACAUAUAUCAAGCAUGAAUUAUUAUUUAUAGCUAGAAAUGCAAGCUGGCCAAUGUACAUGUUUAGCUGAAAAAUACAUAUCGCAUCCCCACAAGUAAUUUGAGUUGAUAAUUAGUAAAACAUAGUUCCCCAAACACAAUUGGAGCUGCAUUUUUUUCUUGAAACACCCUCACGCAUAUGUCGAAGUACGGAUAUCCUUCCCUCCUAAAGUAUCUUUCUUCCAAUGACUCAUGCACACAUUAACAACACAUAUUUUAUACAAUCAUAAAAUAUACUUACUUGAAUAAACAAUAUUGAAUAACUCAAGAAAAUAUAAUCACUUGCCGAUGCCGUAAGAGAUGUAAAAUAUGUUUUACUGCAUUCCACACGCAAUGUGGUUGAAAUGAACGUGACUUCGGGCCUGCGUAUGUACUCAUUGAAUACAUCAAAUUAUGUUCGCAAUUCUUCACUAUUGAUUCUUGAACGGUUGUACAACGAAGACAAUGAUGAGAGUAUGGAGUGAAUUUGGUUUGCUUCAGGCAAAAAAAUAUUCUCUACAAACCUAGCGCAAUUUUGUGGCGAAUUUUCAAGAAUAGCAGGAAAUGAGAAAUGUGGAGUAAUGUCGUCCUAAUUUGGUUGAAGGGUAUUAUUGGAAUAAAUAGUGCUAGGAGGUUAUCAUAAAGAACGAAAUAAGAGAUGGACAUAUCACCAUUUCUUAUCUAUAGGAGGGCCUUAUUGCUAAUGACCCCAAGUUUAGUUCCCAGAGCAUCAGAGAGAGAUUUCCUUAUGAUAUUAUAUAGGUUUAUCUGGAUCAACAAAUAAAUUGAAGACCGAAAGGUGGUUCAGGCCCAACUUGCCAUUUUCUCGAGUCCCACAUCGGUUAAAUAGUGAAAGAAACGACGACAUACAUAAAGCUACCAACCAACUAUAGUGCAUUGAAAAACAAUGAUGAUUCUACAAGUAUUGGAUUGCCUCUACUCCAUAUUAUAAGUGCCAUUGUAUUAGGGCCGUUCCUGAGAAAUUAGAGGCCCUAGGCGAGUUUUAAGAAUUUGUAAAAACUGUCAUGAAUUUGUACUGUAUAAUGCAUGUACAUUAAUUCAUUAUAACGAGCACAACUGGACAAAAAAAAUUUAAUUAGCAUUUAAGAUUUUUUAAGAAAAUACAACUAACAUAUCGACGAAGUUAAGACAAAAUCAAAAGUUUAUGGGGUUCGGGGCAAAGCCCCAAAGUUUAUUUGAAAAUAGUCAUAUAAAUUUUAUUGAACAAGUAAAUAUAUGUAUUCUUUGCUUAAAUAUAUUUAAAUAAAAUAUAGUAUAUAUUAAGUCAAACAAAACAAAAACUCAUCAAUGUAGAUUUAAAAGAAGGGCACAUUACAAAUAAGCUCAUCAAGGGGUACAGACAAAAGACUCUCUUACAAAAAAAGUCCACACAUCGUUCAGAGGUUUUUAAAAGACUAAAAUAGCCCCUCACAUUUUAAUAUGCUCCAAUUUCAUCCUUUAAUUUAAUCUUCAUUUGACCCCAAAUUUCACAAAUUAUUCAAUUUUGACCCACAAUGCAAUUUUGAGUACAAUUUCGUUCGUCGCCGCCCUUGACUUUUUUUCCCUUUUUUUUCUGCUUCUGUCGCCGCUGAUCGGCGGUCAACGCCGGUCUCCGACGGCGUUGACCUUUUUUUUUUGAAUAUUUUUUAUUUAACAUCUUUUUGCCCCGUUUAAACAACAAUAUUGCUGUGGUUGGCAGUAAUAUUAACUAUAUUAUUGUUAAAUACAGUAAUAUUAACUAAACUACAGUUUAACACAAUAAUAUUGCUAUAUUAAUUUCUAGCACAAUAAUAGUAACACAACAAAAGUCAUUGUUAUUGUGUACCAGAGUAAUAUUCAUAUGUUGACCGUUCAACAAAGGUAAACAUAAUAAAAAGUCAAAAGAAUUAAUAUUGAUGUUGUUUACAGUAAUAUUACUGUCAUCCACAGUAAUAUUACUGUAACGACAGUAAUAUUACCGACAACCACAGUAAUAUUAUGUGUUUACAGUAAUAUUACAAUAGUAGACAGUAAUAUUAUUACGUUAAUUCGUCAACAACUCAAACAAAACAAAUUCCCAAAAAACAAAUAUUGAUGAGGUUGAUAGUCAUAUUAUUGUAAAUAUUAUUGUGUUUACAGUUAUUUUACCGACAAGGACAAUAUUAUAAUUGCGUUCACUUGUCAACAAAUCAAACAAAAGAAAAGCCGAAAAAAUAAUAAUAUUGUCGAUGAUUGUAAUUCUAUUGGCAACGACAGUACAAUUACGUAAAUGUAUUGUCAACGACAGUAUAAUUACGUUAAUGUACUGUCAGUGACAGUAUAAUUAUUGUUAUUGAUAGUACAAUUACGGUUAACGUUUAGCGGCGGGGAUAAAAAAACGAAAAUAAAAAAAAUCGAAAAAGUCAACGCCGGAAACCGGCGGCAAAAAAAUAAUUUCAGAAAAAAAAGUUAAAAAAACAAAAAAUCAAAAUUGGAUUUUUAUGGUCAAAAUUAAUUAAAUUGGGGUUACAAUUAAGAAUUGAGUGUAAAGGGUUGGGGGUAAUUUUGUCAUAUGUAUUAUUUCUUUCUUUAUUUAUAAUAAAUAUUAAAGGGAUGGGUUUAUUGGCGAAUAAAAAUAUAAAUCCUGAACCUAGAAUAGUAAAGAUGGUUAAAAGAAUGCAAAGAUGGUUGGGAAAAAAAAAGUUUAAAAUCUUGAAUUAGAUAAAAAAUUGAUAUAAUAACUCAAUGUCCAACUAGUUUUAAUUGAUCUAAGACAAUUAAUUCACAUCAAAUGCAAUAAUAAAUGUAAAAAUUCCAACAAAUACUUAAACUAUGUAACAUAAUAUAGUUAUAAUUAUUCAAAAUUGUUGAACUAUUUAUAUAUUUUAAAUAAUAUUUAAUACUAUGACUAUUAUAUAUAUAUAUAAAAAGACUACAAAAACAUCAUUUGGGGACCCCUAAUUUUUUCUAAAAGUCGAGGGUCCGAGGCGACCGCCUCUCUCGCCUAUAGUCAGAACUGGCCAUGCACUGUAUCUUUCAUUCUUCGGAGGGUAAUCACUCGAUCCAGAGAAUAAACGAGAACGAACAUUCGGAUUCAUCGAACAAAUUUCGAGGAAAUUCACAAAAUCCACCAAUACUACUACUCGUGCCGAAACUCAAAGGUGAAAAAUAAUUCAUGGAAUCCUCUCUAGACCCUUUUAAAAUCCUCUCUAGACCCUUUUAAAAUCCUCUCCAUCGCAUUUCGAAACUCGUUUAUGUUUGACAAGAACGGGCUGCGAGGUAUAUUCCUUACUGGGCUUUGCGAGUGCAGCUGCAGCUUUGCGAGUUCCUCUCAGUUUGAUUGAAAAAAAGAAUGAUGAAAAAAGAGUAUUUUGAAAUAGUAAGAAAUAUUGACAGAAGAAGACACUGUCCAUUUAUUUGAUUGACUCAUUAAAAUAAAUAUAUAUAUAUAUAUAUAUAUAUAUAUAUAUAUAUAUAUAUAUAUAUAUUAAAUUAGAAUAACCCCUCAACUAUAAAUUUUCUUACACGUCCACCCUUGCGGUUUCAAAUUUAGUGAAAUAUAAUAUUCUUGAUUAUAUGGAAUAUUAUCACUUUUAUACCUGUUUUAUCCAAUUCGAGCUCCACAUUUUGAAGUAAGAUGAUCAUAAGAUGUGUUUUUUGGCUUGUAUAUAUCAGAUUGUGUGCAUCAGAAACUGUAUGUUUACCAAAACGAGUACAAUUUAGAGCACAUUACAGGGAAUCUUUAAGGGUGGAAGUGUAAGAAGAUUUAUAGUUUAGGGGUAGAUGUAAUUAUCCAAACAAGAGGAGGUUUUUCGUAUUAACCUAAUGGAUGGUUGUAAUUUACCCUAUAAUUUAAUAGUUAAUAAUUAAUAGUAGAAUAAAUAAUUAUGAGAACAAAACAAUGGGUUGAUGAGAAGCAAUUGAGGAGGGGUGAAGCUGGCUGGGGGUUGUGGUAUAUGAAUAUCAAUUCAGGGACUUUUGGGGAAAAUAUUAAUUUUUGAAUAAAGUAUUUGGUAUACUUUAAUUCUUGAAACCAGGUGUUAAUUCCCAGCUCACACUUCAUCGUGGUCAAGUUGGGAGAACCGACGACUUUUGAAAAAUCAACAUUGCCAAUGUCUUUCUUUUUUAAUUAAGAUCAAGUCAAUUGUUUUUUUAUUUUAUUUUUUCUAAAUACAAAAUGUCUACAAGUCUUUUUCUUUUUUAUAUAAGUAAAAUGCCUACAAGUCUAUAGACUAUAGUAUUAGCACAUUUGAUGCUGAUGGAUUGAAUCAUUAUUAAUGGUUUGAUGAACAUAUCUUGCUAUUGUAUAAGCUGCAUUUACAAAUAUAUCUCCAUUUUCUUUUCUUCCCUUUGGUUUUUCUGUAAGAAAUUCCUCAUUCUCUUUCAUAAUGAUCCGAUAAUUUAUGGCAGUUAUCUCAUUCUUUCACACUCGAUGUACGGUUGUUGGUCUUUGUGCAGAUAAGUUGACUUAUUGAAUGGCAUCACCUUCAAAUGAGGUCGCUAAAACUAUAGUAUUGAUCGGAAAAAUAGGUAAUGGGAAAAGCGCAACAGGGAAUAGUAUUCUUCGAAGAAAGGCAUUCAAGUCAAUGUCCAGCCCUACUCGUGUUACCAACACUUGUGAGAUGCAUACAACAACUUUACUGGAAAAUGGGCAGAAUCUUGCUGUGGUUGAUACCCCAGGUACGUACAUAUAUGAUAUAUGCAUGUUGGCGCUAAUUUAGAAUCUUUUUGUUGAUACGUGUAAAUAUGUGUGACUUGAUGAACUAAAUGCAAUUGUCAGGAUUGUUUGACUGUUCGGCUGAACCUCAAUUUAUCGGAAAGGAAAUUGCUAAGUGCAUCAAUUUGGCAAAGGAUGGUGUACAUGCUAUUCUUCUCGUUGCAUCAAUUAAAACACGCAUUUCUAAAGAAGAAGAAGAAGCUGGUGUUUUGAUGUUGCAGGCAUUUUUUGGCCCCAAAAUUAUUGACUAUAUGGUUGUACUUUUCACCGGUGGUGAUUAUCUUGAAGAUGAUGAGACUCUUGAUGAUUAUUUUGGUCGCAAUUGCCCCCAACACUAUAAGGUACAACUCUCAUCGCUCUUCAUUUAAGUCUCUCCAUAUUUAAUUUAUUUAUCGGAAUAUAUUAUCAAAUAUCAAGUCUGUCCGCCAAGAAAUUGCCUAGGUCAUACCAUUUUGCUAUGAAGAUCUUGGUAUAGUUCCCUGUUUAAGUCUUUUAUUUGUUCCCUAUGAACAUGGAUUUAUGAAUUAAACCAUGAUUUUUAGUCAUUUACUUUCUCUUGAUAUUCAAAGAAUAUUGUUCAUUGUAAUUAAUUAGUUGUUUGUGGAUUUUGAUACAGGAAACUCUCAGAAUGUGUGGGAACCGGCAUGUUCUCUUUAAUAACAAAACAAGAGACGAACCUCAGAAAUCUAAACAAGGGAAGCAACUUCUUGCCUUAGUACAUGCAGUUGUAAAUAAAAAUGGUGGAGAACCGUAUAUGAGUCCGCAAUUUGUUGAAUUGAAGGUAAGUGCUUUCAAUGAAACCAUGUUUAUUUUUUAUUUUUUUGUUUUUAGUUAUGUUAGAAACUUGUACAAUGCGUAAGUUAAUCAUCAACCGUAGGAAGGAGCAACAAGCGAUUUUUUUUAUGAUGCUCCAGCCAUUAAAGUUAAUUUUGAAGAGGAGAAAUUUAAAUUGAAGAAGGAGUUACAAAAGUCAUAUGAAGAGCACCUUAAGAAAAUAACCGAGGCGGUACUUUUUUUCAGAUAUAAUACAUUUAGUUUGUGCAUAAUUCAUCAUAAACUACCCCAUAUAUAUAAAGAUAUGGCAUGCAUGCAUCUGUUUUUGUAUGUAGGUUGAUUUAAAGCUGAAGGAGAGCUCUGAUAAGCUCGCACAGCAAAUAGCAGAGUUAAAGCUCAAGGAGAGCUUUGAUAAGCUUGCACAACAAAUAGCAGAGCAGGAAAAUGGUCGACUCAAGGAAGAAAUUAUGACACUCUCUGCUCAAGUGAAAUCAAAUGAUGAAACGUAUAAGAUGAGAUUGGAUUUAUUAGAGACUGCUCAUCGGAAGGAAAAUGAGAAUCAGAGGCAGCAGCGACAUCAAACAGUAGUAAGCCCAUGUGCUUACCUAUCUGUAAUUAAUAAGCGUGCGUGUGUAUAUAUAUGUGUGCUUUAAGAAAACCAUUUCCAUCAUUUACUUUUAAACUUAUGUAUGUCUGUAUAUUUCUUUGUCCAUGUUGGGGUUCAAUUAAGUCCCCUGCACCUCUAAGUGAGGUUAAAACUAUAGUGUUAGUUGGACGAACAGGUAAUGGGAAAAGUGCAACAGGGAAUAGUAUCCUUGGAAGAAAUGUAUUCAAGCGAAGGAUUAUUGGUGGGGGUGUUCCUACUACUUCUGAGCAACACUCAACGAAACUAGAAGAUGGCCAAACUCUUAAUGUGAUUGAUACUCCAGGUACGUUAUUACUAAUUUCUAUUUGCAGCUUUAGUACUCUGUUCGUAUUUUCAUUUCAUAGCUAGCAACACUUAUUAUAUUCCUCAUUAGUUCAUUAGAUCUAGCUAGAUGAUCCAAAGGAAACUAACACAAACUCCUGGCCCGCAUCGGUGGUGGAUGUUGUCGCCUAUUAGAAAAUAAAGGAUAAAUGUUUAGGGGUGUAAUGAUAUAUAAAGAAAAUAUAAUUAUUCUUGGGGAAAUAGGCAGUAAUCAAGCCAAAUGAUAUAUAUAUAUAUAUAUAUAUAUAUAUAUAUAUAUAUAUAUAUAUAUAUAUAUAUAUAUAUAUAUAUAUAUAUAUAUAUAUAUAUAUAUAUAUAUAUAUAUAUAUAUAUAUAUAUAUAUAUAUAUAUAUAUAUAUAUAUAUAUAUAUAUAUAUAUAUAUAUAUAUAUAUAUAUAUAUAUAUAUAUAUAUAUAUAUAUAUAUAUNNNNNNNNNNNNNNNNNNNNNNNNNNNNNNNNNNNNNNNNNNNNNNNNNNNNNNNNNNNNNNNNNNNNNNNNNNNNNNNNNNNNNNNNNNNNNNNNNNNNGCGGUGAUUGGCUUGAAGAAGAUGGUAUGACCCUCGAGGAUUUCUUGGAUGGUGAUUGCUUUGAAGCCUUGAAGGUAUGCAAAUGUUGGUAUUUAGCCUUCUCAUGAUAUUAUGAAGUGUGCUAGGGGAAAAAAAAAAAAAAAAAAAAAAAAAACAGCUAGAUUUGAACUAAUGCAAAUAGUUUUUAGCUGAAAGUAUAUAGGCAAUGUUUGGACCAUUUCCAUUUUGUUUUUAUUGUUUCCCCAAAACAAAACGAGAUUUAUUACACUUUUCAAAUCAUUUUCUCAAAACAAUUUCAAAAAUUUCUCUCUCCUUCAGACAUGAUGUGACUGCUACAAUAAAAUGAUUUGACUGAUACAUUGAAAAAUGUCUUCACUAAAAAACAAAUAAACAUCACUUUAUCUUUCAAUUUUUUUCUUCAAAAAUAACUUUUUCUAACACCUUUAAACAUGAUUUGACUGCUACAGUGUAUUUUGUCUCCUUCCAAAAUACAAACAAACAUUACUUUCAUUUUCAAAUUAUUCCCCCAAAACAUAUUUCUUCAAAAUGAAAUCAAAAUAAAUCCAAAAAGCUUCCAAACAUUGCCUUAGUACUUUUAGCUAGGUUGUUUAAAUAUUUUAUUUAUUUCUUGUGAAGGUCGAUUUAUGAACCAAGCCAUAAUGCUUGCGUUUCUUUUGUUCUCUCGAUUUUUACAAGAUCUGUUCAAUCAUUCAUAUAUAGUAAGUUGUUUAUGAAAUAAUUUGAUAUGUACAUAGGAAACUCUGAGAAUGUGUGGGAACAGACGAAUUCUCUUUGAUAACAAAACAAAAGAUGAAGCCAAGAAAUCAGAUCAACUGAAGCAACUUCUUGUCCUAGUGGAUGCGGUUGUAGAGAAAAAUGGUGGAAAAGGAUAUACAAAGAAGUAGCUGGAAAUCUCGAUCCAAUGCACAAAUUGCGGCAAUAUCUGCUAAGAUGAAAUCAGAAUAUGAAAUAAGUUUAAGAUAGGAUUUAGAGAGUAGCUAAGAGGAAGAAUCAGAAGUUGCCAUCUCAAUAUCACCAAUAUUGUCUUAUUAUGUAGUAAAAGUAUGCUUUGCAUUAUUUUUAGAGCUGUCUUCUACUUGAAAACUUAUAACCCCACUAUUUCGUUACAUUUACUUCAAAAAUGGUACUGAAAAAUGGUACUACGUUUAUCAAGUCCUAUACUUCAAAAUGGAAAUUUUUGGAUUCCUUUUUUAAUAGGAAAAUAAAAUGGGGUUAUUUUACAUUCCCCCCUAGCCACCAAAUAAACUAGGGAUAAACCCAAGCCCAAAUCAUCCUUUGACAUACCCCUGGGGAAGCGAAAGUAGUAUACUACCCUUAUGUGCAAUUUUCGGCCAAACUGCAUUCAGCAUUUAUGGUCCUGCAUUUAUCAUUUUCGCUGAUUUAUUUAUUAUUAUUUUCCUUUUUUUUUUUUAGAAAUAUGUUUGUUAAAUAUAUAUAUAUAUAUAUAUAUAUAUAUAUAUAUAUAUAUAUAUAUAUAUAUAUAUAUAUAUAUAUUUUUUUUUUAAAUUGUUUUUUUAAAUUAAAAAAAAUAUUUUUUUUUAAUUUUUUUUUUUAAUUUUCAAAACAAUAUGUUUACAGUAGUGAAAAUAACUACAUGUAACUAUAGUACCUAUAGUAAUUCAUAGUUAUGUUCGUUUUAUCCUCAUAAUUUUAGUCGAUCAAUUGUAUACACACACGAAUACUGACUUAUACAAAAUAAAUUCAUAAAACCCCAACAAAAAUUUACAAAUUUAAAUAUUUUUAUUAUAAAUCACAUCGGAACCAAUAAAAUACAAAUCGAAAAUACAUAAAUAUACGCAUAUGUAACUACAUGUUACUAUAGUAAUGUAUACAGUCUGUUGAACAGAUCUGAUGUAACUUAAAAAAACAAAAAUUUGAAACCUUCAAGGAAAGGAUUAAUGGCCUUCAUUAAGCUGCAAUUGCAAAAUCAAAACAAAUAGAAAUUACUUUAGUGCAAAUCAACAAAUUUGAAGAAAAACAUCAAAACACUCAAAAAUCACCAAACAUUAAGAGAUCGAGAGAUAGAGAGUAACCACCAAUGGUUCCGCGCGGCCACAAAUGCAAAAAAUAUAGAAAUAAAUCUGAAAACAUAAAAAUAAACGAAAUUACCAUCAAAAUAUAGAUCCCGACGAGAGGAAUCCAACGGCAGGUGACCCGUCAAAUUUCGACGGGUGGAACACAAAAUAAAACUCCGGCAAGACCACCAUUCUCGAAUGAAAAAAAAUUGCAGAAACAGAUCAGCGUUCGAAACUGAAUGAAAUCACCACCAAAAGAAAGAGCUUGACGAGAGGAAUCCAACGGUAGUUAAACCAUCGAAUUCCGACCACCGGAGAGAGAGUUAUGGCUCCGGGAGGCAAUUUCACCGGUGGGAGGUUUGUAGAGGCGGGAUUUUGAAUUUGGGAGAGAAGAAGAUAGAGACCAUGAGUGGCUAGGGUUUAAAACUGAUUUUAGAAGGGUAUUAUAGGAACUUCAGGGUAGCCUAGGGGGGUAUGUCAAAAUAUUUUCGAAAUGAGGGGAAUUUCCCAUAGAGUGUAAUACACUUGGUAGUUAGUUAUAUAUAAUUUGGAAAUGAGGGGGGUCUACAAAAUAAUCCCAAAUAAAAUAGAUAACAACCAUGGGACUAGGAGUAAGAAUAUUGGUUGCUUUAUAUGAAUCGGUCAGUUUAAUAUGGGUCGGUCACGGACUCACGAUUUAAUAUGAAUUCGUUGGUUAAAAUCGACAGGUUAAACCCCCAUUAAUUUUAAAGGGCUCUUUACAAAUAAGGACAUCAAUGGAUACUUAUUCAUAUAGAGAUCCAGAUAAUAAACUCUUUUACAAAAAAGUCCACACAUAGUCCAGAUGUUUGUAAACGACUAAAAUAGCCCCUCGUACUUUAAUAUGCUCCAAUUUCAUCAUUUAAUUGAAUCUAACCUCAAUGUGACCCCAAAUUUCACAAAUUAUUCAAUUUUGAUCCAAAACACAUUUUUAUGGACAAUUUCGUCCGUCACCACCAUUGACCGCCGGUCUCCGGCGUUAACUUUUUUUUUUGUUCCUGAUUUUUCCGCCACCGGUUUCUGGCGUUGACUUUUUCGAAAAAAAAUUCUUUCUUUCCGUAACAUCUUUUUUCUUCGUUUAAACAACAAUAUUGUUAUGAUUGACAGUAAUAUUAACUAUAUUACUGUUAAACACAGUAAAAUUAACUAUACUACAGUUUAACACAGUAAUAUUGCUAUAUUAAUCUCUAGCGCUGUAAUAUUAACACAAUAAAACUCAUUAUUAUUGUGCAAUAGAGUAAUAUUAAUAUGUUGACCGUUCAACAAAUGUAAACAUAAUAAAAAACCAAAAGAAUUAAUAUUACUGUGACUGAAUAUUACUAUAACAACAGUAAUAUUACCGUCAACCACAGUAAUAUUACAAUUAUAGACAGUAAUAUUAUUACGUUAUUCCAUGAAUAACUCAAACAAAACAUUAAAAACCCAAACAAAAUAAUAAUAUUGAUGUGGUUGACAGUAAUAUUACUAUAACAACAGUAAUAUUACCGUCAACCACUGUAAUAUUAUUGUAUUUACAAUAAUAUUACAAUAAUAGACAGUAAUUUUAUUACGUUACUCCGUGAAUAACUCAAACAAAACAAAAAAACCAAACAAAAUAAUAAUAUUGAUGUGGUUGACAGUAAUAUUAUUGUGUAUAGUUAUUUUACUGUCAACAGUAAUAUAAUUACGUUGACUUGUCAACAAAUCAAACAAAAUUAAAAAAAAUAACAAAAAAAUAAAUAAUAAUAUUACGUUAAUUUACUUUUAACGGCAGUACAAUUACAUAAAUGUAUUGUCAACGGCAGUACAAUUAUGUUAAUAUACUGUUAGUGACAAUAUUAUUACGUUAAUUUACUGUCAGUGACAUAGUAUAAUUACCGUUAAUGUCAGCACAAUUAAGGUCAACGUUUAGCGAUGGACGUAAAAAAAAAAAAGUCAAGGCCGGAAUUCGGCGGUGGAAAAAACAGACCAGAAAAAAAAAUCGAAAUUUCAACGCCGGAAUCCGGCGGCAAAAAAAAAAUUUGAAAAAAAAAAGGUUUUUGAAAAAAAAAAAAAAGCCAAAAUCGAAAUUUUUUGGUCAAAAUUUAUUAAAUUGAGAUUACAAUUUAGAAUUGGGUGUAAAGGGUUGGGGGUAAUUUUUUCAUAAAUUUUGGGUGUAAAGGGUUGCGAUGCACGGGAUAUUAUUUUAAAAGUGAAAGAGGAUGGGCUUAUUAGUGAAAGAGGUAUAUCCCCUAAACCUAGAAUAAUAAAGAUGUUUGAUUAGGAACUUAUGCACAAAAACCCCAAUUUGAAAAAUUGUCACGUGAUCAACAAUCCAGGUUAAUGGGUAUUGGCCGAUGAUGAUUUGAAACGCCGAGCCGAUUCGAACUGGCCAAAAUUAUUUAGCUUAAGUUUGAAUAUAAACACAUUUUCUGUCUAUAAAUCAAGGUUCUAAAAGGCAGUUAUCGGGUUCGUGGCGGUUAGGGACCGCCACACGAUAAAUCAGCGCGGCGGUGUCAGGGAUAAUUCGGAAAUAAAUCGGCUUUUUAAUUUAAUGUAAUAUAUUUUUAAAUAUUAUUUGUUAAUACUCAAAAUAUAUAUAAAAUAAUAUUUAAACAUAAUUCUAUCCUACCAUUCAUAUGUUAUUAUAUAAUUCUAAUUAUUCAAUAAAUAACCAAAAAUUAAAAAUAAUUAGAUCAUAAUAUAAUAAAAGAUUUUUACGAAAUAUAAAUACUAUGCAAGUUUUUCGCAUCAACAAUUAAUAUAAACAUAACAAAGCAUAAACUCAUGUUUUGGGUUAUCGCUAAAUUCUUCUUUCUUGUCGGGUACAAGUUGCGGGGUAGUAUUUGGUUUAGUUUUGGAAGUUGAAAGAAUUGAAAAAAACAAAAAACAAACAAUGUUUUCAUUUUAAUUUAAAUUUAAAAAAAAAAGAAAAAAAACCGAUUUGUUGACCGAUUUAUCGUUUGACCCGCCAAAGACCGCCCCAAACCGCCUCGCCGUAACAAAACCCAUAUUCCAAACCGCCUCAGCAAAAUCGUAAAGGUUUAUAACCGAUACCGAUAUGGCGGCCGAUAUAUCGAGCGCCACAACCGCUAUUUAGAACACUACUAUAAAUACCAGCAAUCAUCCUCAUCUCUAACCAAUUCACUCUCUCAACUCACGUUUCACGAAACGCGCUUGGUCCAUCAAAUUGUUUCAUUUUUAUCUCUAUUUCGGUAGUGUUUGCAAAAGCUUUUAAAAAUAAAUUAUGAGUUUUUUUCUCACAUAAUCUGUUUUUAGGUGUUUGCAAAACCGACUUUUGUUUUUGCUUCUCAAAAUAAGUUGCUUUAAGCUGUAAUUUUAAAAGCACCCAUAUACCUGCUUUUUCUAUUUUAAUUGAUUUACUUCGCAAACACCCCCAACUUUUAGAAUUAAGCACUUAAUAUCAACUUAACUCAUAAUCAUUAAUGUAUGUUUUUAAAUAAGCUUUUGCAAACACCUCGAAUUCAUAUGUUAGAACUUACAACAAACAAAACGUCAGUUAAAACUUCGUAUUCUAAGCAUUUUAACAAAGUAAAACUCUAAUCCAGAUACAUUUAAGCAAAAUGCAAAUAUUGCACAUUAACUUCGUUCAUUUAUAUUUCCUAGGGUUAACUGCAAAAAAUCCCCUAAACUUUGGAUGUUUUUGCACUUUACCCCUUGAACGGAAAAAAAUUGCACGAGCAUACCCGGACUCUAGUAUUUCUAGCACCGACAUCAAAAUCGUCCAAUUUUAGCUAAAUUGUUCCUUGAAUUGCACACGUACAACCCACACGUGAAAAUGGGAGGGUAAUUUUGUCAACUCACAAGAUUUUUAGAAAAAAGAAAAUUAAAAAGGAAAAAUGAAAAAGAAAAAGAAAAAGAAAUAAAGAGAAAUAGGAAAAAAGAAAACAGAAAAGGCCUCUGUCUUCUUCCUCUCUCCCUACAUCUGCUCCGCCGCUUCACCAGCACCAAAUGUGCCUCCAAACAUAUUUAAGAGGACGAAUCCCCUCACAUUCAAUUAGUGAACUUGGAAAGAAAUAAAUUUAUAAAUUAUGCAUUUAAUAUUCGGGUCGAAUUCAUUACCCGAAUGGCCGAACCGCAUCCAUCAAAUAUCUUUCUCGCAGCAGAGUUACAGAAGGGUUUAUCAAGGGUCUCAUUUUGAACGAAAAAUCUCUCUCUCUCUCUCUCUCUCUCUCUCUCUCUCUCUCUCUUGCUGGUAUGUAUGUUACGUUACACUUUCUUCAUAUACAGGGGAUAACUAUGGUGUAACUCAGUCCUUAGGGAUUUGAUUUCAAUUAAACCUCGUAGUUGUCUGACUUUUCUGCUUCAUUCACUUUCUGAAGCUGAAUAUUAGGGUGGAAACAAAUAAUGUGAUUUGAUUUGGCUGUAGAUCGUGGAGAUUCUGCUAAUGGCAUUGUCAAUUUCUAGAAGGGUAUUACGAAGCAGGCAAGCGGCGGAUAGCGGCAAAUUAGAAGCGGCAAGCGGCGAAUCAGAGCCGACGGGCGGCGGACGGCUGUGGGCUGAAGAAGGACGAAGAGUAAUUUGACUUUUGGUGGUGGUGACGUGAAGAAGAUGAAAUUUUUUUUCUUUUUCUUUUUUUUUUUCUUUUUUUUUAAGAUUUAUAUAUAUUUAUUAAAAAAGAAGGAAAUAAGUGUAAGUGGAAAAGACCAAUUUAUCCAGCUCAAAUCACGUGCUUCUCACGUGUUGUGGAUUCCGGUCACUUUUUGCUGAAAAUGGACAAUUUCUGCUCUGGUGUUAGAAAUUAGUAAGUUGAGGUAUGCGAUUGCCCGUGCAUUUUUUUCCAGUUCAUGAGGUAAAGUGCAAAAAUGUCCAAUGUUUAGGGCAUUUUUUGCAAUUAACCCUAUUUCUUAUUUUCGAAAAUAUAAAAAAACUUAUUGCGUAAUAGAAUAUUAUUUGCAUCUACAACCUUUAUUUUAUUUGGAUGUGGUUCCCCCCAUUCCAUAAUCUUCUAAAAUACUUUGAUAAAAUUGACCACAAUAAUACAUCUUAAAUUGAUACGAAUAAUAAUAAUGGAUUUAUGUAUAUUUAUUUUGUGAUCACAAAGAUCAACAUAUAUAGAUACAUACGGUAAUCUAUUCUAGGAAGGAUAUUGACCAUAAUAUUAUAUGCUAUAAUCAAGGUUAAUUACAUGGCAAAUAUACAUCAAUUAAUAUAUGCAUAUCACGGCACAAAUCGUGGGAUUUGUUCCAACACUCCCCCUCAAGUUGGCGAGUGAAUAUUAUGAAGUCCCAACUUGUCUCUUAAGAAGCGGAAUUGCUCAAUUUCUAAAGGAUUAGUAAAGAUAUCUGCGAGUUGAGAACGUGAUGGUACAUAGGAUGUAGAGAUGACGCCAGUUCGUAGUUUUUCUCGAACAAUGUGACAAUCGAUUUCUAUAUGUUUAGUUCGUUCGUGGAAGACAGGAUUUCUGGCGAUGUGGAGAGCGGCGAUGUGGAGAGCUGCUUGAUUGUCACAAAAUAAGGUAGCUGGCUGAUUUUGUAUGAUCUUCAGGUCUUGCAAGAUAUAUCGUAUCCAUGUAAUUUCCAAGCACGUCGUCGCCAUUGCCCGAUAUUCUGCUUCUACGGAUGAACGUGCCACACUUGUCUGUUUCGUUGACUUCCAUGAAAUCAAAGAGUUUCCUAAAAAAUGCAAUACCCCGAAACAGAUCGUCGAGUCAUCGUACACCCUGCCCAAUCCGAAUCGCAAUAGGCUUUUAAUGUAAGAUUAUUGGAUGAUGAAAAGAGUAGCCCUUGACCGGGAUUCCCUUUAAGAAAUCUCAAUAUCCUUAGAGCAGCUUCCCAAUGUGGCUUUCGAAGGCUUUGCAUAAAUUGACUUAGAAUUUGUACAGAAUACAAUAUAUCAGGCCUCGUCACCGUAAGAUAAAUCAAUUUCCCAACAAGCCUAUGGUAUUUUGUAGGAUCAUGUAGUAAAUCACCCUCGUCCGAGUUCAACUUCAAAUGUUCCUCCAUCGGAAAUGAAUGAGGACGAGAUCCUAGUAAACCAAUAUCCUUUAAAACAUCUAAUGCGUAUUUCCUUUGAGAAAUGAAUAUUCCUUUAUGAGAUCGAGAGACUUCAAUUCCUAGGAAAUAUUUUAAGUCACCAAGAUCUUUGAUGCGAAAUUGUCGAUGGAGAAAUUCCUUGAGAGACUUAAUGGCUUGGUCAUUAUUCCCGGUGAAUAUGAUGUCGUCCACGUAAAUAAGAACUGCGGUCAAUGAGUUCCCUUUAGAUUUUGUGAAUAAGGAAUAAUCAACUUCUGAUUGAUCAAAUCCGGCCUUUUGAAUGACAUGAGUGAAUUUGGCAAACCAAUUACGUGAAGCAUGUUUUAAACCGUAGAUGGGUUUAUUGAGUUGACAUACAAUAUUCUCCCCCUGUCGGCGAAGUCCAAGGGGAACGUCCAUAUAAACUUCUUCAUCGAGAUCGCCGUGAAGGAACGCAUUUUGGACAUCUAUUUGAUGGAGGAACCAAUUUCAAGAAGAAGCAACAGCUAGGAGGCAUCGCAUAGUAGUGAGUUUAGCGGUAGGGGAAAAAGUUUCCAAAUAGUCUACCCCUUCAAUUUGAGUAUAACAUUAGCAACAAGACGAGCCUUGUAUCGUUCGAUUGAUCCAUCCGAAUUGUAUUUGAUUUCGUAGACCCAUCUACAACCAAUCGGCCGAUGUACAUGAGGUAAAGGAACAAGCUGCCAUGUAUUAUUAUGAAUGAGUGCAUCCAGUUCAGACUGCAUAGCAUCUCUCCAUUUUGGAUCGAGAAUUGCCUGAGAAUAGUUAGUGGGCUCACGGUGGCUAGAUAUUCUUGCAAGGAAAGAAAAAUGUGAAGGAGAAAUGCAUGAAUAAGACAAAGAUUGAGAGAGGGGAUGUUUUGUACCUCGAUGAAGACCAGACAACGGAGAUGAUAAUUGGUUGGAAGUAGUUUGAGCAAAGUUCAUAGAAUAAUCUGCAUGCCAGGCCGGCCGUGCGUUCGAUCAGAGUCGCGAGUUAUGGGUGCAGGUGGUGGUUCAAGUGGCUCAACUUGGGUUGAUGGAAUGGUGGAAAAUUCAGAUAGCUCAACAUCCAUGGAUAUGGAUUGUUCUGGGCCUGAAAGGUCUGUUACCACUUGUGGUUCGUCAAUGGAAGGAGGUUCAGUGGUAGAUGGGAUGGUGUUCAGAGGAUAGAGAUGGGGAGGACUCGGGUUAGGUAAUGGUGGAUUAUUUGGUUGAAAAGGAAAGGUAUUUUCAUAAAAUUUGACGUCCCGACUAGUAAAAAAAUUAUUAGUGGAUAAAUCGAAUAAUUUAUAACCUUUUUGAGCAGUAGGAUAUCCGACAAAAACGCAACGAGUAGCACGUGGUUCGAACUUGGAUUUAGAUUGGACUAUAGUUGCAUAACAUAGGCAUCCAAACACACGAAGAUGGUCGUAUGACGGAGAACGGCCAUAUAACCGUUCAAAUGGAGUAAGAUCAGAGAUAAGAGGUGUUGGCAAACGAUUAAUUAAAUAGACAGCGGUUUGAACACAUUCUCCCCAAAAAGUAAUUGGCAAAUUAGAUUGAAAAAGGAGAGCUCGGGCUACUUGUAAAAUAUGACGAUGCUUGCGUUCGACAACCCCAUUUUGUUGUGGAGUGUAAACACAAGAUCGUUGAAAUUCAAUUCCAUUUGUGAUUAAACAAUUGUUUAAGGAAGUGAAUUCCUUACCAUUAUCACUCCGAAAUAUUUUUACGUGUGAGUUAAACUGAUUUUGAAUAAAAGUAAAAAAAGACUUGAGCAAAAUGGAAGCAUCAGAUUUGGUUUUCAUAAGGAAUGCCCAUGUGCAACGAGUAAAAUCAUCAACAAUUGUUAAAAAAUAACGAAAACCUGAAUGUGUGGGACAUUUAUGAGGACCCCAAAUAUCACAAUGAAUUAUUUGAAAUGCCAAACUCGAAGAAAUUUGACUAGACGGAAAAGGAAAACGAGUUUGUUUAGCAAGAUGACAAAUAUCACAAAUAUCAUUAAAAGGUUCAUCAAAUGAAGAAAUUGACUUAGAUACUAGCCGGAGGCAUGCAGGCGAUGGAUGGCCAAGACGGUGGUGCCAUGUAUGCUUGUUGGUGUGGGUAUGAUGCACGAGGGGUGCAUCGGGACCUGGUGACAUGAAGUAUAGACCUCCACUUUGCUUACCCCAACAAUCAUCUUCCCCGUAGCCAAAUCCUGCAAAAUACAAUAAUUUGGAAAAAGGAUUACACCUCAAUUCAAGGUCUUGGUGAUUUUACAGGCGGAUAUCAGAUUUAAUUGAAAAGAAGGCACGUGGAGAACAUCCUUUAGAGAAAUAUCUUUAUUGAAGUAAAUUGUGCCGGUAGAAUGAAUAGAGGCAGUAGAGUCGGUGGGUAAAUUAACAUGAGGUGUGUUUGGUGUGUGUUUGUUAACGAGUAAUGAAGAAUCAGAGGUGAUGUGAUCCGUAGCCCCACUAUCUAAAAUUCAGAAAUUCGACGAAACAGAAUUAAUAGAGGAAUAGCUAUACAGACCUGCUGCAUUUGCAUAAAUAUCACUCUUACUCUGAGACAUAGAAGCCAUGGCAGUGGUCAAUUGCUGAAUUUGGUCCUUAGAGAAUCCCGAAAAGAUGGCUUGUACGUCGGGGUUGAGAGAAGGUGGAACAUCAGUUUGAUUUUGCUGAUUACCCAUGUCGUUCGUAGCCAUAGAAGUGGUGGUAGCGUGUGCAGCAGCAUGCUUUAGUCCAAAAAGAGGAUUGCCAGAUGGCUUAGUAUUCUUUGAUUUGUAUUGAGGAUCAUAUCUUGAUUUGAAAUUGGGAUCAUGUCUCGGAUGGCCAAGAGGAAAUCCGUGAAGUUUGUGACAUGUGCUUAUAUUAUGACCAUCUUUUUUACAGUAGUGACAAAAAUGAUCUUCAGUCUUGGAGUAAGAAUUACCGAAAGACUUUGUAUGCACUUUGGAUGUGCGCAUAGCUGCUGCUACAGAAAAUAAUUCAUUGGCAGCACCAUUGCCGACCUCUCGUUGUUUCUCCUCCUGAGUGACCAUGUUAUAUGCCUCUCGAAUGUCAGGUACCGGCUUCAAGAGUAAUAUUUGACCACGAGCGUUCUUGUACGAGUCAUUGAGUCCCAUAAGGAAUUGCAUGAGUCGAUCCUCAUUAUGACACGCAUCUCUGAUCUUCUUUUCGUCACAUUUGCAACAAUCACAUGAGCAAGGAGGACGAUAUGAAUCGAGUUCGUCCCAAUACCCACGCAAUUUUGUAAAAUAGUUUGCGACUGACAUGGUCCCUUGAACGUGUGAGGCAAUAGAUUGUUUGAUCUCGAAAAUCCGGGGCAGAUUGCCUUGGGAGAAUCGAGCGCGAAAAUCCUCCCAAACAUGUUGUGCAGUAGGAGCAAAGAGAACAUUCGGAAUAAGAUCCGAUGAAACAAAGUGGGAGAACCAUGAAAUCAAUAUAUGAUUUGCUCGCUCCCAUAGGUGAUAUUCUUCAGGAUGCGUAGCUUUGGAAGGCUUCUUGAAUCUGCCAUCAAUGAAACCUAAUUUGUUACGAACAGAAAAAGCAAUCUCGACUGAUUUGCUCCACGUGGCCCAGUUUUCUCCAUUUAAUAAUUGUGAUGAAAGUGAGAGUGAUGAAUUAUCAGAGUGAUGAAAAUAAUAAUAACUUGAGGGGUCAAGGUUUUCUUUUGAUUUCUCUUUAGAUUGAGCAUCAAUCAUGAUAAAUAUAUUAUUAUAUGAGGAAUUGAUGAGGAGGACAAGUAAUUAUGGAUUAAUAUGGAGUAAGAAGAAAAUAAUAAAGUUGGAAGUUUUCAUUGAUGGUGGGUGUAAAUAAAUUGAUUUGUUGAAGAUGGUGGAGAAGAAAUGAUCGUUCUGUAGGCUGAUACCAUGAUAAGAAUAAUAAUAAUGGAUUUCUGUAUAUUUAUUUUGUGAUCACAAAGAUCAAUAUAUAUAGAUACAUAUGGGAAUCUAUUCUAGGAAGGAUAUUGACCACAAUAUUCUAUGCUAUAAUCAAGGUUAAUUACAUGGCAAAUAUACAGCAAUUAAUAUAUGCAUAUCAAGGCACAAAUCGUGGGAUUUGUUCCAACAUAAAUUGAACCAAACACUAAUAAAAAUACUAACAUUAAUUUUAAAUAUUAAUAAAAUAUUAAUUAAUUAAUUAGUACUUGGCUGAAUUAAAUCAUUAAUAGAAAUUUAUUGAGUUUAACUGUAAAUAUGCAAGCUCCAUACAUAAAUGAUACUCGAACCAAAAAAAACUCUUCAAAACUACUUACACAAAAGCCAUUAUUAAAAUCAUAAACUACCGGCGCCGCCGCCGCCGCCCAACGCCGGCGGCGUAUGCACCGGAAAAUCAGCCCCGGUCCAAUUGGUCUCCCCCCAAUGCCUCAACAUACUCCGCCAAUUGCAAUACGGAUCAACGCACCUCUUCAAACGGCCAUCCUUAAUCUCAAUUCUCCAGUGCCCGUCGGAGUAAUUCCCCUCCGCCGCCCGCCGCCGAUCCCACUCGAGCUGCGCCUUCUGCUUCGACUCCAGCAGGCAGAACUCCCUCAACUCCUCCGGCAUCGAGUCGUGCACCCUCCACCACUUACCAUGCGCCACGUCACUCGCGAACUCCCGCAGUAUGUCCACAUUCCAAUUGCAAUCGUAAUCCCUAAAACACAUCCACGGCUUGUUCCCCAAAUAAUGCAGCACGUACAAAACCGGCGGCUCGGCCGCAAACAACCGCGUCUUCUUCUCCCUCGCCAAUUCGUCGUCUCCGAUCCAGAAAUUCUUCAGAAAAUUCAUGUGCUUCGGAAUCCGGUGCCAAUACGUGAAAAUCUCAUUCAAAUAACCCUGAUCUCCGCCAUUAUAGGACUCAAUUUCAUCCACAUGAUCCAUCAAAAGCUUGAAUGUACAAUUCGACGGCUCGAUCACCAUUACGCCGGAAUUGAAUAGGGUUCCGUUAUUGCCCGUGGCGGAAAUUUGGGGCAUUUUGAAUAAGAAAUCGAUGUUCCGUAGGAUGAGUAGAUCGGCGUCUACGAAUAUGAUUUUGUCGUAAUCGGUGAGCUGCCAUAGCCUGAACUUGCUGUAGUUCCACUCGUUGUAGGCGUCCUUUUCGGCUUUCGGGUUUCGGAUUCGUUUUAUUGUGCGCACUUUCCAUCCGGAGGAUUGUAGACCGCUCCGGUGAUGGUCGCCGAUUGAUUCGUCGACGAGGAUCACGAGGUCGCGGGUGGACCCCGACAUGCGGAUGCUCUGCGCGGCCGCUAUGGCCCCGCAGACGUAGUCGUUGGCCGAGUGUAGGAUUGUUGCGUACGCCUCCCGUUGCGUUUUUCCCGAAUCGUCGUCCCGUUCUGUUUAUUUUUAUAGCCAUAUGAUUGUUAUUGUUGCAAAUUGAUAUUUACUUAGACAAUUACAGACGUAGAGAGAAAUAGCAGGUACACGGGUGCUCUUAAAAUUAUAAGUUAAAACAGCUUAUUAUAAGAAAAGCAAAAGUAAAAUGUAAAAGCUUGUUUUUCAAACAACUAAAAAAUGAUUAUGUGUAAAAAAAACUCAUAAUGAAUUUCUAAAAGUAUUUGCAAACACCACCUAAGUUUAUUUUUCUCUAUCCAUUUCUUUGGCUCAUUCAUAAAAAUUUUCGAAACCUUUUGAAAAUUUUAAAACUUAUAUGAUUUUCAAAAUUUUCGAAAUUGCAAAACAUUCGACACUUUUGGAAUUGGAAUAGAUUUCUAGAUUCCGAAAAUUUUAGAAUUUGAAGUAGUUUUGUAGUUUCGAAAAAAAAUUGGAUUUUUUUCUUUCAAAAAUACUAAUUAUGAUCCAAUCCAUCCGACUUUCAUCUCCAGCUCGUGGACCAGACAACUUCUAGUACAUAUGAUGCUCAAUAACAAAAAUUGCAAUUAUAAGUAAACAAAUAAAUUAGGAAAAUUUUGGAAUUGAACUUACCUAUGGAUGAUCCCAAUGGAAGUGAAAGCUCACAAGAUCCAAUCGGCAAUUGAAUCUUUUGCCUCAACGCAUUCAAAUCCGGUCGAUACAACCACACAUUUCCUUCACGCGCUACGAGAUCCUUGCACGUAAAAAGAUUCGGUAUAGGGAAGCACCUCGUCACGAAAACGAGAUGCACUGGAUAAUUCCCCUUGAAGGAUGCAGCUACGCCAGCAGCCGACAUCUGUAAAUGUAGCCUAGCCACAUCCCUCGACCAAUUCCCUUCGUUCCGACAAGGAAGUUUGACCGCAACGAGAUCCACCCGUUUCCUCGGGAAAUCGACACCUGGCAGUGAAGGGCAUUUCGGUAAUUCCUCCUCUUGUUCCUCGUCGAUCCACUCGGGGUAUAAGGACUCCCAUGUCACGUUUUUGUCGGCGUAGUCCAUUUGGAGGACCAAGUGGUGAUUGGCUGCCGGAGUCAACUUCUUCCAUUGCUCGAUUUCGCGCUCGUUGAAAUUAAGUAGGCCGAUUCCUUUGAUUUUAUUUUCCGAUGGGAUUUUUUUUAAUACGGUUAGUAUUUCUUCCGAUUUUAUUUCUAGAUUCGAUAUGUAACGAGGGUCCGAGGCACUUCCCCAUAUCCACCUGUUCACAAAAUGUUGCCUGCAUUAAGUAUUAUGAGUUCCAUAUAAGUAUAAAUUUGGUUUAGAUAUUUAAUUAAUGUUAAUUAAAUUUAAUUAAAUGAAAACGUACCGAGAAACGCUGCGCGAUGUACGGUUUUGAUUGCAAACAUUCGGAGACGAAAGAAUGGUGAGAAAAGUGGCUAGUAAAAUAAAAAGGAGAACAAAUUUCAAUGGUGGGAAUUUGCAAUAUCUAGUGGUGCUGCUCUUGCCCAGUUUGAAAGUAUCUGUCACAACACUCCUCACUUUUAUCCUCUGCAAUUUUCUUUUGUAUGCAUCCUCUCUGUUUUUAACAAAUAUAUAUAUUUAGUAUUUACAAACAAAAACAAUUAAAUAAAUAAAAAAAAUCCAUUGUUAAAUUAAAUGGGAUUUUAGAGCUCAAAAUCAAGAAUUAGUAUGUCUCGUUAACCGUGUAUAGUUAGUUAUAUUCGAUCUGACCGGAAAGUCGAGUGUAGCUUGUUUAGUUGAUUAAAAGAAACAAUGUAUACCGUAUGAAGAUGAUUUUGCCAAGAGUUGUUUGAAUGUAUAUUCGACACUCCGGAAAAAAGAAAAGGUGAUCGAAAAGGGAAGAAAUAUAAACUCACAGGCGUUGUCGGGAAUCCAUCGAGGCUUCGGAAACUAUUGAUCAUUCAUACUCCAAUCUGCUAACAGAGAGAGAGAGAGAGAGAGAGAGAGAGAGAGAGAGAGAGAGAGAGAGAGAGAGAGAGAGAGAGAGAGAGAGAGAGAGAGAGAGAGAUGUUGUAUGUAGUUUAGAGGAGGGCUCUGUUUGGAAAAUGGUGGGAAAGGAAGAAUAAAGAGCAGGUGGGAGAGUAGAGAAGAAUAUAAAAAUAAGUAACGUCCAUUUGAAUUCAUCUGUCUUUAGGUACAAAUACAUGAGUUGUACAAACAACUACCAAAUUCAAAUCUUUUCUUUACAUACACUUUUUUUUUUAAUUUAUAAUUAAAAGAUUAUAAUUUUGAUAUUUUAUUAGAAGAUUGACACCUCUAUUUCUCUUUUACUCCGUCGCGUUCCUUAAUAAGUGUCGUUUUUCACAUUUGCACAAAUUUUAAAAAUCUGAAUAAAUGUGGCUUGGUAUUAGGAAAAACACACAUAAAAAAAACUAUAAUAAUCUUGGUUAUUUAAUAAUUUAAAUUUUAAUGAUGUGAUAAAAGAAAGUUAAUACUUCAAUUUGAAUUAAUAAGGAUAUAAAUGGAUUAAUAAAAAAAAGGUUAAUACUUAGAGUUGAAUUAAUAGAUUUCUGUGUGUGCAAUAAUAACAAUAAUAUUUUGGUCGGUUCUAUCUUUAUUGGUAAAAGGAAAAAAAAAUAGAUGGAUUGUUUUUUUUGGUAAUCAAGGAAACGGCAGCCAAUUAUAUACGUGCAUCGAGUAAAUUCUUGUAUAAUAUCGUGUAUACCAUACAAACGUAAACCACACUAAGUUAACCAUGUGUGACAAGCUCCACCUAACGACCAUUAGCAAAGGGAUUCGAAUUUGGAUCAAUUGACACACAUUCACUUGCUCCAACCACUGGAAUAAAAAAAAUAAAAAUAAUAAAAAAAGAUGGAUUAAGUUAAUGAAAAGAAUAGGGUUAGCUGUAGAUGUAUACAUCUCUAAAUUGGUAAUAAUGAUUAGUAUGUCAUAUCUCACUAACCAAAUAGGGAAAACGUGAUUUUCUAGGUGGGUGCAACCAUUAAUUUGGUUUGAUCAAUAAGGUUAAAUCUCCGGUUAACAAAGAUUAACAUUUGAGACACUAAUAAAACUAAUUAAACCAAUUUUUUGUUCAUCUCUUUGUUGUUAAGUGGUCCGAAAUGCCAUUCGUUUGCAGUAAUAAUUACUCAAUAAAUCAAGUCAAAAGCCAAUGUAAUUGUCUUUGAAGAGGUGUUGUAUUGAUUGUUAGCUAGAUUUUAACAUGCAUCCUAUUGUUUGUCAUUGAAAGAACUCACGACUCCAUUUCAAAAUAUGUGUCGUUUAACAAUUUUUUUAAUUUUAUGCACAUUAAGAAAUUCAUCAAAUAUAGUUGAAUUAUAGGGAAAUAAAUAACAACAGUUAAACUAAGCAUUUGCUAUUAAAUUUGGUGAUAAAAGAGAGUUAGGUGGUGUUUGCAAAUGCUUUUUGAAAGUGAGCUUUUUUGCUCAUAAUCUGUUUGCAGAUGUUUGCAAAAUCAACUUUUGCUUUUGCUUCUAUUAAAAUAAUAUGUUUUAAGCUAUUUUUUUAAAAGCACCAAUAACCCUGCUUUUCUAUUUAAGUUCAUUAUCCGAAAUAUUUGCAGACACCCCCAACUUUUAGAAGUAAGCACUUAAAACUGAGUUAACUCACAAUCACUAACUUCUAUUUUUAAAUAAUCAUUUGCAAACACCAAUUUAAUAGUUCAUAAAAUUUCGAUUAAUAUGCACCUUCCCCUACUAGUACCCAUCAACCGUCGACUGCCUAAAUUUUUUCACUAUAUUAUUGAAAAACUAUUAUUUUCAUCUAAAUUGUCCAUUUUCAGUCCAACACUCAAACUGCUUAUUUUCAGUCUAAACUCUCCAACUAUGUGUUCUAUUUUCAGUCAAAGCUGUUCAACUAGGUUGCCCGAUAAACUUUUAGCAAAUUCAAAAUAUCGAGCAAAGUGUUAGCUAGACAAAUUAAUUUUGAGGGACUUUUAGCUAAUUUCAAUUUUUUUUAUAUAUAUCUUAGCAAGAAAAUAUUGUGCUAGAGAUGGAAUAAUAAUUGUGUUUAAUACUGCAGUUUAGACUUAGAGAUGGAAUGUACACCAAUUAAUGGGACUUUUGUCCCACUUUUGAUUAUUUCUCAUCUUAUUCUCUCUUUUUAAGAUAAUCUAAGUACUAUGAAUUAUGAUAAUAAUGGAGAAUAAAAGUUGAGAUCUCUUUUUCUUGAGAUGGCAUUGGUGGUAGAGUGUAUGAACCGAUCAAUACAAUGGAAUAGUCAAAUCAAAUAUAAUGAUCAUGAAAAAGUAAGCAAUAUAAUGUGGUCAUGUUUCAACCAUCAUUAUUAUUAUUAUUUUUUUUUUUUUGUAUAUAAUAAUUAUUUGGCGUUUUAGUAAUCUAUUAAAAGUAAAAACAAAACAGUCUCUCCGUUCCAAAAAAAAAAUAAGGAAAAAGUCUCUAAACAUUUAUCGGGAAACUGCACAUAUUAAGAGUAUAUGUAAAAUGACUACAAGCCCUAAGAAAAUUUAAUUUAUAGGAAAAAUUAGUAAAUGAUCUUAGAAACAGACGAACAUCGGACUUUUUUCUUUUUUUUUUUAAUUAUCGCUAUACAGUUUAGAGAGUUCUAGCUAAUUUUCUUAUAAUAUAUAUUUUUUCUUUUGAUAACGAAGGAACCAGCAGCCAAUGGCAGAGCUACCCUUUGGUAAUGGUGUACUUCAGCCCACUCUGAAUUUUUAAAAAAAUAUACUAUAUGUUAUAGCUACAUAUAAUUAGCCCACUCAAAUAGUUUAGUUUAACCCACUCAAGUAAUUUAGUUUAUCCUAUCCACCAAAAAAUUAUGAAACAUUAGUUAAAGUUUAUAAAUUUGUACUUAUUAUGUACUAUUUUAUGUGAAUGAAUCAAAAAAGAAAUUCAGGGGCACUGCCCCCGAACCUGUAAAUGCUAAGCCCACCCUAUUUCAACUUCCUGCGUUCGCCACUACCCGCAGCCAACUAUAUAGAUAUGCUCGGUAAAUCUACACUCUCGUAUAAUAGCUUACAAAAUAUAUGAGAAAAAACGUAAAACAAACUAGGCUAAUUAUGUGCGAUAAACUCCACCUGACGAACAUUGACAAAUUGAUUCGAACUUGAUUCAAUUAACACAUGCUCACUUAUUCCAGCCGCUAGACGAUUACUUGGCCAAAAAAAAAAAAGAGAAAACCAACGAAUUAAACAUACACAAAACUAAGCUAAAACAAUCAUCCGCUUGUAUGUUGAUUUAUUUUCUUGACCACUAUUGCUUAACCAAAUAAAUAAUGAUUUGAAAAACUAGUUAAUAAAUUGCUGACACGUGGCAAUAUAACUACCCACCAUUGGAGGGUGUGACAUCCUUGUAUGACUGAACCUUUUCACCUUUCGCCACGUAUUCGGCGGUUCCUCUAUCACAUACGUAAAAUCAUAUCCUAAGAAUAAAAUAUAAUAUGUAUUGAAUAUAUAUAUAUGUAUAACUCUUGAGAUAACUUUAAAGUUUAAAUAAUUCGUUGAAAAAUUCUAUACUAUAGCUGGAAAUAUAUAUUAUUCUAUUUUCAGCUGAAUUUGUCAGUUCGUGAGCCAUAUUCGUGGUUAUUGCGUAGCUGGAAAUCACGUUUGCUCAAAUAUAAACACAUGUUUUAAAAUAAAAUUUAGAGAAAAAAAUGAAAAAUAAAUAUCCAUUGCAUAAAUUAUAAUUAGACUUGAUAUGUGAAAAGAAAGAACUGUUGGACAACCCUAAGCAAUACUAAUGAUUUUUUUUUUUCAAUUAAUUUUUUACAUUAUUUAUUUCUACCAAUUUUUUAUUUAUAAAAAGUUCAAAAUAAAACCAAACCGUGUAGAAUUAUUUCAAAAUCAAUCCUUAUUUUUCAAGCAUACAUCUCUAAUUACAUAUUCACUUUCCUUUUGUGAUUUAAAUAUCACUAAUAAAUUUUAUUAUAAUAAUAUAAUGUAAUAUAUUUUCUUAUUAAUAAUUGUUAUUGAUGUAUUUAAAUAAUUAAUUUUUUUCCACUUUGAAAUGUUAUUGGUACACGAGGAAUACUAGUGUAAGAUUUUGUUUUCCAUAUAGGAACAUAAAUGUAUUUCAACGAGUGAUAUGUAAUAACUUAUUAUUAGGAGUGAAAGUCGGAUGAAUCGGAUCGGAAUUAGCUUUUUCGAAUUUUUUUUGAAAAAAAUCGCAAUCUAAAAAUUCAUCUCAAUUCCAAAAGGACCGAAAUUUUUAGAAUUAUGGAAAAUUCUCAGAAAUCACAUAAGUUUUAAAAUUUCAAAACUUAGUGGAAAUUUUUUGAAAAUUUCAUAUCAAAAAAUAAAAACAUCCACGUCGAUAAAUGUAAAACUAAUCACUACUAAAUUUCAGUUAAAAAAAUAAAUAAAAUAAAACACAUCAUAAUAUCCAAUAAAACUGCUAGCAGCAAUUCAAUAUGUCAAAAUCUUAAAACAAAACUUAAAUAUAACAUAAGAGAAACUAGAGUUUUCCGUAAAAAAAACUAAGGUUUUUUAGGUGACAUAUAGCAUAAGAAAAUCUUUGACAUGCCCAUAAAAUAUAAAUACAAAUAAAUCAUUAGUUUAUUUUGAAUUAUGUAAAAUAAGUAUUAUAUAAUAUAUAUUAUAAAUACAAUUAAAUCCUUAGUUUAUUUUGAAUUAUGUAAAAUAAGUAUUAUAUAAUAUAUAUUAUUUAUAGGUGUAUUUCUCGGAAAAAAAUAGAGAAUUUUAGAAUUAAUUUCGAAAAUUAAAUCGGAUUGGAAAUCGAAAAUUCCAACUUUUUUUUUUUAUAUAAUUCCAAUUAUAGUAAAAAAACAUCAGAAAUUGGUAUUUCGAAAUCAGAAUGAAAAAGUUUUUCCAAAAUUGAUUUUUUUUGGAUCUGAACCGGUGAAAAAUAGAAAUUUUGUUCCAACUUGCACCUCUAGUAAUUAUAAUAUUGUUGCUGGAAAUAAAACUUAUCCAAACGAUCUAAACUUUAGCAAAGUUAUGAUGUUUGUUUUGGGUAUUUAUUUGUUUAUUUAUUUAUGGGUCCAUUUGAUAUACACCCUUAAUAUGGAAAAUAUAUAGGGAUAGGUCCACCCCUAAAAUUCUUCCUUUGAGAUAACCCCCUGGGGAGGCAAAAGUACUAUUGUGCCCUUAUAUCUAUUUUUUGCCCAACUGCAUUCAGUAUUUUUAGUAACUGCAUUCAGCAUUAUGAUCAACUGCAAUUAACAUUUAGACCUGCAUUUAUCAUAUUAUCAGAUUUUUUUAAUAAAAAAUUAUAAAUGUUUAUUUUAUUAUUAUUUUUUAUAUAUAGCUCUGUUGUAUUUUUAAUUUUUUAAUUUUUUUAAUUUUUUAAAAUUGUUUAAUUUUUGUAAUUUUUAAUUUUUUUAAUUUUUUAAUUUUUUAAAUUUUUUUAAUUUUUUAAAAUUUUUAAAAUUUUUAAUUUUUUUAAUUUUUUUUAUUUUUUAAUAUUUUUAAUUUUUUAAUUUUUUAAUUUUGUAAUUUUUUUAAUUUUUUUUAAUUUUUAAUUUUUAAUUUUGUUUCAAUAUUUUGAUAAAUUUACUGUAUUGAAAUUGACUACACAUGACUAUGGUAUAUAUAUUACAUAUGAUUAUAUAAAAAAAAACUUCAUCUACACCAAAAACAAAAAUUCACAAUUUAAUCUUGAUAUUAUAAAUCAAUUAAUACCCAACAAAAAAUUGGAAAAACACAAUCAUCAACAUCACUAUAGAUCAGAAAAAACACAUAACUUAUAUAGCUUAUAUAUAACAAUAUAUUACUACGAGUUACUACACGUAACUAUAUAUGACUACAUGUACAUGACUACACAUGACUAUAUAUGACUACAUGUAUAUGACUACACAUGACUAUAUAUGACUACAUGUAUAUGACUACACGUGACUAUAUAUGACUACACGUGACUAUAUAUGACUACAUGUAUAUGACUACACAUGACUAUAUAUGACUACAUGUAUAUGACUACACGUGACUAUAUAUGACUACAUGUAUAUGACUACGCGUGACUAUAUAUGACUACAUGUAUAUGACUACACGUGACUAAAUAUGACUAUAUGUAUAUGACCACGUGUGACUAUUUAUGACUUGAUAACGCAAAUCUCUCCUACACUGAAACAAGUACAGCCAAGUUUCGAAUAAGACGUAAUUCUCGAGAAACUGCCGGUCCUCCCACUGUAUCAUCACCGACUCGCCUGACAUACUCCUCAUCCAACACGAGAGUAGCUUCUAGAGUUGGUAGCCAAUCUGCUUGUUGAAGCCAAUGUCUCAAAGAAGAAUUGCCAUGAUACUGAACAUAAAAAUAAUUCAGACCUUCAAUCAUAUUGGAAAUAUGAAAUCAUUAGCACAUUAACUAAUAGAAUAAAUGAAAACGGCAGCACCCCUCUAGAUUGACUUUUUGAGAAAGAGAAACUUACACCAUGUACUAGAGUAAAUGAACCACUGUCAUCAUUUGUGGAUGAACAUAUAUAGCCAUGAACUUGAACCGAGUAAGAAUGGUACAUUACUCUACGGUGAGCCAGUCUUUUCAAUACCUGAAUGUAAUUUCACCAAGAAGACAUCAAAGUCGGACAAUAUAUCACCAUUUUCAAAAUGUAACUUACUAAUAUUAAAAUCAGCCUUAUAGGAAUAUAAAGGAAAAAUUCUCAGUUGGAUACCCAUAACAUAUACAAUAAUUAAUUGCAAGUCAAAGGCAACAAACUUUGCAUCAAAUCAAGCAUCAACACCUAAUGUCAGAAUAAACAGUAAAAUCUGGGAAAUAACCACACAAUCAUUCAAUCAAAAUCCCAAAAUUACAAAAAAAAAAAAAAAAAAAAAGAGAUGCUCGUCAAAUUACCUGACUGAAUUUGGGUAAUUCCACCAUCACCAGAUCCACAACUCAUACGACGAGCAAAUCGAGACCAGCGGCACCCUCAACAUCAGCGGCCAGAAGAGCAACCGUGACGAGGACGGCAGGAGCGAUCUCGACGGCGGCAACAACGGAACCCCGCCGGGGCGCUGGUUGGAGGCUCCGGAGAAGGAGGAUGAUAUAUGUACACCAACAAGAGACCGAUGGUUCGCCUAGAUCUGUCGGCACCAGAUCUGGCGAGGGAGAAUCAGAGAGAGGGAGAUAUGAAGAGAGAGGGGGAGAGAUUAAACGACAGGCCGCGCAAGAUGGUGGGGGAGCAGUGGGGGAGUAGUGGCGGCGGCCGGCGCAAGACGGUGAGACGGUGGGGAGCAGCGAGACAGAGUAAGAAAGAGGGAGAGAUGAAGAGAGAGGGUGAGAAUGGCGGUGUGGUUGAAACCGUGUGAGUGAGAAGAGAUAAGAUUAGGGUAUAUAUUGAAUUAAAAUUAAAAGGGUAAAACAGGUACUUCAAGUUGUUCAGGGGGGUCUCACUAAUUAAGAUCAGAAUUUUGGGUUUUUGACUAGAGUAGAAAUAUUCAUUGGGUCUCCUCAUAUAUAUUUUCAAAAGUAGGGGUGUAUCACUAAUUUCCCCUUUAUUUAUUUGUUCGAAGGGCGGCUAAAUACGUGCCAAACUAUGUUGCUUUCCACUAAUAAGCAAUCUUGUGAAAUAAGGUUAAAACAACCUUGCAUUCCAAAAUAUUCCAAGAAAGGAAAGUGGAUAAGGUUGAAAAGAAGAAAAAAAGAAAGAAAAUACUAUAUAUAUACACAUGAAUGCUUUGUAUUCAAAGAAAAGCAAAGCAAAGCAAACCUUUUCAAAGAAUACAUAUACGGGCUUUGACGCAGAAUGGAAGCACGGUAAAAAAAUAAUUUCUACGAAUUAAUCCUAUAGAAUAAAAUAACAUUCAGAAUCCACCGAAAACUCUGGAAUCCACCAGAAAAAUAGAGAAAACUUUAAAAAUUUUAUUAAAAUUCGAAAUCCUCCUCAAAAUAAAGUCCUAAGACAACUAUUUAUACUAAAAAACUGAAAACCCUAAUUAAACUAAGAAAAUACUAAAAAUUACCAAAAACGGCAAAAACAAGUUAAAUCCUGAUUCUAGUAGAUCUCGUAAUUUUGGGAACAACCCAAUUUACGGAAUCCUAAUACAAUGUUUCUAUGAUUUGAUAUUAAUUUUCUAAAACUUACAUAAAAUAGCAAAAACAAACUUUUAGAAGUCUAAACAACGUUGGAUUGCUGAAAUUUGACAUGGUUCAUGAGCUUUGCUGAUGAGUUUUGUUCCUUACGCCGUUUCACUUGAGAUAGAGUUUGAUUCGUACUCAAAUACAAUUUGAGUUCGUAGAAAAUCCUUACUUUUCCAUAAUUUCUUUCGAUAUUUCCACCAAUGCCCAUUUAUAACCCUUGUCCGAAUUAAAUAGUUACUUUGCAAUUCGAAUCCAAUAUGACGUUCCUUAUCAGGCUUCUUUAUUAUGUUAGCUAUUUUCUUCUCACGUUUGGUUCACUAAUGAAUCUACACAAUAUAACCCCCUUACUUAAAUAAUCGACUAGUUCAUAACCUCGUUAAAAUAAUGAUUUCGAUCGGUCCCAACUUGAGGCAAAUAAGGGUUUUAUUUCGGAAGACAUUCGUAUUUGAGUCCGUAACGAACCAUGUCUCAAGCAAAACAGCCCGAGGAACAAAAUUAGUGACCAAAGCUCAUGCAUCACUUAAUUCAGAUUUUGGAGAGUCAACGUCGUUUAGACCUUCAUACGCCCGUUUUAUUUUAGCUGAGAAAGUUCAUCUAGAAAAUUAAUAUCUUUUGCAGAAAAUUUGGAUUCAAAUUUCGUAAAUUGGGUUGUUUCUAGAGUGAACAAUUCUAUUAAAAUUAGAAAUUAUCUCGAUUUUUCAAUUUUUGAUAAUGUUUAGUAUCUUUCCAAGUUUAAUAGGUUUUUUAAUUUUAUUAGUAUAAAUAAGUUGACUAGGGUUCUCCUCCAACACAUUAUUUAAAAUUCAUUAAAAAAACUACGAGGUUUCUCUAUUUCAGGUGGAUUUAAGAUUUUUUUUUUGUUCUAUAGAGUUAAUUCGUAGAAAUUAUUUCUCUUCACACUUCCGUCCUACGUCAAUCUGGUUUGUACGAUUUCCACGAUCGAUCCGGAGCAAACCAUAUCUUGCAAUUCAUAUUCUGUUUUUUCGCUCGUUUAACAUAGGAACUUCUCAAAAUAUUUUUCUAUUUUUUUUUACCUUCGAGUGGAAAUGAAUCAAAAUAUACUAUAAUUGACUCAUGCGUGAUUGUAUGAAAAAAUCACUGAUCAAGUCGAUUAGCAGAGAGGUCAUCGUUUUUCGUCCGAUGACCAAUUGGACAUACUAUAGGACAUAUUAUACAUUAGAUCUUCCCCAAGAUAAUACAUGUACAAUGAUUGGUCAAUGUUUACAAUUUUAGAUGACAUAGAAUGUUCAAUAUAUUCGAAGCGUUUUAAUUUUCAAAAUAAAGUGUUGGUAAUUUGGUGAUAGUUUACAGAUAAAAAGUAAAGUUUUGAUUUAUGGUGUAUAUUGUAUGAUAUAUUGGAUUUUGUUUGAUUGUUUGGUAAGAUGAAAUUGAAGUAUUGAAGUGAAAGUUAGAUGAAGUUAACAACUUCUGGAUGCAAGUUUCAAAUACAUAUUCUAAGAGGAAUAAAAAAAGGAAAUACAACUCAACAUUUGGAAUUUGAUUUUUUCUUUUUUCUUUCUUUCGGUAAAGUACACCAUCUCUGAUAGUAUAUAAUAUGGAGUAAACUGCAAAAAGUACCCCUGUGUAAUCUCUAAAUAGCGAAAACCCCCAUAUGAUAAAUAAACUAGCAAAAACCCCCAUGUGAAAUUAUUUAAAUAGCACACUCGGCCCAUUUAUCAUUUGAGUGUUGACUUCAUAUAAAAAGACACAAAUACCCCCGGAUUUUGUAAUUAAUAAAUUCUUAUAUUUUUUAAAUAUUUUAAUUAUUUUAUUUUUGUUAUAUCUUAAUUAUAAAGGUACAAUGGGGUCUUUAAUUAAUUUUUAUUUUUAUUAUCACAUAAUUUUUGUAUAUAUUUUAAAUUAUUGCUACAUGAAAAGAAAAUUCAAAUUCCGUUAUUAUGUAUUUAAAAAAAUCUAUACUUAAUUUGAUUAACAAAUUUUUAAUAAUUUUUAAAUUUAAUUAUUUAAUAUUUUUUGACAAUAUUUUAAUUUCUAAACAAUCAAAUUAAAAGGAAAAUAUAUAUACAUAUAAUAUAUAUACAUAUAAAUACAUUUUUAGGGUCAAUUUCGUCAUUUCACGUCCAAAAACCUACUACCAGUCGCGCAACCCGCGAGUGAGCCACACUUACGUCAACCGGGGGGGUUUUUGCCUUUGACUAAAUUUCACAGGGGGGUUUUUGCUAGUUUAUUUAUUACAGGGGAGUUUUUGCUAUUUAGAGAUUAUACAUGAGUGUUUUUUGCAGUUUACUCAUAUAAUAUGUAACGCUUGUCCUCUCGUACUUUCAAGAAUACACUUAAUGUUGCAAUUUCCAAGUGUUUAAUUUUACUAAAAAAACACUUUAUUUAUUUUAUAGUUUAUUAUAGAUAAUAUAUAUACUUUGAAAAAAAAAAAGAAGGAAAUAGAUACUUUAAAUUGUAUGUUAUAUGGGUCAUGUGGUUGGAUACUCGGAUACCCUUGCUACCAACUAUAUCGGCAUAUUUGGUAUAUGGGAAUGGGCAAGGAAUGGAAUACGUAUUCCCAAUUUCAUCCCAAAACACAUGUUUGGUAUGUUUUGGGAAUGGGAAUACCCAUUCCUACCGGAAUGGUCAUACCCAAAAUUAUAGGAUUAGUGAUUCCUCCACUCCACCAUGGUUUUACUCAUUCCCAAUCCUAUGGGAAUAAACAAUUAUUUUCUUUUGACAAAAUUAUCCUUAUUUUAAUAUUUUUUAUUUACAAAAUUAUCACGUAGAUUCCAUAUAACUUAAGCCUAAUUAAUCAAUUCUUCUAUCAAUUUAAAAAAUAAUAAAUUUAAAUAAGUAUUUAAAUAACUUUUAUUGUUAUUAAUCAUCACUGUUAUUUUUCUUAUGAUUGGCGUGUUUCAUUAUUAGUUGUGUUCUACAUGUCCUUUUUGUACUCAGUAUUUUUUUUCCUCCAGUUAAAAAUUAUAUCAAAAAAUAACAUAUUAUGAAGAGUAAUUGAAUUGUAAAAAACGUUUAAUCACAAAAAAAUUAAAAAUAAUAAAUUUAAAAAUCAAGGUAAUAAAUAAAAAAAAAUUGCUACAAUUUUUUUUAGUUAAAGGAUAAUAUGGUCAUUAAAAUAUUUUAUUUCAUUCCAAUACAUUUUAUUUAAGUUACCAAUCAUAAGAUUGAAACAAGGUAAGUAAUUAGAUUUCAUUCCUUUCUUAUUCCUCGUUUAUACCAAACAUAGGAAAUGGAACAAUAUUAUCAUUCCUUUUCCAUCAUUAUUCCAUUCCAAUGCUUAUUUCAUUCCUAUCUUAUUCCUUUCCUGCAUACCAAUUGUGCCGACAAAAAUAGGAAACAGUCACAGGGAAACGACAUGUCCCCAAAAUUAGGAUACAAAAAUUUAGGGAAAAUAUAUAAAUAUUUAAAAUAUAAGUGCAUAUUUAUAAAUACACUAUAUAAACAUAUAAGCUUUUAUUUAUAGAUAAACUCUUUUUAUAUGUUUUCAUACAAAUAUAUUCAAAAUAAAUUUUACUAUAACUAUCAAUUUGCAACUGAUCAAAAUCAUGUAAAUAAUUAGGUAAACAACGAAAAUAUUAGAAAAUUUGAUAUUCAAACAUGUUUCUAAAUUUUUAGAAAUUGAAAAAUGGCCCAUAAGUGUCCAACACGUGUCUUCGAGUUUCCGGCACGAAACGUGUCCGUUACGCAGAAACGUUAAAAAAAUAGAAAUUAAAGUUUUCAUACUACAUAGUGUAUUACUACUAGAAAAACUGCUUAUUGUAACGCCUUAAAUGGUCACUACUGUGACCUACUGCACCAUUUUGGCUAUUGUGGUGCAUAAUAAAAGCGGCGUAUAGGCGCCCGACAUAGUAUCUUAUUGCGACAUCAGUCUCGUCUCAACAACUUGACUAUUACGACUCAUUAACAUCUACAUUGUUUUUGCAUCUAAUAGUUUUCCUUUUUUUUUUAGGUACUCUGAUUCUCACACUUAAUAAUUAAUAACUAGGGAUACUAUUGUAAUUUGUAGGAUAUGCUUAAACCAAAAGUAUGAAUUUCAAAUGAGAUGAUCUAAAGAAAUCAAUCACACCAAAAAUUUGACAUCCUUUAUGACGCCUUGUUCAUCCCAAAUAUAGAUAUUUUGUGACGCUCAUAAUUGUUAAUGAUCUAGGCCAAUUUGCAUUCACCUUAAUAGAGAGGGCUUGGGCUCAUUGGACUGUUGGGCCCUUUAGCCUUUGGAGCAACAUCGACCCAAUUAGAGAAAUGAAGGCCCCUUUGUGGUCAUCAACAUGGGAUAGACAAGACAACUUGAGAAACGGUGUUAGGAAUAAAACGGAAAGUCUGCAGGUAGUAAUUAAACAUCUAAUGUCCAAAGCCAGCUCUCCCUAGGGAAGAGUAACCUCGUCCCUAUAAAGGUUAACCUCGCCUAAAGGACGAAGUUGUCUCACCUAAAGCUAUCUUUAUCUCGCCUAAAGGUAAAUAGUGGAGGAGAGGUUGAUGUGAGGAGACAUUUGGCAGACUAGGAUAGGUGGACGGCAGUGAAGUAGGUCAGUACAGGCCCCCCACGUGGCAAGGUAGGUAAAGGGCGGCAAGAGAACCAAUGUAAGCCUUCUACGUGACAAGAUGGGCCCCAUAAGACUCAUAGGGUGUUAGUAUAAAUACUGCCUCUCAUAUUAGUACUGGGGUUGCCAUUUUUAUAUAAAGAAGACAUACAUGUAUUUUGAUCUUUAAAAGUAAUAUAUUGUGAUCGGAUUGAUCAUCGCAGCUAUUAUUCCGACCCACAUUAUUUUAUAUUUAUUUCCUGCUCAUUCAAUCAGAUAACAUUUAAAUAUCUACCCUAUUUAAUUAUAUUUGUACUUUAAUUGAUUGAUUUUGUGUUUUAUAGGUGAAAAACGAGAAUUAUGUGUCCAUGAAGGAAAAAAGAUCAAAAAGAAAGGAAAAAGUUGCAAACAAGGAAAUAAAUCAAAUUGGAAGAAGGAAUCUUGCCACAUCUUUGGCAGUGUCCACCAUUUCGAGCAUAUCUCUCACAUACAAACUCCAAAUCAGCUGAUUUUGGCGGCAUUGGAAAUCUAAUUUCAAGGGCUACAAUUCUUAUUUAGGAAACGUUCCAAAAUUCGGACUCCAACAUGGCGAAAAUCGAAGAACAAUUCCUGAUGGGGGAAAGUGGCGGGAAUUGAUUCCUAUUAGGUUUCCACUACUUCCUUAUCAAGAAAAGCUUGUAAAAGCAACAAGUCUCUACACCAUAAGCACGAAAUUUGACACCACAAUACGCGAGGAACGAAGAUCAACGAAGACUCAAGCAUAGUUUUUCUUAUUUAAUUUAUUUCUUUUAUUUUCUUUAUCAUAAGAAUCACGAGUAGCUAAGUCUUUAGUUUCUAGGAUUUUAUUUGGAACCCUAUGUGGGAUUUAUGAACACUUUUCUAUGAUUUUAUGCAAGUUUUAAUUCCGGAUUAUUUCUUUUACUUGUUUUGUUAAGUGCAUAAAUUUGAUCACCUUAUGUGCUUUUAUGUUAUUGUUAAUCGCAUGAAUCAGAAGAUCGGGUUAAUAAUUAGAACUGUGGUAGAAGGUCCUUUGUGGUGUUAACAUAGGAAUAUAGUUAAUCUCUUAGGUAUCCAUUAUUGAGAUUUAUGCUUAAUGAUGUGUUCUAGAAUUAAUUGCGUAGGAAUACAAUGAUUGAAUCUAGAGUAUUAGAAUCGUAAUACACGCGGAAGCGGGUUAUGAUUAAUUUAGCAUCUCAGGUUAAUAAUACGGGUUAAUUACUUGCAUAAUUGAAGAAAUUGGGGGAGUAAUAAUCACAUAGGGGGAAGAAUAAAAUCAUAUGCUUGUUUACUUUGGUUAAUCUUCGUGUUUAAUUUGCUUUUUUGCUUUGUCCUUUUAAUUUGCUUUAAUUUAGUUUAAUUUAGUUAAUUUCCUCUAAAGUCGACUGUGUAGGGUUGGCUUGAUAACAAUUGGUAGAAUUUAGCGUCUAGGGUUAGAUAAUUAAAUAUUCUCCGUGGGAUCGAUAUGCGGACUUAAUUGUCCACUUUAUUACUUGUACGAUACGUGCACUUGCGUGUAGGUAUUGCAACCAACACACAUUACGAGAGUCUUCUCAACUCUGGUUAAGUCAAAUACGUGAAGAAUCUAUAAAGAGUUUCAAAAUGUUCAGUUCCAUGUUACUAGAACAUUUCGCAAGCUCCAAAAGACAAAAUAACUCAUCUCUCACGUUGUUCAGUGUUCGACAAGAAGGGUGGGAGUCCUUGAGAAACUUUGUUCGCCGUUUGAGAAACUUGUAGGAUGUUCUCACGAACGCCUUGAUGCAAGUAUUGAAGGAUGACGAGCUUUUUAGGUCGCUCGCAAAGAGAUCACCUUCCACAUAUGAAGAGCUGUUGAAGCGAAAAGAAAAGUAUAUUACUAUGGAAGAGCCGAGGAAGAUGACGGAGGACGAAGUGGAAGUCUUACCUGUUCGACGCAAUAGUGGACGGGCUGCCCUGCGACCCCACGAGAUAGAGAUCCUUCGGGGCCCAGUUGAUGUACCCCAGCUCAGGAGAUGCCCGAGCGAGAAUACAAAAAGGCCCGAUAGACUAACUACGCUGUCUUGAGUAAGACGCCCACACAAGUGUUGAUGGUCGUUGACAUAUAGUAAAGGGCCCACGGGACAUCCUAAUGAGAAAGGAUACUGUUGAUAUCACAAUAAAUAUGGCCACCAGACGGACGUGUGUAGUCAUUUGAAAGAUGAGUUGGAGAGGUUAGCUCGGGAGAACAUGCUGAAUAGGUUUAUCGGAACGCGAGAUGGGGAUCAUAGGCCGGAUCUCGCAGCUCGGUGACAGAGGACUCUAGAAAGGUAUGUGGAAAGAAACCAUUUAAGCGACGUGACAUGAGCGUGAAAGGGGUUUAAGAACCAGUUUUCUUUUUAUAAGGGUUAUAAAAUCACUUAUUUUGGGUUUUUUACCCCAUAUUGUAGGGUGGAUCUCGAAAGAUAUGAAAGACUCCCUCCAAGCCGUACAUACGACUUUCAUCGAAUAAGACUUUCCGCAGAAUUCUAUAUGUAUCUAUGAGAUCGAGUAUGGAAUGUUGUUUACUCACUUUAAAUUGAGUAUCCGUUGCCCUCCCUUUUUACACUAUUUCGGAAACUCAAGGACUAAAUCGUAUGGAUAUGUAAAAUAUAGGAUUGGUAUACCUAUGAAUUCCAUUGGACCCAUAAAUGAGACAUUGAAAGAAUCGGUUGGGUCUUCUAUAUCAAUAGGUUGAUUGUUUCGCAAUGAUACAAUUACCUACUUUUAUGACAACUAUAGGCGUCCCAAAAUAUAGAUAUGAUGACGCUUCCGACAUGGCAAUAAAUUUAAGUUCAUGACUACUCAAGUGUCUCCAUAACUAUAUGUUAUGAUGUUGUUUGUCUUCAAAAUUGUACAAUUGUGACUAGGGGUGGAGAUUGGCCGGAUCGAAUCGGAUAUGGGCUCUUCGGAAAAAUUCUGAUUUUUUUCGUAACUCAAAUGUCACUUCCAAUUCCAAUUCCGAAAAUUUUGAAAUCUGAAAAUGAGUUCCGAUUCCGAUUUUUUCGGAAUUUUCGGAAUAAAAGGGAAGAACAAGAAAAAAAUCCCAAAGCACCGAAAAAGCAGUCAAAACCCAACAACAAUCGACGACAAAUCUCUCUACACAGCAAAACAAUCAAAAAAUUAUAUUCUCUUCUUAUUACCCGAAAAAAUGAACAGAUUACACACAAAUAAUUCCUAAAAUAUCUACCAAGGUUAGAAAAAUAGAAAAAAUAUAUUUGUAGAUAGCUGAGACCCGUGACAGCCAAGACUUAAGCCAGCCCGACAAGGACGCCUUUGCCCUUUGGGUGUUCGAAGAAACGAUCAUUAUCAUAUGAAAUGCAGCUGGAUGUUGAAGAAGAAGAAGAAGAAGAAGAAGAAGAAGAAAAAAAAGAGGGGUGUCCAAGGGUAAGAGACUAAAAGAGGAUGAUGAUGGAUUCACUUUGACUAAUUUUGCAAAUAUAAGGCGUCAAAAUGAGCCUUUUGUUUAUGCAUCUCAAGUUGUGCAAGUAUUUUACGUAGAUGAUCCGAGCGAAAAAGAUUGGCAUGUGGUUGUAAAAACUAAGGCUAGAGACAAGUAUGAUGAUGUGAAAGACUUAUGGGCUGACGAUAUUGACACUAUUUUACAAAGUAAAACUUGCAAUGAUCGUCCUAUUAUUGAGGAUGAAGCUGUUGUUUGGGUGCGAGACGGAGUCCCUGAAAUUCCAGUGGAUCACUUAGAAGAAAAUCAUGUAGAAGAUACAUAGGACGUGCUCAGCUGCAUUUAGUAUUUACUAUUUUGUAUUAGAGUUAUUCUUUCUUAUAAUGAUAAUGAAUGAGAAUUUCUUUUCAUGGACAAUAACAGUAAUGAAUCAUUAAUACUAUUAUUGAUCUUUAGAUAGUAUUUAUGUGGCAAUUUUUUUAAUUUAUUGAUUAUAAUUACUAGUUUUAAUAACUUUUCACUGUUAAGAUUGAAUUUACAGUUUGUUAUAUUUCAGGUAUGGCAAGAAUGAAGAAUGGCAUGCUGGUAUCAGCUGGAACUCUAGAUCAGCAGAAUGGAGAUACCUCAAGUAAGUUUUAAUUAUAAAACUGCAUUAUUUCUUUAUUUAUUAUUCAUGAUAUAAAUUUUGUAGGAAUGGAAAGCAUAAGACGUGGUAAACGUGUCAGGCAUGAGCAUGAAAAUCAUCAAUCUGAUUCACAUUCAAAUGACUUAGAAAAUGAGACACGUGAUAUGGUUUAAAAAUAUCAAUAAUAAUAUUAACAGUUUUGGACGAACUUGAUUUCCUUUUUAUUAAUCAAAAUUUGUAUUUAAUUUUGCAGAAUUUUUUUGUGAUAAAAAAACUAGAGGACCUACUUAUAUGGCUCGUGUUUGGGUUAGGAGAAGUCGAAAAGAAGUUGAGUUCAAUGAGUUUCGACAAGCCAUUGGUCCUAAUAAAAGCGAAUACGUGGAAUUCAUUGGUACGUUAGUAAGAAAUGGUAAAUUAGUUCCAUUGAAUAUGACAGAUCGGCAUAAUGUGCCAAAGCCAUUGAAAAGCAAAUUGUUGGAGUUAGUUAAGGUAAUAUGAAACGCUAUUCUUCUUAAUUUAUUUUCUUAUUUGAUAUAUUGUGAUAUUUUGUAACUGCAUUUUCAUUUUGGUAAUGUAGGAGAAGUUUUGUGAUGCACCGAACUUUGAAAAGCACACUAUGAUGAAUUUAGCUAAAAGUUGGAGAAAUUGGAAGAAUAGAGUAAAAAAAAACAAUUCGAUGAAAAAUUACCAUUGGAGCAAAACAUGCGCAAACGUCCUGAUGCUGAUGAUGAAAGAGUCUUCCCUGAUCAAUGGAAAGACUUGGUGCUUUAUUGGAGCUCUGAUGCAGCAAAAGUAAGUUAACGUUAUUAUAUUUUGUAUGAACGGUAUAUUAAUACUUAUUAUUGCUAUAAAUGAAUAAAUAUAGAUUAUAUAUUAAUGUUAACUGAAGUGCAUUUUCCUAUAUAUUUAGAAGAUAAGUGACAAAAAUAAAGCUAAUAGAAAAAAAAGACUAUUGAUCACAUUACUGGAAAGAGAAGUUUUGCUCAAGUGAGAGAGAAUAUGAAGGUUAGUAUGAUUGUAAAAUAUGUUAAUGUUAUAACAUAUUAAUUAAGUGUAAACUUCUUGAGUAAUGUAUUUAUGCAAGUGAGUGUUCUAUUUUGCAGAAACAGUUAUUGACCUUGCAAGAAGUAGAGUAUGAUGAUGAAAGAACUGACGAUGAAAGAGAUGUUGAUGAACUUAGGAAUGAUAAUGAACCAACAAGAAUGGAUCUUUUUGCCAAGUGUUAUACCAAAAAAGGGGAGACGUCUAAUCCCGACAUAGCAGAUUAUUUGGUAUAUAUGAUUUUUUUUCGUACUUCAAGAACUGAAUCAACCUUUCUUAACCAAACUUAUUUGCACAAUUUGUGACUUUAGGAGAACUAAUUAGAAAUAUGUGUUGUAUAUUUGGUGCUAUAAUGUGAUUUAUUUUUAUGUACAGCGAAAGAUGAAAGAACUUGUUAGUGGACUAGCGAAAGAUGAAAGAACUUGUUAGUGGACUUCCUCCUGGUGCUAAAGAUACGGGCCCGAAUGAUAUAUUUUCUCAAGUUGCUGGCAAGAUAAAGGGGGAAGAGUAAAGAUGUACGGAAAAUGUGUCACUGCAUCUAUUGUAUAUGGUGAUUUGCCUAGGCAAGGUAAAUAUGCGGCGCACGUAUAUGGGAAAUAAAAAUGAAUUUGAAGCAAUGAAGCAAAGACUUGAUCAGCAAGAUAAGCUUAUUAUGGAGCAGAGUAAACAAAUACAAGAGCUGAUAAAAAUGAACAAACAAAGAUUAGCACCAGAAGCCACCAAAGUUGUUUCAGUAUCUUCAUCUCAUGAUCAUUCAAUCUCUCGUCAUCCUUCAGUAUCAUCCUCUAGCAUGAUGCCUUUACGGGUAAGCUGACUACGAAUCUCAUAUAUAUAUAUAUAUACAUAUAUAUAUAUAUAUAUAUAUAUAUAUAUAUAUAUAUAUAUAUAUAUAUAUAUAUAUAUAUAUAUAUAUAUAUAUAUAUAUAUAUAUAUAUAUAUACAUAUAUAUAUAUAUAUAUAUAUAUAUGUAUAUUUUUUUUAUUACAAUCAGUUUUUAUGUUAAUACUUUGUUUACGAUUAAAAAGUUAAUUUUUAUUUUGAUUCUUUUCUUAUAACUUUGUAUGUAGUUGAAAAGUCAAGUAAAACUCGAUAAAUAUUAAUUGUAGGUCGGAGCAAAAGUAUCUAUGAGAAGUUUGAUUGAAUCAUCCAAGACUGUGGCUGUUGGUUAUAUUCGGAGCUUAGAUCCAUUAAAAGAAGUUGGACAAAUGCGUUUAGGAAAAAAAUGGUGUGAGGUUCACAUUAAUGUAGGAGUUGAACCAGAAGAGGAGUUACUUCGCCCUGUUUACCAUUUUAAAACUAUUGGCGAGGUUACUGGAAUGACGGUUGUUUGGCCACAAUAUUUGGUAAUAAUGUCGUUUAUAUGAUCUUAUGAAUAAUAUUAUAUUUUAACAGUGUAUUGAUUUCUGCUUAAUUGGUAUUUCUGAUCAUUUUAAUAGGUAAUUAUGGAUGCAUAAAGAAUUUUGAAGACGUAAUAUUUUUGGAUACUUUUGGAGAUUAGAUUUUCUUAAUUUUUUUUGGUGUUGGAUUACUUGUUAUUCAGACAUUACAAAAUGAAUGAUUUUAGAUUGUGAAACUUACUCUUUUCUAUUAUAUUAUAGGCUAAGGAUUUAUUCUGUUUGUUGAUGGAGAUUGAAUAUGGUUUUUUUUGUAUUUGAGUUCAAACACAGUUUCUUAUGUAUUAUGUAUAUACAUGAUUAAUAAUAUGUAAGUAGGGGACAUUAAAAAAUGCAAUCAGUAAGAUAUUACAAAUACCUAUUGAGACAAGUUGAACAGUCACUAUAGGGUUAUUCAUGAGGCACAAAGCGUCAUUAUUGAUGUAUUCAUGAGACACAAAAGCAUCCUAGAAAGUCUCUGUUGAGACGAAUAAAUCGUCACAAAAAACCACUUUAUGGGGCAGAGAAAUCAUCACACAAUCGAGUGUAUUAAGACAACAAAAAGCGUCAUAAUGUAAAUAUUUAAAGACGACCUAUAGCGUCAAGAUUUCUACAUUUAGAGACGCUAAAAACCAUCACGAUACCAACAUUUAAAGAUGCUCUUUGUCGUCAUAUAAGUAGGUUGUUAUGGUAGUUGAUGAUUAAUAAAGUGACGCAUGUAAUCAUCACGAUACAUCCAUAUUUGUGACGACAAAAGCGUCAUACUAACAGUCUUUUCGUGAUGCCUCCAAUCGCCACAAAAACUUAUCAUGACGGCCACCUAUGUGACGCUUUUAACUAUCGACGCAAUAGACUAAGCGUCUAGAUAGGCGGCUGUAGUGACACAUUGAGGCGUCACGAUAGGUACUUUUUCUAGUAGUGAAGGAGAAGCAAAGCGGCGCAGCUUCGAAGAAGUAAAAGAAUUAGGUUUGAAGCAAAAGAUGAGGUGGAUGGUGGGUGGGUGUAGUUUGUUGAAUGGGACAAUGAGUUAAAAUUCUAAUAUUUGUAAGACUAUUUUUAUGGCCCAGCCCAAAGUAGUGGCCUACUUUUAGUAUGAAAAUAUACAUAUAAUCCGGAAAAAAUCAGAAUUAUUUCGGAAAAAAUCGGAAUUAUCCGAAAAUAUUUUCGGAUCUGAAUUCGGAAAUUCCGUAAAUUUCAUAUCAAAUUCCGAUUCCAAUCCGAUUAUUUUUUGGAAAAUUCGGAAUUUGGAAUUUCGGAAUUCGGACUACAGAAAAUCGUUCCAAAAUCGGAAAUCUUUGGAUCGGAAUCGGCGGAAAUCGGAAACUUCGUUCCGAUUUCACCCGUAAUUGUGACAGUUCAUUGGUUCCAAUAUAAUCUAUAAUUUUUUUUAGGGAAAUCUACAUGAAACACGUGAAAAAAAAUAUAAAGUGCCCUAUUUCGUUCUACAUAGCACGAAAUAAAAUAAUCCAUUUCACGCGUAGCACGAAACAUAAAUUAUAUUAUUUUUAUUUUUGAAAUCGAUUGAUUCAACCUCAAACCUAACCUAAAUCGAUGCUAUUAGGGCACUAAACAACAAUCCGAUGCUAAAUUUACGUAAACAAGUAAUCCUUUAUCUCAAAUCGUUGCCGUAAUUGCUCGUUUAACUCCGAAUAGUUCGAAAAUAGUGUGAGAGGAUUUUGGUUCUUUUUUUUUUUAGAGAAUUGUGAGGUUUUCUUGUUGAAAAGUUACAAAUAAAUUAAAGUCACACUGUGUGCUUGUAAAUGUACGACUCAAAGAAUACGACGAAAUGGGUUUUUUCGACUGUUUACCCACCACAAAAAAUCGUAUCAAAGCCCAAAUGUUAUGAAUAGAUUCGAGAAGUUCCGAGAAUGUUGUGGAGAUAUCCCAGCCUAUUUUUGGUAAAAACUGGAUAAGAAGAAAUGUAUGUAAAAAAGGAGAGAACAAAGAAAAUAAGGGAGCAUUAAAACGACGGCGUUUUGUGAAAAUCCCCAAUAUCUUAAUUUUCCUGUCCUCGCUUUCAAAAGCUGCGAUCAUAACAUCCCAUCAAAUUUCUCCGUUCAAUCUGCCGCCGUCGCCGCCACCGUCUCCGCCGUCUUGUAAAUUUGGAGGUCAUCGGUCGAUCACGUAAUUCAAUUCUGAUCGUCUCUGCAAGAAACAGUUGUGAAGGAGAGAGAGAGGAAAAAACCUAAGAUAUAAUUAGAGAAAAUGGCUGUGAAUCCCCAACUUUACCCAAACGGGAUGCCUGUACCCUUCGUCAAUGAGAUAUUUGUCUUGGCCAGAGAUGGCGUCGAGUUUGAGAUCGACAAGAUCCCUGGGUUUGCCCCCUAAUCUCUCUCUCUCUCUAAAACUCUCUCUCUCUCUCUCUCUCUGAUUUUGCAAUUCGGUGUUAUUUCAAUUUGCUGUUUGGUUGCUUGUCGAUUUUGGUUGAAUCCACGACGAAUUAAAUCAAUCAAUAUUGGAUAACUGUUGUUGAUAUGGAAAUCAGAAUAAACCCUCUGUUAUGAUCAGAGAUUACAUAACUAACAUAAUUUUGUUGAACACAAAAUAUAACUUCAUCCUGUUUUUCAUUUUUUUUUUUGUUGGUUUAUUUGACUCACUUCAAUGGCUUCAUUGGAUAAUAAAUUCCAACUAUUUGCCUCUAAUUGAAGAAGGUGGAACUGUUGUUACUUCUCGUCGAAUCUUUAACAAUUACAACAAUUAUAUAUCUAUGCUCCAGGCUUGUAGCGUAGUAUUUACCAAUAAUUCGUAGAUUUUCCGCUAAUGAUCAAUAAAUUUGGGUGUGUCCUGUUAAUGUUAAUUCCAAUAUGAUCAUCCUUCUAGUGCUCUUCUUGAUGCCUCGAUAGUUUGUCGAAACUGUUGCGCAGUUUAUCUAUUCUGUCGGACGUCUUUGAAGCUAAAUUUCAGGCUUUAUCGUCCGUAUUUAAUGUUUUCUUUUACAUGAUAUAUAUUAUUUUGAUUAGGAAUCGGAUUUUGACUUUUCAUUUAUUUUUGAAGGUAAAAAGUCGAUACAAAAUAAAAAUGUGUUCAAUAAUUCAUUAUUAUUCUUAUUUUCCUCUUUUUUUCUCAACUACCGAACAAAAUUAGUGAAAUUGAUUUUCCAUAAAAUCAUUUUCGUUACUAUUUUUAUUAAGAACCCGUUUUCUUUUUCCUCAUUUCGAAAUCCAUGAACCAAACGAAGCCUAUAAGCAAUAUAUUGUACACUGAUAAUCGUAAAUGGGUUUUUUCGUGUUUUACACACUCAGGAAUCAAGGUGGGAAUGUUAAAGGUAAAGGAACGAUCUUCUUGUCAAAUAUCCGAAUGGUCUUUGUUGCAAGCAAACCUGUUGGGAAUUUUGUUGCGUUUGAUAUGCCCCUGGUAUGUAUUAUAUAUCACCACCCUCGUUUGCCACUCUUAAAACCAUUGCUGUAAUAAUUGUUACCGUUGUGCCACAUAGACCUAUUGUUCGCUCGGGUAGUUUUGCAUUUUCUCUGAAAGUCGUUGCUUUCAAAUAUAUGAGAGCAUCCUGAGGAAAGCAAAUUUUCGCCCGAAUCCAUUGUUGAGGAGCUAUUUUGCUUCAAUUUCUUUUAAUUUAAAAAAAGAAAAGAAAAAAGAAAGAAUGAAAGAUUCAGUUUCGGCUCUGGUAUCAUAUACAAGUUUUUGUGGCGGGAGAUAUGUAGAGCAUGAGUUGUUAGUGUAAUGACGAUACUUUGUAGGGCAAAUUGCGGCCACCCCCUGAGGUAUGGUCAAAUUACAAAAAAACACCUCUUGCUUGGGUAAUUACAGCCACCCCCUCUUUUUAAAUAUUUUUACAUAAAAUUUAUGUAAUUCGGUUAUUUAUCGAACCAAAUCGUAUAUUCAGUUCGGUAAACAGUAUGAAACGUUGGCGUACCGAAAUUUCGGUCCGGUUUUACCGAUUUAGCAUCCCUAAAUUUACCUAUAGAGGGGUUUUUUCGUAAGAUAAUACUUGAGGGGUGGCUGUAAUUACCCAAACGGGAGGGGUUUUUCGUAAUUUGACCAUAACUCAAGGGGUUGCCGUAAUUUGCCCUACUUUUUAUCUUGUUCGGUUUUCAUGCUUCUUGUGUUUAAUUUGUUGGAUUUGUUCGGUUUUUAAUCCAGCAUUGGAAUUUCUGUUGCAGCUCUAUGUUCAUGGAGAAAAAUUCAACCAGCCAAUUUUCUAUUGCAACAAUAUUUCUGGGCGUGUUGAUCCUGUAAGCCCAAAUAACUUGCAAAUAUUUCGAUCUUCUUCUAUGUUCUUAUACUUAUUAUAUAUAUAUAUAUAUAUAUAUAUAUAUAUAUAAACAUGUCUGAAACCCGUUAUCGCAGGUUGUGCCUAGUACAGAACACCAGGCUUUAUAUUCAGCGCAUUCGUUCAAGAUUCUGUUCAAAGAAGGCGGUUGUGGAACUUUUAUCCCUCUCUUCUUCAACUUAAUUGCUUCUGUCCGACAAUAUAACCGACAUGUUAGUGCAGAGGCCGUACAGCCACGAGUGGAUCCUCUCCAAGCAUCACAAACUCCCGUCGAUGAGAUGAUGAGACACGCGUACGUGUUUACACUUAUUUAUUCUCUUUUUUGAUUUAAAAUUAUUCGUUGAUUUUUUUUUAUAUUGUAAUAAAACAAUGUGUUCGUUUUGCAGAUACGUUGAUCCUAAUGAUCCGACAAGAAUUUUCCUGCAGCAGCCAAAUUCAGAGAGUCAGUUGAGGCGCCGUACAUACCACUCUCAAAAUACCGACAACUAAAUAUGAUUAUUAUUUACCGACUUCGCCUUUUGUGUAUUCUGUUGAACUCGAAGUCAAAGCCCUGUUUUAUGUAUUUGUUCAUCAGUGUCGUCUACUACUACUACUACUACUACUACUUCUACUACUACUUUUAUUUGUGACGUCGUCAGAUAUUUAAGGUUAUAUUUGAAUGUGAUGAGUUCAGACAAGGAUUUCAAAUUUAUAAUAUAUAUGUAUAUUUUUUUAAUUAUUGAACUUUGAAUGGACUCAUUUGUUUCGUGCGAUACGGAUCGCAUAAACUGCUGCAUGAGCCUCUGCAACCACAGGUUUUGGAUUACCAGAAAAAGUCCCAACACUAAACCAAACACAUUAACCAUCCCACGUCCCACCAUGGCGACUCUGUAAUAGUUUCUAACUCUGUAAUAAUUUCUACGGACCAAACACGUGCCACCAGAAAAUUAUGUGAUUUAGGGGCUAUUUGAGAAACUCCUCAAUACUUCUUUUAAUAUAGUGAUGUGUCAACUCAACAUUUCACUCUUUCCUUUCUUUUACUAUCUCAAAAUAGUCUUUCCACUAUCUUCUUCUCACUACUCAUAUCCCCAUUUUUUUUGUAAUUAAUUUUUCGUUUUUAAUUUUUAAUUUUAAUUUAUAGUUUUUUUUUUAUAUUUUUCUGUUAGGGUACUAAUCGAUUAUGAUAUUAAUCGACUAAGACAUAGUUGAUUAACGAACUGACACCUAAAAUUGUGGUUACAUAAUGAAAUUGACUAUUAAAAGCAACAAAAACAACUGUAAUGCCGCAAUGAAAGCCCAAUACAAUUCAACAAAAAAAGUCCAAACAAAUAACCAACAGAAAAAAAAAAAAACAAAAAUCAAAUACUUUUUACAAAAUAACAAAUAUACAAAAAAUGUAUUGAUUUAUACAAAUCGGACGAUGGAUUGACAAUGGCAGAACACAAAUACACCACCGAUGUAGCCCAUGUCCAACUACACUUGACGAAAUAGGGAAUCAAUAUCCAACAAUUAAAAAAUGAAUUAAAAAACGUAGAGAUUAACCUUAACCGACUACUCACGAUUAAACCUUAAUCGACUAUUGAACAUAGUCGGUUAAGGGUCCAGCCUCUGCGAAUUUCUCUAUCCACGCCAUCCUGUGUUCGAUAUACCCAAAACUGCCCACAUCGUCACCACGUCGUCGCCACACCACACCAUCACCAUCCCCUACCAUUAACAUCAUCCGCCUCACCAUGUUCACCUUCAACAUCUCCCCGCCGCUGCCACCACCAACAAACGCCGUAAUGCCAGAAUUUCCACAUCCAACCACCAACAAGUUAUACCAACUAUAAGUAUCUCCGCUCUUGUACUCAAUGGUAUGCACGAACUCACCAUUGAACUCCUCCGCCCCUUCAAUCUCAGAGAGAAGAAGAUAAAAAAUGAGAAGAAAAGCAGAUCAAGAGAAAAAACAAAAAGAAUGACGUGAGAAGGGUGAAAAGAGAGACGACAGAUUGAGGGAAAAAAAGGAUGAAUGAAGUAACAAAAGGGAGUAGGGGUUAAGAAUAUGAGUACAAUGGGUAGUUUACCUUUAUUAAUUACCAAGCUAACAACAAAAGAGGUUUUCUCUAAUUAUUUUUUUGAAUGAGUUUUUUCUUACAUAUGGAGAUUUCAAAACUGCAAACUGCGAACGAUUCUUGCCAUUUGAUUCAUAGCUAUGGCAAGGUAGGGCGAAGCUAUUGCAAAUAUAAAUUUUAAAACUGCAAACUGCGAACGAUUCCUAACAAUAGCAGGGGAGGGACGAAGCAAUUGCAAACAAAGAUUCAAAACUGCAAACUGCGAACGAUUUUUAAUUAUGGAAUGGCAUGGACAAAGCAAUUUUUAUUUAGACCUCUUUGAUUUUUCUGAAAUUAAUUAAAGAUUUGGAAAUAAGGAAUACCAAUAUUGAUUACAUAUCUUUUCGGGAGAAAUUUCGGGAUUAAAGAUUAUACAAAGUAGGCUAUUAAUUUGGAGAUUUUUAUUUCCAUAUAUUAUUACGGGUAUUUUUAACAUAAUAAUUACAAUAUAUUUACUUAAAAUUAAGAGUUAUUAGUUGGUAAUAAUAACUCCAGCAGUUGUGCUAAAAUUUAUCACUUCUUAUCAAAUUAUUGAUAAGGAACGUCAAAUUGGAUUCGUGUUGCUAAAUAACUAUUUAAUUCGGAGAAGAGUUAUUAAUGGACAUUGGUGGAAAUAUCGAAAGAAAUUAUGGAAAAAUAAGGGUUUUCGAAGAACUCAAAUUGUAUUUGCGUACGAAACGAACUCUAUCUCAAGUGAAACGGCGCAAGGAACAAAACUCAUGAGCAAAGCUCAUGAAUCACGUCCAAUUUUAGCAAUCCAACGUCGUUUAGACUCCUAAAAGUUCGUUUUUGCUAUUUUAGGAAAGUUUUAGAAAAUUAAUAUCAAAUCAUAGAAAAAUCGGAUUAGGAUUCCGUAAAUUAGGUUGUUCCCAAAAUUACGAGAUCUACUAGAAUCAGACUCUAACUCGUUUUUGCCGUUUUUGGUAAUUUUUAGUAUUUUCUUAUUUUAAUUAGGGUUUUCAGUUUUUUAGUAUAAAUAGCUGCCUUAGGACUUUAUUUUGGAAGAAUUUCGAAAUUUAAUAAAAUCCUUAGAGUUUUCUCUAUUUUUCUGGUGGAUUCCAGAGUUUUCGAUGGAUUCCGAAUGUUAUUUUGUUCUAUAGGAUUAAUUCGUAGAAAUUAAUUCUUUACCGUGCUUCCGUUCUGCGUCAGUUGGCAUCAGUAGCGAGGUUUUUCUUAGUUAGAUGGCGAAAGGUGCGAAACAUGGAGACAAAAACUACGUUGACGAUGACCGCGGGGUUGAUAAACUGCAAGAUCUGCGGUUGGUGCGCGAGGGAUUUGCCCUUGACAACAACAACAGAAGGACUGGAUCUAGCAUGAUGAUUGCCGACGGUGUAGCCCGAGGUGCAUAUGUUAGGAACAAUUAUCAUCAACCUGUUCAACUUCAAUCAAGGUAUGACGACUAUUCAAAGGCGCGGCAACUCUGAUUUUGAAGAAAAUCCGCCUAUAAGGAGGCAAAAGGAUCGUGAUAAAAAUCGGGUAAGAGCUGAAAUUCCUUCUUUUAGUGGAAAUUUUCUUGAAGUUGAGGAUUUUAUCGACUGGGUGUCAGAAGUCGAAAAUUAUUUUGAAUUGAUGGAUAUUUUGCCGAAUAAGAUGGUAAAAUUGGUUAGGUGUGAGUUAAAGGGUUGUGCAGCCGCAUGGUGGGAUGAAAUACAGAGGAAGAGAGCUAGACAGGAAAAGUUUCCAAUCCAAUCAUGGAGGAGGAUGAGAAAAAUGUUGAUGGAUCGUUUUUUACCCUUAGGUUAUGAGCAACGUCUAUUUCAACUAUAUCGUAAUUGUUCGCAAGGGUGUAGAUCUGUUAACAAGUAUACUGCUAAGUUUAUGAGACUAGCAAACUUAAAUAACCUGCAAGAAUCCGAAAGUAUGGAAAUUUCAAAGUACUUGCAAGGAUUGAAUAUUUCAAUCCGUCUUAGGAUGGGGUGGCGCGCAUUCGACUCUCUUGAAGAGGCUCAAGAGUUAGCAUGUAGGGAGGAAUAUUAUCAGAAGCGAAAUCGUUCUUCUAGAAAAACUGAAGAUGUUCCACUCGUUGUCAAAGUUAAGGAGGUACAAGAUACUUCGUUCGUUAUUGAAGCAUCCAGUUUGGUGGGAGAUCAUGGCGUACGAGUUAACGAAGUUGAAGACGAAAUUGUUGAUGCAAAAGUUAAAAUUAACGUAGCUAUGAUUAACGAUGACAUUAACGAAAUCAAGGUGAAAGUCGAUGAAGUUGAAGGGAGAGUCAACGAGGUUGAAGAGAGCAUCAACAUAGUCGAAGAGAGCGUCAACGGGGUAGAAGAGAACGUUAGCAAGGUUGAAGAGGGAGUCGAUGAGUUUCAAGAGGGUGUUAAAAACAAAUUUGAGGAAGAAUUUGAAGUUGUAAAAUUUGUUCAAGAAGAGGAAGGUGCACGUGAAGAGAAGGAACAAGUGGAUUGCGUUGAGGUAUGUGAUCUAAUUGUAGAUAGUGUUUGCUGUGAAGUUCCUGAAUCGGAGAAAUUGGUGGAGCCAUUGAGAUUUUCAAUUGAGAAGCCAAUUUUUCCAACGCCUCGUUUGGAUGAAGAUUUUGUAAGCGAGAUUUUUGUGCCGGGAAUAUUGGUGGAGCACUUGAAGUUGUUUCGAAAGAAAUAUUGUUAAGUGUAUAUUUUUACACUUUAUCGUAUCUUUUUAUUUGAGCUUUUGGUGUGUUUUAACGAUAAUUGGUGCUUAAAAAGUUGAUUUAUUGUAUUUUAGGUACAAAUUGAAGAAUUGGAAAGUAUGGGGUCAAAACUGCAAUUUUGGCAAAAAUAUGGGUCAAAAGUGAAAAUAUCAAAAUUCUGAAGAUUUAAGGCUCGGACCCCGUCCCAAUUUUAGUGCAAAUUGUGGGACCCCCGUCCGACACUCCGAAGUUGCGCAGUAAAGGGAUUUUAAUUGCACAAGGAAACUGCCUUCUUCCCCAAGUUCUUCACCCUAUAUAAGACCAAGCCAAUCACACAAUUGGGGAUCCAUCUUGGGACGCAAAUUCAAGAGCAAAGAAGAUCAACGAAGAUCCAAGCAUAGUUUUUCUUAUUUAAUUAAUUUAUUUUAUUUUAUUUAUCAUAAGAAUUACGAGUAGCUAAGUCUUUAUUUCUAGGAUUUUAUUUGGAACCCCAUGUGGGAUUUAUGAACCCAAUUCUAUGAUUUUAUGCAAGUUUUGAUUCCGGAUUAUUUCUUCUACUUGUUUUAUUCAGUGCAUGAACUUGAUCAACUUAUGUGCUUUUAUGUUAUUGUUAAUCGCAUGAAUCGGAAGAUCGGGUUAAUAAUUAGAACUGUGGUAGAAGAGCCUUUGUGGUAUUAACAUAGGAAUAUAGUUAAUCUCUUAGGUAGCCAUUAUUGAGAUUUGUGCUUAAUGCUGUGUUCUAGAAUUAAUUGCAUAGGAAUAUAGUAAUUGAAUCUAGAAUAUUAGUAUCGUAAUACACGCGGAAGCGAGUUAUGAUUAUUUUAGCAUCUCUGGUUAAUAAUCCGGGUUAAUUGCUUGCAUAAUUAGAGGAAUUGGGGGAGUAAUAAUCACAUAGGGGAAGAAUAAAAUCCUAGGCUUGUCUACUUUGAUUAAUCUUCGUUUUUAAAUUUUCUUUCUUGCUUUGUCGUUUUAAUUUGCCUUUUAAUUUAUUUUAGUUAAUUCUCUCUAAAGUCGACUGUGUAGGGUGGGCUUGAUAUUAAUUGGUAGAAUUUAGUGCCUAGGAUUAGAUAAUUAAAUAUUCCCUGUGAGUUCGAUAUCCGGACUUUUAGUCCACUAUAUUACUUGUACGAUACGUGCACUUGCGUGUAGGUUUUCGGCCAACAAGUUUUUGGCGCCGUUGCAGGGGAAUAUUUUAAUUAUCUAUUUUAUUCUAGCUCUAGAUUUGAACAAUUUUCACGAUUCACCCAAAUUAAUUUUUAUUUUUUCGCUUUAAUUUUUAAUAUUUUUCUCUUUGGUUACAUGUCAGGUUACAAUUUUCGCGCAACUCAAACGGGAUAUGAAUGGCUUCCGUCUGGCGAAUACCUCCAAAAUACCUAUAAUAUGCCGUUACUUUGCUCAAUAUGUGGUGGAGAUCAUUACGCUAACCAAUGUUGGUAUGCACUGAAGGCGAAUAAUUUCAUAGAUAAUACCAACAACGGUUAUUGGAACACAUACACCAACACGCCACGAGAACCCACUGUCCAGGAGUGUUAUUUGAACUCCGUCCUUGAAGAAUUUAUGAAAUCCACUCAAGCAUCUAUCCGGAGACUGGAGUUACAGUUGGAAGAAUUCAAGCGCCAAAGGUCUCUUGAAAAUAUUUCAGACAAUAUCGAGAAUGGUUGCAACAAAGAAAAUCCGUCUACAACUUGUAGUGAGAAAAAUCCUUUAGACCUAGAAAAUAUUGUCGAUGAGAAGGAAAAGGAACUUACGAAGACGCUUAACGAUGAUGAAUAUGAGAAUGCAAUCGAGCUCAACUCCAAAGAUGUCUCGGAACAAGAGAAGAAGGGGAUGGAUGUGGUUAGUGCAAAUAUUCAAAUUGAUGAUCUUAUUGUUGUUCAUGACGUGGCUUUGAAGGCAUCAAUAGAGGUUGAUGAGAAGACGAAUGUGUUUGAAGUGGAGGUUAUACGCGGACGUGAGGUUUUUGUGUACCGAUUUAAGGGAGCGGGUGAUGAAGAUCCCAUCUUGGCUUCGUACCGAUUGAUUACAACUAAGAAAGACUACAAGCUAAGGGGGACCCUGACAUAUUGCAAUCCUAUCCUUGUAUCGGUUGCAAUUGAAGUGAAAAAGCUCAUGGAUGGAUGCACAAUCUACAAGGCUUUGGAUUGGACAUAAAAAUUUCAACAAGCAAAGUCUGGCUGAAGACUUUAAACUUAGCGCUUCUCGGGAGGCAACCCGAGCUUUAUUGUUUUUUCGUAGUUUUCGUUAAUUUUUCGUUUCGUUUUUUUUAUUGUCAUAAGCAUGCAUUCUAAUUCACUCUUUGAAUUUUACUUUUCAGGGUCGAAAACGUGAUCGAGGGUCGAGUUGGCCGUCCGUAAAAAAAAAAAAAAGAAAAAAAAAAAGAAAAAAAAAAAAAUUUUGCGCCACUGCCUGUGGGACGGCCGUCCCAAAAAUAGGUGUAAAUGUGGGACGGCCGUCCCAAAACCAAUAAGGAGAAAAAAAUUUCGGACGGCCGUCCGAAAUUUACCACAAAAACCGGGACGGCCGUCCGAACCUAGUUGGGGCGUUUUAAAUGUUUAAAAAUCAGAUUUUCUCCCCCAUUAUUUCCUAAACCCUCCUCGUUCUUUCUCUCCAAAUCGCAUACACAAGGAGGCUAGAGAAUCAAACAAAAUUCUCCAAAAUCUACUCUUUCAAGGCACGCCCACAAGGUGUUCGACAAUUUGCUCCAACCAAAUUUUGAGUUCGAUUGUCAACCAAUUCUCACCGAAUCUAUUCCAACCUCUCUCCCAACUAUGUCAUCCAACAAAAGAGGCCGCACGAAUGAAGCUUCACCCUCCAAAGGCAAAGGCAAAGGGGAAGAAAAGUGCCACCGCCCGUACCCGAGCUUUCCGAUGAGGACGAGCGUGAGAGAGCGAGAGAGGAGCACCCCGAUCACAUCGACUCCGACUAAAUCAGGUGUUUUCUAUCCUUAAAACUUUGUGCUAAUUUCAUUGAGGGCAACGAAAAUUUUAAGUUUGGGGGUGAAAAACAUGUUUUUGUGCUUAUUUUUUGUUUUAGUUUGCAUGCAUUAGGUUUUAUUCGUUAUUUUUCUCGUUUUUCCGGAAUUUAAAAAAAAAAAAAAGUUUUGCUUGAGUCGAAUGCAUCGAUGAUUUAUGAUGAUGAGAGAUGAUCAAUGUUUGAUGAUGAUAUUGCUUGUUUUUGUGUGAUAAGGAUUUGAUGUUUGUUUAGCUUUCGAUUCAACGGAACUUAGAAGCGAAUUAUUGCUAGGAAUCACAUUUUGUGCAUUGCUUUUGUUGAAUGUUUUGUAUUUUAAAUUUGGAAUUAAUUUGUGUUAGAUCAUGCUAUGUUCGGUUUUAAGACUCACCUUAGGAAAUUUAUGAUACGAAGUAUUGAGUAGUGAGUGAUUUGGGAUAUGAUUUGGGCCUUCUUUGAACCGUUUGAGCCUUUCAAGCCGACCUUUUUAUCGAAAUUAUCCUUAGAACCUUGAUUUGAGCCUCGGAGAAAAGGUGUUCUUUCUUUUAGCCAAUGUGUAAGGUGGAAUAGGUGGAGAUUCUUGAAAAAAUUAUCCCUUGGAGUUCGGUCGAAAAUUUUUAUAAGGUCCUUCUUCUUCUUCGAAAAGAAAAAAAAGAAGACAAAUAUCUAUGCUUCUAUAUAUAUAAUAAUAAAAAAAUAAAAAAAAAUAAAAAAAGAGAGAAAAAGAGAAGAAGAAGAGACUAGAAGGGAGAAAUAAGGACUAGUUGUUGAAUUAUUUUUGAAAACUCGAUCCAUUGCCUCAAAAGCAAAAGUGGAGACUUUUGAACUUUUGAGAAUCGAGUUUAUUAGAGUCCGUAGAGGUGAAUUCAUUGUUUCAAACGCCUAUCUUUCAAAUUUUGGCGUAAUCACCUAAAUUCAAGAAGAAUAGCCACACAUACCCAUAUUUCCUACCUCGAACCAAAGAGCCUAACAAUUGAAAGCCACAAAGCCCCAAUGAUCCCAAUAGCUUAAUGUUCGAUAUUAGUAGAGUAGAAUAAUUUGGUGAGUAUUUGGAGUCAAGCAUAUGCAUGUAAGUAUAAAUUCUUUCUAUCUUUAAUUUGCAAAUAUUGGAUGCUUGAAGCAAUUGUAUGAAUUGUGGUUUUUGGUAAUGGUGAGUGACUAAGUGUUGUUGAAUUUUGAGCUUGCGAAUGCCUAAGAAUUGUCAUUAUAAUUACAAGUUCUGAAAACGUGAAGUUGAUCAUUGAUCUAUGUGAUGAGAUGUUAUCGUUGAGUUAUUUGCUUAUUGGUAGAUUUUGCUUGAGGACAAGCAAAAGUUCAAGUUUGGGGGUGUGUUAAGUGUAUAUUUUUACACUUUAUCGUAUCUUUUUAUUUGAGCUUUUGGUGUGUUUUAACGAUAAUUGGUGCUUAAAAAGUUGAUUUAUUGUAUUUUAGGUACAAAUUGAAGAAUUGGAAAAGUAUGGGGUCAAAACUGCAAUUUUGGCGAAAAUAUGGGUCAAAAGUGAAAAUAUCAAAAUUCUGAAGAUUUAAGGCUCGGACCCCCGUCCCAAUUUUAGUGCAAAUUGUGGGACCCCCGUCCGAGACUCCGAAGUUGCGCAGUAAAGGGAUUUUAAUUGCACAAGGAAACUGCCUCCUUCCCCAAGUUCUUCACCCUAUAUAAGACCAAGCCAAUCACACAAUUGGGGAUCCAUCUUGGGACGCAAAUUCAAGAGCAAAGAAGAUCAACGAAGAUUCAAGCAUAGUUUUUCUUAUUUAAUUUAUUUAUUUUAUUUUAUUUAUCAUAAGAAUUACGAGUAGCUAAGUCUUUAUUUCUAGGAUUUUAUUUGGAACCCUAUGUGGGAUUUAUGAACCCAAUUCUAUGAUUUUAUGCAAGUUUUGAUUCCGGAUUAUUUCUUCUACUUGUUUUAUUAAGUGCAUGAACUUGAUCAACUUAUGUGCUUUUAUGUUAUUGUUAAUCGCAUGAACCGGAAGAUCGGGUUAAUAAUUAGAACUGUGGUAGAAGAACAUUUGUGGUAUUAACAUAGGAAUAUAGUUAAUCUCUUAGGUAGCCAUUAUUGAGAUUUGUGCUUAAUGCUGUGUUCUAGAAUUAAUUGCAUAGGAAUAUAGUAAUUGAAUCUAGAGUAUUAGUAUCGUAAUACACGCGGAAGCGGGUUAUGAUUAUUUUAGCAUCUCAGGUUAAUAAUCCGGGUUAAUUGCUUGCAUAAUUAGAGGAAUUGGGGGAGUAAUAAUCACAUAGGGGGAAGAAUAAAAUCCUAGGCUUGUCUACUUUGAUUAAUCUUCGUUUUUAAAUUGCUUUCUUGCUUUGUCGUUUUAAUUUGCCUUUUAAUUUAUUUUAGUUAAUUCUCUCUAAAGUCGACUGUGUAGGGUGGGCUUGAUAUUAAUUGGUAGAAUUUAGUGCCUAGGAUUAGAUAAUUAAAUAUUCCCUGUGGGUUCGAUAUCCGGACUUUUAGUCCACUAUAUUACUUGUACGAUACGUGCACUUGCGUGUAGGUUUUCGGCCAACAAAUAUGCAUCGCUAUAUUUUGAUCAUAGCUCGAGGUCGAGCUCUUUUGAAGAAGAUGAGAUUGAUAAGGAACGUCAAAUUGGAUUCGUGUUGCAAAAUAACUAUUUAAUUCGGAGAAGAGUUAUUAAUGGGCAUUGGUGGAAAUAUCGAAAGAAAUUAUGGAAAAAUAAGGGUUUUCGACGAACUCAAAUUGUAUUUGAGUACGAAACGAACUCUAUCUCAAGUGAAAUGGCGCAAGGAACAAAACUCAUGAGCAAAGCUCAUGAAUCACGUCCAAUUUCAGCAAUCUAACGUCGUUUAGACUCCUAAAAGUUCGUUUUUGCUAUUUUAGGUAAGUUUUAGAAAAUUAAUAUCAAAUCAUAGAAAAAACGGAUUAGGAUUCCGUAAAUGAGGUUGUUCCCAAAAUUACGAGAUCUACUAGAAUCAGACUCUAACUCGUUUUUGCCGUUUUUGGUAAUUUUUAGUAUUUUCUUAUUUUAAUUCGGGUUUUCAGUUUUUUAGUAUAAAUAGCUGCCUUAGGACUUUAUUUUGGAAGAAUUUCGAAAUUUAAUAAAAUCCUUAGAGUUUUCUCUAUUUUUCUGGUGGAUUCCAGAGUUUUUCGGUGGAUUCCGAAUGUUAUUUUGUUCUAUAGGAUUAAUUCGUAGAAAUUAAUUCUUUACCGUGCUUCCGUUCUGCGUCAAUUAUACACAGUGAACAGUGUUUUAGCAUACCACUUUUUCUGACUCACUCCAGCAGUUGCUGUUUAUAUUUUAACACGUCACUUUAAAACAUCACUUUUGACAUCGUUACUCAAUCCAAUAUAUUUUUAAUACGUAAUUUUAUAUUUUAUUUUUAUAUUUCAUAUAUUUGAUGAUAUAAUAAAAAAAUAAUUUUUAUUUAAAUAAUAUUAAUUUCAAUUUCAAUGAAAUAAUUAUAUGUUAAAUGAUAUAUUUUUUGGAAAAAAGAUUGUGAAUUUAGAGUUAGGAACUUGUGCGAUUGUACUAUGAUUUAAUUUGCGACAAAAGUGAUUUUGCCAUUUCAUGGGGCAAUUUUUUUUUUGGUGUAGUUUUAGGAUGUAGUUUUUAAAAUGGUGCCGUUUUGGGUAGUGUUACGAAAUUGGGGUUGACCGCCACUCACAACGGCGGCACCGGCAGGAGGCGCCUCCGCCGGCGGCGGCACCAAGUGAAGACGCCAGCUCCAACGGCGGCAAGGCUAUUUUUUAAAUUAUUAAUAUUUUAAUAUUUUAAUAUUUUAAUAUUUUCUAAUUUUUUAAUAUUUUAAUAUUUUAUUAUUUUAAUACAUAGACGGUCCAGAUUGCACUGUGAAAAUUUGAUCGGACGGUCAAGAUCAAGACUGCCCACCUCGGGGACUGUGCCUUGACCAGGAGACGCCGCUGACAACGGCGUCUUGUGAAGACGCCACCGACAACGGCGUCUCCAUUCUCUCUCCUCCCCCACAUUUCUUCUUUCCGAGCUGCUACUCCUUCUCCUUCUUCUCUUUGUUAAACUUCAAAAUCAAAAAACAAAAUUUAGUUUUCAAAUUAAAAAUAAAAUAUAUAAUUACCUCCGGCUGCCGCCGACGCCGCCGUCUAUCCGCCGCUGCCUCCCUCGCCGUCGCCUCCCUCGCCGUCGCCUCCCCCGCCGUCGUCUCCCCCGCCGCCGGUGCUCUGUGGUCGUUGCCGGUGGUGCUCUUCACCCAACAAGGUAAUAUUUUAUUAUUAUUGUAAAUAAUUUUGUUAAAAAAAAAGUUAUUAUUAUAAUUUUUUAUUAUGUCCAAAUUUUAUAAUUAAUUAUUGUAAAUACAUUUGAUUAGUGUUUUUAGGAUGCAUGUGGGUAGUUAGUUAGUUAGUUAGUAGUUUAUUUAUUUUAUAAAACAUGGGGCAAUUAAAUUAAAUUAACUAAUUAUUUUUUUGGUAUGCUUAAUUAAAUUAUUAUUUUUUAACUAAUCUGCCUCAUUAUUAAUUAAUCUGGAUUGAUGAGUUAAUUAUCUCCUUAAUCUUUUGAAGAUUGAUGGCGGCUAAAAAUAAUGUCAAAGUAUACGUGUACUUUGGAGGUCACAUAAUUCCUGAUGAUUGGGUAGUGCAAUAUAGUAUUGCCCACAAAACAACAUUCCGAAUUAAACUUGACUUGUCCUUUGCACAUUUUCUGUCAAAGUUGUAUCAACGUCUAGAUGUCGAUGUUAAUCAGUUUGUGCUAAGAUUGUGUUGCAAAUCUUACAUUUAUAAUGGAGAAAGAAUGAAGGAGAUGAUUACCGAGAUAACAACAGAUGAAGAUUUACAAAUGUAUAUCGAUCCGGAUGAAGGGAAUGAGGCUAUCGAAGUAUUUGUUGAGAUUGAACCGAAAUACGUUGAUAGUGCCCCACCACAAGUGAGCGUAGAGGCAUUUGAUUUGAAUGAACCAUAUUUCUCACAACCACAGGUGACUCCGGAUUUUCUGGUGGCGACACAAGGCAUCCCUAACUAUUGUAAGACUAGUGGAGCGAGAGAGGUGCACAGAGAUCCCUAUACAAUUAACUAUGGUAAUUUAGGGGGAUUUGUUGAUGAGUCGAGUUACCUGAGACGGAGCAUUUUCGAAGAUGAUGAACCUAUAGGUGACUCAUUUGGGCCGAACAGUCUUGUGAAUUCCGAACCAUCCGAUGACGCAGACGACGACAAUGAAGAUGAAGACGUAUAAGAUGAUGUUCCAGUGACGUGGUUGCAGCACAACGAGGCGGAAGCAGAGGAACAACCGACGUUGUAUGAGUCAAUCCCAUUUUCUCGAUGUCGUUUCCAGAAGUGGCGGCAGAUUCAUUUGAUGUUGGAAGGGGCUGUUAUGAUAAGUUUUACGAUAGCGAUCGAGGUAUUUUUGAGGUCGGGAUGGUAUUUGAGGACAAAAAACGCCUUUGCGCCGCGGUGAUAGACCAUUCGAUUCGAUUUGCUAAACGAGAAUUCACAGUUGUCGAAAGUAAGCCGAAGCUAUGGAGUGUCAAGUGCAAACAUAGCACACCUGAAAGGCCUUGUAGAUGGUCGUUGCGGGAAUUGAAAAAACGGGCAAAGGAUUCUUCCUUAUUACGAGAUAUGGUGGGCCCCACAAUUGCAUAAUGGAUGAAAUGUCGAAUGAACACAAGAAUUUGGACAUGAACUACAUUGCUUCCUUAUUGGUUCAGUCCGUUCGAGAUGACCCAGCUUGCAAAAUAACACAAGCACAAAAUAUUGUGAGGUCUCAAUUAGGAUUUCAACUUUCGAAGAUGCAAGCUUGGUAUGGUUUUAAGCGUUGCAGAGAUAACUUGUUCGGGAGUUGGGAGUUCUCAGUGAACAAAUUGCCCAAGUUUAUGAAGGCACUCCAUAGAACGAACCCGGGUACGGCAAUUGAGUGGAUUUUCAAACCAACGGACAUUCCAACACGGAAGAUGAUCAAGUACUUCUUUUGGGCCUUCAAGCCAUGCUUGGAUGGAUUCAAGUUCUGUCGAAAAGUUAUUAGUGUGGAUGGAACUCAUCUCUACACUAAGUACAAGCACAAGUUACUAAUUGUCGUUUGUUUGGACGCCAAUAACCAAGUGCUACCACUAGCAUUUGCUCUUGUUGACAAUGAGACCACGGCGGCUUGGAGGUGGUUUUUUCAAAUGCUACACAAACAUCUAAUUUCUCAAAUUCCAGAUGGAGAAAGCGUUUGUGUAAUUUCAGAUCGAGCUCCGGGAAUUUUACGAGCUUUAGCGGAGUUGCCCGAAUUUGCUCCCCUUAAUGUUUUUCACAGGUUUUGCUUGAGACACGUGUGCUCCAAUUUCAACAAACGUUUUAAGAGUGUUUUGAAGGAUCUAUGCUACAAGGCAGGAGCGGAGUCUCAAAUUUGGAAGUUUAACCACAUUCUUAAUGUGAUCAAAACUCGGAGUGUUGAAGCUUACAACUAUUUGAAGGAUAUUGAUCAAGAAAAAUGGGCAUUUGCACAUGAUGGGGGCAAGCGUUGUGGUCAACUUACUACAAACAUGUCAGAAGCUCAUAAUGGUGUUCUCAAGGGAACUCGAAAACUUCCCAUCUCAACAAUUGUUGACCUUACAUUCAACCGCAUUGUUAGGUAUUUUUUUAAUCGUCUCCACGAGGCCAAUGUGAUGGUUCAAAAUGGACAGUUGUGGUCCACAUAUGCUUAUGGCAUUUACCGGACACAUGAAGCUAAAGUCUGUUAGAUGUUUCACGACUCAUUUUAAUCAACAACAGCUCUCUGCCGAGGUGAUGACUAGAGCUCGUCCAAGUGGAGGUGGAAAUAACAAACACACCGUGAGUUUAAGGGACCAAACUUGUACUUGUGGAAAAUGGAAGCUGACAGGAAUCCCCUGCAGUCAUGUCCUCCACGUGUGCCGUGAAUGGAUAUUGUCUGCCUCCGUAUAUGUGAAAGAUUGCUACAAUAUUGAUCGAUUAGUGAACACUUAUUCUGGGAUAUUCCAACCCCUGUUGAGUGAACAUUAUUGGGAGGAUGUUGCUUUUGAACUAAUUCAUGAUCCAACACUACUAGGGGAUCGAAGAUGCAGUCGAAUUCAAAAUGAGAUGGAUGUGCCACAAACACGGGCAAGACAACAAUCUAGAAGAGAGGAACAAGCAAGACGGCUCUGAUAGUAUAAUUUAUGUAGUUCAUUGUAGUUUGUAUUAUUUAUAUUGUUAUUUUCUAGUUUUCACGUCGGACUACGUAGUGUCUAAUUAUCGUGUUUGACUUUGUAUUUGUUAUUACACUUUGUACUUAUUAUCUGAGUUUAUCUAUGUAUUAUCGUGUUUUCACGUCGGACUAAGUAGUGUCUAAUUAUCGUGUUUGACUUUGUAUUUGUUAUUGCACUUGUACUUAUUAUCUGAGUCUAUCUAUGUAUUAUUGUGUAUUUGUUAUUACACUUCUGCUUAUUAUCUGAGUGUUCUAUUUAUUAGUGUGUAUUUAUUAUUGCACUUGUACUUAUUAUCUGAGUUUUCUAUGUAUAUUAUUAUACAAGAUGGAUGUCAGUUAUGUUUAUGGUCCGCGGGACACUUCAUUGCUAUACCGCCAGUCAGAGCACGUAUCCAGAUCGAUUACAUCGGCAAAUGUAGAUGAUAUUGUGCGCGGGAGACGCUGUGAUGGUUGGAUCGGGGUUUAUAUGGAGAUGAUGGUGAUGAUGAUCCACACCCUAGAGUGAUGCAGUACUUAAUUGAUACUAGGUUCUAUGGAGUAUAUCGAUGUGGUCGUCUCGUAGUCGAUUUGCAUCUUAUUGCAGCUUUAGUGGAGAGAUGGCGCCCGGAGACACACACAUUUCAUUUUCGAGCAGGGGAGGCGACAGUGACACUUGAGGAUGUCGCAUUAUUAUGGGGUUUGCCUGAUGGAAUACCUGUUACUGGACAGGAUAUUUCAUGGUCGAAGGAGCAGUGGCAAGAUUAUUGUCAGACGUGGUUGGGAUAUACUCCUUCAGAUCAAGCUUUCAAAGAGAGAUGGCUCUUCGCAACUGAUAUGGCCAUGUAUUUACGACAUUGCACGAUUACUGAUGAUAGCACGGAGCAGCAUGUUCAGCAGCAUACCAGGUGUUUACUGUUAUUGCUACUUGGGGGGGGUUAUGUGUCCUGACACAUCUUCAAGUACAAUCUCGUUGUUGUAUCUUCGUCAUUUCGAAGAUCUUGAGGCAGUGCGUACUUUCAGUUGGGGUAGUACAGUUCUUGGAUAUUUGUAUCGUGAGCUAUGUACUGGGGCUUUACUUAGGAAAAUUGUGGAACAAGACGGCACUGUUGAGUUGGAUAAGAGGAAAACUAAUCUAGGUGGUGCGCUUACUUUGUUACAGGUAAUAUGAUUUUUGAUACUUUUAAAAUUUAAAUUAAUAGUUUAUUAUACUUGCGGUUUUUGAUAUUUUUUAUGUUUAAUAAUUAGUGUUGGGCAUGGUCGAGGAUACCUUUACUCGCUCCAGCAAUAGUACCAGUAGUAGAAGAUGAUCCCUGUCGGCUUGCAUAUCUCCACCCUCUUUACGGUGCACGGUAAACAUCUUAGUACUAAUAAUUUAUUUAUAUGAAGGUUAAUAUAUUGACUUAGCAAAUUUUCAUAUGAUAUUACAGUUGGAUCAGACCUACUAGUCAGACUCGGUCCUCGCGAAACAAUAUACGUGUUUAUCGUACGACGCUCGAUCGGAUGCUCUGGGAUCAGGUUAUUUAUAAGUUAACAGCAAUUAUGUUAAUGUUUGUGGUCUAUUUAACAAUAUAUUAAAAAAAAAAAAUUCGAGUUUACAUGGAUGCCUUAUAGUGAACUAGAUCCUGAGUUUGGCGCUUUACUUGAGUAUCCUGAGAUAGUGCAUCCACAGCUUUGGUUGUCGAGUUGUCCCCUUAUAUUUUACGAGAGAGUUGAGAUGCAUCGUCCAUAUAGGGUGCUACGUCAUUUUGGGAGGGUACUACAUAUACCACCACAUCCUAUUGAUCACGAUAUUGAGAUUAAGUUGCAUUCUUAUGAUCGUCGAGGUGCAGGGGGUAGAGAUUGGGCUCGUUUUCACCGUAUCUAUGUUGAUAGAUGGUAUGGCCGACUUGAUUCUCCCAUUGACUAUCCAUUUAUUGAGUUUAGUGGGCCUCAGACAGAUCCAGGAUGCUACGAGUGGUAUGAGAGGCACACACGUCAUUUGAUAUCACCGAUUGACAAUCUUGAUGAUAUCGGUUUUCAGGUCGGAGACCCGAUUUUACUGGAUCUUGUGGUUAGUAUUUUUCUCAAAACAACCAUUACUUUCGAUGUUUUUCAAUUUGUUUUUUCAGUUUUUUAAGUUCUUAAACUUGUAAUGCCUUUUAUUUCUGGGUAAUCAGCUUAUAUCCAUGAGUCUUGCUGCUAGGGUAGUUUCUCGAGAUGACGAUCGGAUAUAUGAUCUGUAUCAGGACAACGCUACACGGAUGUAUGCAGCUGGGACUCAACUUCUACGUAGAGAUGGUGCUUCGUCCAGCUUACCUCCGAUACCUGCCAUACCUCCUAUACCUUCUCUGCAUCGAGAUAGACGUACAAGAAGAAGGUCCAGCGCUGCCGAAAGAGCUACUGAAUUGGAGCAUGACGUGAGACAGACGAGAGAUGGGAACUAUUAUGCAUCUACAUCUCGGGUACCUCCAUCUGGAGAUGUUGCCGGUCCAUUUGCUUCUCAUACACCCUUUUAUGCAGAUGUUUCUGUGCAUGGAGGUAUGGACGAUUUAUCUACUACACAAGGAUUUAUGGAUAUGUUCGGUGCGUCUACAUCUCAGGUACCCACAUUUACAGAUUUAGUUGGUCCAUCUACGAAUGAUUACGUUCCAGAUAUGCCAUGGUUCGAUUCUCUAGCUACCCCAUAUCCUCCUGCUAUUGAUACCCGGUUCUCUUCAUGGGGUCCACAUUUGGAGCUCAAUUUGGGAUACUCAAGUCCCCAAGAGCGGAUUCGACCAUAGUAUAAUGUUUCCCAUGUUCCAUAUCCACCGGAUGACACCCAGUUUGUUGAUGAUGUACCGGCAGAUCCUGACAUUCGUCGACAUGGUAGGCUGCGUAGGACUAGACGGGCACCUGCAUGUGGCACUGGUUCACAUAGGUACUGACUUCAUAGUGCCAAUUUUAUUUUUUUGUACUCAUUUUGUCUUUGUACACAUUUUGGACCUAUUUAUUUUAUAUAUCUCUUUUAUUGGACCUAUUUAUUUUAUAUAACUCUUUUAUUUUCUAGAAUUCCUUCUGUUUUUGUCUACAUGUUUUUAAGAUUGUACACUAUUUUAUUGUGUUGAUUAGAUAAAUAUAUGCAAUGAUUAAUUUAACAUUAAUUGAUAAAAUAUAUAAAAUGUAAUGAAUUUAGUUAGAAUUGUUUUAUUUGUAAAAAAAAAAUUAAAAAUCAGAAAAUAUUAAAAUAAUAAAAUAUUAAAAUAUUAAAAAAUAGAAAAUAUUAAAAUAUUAAAGUAUUAAAAUAUUAAAAUAUGAAAAUAUUAAUAAUUAAAAAAAUUGGGAGAAGACGCCACCGAUGGCGGCGUCUCCAGCCUUGCCGCCGUUGAAGCUGGCAUCUUCACUUGGUGCCGCCACCGGCGGUGGCGCCUCCUGCCGGUGCCGCCGUGGUGGGUGGCGGUCAACUCCAAUUUCGUUACUCCUCCCAAAACAGCCCUAUUUUAAAAACUGCAUCCUAAAACUACACCAAAAAAAAAAAAAAAACUGCCCCGCCAUUUCAUUUUCUUGGUGUUACAUAUUGACAAGACAAAUUUAUAAUAUACCAGGUGGUGUAUAGUAUACCACAGCAGCUAGAACUCUCAUUUUCUAGAAAAGUUGUAAAGUUUGCUAAAAUUUAGCAUUUACCACAUCUGCUGAAGUUGCUCUAACAAAAAAAUAAGAGUUUCUAGGUUAAUAAUAACAAAAAAAAAAAAAAAAAAAUAGAAAAAAAGGGAAGAACCACAAUAAGGAUAAUAAAUACAAAUGUUUUUGGUAAUUGGUAAAAUAGCCCUUAGUACUUUUGUGGAAUUUCACAUGGUCAAUUCGCCCCUUCCUUGCGUUAUGUACUACCAGUUUUAUACUCCUCAACUGUAGAAAUAUGAUAGCCAUUCUCUAUGCCAUUUCAAUGGAGCAAAAUUUAACUUGCUCAUGUGCCCAACCCCCCCACCCCCGAUUCAUAUUUUAUCUUUCGGCUUCACAAUAUUUGAGCAAACAACCAACCACCUUCCCCGGAGUCUUCCAUUGUUGCCGGCUCCGUUAUUGAACUCGGACGGUAUCUCACACGAGUCAACAACACCCAAAUAAAUAAUUAAAAUUAGCAACAUGAUUAUCGAUGGCCGCUACAAAUAAUAUGAGAACACCGAGCGCUGAAUCAUUGACACAUUCGCCAAGGCUUACUUGAACAAUCAUGAGAUUUUUGAGAAGGCCAGAGCUCAGGUGGAUGAUGGGCCCUUGUGAUAGUUGAAAAAUUCAAGUCAGACAUCCAACUUUUUUCAGCAAUUUGUUAAAGAAUUUAAAAGCUUUGCUGGCAUUUUUUCAAUCACCUUCUCAAAACUAUAUUGACAUACGUAGUUAGGCCAACCCAAUGGGCCUAUAAUUUUUUUACCUAUAUUUAAGACUACUAUCACUGAGGCCAAAUUACCUUCAAAUAAGGUUUGAUCCCGACAAUCUCAACUAAUUAAAUUUCAACCCAAUCAGUGAGGUAUAAAUAAAAGUUUUAACUCAAUCAUUAAGAUACGUCCUAUUAUCUGAGCAAUACUACAACAAGUAUUCGCUGGACAUUUUCUACUAUCCGCACGUCUGACUUGAACGUCGGAGGGGUUUCCACCAGAUCAACCACGUGUUCUAUGAUCGCAUGUACCUCAAGGUCAGCAAGAUCGUGAGCCAGUGAUCCACUUUGCUCUUCCAGCUCAUCAUAUCUCAAUUACUUAAGGUGAUAUAAUUCUAGCAUCAACAUAAUGACGUCGUCUAUGGGAACGGCAGAUGAGAUCACGUAGUGUGCAAGAUGGCAUAAAUAAGUGUUUGCAUAACCAAGUCCACAUCGACAACCAAAAAGAAUACGAUUCUUUUCCUAUCGAAGAACAAAAAUGGGUUGCAGAAAACCCCUUAGUAAAAUGCCAAACCAGAAAGUAAGAAAAAAAAUGAAGAUAGCCCCAAGAGUUUGGAUUGUUAGUUGUUCCAUGGAAGUGUAGUGAUUUCAAGGCAAGAAAUGAGAAGAGAGAAAAAGAGCAUGCAAAAGUAAAACUGAAUUUGCUCAAACAAUAAAAUAAAAGAGAACAACUUGGAUUUUUUUUAGUGAUGUGAGGGUGGUUGAUUUAGAGGAAAAAAUAAACAUUUUAUUUCAUAUUUUGGACAAAUGGAUUUAGACAAAAUUAUGAGUUAGAUAUUCGUACCCAUAUCCAUUGUAGUCGUUAUAAACCCUCUCCCCAUUUCUAAUAUCACGAUUCUCAACUAAAAGUACCACGCAUUUUUCGUCUACGCUAUAUGUCAUACAUUUAUUUCACAUUUAAUAUUUUGUCUUUUUUUUUUUCUUCCUUCCCUAAAAUAGAUUAAAUGAUGCCAUUAACAAGAAAAUAUCACCCGUUGUAUUAAUUUUCUUUUAAUAUAAUGAAAAGAGCAACAAUUUUAUAGACAAACAUCAAGAAUAUAUGUACUUUAAAUUUAAGUUCUUACACGUAAUUGAUACAAAUAACUAAAAUUAAAUAAAUAAGCAGUGUAUCUAGUGUGCGGUUUAGGCGCAUAUAUAAGUAGAACGAAAAGAAGUGAAUCUAGUUUACGGUAUAUGGGCAUAACUAAGUACAAAACGUUCCAUAUAUGUGAAAAUUUAUGCUUCUAAAUAUGUGCUUUUUUACGCAAACCAUGCACACAACUAGAGUAAUUUUAUACCCACACCACUUAUACAUUACAAUUGAAGCAAACAACUUGGUAUCUACCUCUAUGCGAUACGUAGGUUGGUUUAAAGAAAAUAUAAAUUUACUACUUUAUUCGAAGAAGAAUUUUUUAGCAAAGGACUUAAACAAAAGUAUGAGUUGUAUAUUCAUACUCAUAGUCAUUGUAGACGUAAUAUAGCAUCUACCCCUUUGCGAUAUCGCGAUUCAAAACUAGGAGCACCACACACUUUUCAUCUACACUCUGUCUCACAUAUUUAAUAUUUUUUUUUAUACCUAUGCUACAAAAUAGAUCAAUUGAUACCAUUAACAAGACAAAAUAUAUUAAUUUUCUUAUAACAAAAUGAAAAUUGCAACUAAGAAUAAUCUUCAAAUUUAAGACCUAGACCGAAUUGGUAUAAAUAGCUAAUAUUUAAUAAAUGAGUAGCGCAUCUGGUGUAUUAUUUAGGCGCAUAACAAAAACAAAACGAGAGUGUAUGUAUUGUAUUGUUAAGGAGCAUAACUAGAACAAAACGACUUCUAGAAGAUGUUACAAUACAUCAUGCACUAAAAGAUGUUUUUCUAUCAAUCGUACGCUUAUAAACAUAUACCAACGUCUAUGCCGUAAAAUAUAAGGUAGAUAUAACAACUACAUAUACAUUCACUACCUGUGGCACAUAUAGUAUAUCUUAUUCAGGCUGCAGAUUCUUCAUUUUAUAUGCACCAAAUAUGAACUAAUACCACAUAUACGGUAAGAUAAUAGAUAUCUAUAUGCAUAUAUUUUUUUUUUUUUUUGAAAAAUGGUUUGGAGCCGUGGCCCAACGAACCUAGGUAUGAUGUGCUACCUCCCCCGCUGAUUGUAUUUGUACAUAUAAAAAAACUAGUAAAAUAUGAUUAAUUGGCUUAGAAGCAUAGGGCGUGUGAUAGUUAAUGCCGCUUAUAAAUCAAGAGAUGUUCCCGAUCCUAUCCUCUCAAACAACGAGAAUUUUAGACGAGGCGACUGACGAUUAAUGGAGGGUCAUCAUCCUGACACAAUCAUCUUCUUCUGGGUUCUUCAUGUAAUCCACAUCUCCCACGUAUUCCACAGUCCACGUUGAGUGUUCCUUUACACGCUGGUAGAGGGAAUUUUCGAGACAACUUACACUACGAUAAAUAUAGCUACAAUCCCGUUCUAUUUGUCAGAGGAUAUUUAAAUCUUAAGAAGUAUGUCCAUAAAGUUCUUAGCACAUUGCAAUCACACCAAAUUCUUAACACAACGGAAUCGACUAAUUUGUACAUUUCUGCAUCUCAUCCCAAACAUGUAAAGCUUGUUGAGGUAUAUACAUCGAGAAGUAUGGAAAAUCAUGAGAAUGCUGAAUGUUUAAUCUUUGUACCAGUAUACUUCAUCUCUCUAAAAGAGAGAUUUUGAAUCCAUCUUCGUGUGCCCUUAUAAUUUUAUUCCAAAAAAACAACAACCUAAUAUCGGCUCUAAAACAAUGGCUGUAGAAACUACAACCUUUAUGUUUAAGAUAUUUCAUACUUUGUUGAUAAAAUUUUAACCAUUUAAAGAUCUCUACUAGCUGAUGUGAAUGGCUAGAGAGAAUUUUAGGUGUAAAAACAAAAGAAAAUAUAAAAGGUUGUGCAAAAUAUGCACAAUCUAAAGUAAUAUUCUACACACAUCGCUUAGACAAUACAAUUUCCGCCAACAACUUAGGUCUAUUUUUUUAUGUGAUUUGACGGUAGUUAAUUUGAAGGGAAAAAUAAAUCUUUUAUUUUAUAUUUCGGACAAAAGCUUUAGAGCAAAGGAAUUAAACACAAUUAUGAGUUGGAUAUCCAUGCUCAUAACCAUUGCAGUUGUGAUAUAGACUCUCUUCUUUUGUUAUAUCACGAUUCUCAACUAAAAGCACCACAUAUUUUUCGUCUGCACUGUAUGUCACAUAUUUAAUGUUGUAUAUUUUUUUUUUCUACUUUCCCUACAAAAGAUAAAAUAAUGCCAUUAACAAGAAAAUAUCGCACAUUAUAUUAUUUUUCUUCUAAUAAAAUGAAAAGAGCAACCAUUUUAUAGAUAAAGAUCAGAAUAUAUGUAGUUCGAAAUUAAGUACCUACACGUAAUUGGUAUAAAUAACUAAAAGUAAAUAUAUAAGCAAUGCAUCUAGUGUGCGGUUUAGGGACAUAACUAGAACACAAAUAAAGUAUACCUAGUGUACAGUUUAGGGGCAAAACCAAGAACAAAAUAUUCCAUAUUGGUGAAAUUUAUGUUAAAAUACAGUUCCAUAUAUGUGAUUUUUGUGUGCAAAACAUGUACAAUCUAGAGUAAUGUUCUACACACACCACUUAUACACUACAAUUGAAGCAAACAACUUGGUAUCUACGUACACUUCUAUGCGAUGUGAAUGUUGGUUUAAAGAAAAUAUAAAUUUACUACUUUAUUCGGAGAAGAGCAUCUGAGAAAAGGACUUAGAAAGAAAAAAAUUGUGAGUUGGAUAUUCAUAUUCAUAGCCAUUCUAGUCGUAAUAUAGUCUCUCUCUCCCUUUGCGAUAUCGCAAUUCGCAACUAGGAGCACCACACACUUUUCGUCUACACUGUGUCUCACGCAUUUAAUAUAUUUUUUUUCUAUCGUCCGUGGACAAUAGAUCAAUUGAUAACAUUAACAAGAUUAACAAGAUAAGAUAUGUUGCACAUUAUAUUGAUUUUCAUCUUAGAAAAUUAAAAGUGCAACAACGUUUUAGAAAAAAAUAACAAAAAACAUCAAAUUUAAGACAUACACCGAAUUGGUUAAAUAAAUAUUAUAUAUUAAAUGAGUAGUGCAUCUAAUGUACGGUUUAGGUUCAUAAGUAGAACAAAACGAGAAUGUACGUAUUGUACUGUUAAUGAGCAUAACUAGAAUAAACGACUCUAGAACAUGUUACAAUAAAUCAGGCACCAGAAGAUGUCUUUCUAUCAAUCGUACACACAUACACACAUACCAACGUCUAUGCAGUACAAUAGAAGAUAUAUAUAUAUAAAACAAUGAUAUGUACAUUCACUAACUGUGGCACAUAUAGUAUAUCUUAUUUAUGUUGCAGAUUCUUUAUUUUAUAUGUAACAAAUAUGAACUAAUACCACACUUAUGGUAAGAUAACAGAUUUCUAUAUAAAUAUUUUUUUUUGAUAAAUGAUUGGGAGCCGUGGCCCCACGAACCUACGUAUGUUGUGCAACCUCCCCCAGUGAUUGUAUUUGUACAUAUAAAGAAACUAGUAGAAUAUCAUUAAUUGGCUUAGAAUCAUAGAGCGUGUGAUAGCUAAUGCCGUUAUAAAUCAAGAGAUGUUCCCAAUCCUAUCCUCUCAAACAUCGAUAUUUUUAAACGGGCCGACUGAAGAAAUGAGGUUCAUCAUACUGACACAAUCAUCUUCUUCUCGGUUCUUGAUGUAUUCCACAUCUCCCACGUAUUCCACAAUCAGUGUCACGUUGUUUAUUGAACCCAAAUUUGAACAGUGAGCCUGAGAAGUUGGUACUACGUAAACAUGAUAUGUUGAGUGUCCCUUUAACGGUUGGUAGAAGGAGUUUACGAUAUAACUUAGACUACGAUAAAUAUAGCUAUAACCCCGCUCUAUUUGUCAAACGAUGUUUAAAUGCUAAGAUGUAUGUCGAUAAAGUUGCAAUCCCACCAAAUUCCUAACACAACAGAAUCAACUAAUUUUUACAUUUCUAUAACUCAUUCCAAACUUGUAAAGCUUGUUGAGGUAUACAUCGAGAAGUAUGGAAAAUCAUGAGACUGCUGAAUGUUUAAUCUUUGUACCAAUAUCCUCCUUUUCUUCAAAAGGGAAGUUUUGAAUCCUUCUUCGUGGGCCCUUAUAAUUUUAUUUCAAAAACAAAAACAUAAAAAAACCUUAUGUCGGCUCUAAAACAUUGGCUGCAGAAACUACAAGCUUUCUGUUUCAGAUUUCAUACUUUGUUGAUAAAAGUUUAACCCUUUUAAGAUUUCACAGUCGAGAGCCAUUGUUUUAGGGGCAUAAUAAAAAAGCAUUAUAUUUUCCCAUUUCCCAUUUCCCCAUAUCACGAUUCUCAACAAAAAGUAUCGCGCAUUCUUCGUCUAAUCUGUAUGUCACACAAUUUAUAUUUUGUCUUUUUUUUUUUCUACCUUCUCUAUGAAAAAUCUAAUGAUGCAAUUGUAACAACAAAUUCUUAUCUGCGAUUUAGACAAACAAGAAAAACUUUCACAAAGAUAAUUUAUUAGAUUAAAAUAAAAUAUUGCGGGUUACAAACUCUAAUUAAUCCUCUGAUUCUUCUAUCAAGAACAAUAUGCGUUUGACUUUGAAUUUUAGAGUCGGGUCGUUGACUUGAUCUUCUCCGGAUUUGAUUUGGAUUUGAAUAACGUCUUCCAAGGGUCUUGCGACUUGAAUCUCGGAUCAAACGCUAAACUUUGACGGGUUUUGACUUGAAGAUCUUGGAGUUCUUGAUGGAUUUGGCCCUUCAAUUUUCCUUCGAUCUCGAUUUGUUGAACUUUGACGGGUUUUGACUUGAAGAUCUUGGAGUUCUUGAUGGAUUUGGCCCUUCAAUCUUCCGCCUUGAAUUUGUUGAAGAACGACUUGAAUGUUGUAGAGAGAAUUUUCUCCUACGGUUUUUCUUCUUCUUGAGUUGUGUUUUGAAUUGUGUAGGGAGGGUCCCCAUUUAUAGUGGUAGAAUAAGAGUCCUACAUGAAGUCUUCUUGAUGACGUGGCGCGAUUUGAUUGGCUCUCUUUAAAUUGAUAUUUAUCUCUUAUAACUUGGAAGAGAAGAAACAAUCAUAUUGGUCAAUAAUUAAUUGAUAAUUAUCUCCAUAACUUAUUUUGCAAGAUAAAUUAUAAUCUUGGGAUUCAAUUUAAUAUAAUAUAAAUUAUAUUAAAUUUACGUGUUUACAGCAAUUAACAAGAAAAUAUCACACAUUGUAUUAAUUUUCUUGUAAUAAAAUGGAAAGAGUAACCAUUUUAUAGAUAGACAUAAAAAAUAUGUGUACUUCAAAUUUAAGUACUUACACGUACGUAAUUGAUACAAGUAACUAAAAUUAAAUAAAUGAGCAGUGUAUCUAGUGUGCGGUCUAGGCGCAUAACUAGAACAAAAAGAACGUGUAUCUAGUGUACGGUUUAGGGGCAUAAUCAAGAACAAAACGUUUCAUAUAUGUGAAAAUUUAUGCUCAAAUACAUGUUCUACAUAUGUGAAAAUAUUGCGCAAAACAUGCACAAUCUAUAGUAAUUUUCUACACAUCACUUAAAUAUUACAAUUCAAUAAACAACUUGGUAUAUUUUUGUACUUCCAUGCGAUGUGAAGGUUGGUUUCAAGAAAAAAAUAAUAUUUUUUCUUCUUUAUUCAAAGAAGAGCUUUUGAGCAAAGGACUUGGAAAAAGUUAUGAGUUGGCUAUUAAUACUCAUAGUCAUUUGCAGUCGUAAUAUAGGGGGUGUGCUAUUAAUGCUUUUUUCUAUUUCCUUUUUUGCUUUUCUUUAUUUGGACUAUAUUUUGUAAGAGGAAGUAGCAGGUAAUGUUUAGAUGACAUGGCAACAGGUGAGUGGGCGAUGAAAUUUGAUUUUUUGGAAUAGCCCGGCUCGUCGAAAGUAGCUUUGUUUACUAUGAAAAUGUGACAUCGUAUACAGUAAAACUUCGAUAAAUAAAUAACCUCGUUUAAAUAAUAAAUUAUUUCGACUCCGACUCAGUAAACGCCUACUAAAUUAUUAGUUCGAUUAUUUAAUAUUUUGUUAAAUUAAUAGAAUUUUAUUAAUCAUGAUUGGAUUAAUUCAUAAAGGUUUAAUGUAUGUUGAUUUACUUUUUGACUAUGCAAUUUUUUUUCUAGAUUUUAUUGAUUUUUUUUUAUUGUUUUUGUUUUUUCACUUAAAUUACUCGCAUUCUAUUUCACAAGAACUAGAUAUGGACUAUGGUCUUGGUCCCAAUUUCGAUUGGUCAAAACAAAUAUUAGCCCUUUUGUUUUAAUUUAAUUUCGAUAUAGAAAUUAUGAGUUACUUUAAUUUUUACUAGUACUUUGCCCCGUGCACUGCACGGCCGAAUACUAAAAAAUAAAAAUAAGCAAAAAAACACAACUAAAAAAAAUAUCAUAAACAAAAUUAAUAAAGAUCGUGUUCAAAACCAACACAAUAAAAAACAAAAUGUAAAAACUUCUCUAAUUGCAACCAUAAUGUAUAUAUUAAUUUUAGAAUUUAAAAAAAAAAAAUCUAUAUAUUGAGAAGAGAAAAGAGAGAAUCAAUUUACUAUUCUUUUGGGUGUUUCAUUUAACAAUAGACGUCGAUCAUAUAAAAGGAAAAGGAUGUGGUUUUCAUAAAACAAAUAGUAUAAGAUGAUUAAGAAUAUGUCAUUGAAAUGUACACUAAUUUCCUCACUGAAGUCUGCAUAAAAGGAAGGAAAAAUAUAGAAGAGAAGCAUAACUUCAAUGUAGAACCAUUCAGCCCAUUUACAAAAAAAAAAAAAACAAUCAAUAACAAAAUUAGUACUUUUUGAUUUAAAUAAAAUCUCCAAUUAAGAACAACAUUCUAAUCCAUUGAAACGAUCUCCGUGGUGUAGAUUCCAUUUGAACCAACGUAACCGAAGCAAACCACGUAACCAUGGUGCAGACAAUAAAUUUCCAAUCAAUUCCUUCAGGGAUAAUUAUAAAAAACAUUUGUAAACUUUGGAGCCAUGAUGAACUAAAACAAAUGAUUGUGUGAUAACCAAGUCUUAAUGUUUAAAUUUAAAACAAAUGAGCAUAUCCAAUAAGAUCCAAAUUGCCAAGUAUAAACUCAAACGCCCCUAUAAGAAUACAGAGAAAUGUAAUCCUCAUACUCAUACAUGAAGCAUACACAUGCAUUAACUCAAUAUAUAAUAAAACCCCACAGACAAUUUCAGCACAUAAGAAAUAUCAUUUAUUUAAAAAUAAUAACAAAUAAAAAAAAAUGCGGACAUGCAGAAUGAAGCAACCAAAAGUAUCGACAUAUAUCAGGAAAAUCAAAAAAAGAAAAACAUAUUAUCACAAAAGAAGAGAAAAAUAUGAUGAACAACAAAUGAUGAUGAAAAAUAGAUGAUAGCAUGUCCCUAAAAUUUUUCUGCCUUGCAUGCACGCCCAUCACAUUUUAUUUUUCAUAAAUAUAUGCCAAUGGAAUUGGAUUCAUGAUGGAAAAUAAGAAUAAUGAACAUAAAAAUUGCAGACAAAACAUAAUGAACAACACACGUAUCAUGAUAUCAACUAUAUAUAUGUAUGAAUAAAUAUAUACAAAUAACAAUGCUACCUAAUAAUAUAUUUUCUCCUACUAAUUAUGUAAGAGUAAAUUUGUAGUGAAAACUCCAAAUGGAGCGUGGAGCUCCACGGACAAAGAUAUAAGAAACAAAAAAAAGAGCUGCUGCUAUGUACAUUUGGAAACGAAAAAAACGCUUUAAUGUACGUUUGCAAUCAGUAAUAAAAUUAUGUAUGAUGAAGACGAUUGUGGAUUAUGCUGCUACAGAAUGAUGUUAUAUUGCUAUGGAAGAAGAGCAACAAACAAAUCCAAACCAUGGCAGCUUAUAUUGUUUGACGGCGGAAACAAAUAUAAAAUUGAAAAGAAGGGUUGUGGAAAACUUCAGAAAUUGAUAAGGAUGGCCAAGAAUUUUAUAUUUAUAAACAAAAAAAAUAUAGCGGUUGAACAAAAUACUGGUGGGAAUAAAAACGUGACGGUAGAUCGUGAGAAAACUUACUAACAUCGUGGGAAGUUUUAUUGCUGUAGCGGAAAUCUUCAAAAACAUGUCAAAGAAUUUAAGAAAAAACAAUGCCAUUUUAUAGGGACGAAUAUCACCCAAAUGAUUUAAAUCUUUCUCAGAUUCUUUUGUAGCAAAUCUCACCUGAAAAAGACAAUAUAUGAAAAAAUCAAGAAAACUAAAUGGAAUAUAUAUCUUUUUAAUAAAAAAUUAAAGUAAAAUAAGAGAAAACAAAAGUGUAGAAAAGUGGACCUUUUUUGAUGUGCAUCAAUGUUAUCCGCAAACGAUUUUUAUUCUACUCUUUCACGCUUGCCCUUUUUUUUUUUUACCUUUCGUCGUCCUCAUUGUCCGUAAAAACCUUAGGUGUUCAAGAUCUUUUGACAUUAUACAAACAUAAGGGAUCAAAUGAGGGUAAUUUUGCUAGAAUCCUAACGACUCCAACACCACCAACCACAUGCUGCAUAAUAUGAAAUUUGUGAUAAAAAAAAUUGAAUUCACAAAGCAAAUUCAGGAGAAAAAAUAGUGAAACUCCAACAUAAACGAUCAUGACGCAAUAAUGAGAAGGACAAUAUUUUAACAAAAUAGCUACUGCAAUCACAAAAAUUCCUACUCUGCUUCCUUUUUUUUUUAUUUUUUAUUUUUCUCUCUUUGCGGCUUAUUAUUAAUCAAGUACAAAACAAAGAUUCAUUUACAAAGGCUGAACCUGAACAAACUGCGAAAAAAAUAGAAUACUUAGAAACUCUUAAAAGACCGACUGGCAAUACGCAUGCAGAAGAGGGAAACAAUAGAAAUUUCAAACGACUCCCCACCGAGGAAUUCAUUUAGGGAAAAGAAAUCGUAAAAUUAUUAGCAACUCAGAAAAAAAUCCAAGGAAACCGACCUUUAGUUGAGAAAGAUGGCACCCAUUAUUCGCAUGAAAACCCGUAGAAGAACAACUCAUUGCACGUCACUCGCCAUUUCUCACCUCCGAAAGCUUCUGCAAAUUCUAAUCGAAAUACCUGAGAAAUUUAAUGAAUCCAUUUGAGAACAGAAAAAUAGAGAAUUUUUAUUUUUAAAUUUUUUUUUAUACUCUUCUGCAACUUUUUUCAACAAUUAUUCGACGCGUAUGAAGCAGAAACUUAGGAAGUCAGUUUUUGCAAUUUGUUGUGUUCCAAAAUAACCCUAGGGUUACAAAGAUUUUAUAAAACUGGGAUUAGGGUUUUGGGGAAAAACCUUUCUGAUAAGUUGUUGAAGUGUUUGAAUUGUUUUUUGAAUUUAUUUCCACACGGACUAAAAAAUCCAGCCCUUAUCGCAGCAUUUUGAGACGUUCUGACAGAGUGCUCGACACCGAAGUACGUGCUAGAGGGCGUAGACAGUUCCGCUUAGAGGCAAUGUGGAUCCGUCGAGAUGAGUGUGAAGAGAUUGUUCAAAAUCAGUGGGCUGCGCGGUUUUGAUUCUGAUCCAAUUGCGGAUAUUCUUAGCAAAACCGAAAACUGCCAAAUGGCACUUAUUCAUUGUAGUAAAUAUGUGAUUCAGCACCCAAAGAAACGCAUUGCAGAGAUUGAAAAACAUCUUCAUCAACUACAGAUGGGUGAUCAGUCGGCUCAAGUGGUAGAGGAUAUUGGGGCUCUUCGGGGUGAGCUCGAAAAGUUCUAUGUGGAUCUCGACAUGUAUUGGCGUCGGAGGAGUAGGGUCUACUGGAUUCGUGAAGGGGAUAGAAAUACGAGUUUCUUUCACUCGAGGGCAUCUUCUCGAAAGCGGACUAACCGGGUGAAUAGGAUUAAGUAUGAGAUGGGUUCUUGGAAAGAGAGAAAAAAGGAUAUCGAUAAGGUGAUUUCAGAGUAUUUUACAUCUAUCUUCCAAUUAACAAAUCCGGAAGAGAGUGUGAUCGAUAGAGUAUUCCAGUAUUUAGUAUUUUACACUAAAUAAUGAAUAUUCUUGGUACUAAUGUUCUUGAGUGCGUACUUGAUUUUUUUAAUUACAAGAAACUUCCGAGUAAACUCAACUUCACAUUCAUUGUUCUUAUCCCUAAAGUCAAGUGCCAAUAAAAAACUCACAGAGUAUCGGCCCAUUAGUUUGUGUAAUAUUAUUUAUAAAUUCGGCUCGAAAGUUUGAGCUAAUAGGAUUAAACCCUUCUUAAAUGGUAUUAUCUUGCCUACCCAAUCUGCCUUUGUUCCUAAACGCUUGAUUAGCGAUCAUGUUUUCAUUUCUUACGAAAUCAAUCAUUUCAUUAUAUCAAAUUCUAGUAAGCAAACUAAUUAUAUUGGACAUUAGUAAGGCAUAUGAUCGAAUUGAAUUGUCUUUCUUACAGAAAAUUCUAUGUAGACUUGGUUUCCCUGUUGAGUUCAUUGCCUUGAUCAUGUUAUGUGUUUCUUCGGUAUCUUACUCUUUUCUUUUUAAUGGUUACCAAUUUGGCUCACUUUGCCCGUCACGGGGGCUCACGCAAGGAGAUCCUCUUUCACCUUACUUAUUCAUAUGUUGUACUGAAGCUCUCUUGGCUAUGAUUCACAGUGUUGCAGCGAGGGGAGAUCUUCAAGGGAUUAAGAUUGAUCAUGAGGCUCCGACGAUUUCAUGUCUUUGCUUUGCCGAUGAUACACUAGUGUUCUGCCAAGCCUCUGAGAUGAACGCACUUACCCUUUGCUAGAUCCUGAAUGACUACGCUCUUGCCUCAGGUCAAGUCAUCAACCUGGACAAGUCCACCAUGACUUUUUGCCCAAACACCUCUUUGGAUGUUAGGACCAUCAUUCGUUCCACUUUAGGUUCUCAUGUUGUGGAGCGCCACGAUAAAUACUUGGGGAUACUAGUUAGAAUUGGACAAUCUUGUAAAGUAAUUUUUCAAUUUUUUUUAGGGAUAGAGUGUGGGCCCGAAUCAAAGGUUGGGGGGAGAAGCAACUCUCUAAACCAGGCAAGAAGGUACCUAUAAAGGCCGUUCUCCAAGCUAUUCCGUCAUACAUUAUGAGCUGCUUCAGGUUACCCCUUGUCACGAUCGAUGGCAUGGAUGUCGUGGGCUUAUUUGUCCAAAUCCAAAGGAAAACAGGGGUAUGGGCUUUCGAGACUUACGAAGCUUUAAUCUUGCCAGCUUGCAAAGCAAACUUGACGAAUUCUCUCACAAAUCCAAAUCUCCUUCUUUCCCAUCUUUUGACACUAUGCCAAAACACAUUUCAGGCGACGUUUUUUUGCGACGUAAAAACCCCGUUUGCGACGAAAUUUGUAAUUUUGCGACGUUUAUAUUGCGAUGAAAUUUGCCGCGAAAAAAGUCAAAAAAAUGCCCUUCGCAAAUAUGUGCGACGUUUUUAUUAUAAAGUCGCAACCUCUUGCGACGAUUCCGUAUAACCGUCGCAAUGUUGUAAUUUUUUCGUCUGCUGAUUUAUUGAGACGAUUUUGCCAUGAGAGCUCGUUAUUUGUCUUCCGGGAAUCUCUGGUCCGCUUCUGUUGGUUCACGUCCCUCGGCGACUUGGCUUACGAUUAUUUCUAGCUCUUUUCGCUCUUGUGGAUUUUCAUUUGUUAAGAGAAAUUGUAAUAACUUGGCUCAUGUGCUUGCCGGUGAGUUUAAGCUAGCUGGUUUGUGUGGACCCUCUCUACCUCCUGAUAUGGAGACUUUUAAUGAGUAAUUAGUAAGUACCACGUGCUACGCACGUGAUUUACGAUUUUACUAAAUAGACGAAGUAGAAGAUCAGAUGAGAUAAGUUAAACCACGACAAAAGAAUCAUCUUGUGACGAAUUGCGAAUUUGUCACAAUAGUAACAAGCUAUUGUGAAAAAAUGCAAAGUUGCACAUACCCAGAAACUUUACUGGACAAAACUACAUCUCGUCACAUAAAAUGUGAUUAUAUGACAAUUAUAAUAAUAUGUCACAAGAAAGAACGCGGGUGAUUUCUGGGAUAAGUGUGUACUGUUGUUGCGACAAAUUUUACUUCUAUUGGGUCGAUAUCCGAUAUUUCAUAAUUCAUUUUGUGUUGUGACGAAGACUAAUUCGUCAUUAAAAAUAAUUCAUCUAAUUUCGUUCCCUUCUAUUAUCCAGAAAAAAAUCAUUUCCCCCCGAGUUUCCUUCUCAAUUUUUGAACACUUUAUUUACUAUUUAUGUGACGAAAUGAUGCUGCCUCCUAAAUAUGAAAUUACAUUGUUUGAAUUCUAGGUUGACCUGUGACAAAAGUGAUAUUGUCACUAUAAAGCAAAAUCAUCUAAAAAUAAUUAUUUUUGAUAAUGAUUGUAUCCCAUCCAUCAAAAUUGAAAUUAUAGAUGGCAAUUUUAACCCGCCACGCCCCACCUCGUUUGCUAAUGGGCGGGUACGGUGUUUUAAAAAUUUCACCCGUAGUGGGUAUGGAUUUUGAACAUAUGCACAAUUAAACAUCUGUAUCCAACUCGUUUAUAUAUUUUUAUUAAUUUUAUAUGCUUUUUAUAGGGUAAAAUUCAUUUUGCACCCCUGUACUAUGAGAAAUGUAUCAUUUACCCCCUGAUGUAUUGAAAACAUCUAACAUCCCCCUGCCGGUAGUUUUUUUCCUAAUUCCGUUAGUCAAACCUUUUGACCGGCUGUUGCGAAGAGUUGUUGGAUUUUUUUUUGACGAAUAUACCCCAAUAAAUCUCUAUUUAUAGGUUGCUUAAUUUGUUCCAUUAUUCACCAGAUUUUUCGCUCUUUUCGACCCUUUUAUUUCACAUUAUUCAGUCAUUUUUUUUUCACUCUUUUCAACUUUUUUCUCUUUUCUUUAUGCAUAAAAAAUUGAACAGUCGAAUAAAUUAGAAUGAAGCUUUGCAGAUCAUGAAUGCAAAACCCACAAAAAAAUAAAAAAAUUAAAGACAUCUAAAAUCUAAAAGAAACCCUUAAAUUGAAAUAAACCCUUAUGAGAGAAUUGCAAAUAAAAAACAAAAGUUUCAUAUUAUAAUGGCAAAACCCCCAAAAAAUAAAAUUGAAAACCCCUAAAAUCAAAAACUAAAAUCGACAAAAAAUCCCAAUUUAAAUGAACGCUAAAAAUCGUUAACAAUCCACAAAAAUAAACUUAAAAAAAUUAGGGAUUAUAUCCUAUAUAGAGUAGGGUAAAAGAGUAACUUCUCCCUCAAAUUUAACAACGUUAAAAGUUUGACCAAUGACCAUGAAAAAUAGGGGGGCGUUUGAUGUUUUUUAUACUUCAGGGGUAAAUGAUACCUUUCACAUAAUAUAGAGGUGCAAAAUGAAUUUUACCCUUUUUUAUAUUAUAAAAUACUAACUUUGAAAGAUAUUUUAAUUACAAAAUGUAUUAAUAUAAAAAAAAUAAUUUUCGAAGAGAAAAGUAUGAAAUAUAAGCAAAAUAACGUACCAACUUUAUUAAUAGAGGUUGAUUUCAUUUUUUAUUAGAAUGAUUUGUUCUUACAUUUAUCUGUUAAAACUUAUCUAUUUACCAAACUCUAAGGUUUAGGAACGGGGAGAGAAAUGAAAGGAAGGAAACAUGACACUCGAGUUGACAUCUUUUUAAUUAAAGGGGCUCUUUAAUAUAACCCCUUCAGUAUUUAUUUUAAUAGGGAGUGACCCAAACUAUUUUGCACUAUUUGAGAAAAACUCCUUGCUAAUUUCAGCCACCCAUUUAUCUAAUUAUGCCUCUGCAACCUCAUCAGCACUAUCACCAAUUAUGUCCUUGCCACCUCAUCAGCCUCUUUUUUUUUUUCCUUGUUAUCGACUAUGAAUAUCAUCAUAGUCGAUUAAGCAACUGACAACUAAAAAAAAACACACAACUAUGUAAAAACGAAAAUCGAUAUUAUUUUUAACAUAACAAAUAAUAUACAUAAAUUGUAAUUGAUUUAUACAACUCGAAAUCAAUACACAAAAAUUAAAAAAUGAAAUCAAGAAACCUUAAUCGACUACCAAAACCGUCGAUUAACACUUUAAUCAACUACCAGAGCAUAGUCGAUUAACUUAAUCGACUACCAAAAAUAUACACAAUCGAUUAAGGGUCCAACCUGCGCGACUUUCUCUACCUGCACCGUCCUCCGCCUGAUCUACCAAAAAACCCUAGAUCUGCUCCUCCUCGUUACACGCCGUCGCCACACCACACCAUCAUCACCACACUUCCAUAUUAUGACGGUUUUUAAUGACAAAUAAAGUAAAUUACAAACCACAUCACCAACCCAUACAAAACCAUCACCAUCAAAACCACCAAAAACAAAGCCACCCAAACCCAAUUUUCUUCAUGACUACCGCCAUAUCCAAAAAGAGGCAGCAAAAUGAAAUUAAAAAUCCAUAACUACAACGACGAAGAUGAAAUCUUCGCAAACUCAAAAAAUUGUGAGUAAGGGGAAGGUUACUUGGCGUAUAAGGGAGCGCGGGAUCCUCUGUCGCGUCGUCGCCAUAGUCUCCGCCGUGGAUUUCCAGAAGUUGUUCAUGAUUUAUGCCAUAAAAAUGAAAUUAGUUUUAGUUUUAAAAAUUGUAGAAAUUAGUUUUAGUUUUAAAAAUUUAAAAAUGAAUUUCACAUAACAUUAAAAAUUAAAGAAGAAUUAGUUUUAGUAUCACAAGUUAAAAUUUUCAUUUUUUUUCUUUAAAAAAAAAACCAGUUCGCGGUUCUAAUUGUCGGUUCUCGUUUUCGAAAAUGAGGAACCGGAACCGAACCGAUUUUCUCGGUUCCAGUUCCGAUGCUAGUUCAGGUUCGGUUAAAAAACCGUUGACCCCGGUUCGGUUCUGAUUCCGGUUCUAACCAAAUCGGUGGUCAUGUUUAGAUGGGGUUUCCGGCCAUCCUUGAUACCAGAUGGGUCCCACAAGGCUUACUUGAACAAUCUUGGCAUUAUUAAGAAGGCCAUAGCUCAGGUGGAUGAUUGUGAUAGUUGAAAAAUUCAAGUCAGACAUCCAAUUCUUUUCAGCAAUUUGUUAAAGAACAUAAAAGCUUUGCUGGCAUUUUUUCAAUCACCUCCUCGAAGCUAUACCAAUCUAAUGGCAGAAAUAAGUCUUCGGCUCUUCGCAGAACUAAGUCUACAUCUAAGUCUACAUCGACAACCAAAAAGAAUACAAUUCUUUUCCUAUCGAAGAACAAAAAUAGGUUGCAGAAAACCCAUAGGGCAUCUUCAAUGGAGUCCCUAAAACUCAUGAGUCUCCAUAUUUUAGAGACUUUGGUAAAAGACUCAACACUAUUGAAGGUCCUGAAAAGUCUCUAAAAUAGAGACUAUUCCUAAAGUUUCUAAAUAUUUUUCUAUAUUUGGGAUUGCAUAUAAAGACCUAUAACUUAAAGUUGUCCCACCGUAAAUUAAUAAAAAAAUUUAAGAAAAUUAAUUUUUUAUUUUUGUGGUUGAUAUAUUUAUUUUUGUUACUUGAAACAUUUAUUUUUGUUGUUGAAAAUACGAAGAAAAAAAAAUUCAAUUUUUUCCCUACGUGAGAUACAUAUUAAAAAAUUAAGAUAAUGUAAAUAAAAACUAACUAUCGAAAAUUUUAUGUACAAAACUAAGCUAUAAUCUAGUUAUAAUAAGAAAUAAAUUAUAAAUGAAUACAUAAAAUUGAUUUUUUAGAACUCCUCAUUGGCUUUUUUUUUAAAGACCCGAGUCUCUAACUGGAUUUCUAAAAUCAAAUUUAGAAAACCCAUUUUACAUUCCAUUGGAGAUGCCCUUAGUAAAAUGCCCAACCAAAACUAAGAAAAGAAAUGAAGAUACCCACAAGAGUUUGGAUUGUUAGUUGUUCCAUGGAAGUGUAGUAAUUUUCAGGCAAGAAAUGAUAAGAGAGAAAAAUGGCAGGCAAAAGUAAAACUGAAUUUGCUUAACCAAAAAAAUUAAAGCCAACAACUUUUUUUUUUUUUUUUUUUUAAUGUGAUGUGAGUGUGGUUGAUUUAAAGGAAAAAAAAAAGAAAUAGACAUUUUAUUUCAUAUUUUGGACAAGAGUUUCAGAGCAAAUGAUUUAGAUAAAAUUAUGAGUUGGAUAUUCAUACACAUUAGGGGUGGGCACUCGAGUCGGGUUAUUCGGGUAAUACCCGACCCGGUCUGGUAAUACCCGAUCUGAUCGGGUAAUUUUCGAAUUAACUGGGUUUUUUCUGGGUUCGGGUACCCGGUGCCCUCAAACCGGGUCGGGUCCGGGUAUUAGAAUUUCUACCAGGAUGCCCGAUCGGGUACCCGGUUAAAAAAAAAAAAUUAUAUAUAUAUAUAUAUUGAAAUAUUCAGUUCUUGGAGAGAAUCUUGGAAAUAGCUCUUAUGGUGUUUGGUGUAGUUCUGCAACAACCUCCAAUCAGAGAAGUUUUUUUUUUUGGUUUUUGUGAUUAAUUGUUUUUGUUUAACAAAUUUAGUAAUUCUUUCGUUUUGAUGAAUCUGUGUAUGUAACAAUAUGUUCUAUUGCCCGUAUUUGUAACCAUGUAACAAUAUAUUUUUGAUAUUUUAUGAAGUGUGAUGUCACAUUUAGAAUUGGAAGUAUUAAAUACUUAUUAUUAAAAAACAAAUUAAAAAAAUAGAAAAAAAAAAGAAUAGAAAAAAGAGGGAGAGAAAAAUAGCAAAACCCGAACCCGACCCGAAAUAACCGGGUACCCGAUUAUUUCGGGUCGGGUUCGGGUAAUAUUUUGUUUACAACAAACCAGAAUAACCUGACCCGACCGGCCGACCUGAAGGCCCACACUUAAUAUACAUAACCAUUGCAGUCGUUAUAAAGACUCUCUCCUUUUCUAAUAUCCGAUUCUCAACUAAAAGCACCAUGCAUUCUUCAUCUACGGUGUAUGUCAAACAUUUAUGUCACAUUUAAUAUUUUGUUUUUUUUUAUUUUUUUUCUACCUUCCCUAAAAUAGAUGAAAUGAUGCCAUUAGCAAAAAAAUUUCUCACGUUGUAUUAAUUUUCUUCUAAUAUAAUGAAAAGAGCAACAAAUUUAUAGAUAAACAUAAAAAAUAUAUGUACUUCAAAUUUAAGUACCUACACGUAAUUGAUAUAAAUAACGAAGAUUAAAUAAAUGAGCACUGUGUCUAGUUACGCAUAACUAGAACAAAACGAGACUGUAUAUAUUGUACUAUUGAGGAUCAUAACUAGAACAAAAAAAUGACUAGAAGAUGUUACAAUACAUCGUGGACCACAAGAUGUCUUUCUAUUAACUGUAGACACAUAAACACAAACAACCGUCUAUCCAUGACAAUAGACGGUAGAUAUAACAACUAUAUGUACAUUCAUUUUCUGUACCACAUAUAGUAUACAUUAUUCAGGUUGCGGUGUCUUCGUUUUAUAUGCGCAAAAUAUGCACUAAUACUACACUUAUGGUAAUAUAACAAAUCUCUAUAUAAAUAUAAUAUUUUUUUGAGAAAUGAUUAGGAGCCGUUGCUUCACAAAACUAUGUAUGAUGUGCUAACUCGCCACCGAUUGUAUUUGUACAUAUAAAGAAACUGGUCGAGGGAAAUUUCGACACAACUUACACAACGAUAAAUAUAUAUAGCUAUAAUCCCACUCUAUUUGUUAAAGGAUGUUUAAAUGUUAAGAAGUAUGUCAAUAAAGUUCUUAACACAUUGCAAUCCCACAAAAUUCCUAACACAACGGAAUCAACUAAUUUGUACAUUUGUGCAUCUCCAAACUUGUAAAGCUUGUUGAAGUAUACAUCGAGAAGUAUGGAAAAUCAUGAGACUGCUGAAUGUUUAAUCCUUGUACCAGUAUCAUCCUCCGUCUCUUCAAAAGGGAAGUUUUGAAUCCUUCUUCGUGGGCCCUUAUAAUUUUAUUCCAAAAACAAAAACAUAAAAAGAAAAAAACCUAAUGCCGGCUCUAAAACAUUGGUUGUAGAAACUACAAGCUUUAUGUUUCAAAUUUCAUAAUUUGUUGAUAAAAGUUUAACCCUUUCAAGAUCUCUACUAUUUGAUGUGAAUCUCUACAAGGAAUUUAUGGGGUUAUGCAAAACAUGCACAGUCUAGAGUAAUUUUCUACUGAUAACCGUUGUAGUCGUAAUAUAGCCUCUCCCAUUUUCCAAUAUCACGAUUCUCAGCAAAAAGCAUGGCGCAUUCUUCGCCUACGUUGUAUGUCACACACUUUAUAUUUUGUCUUCUUUUUUUUUUUUUUCCUGUCUUUCUCUAUUAAAGAUCUAAUGAUACCAUAAACAGGAAAACAUCACACGUUGUAUUAAUUUUCUUGUAAUAAAAUGGAAAGAGUAACCAUUUUGUAGAUAAACAUAAAAAAAUUACGCACUUCAAAUUGAAGUACUUACAUGUACGUAAUUGAUACAGAUAACUAAAAUUAAAUACACGAGCAGUGUAUCUAGUGUGCAAUUUAGGCGCAUAACUAGAAAGAAAAGAAAGUAUAUCUAGUGUAAGGUUAAGGGGCAUAAUCAAUAACAAAACGUUCCAUAUAUGUGUAAAAUUAUGCUCUAAUACAAGUUCUACAUAUGUGAAAAUAUUGCGCAAAACAUGCACAAUCUAGAGUAAUUUUCUACACAUCACUUAAAUAUUACAAUUCAAGAAACAACUUGGUAUACAUUUGUACUUCUAUACGAUGUGAAGGUUGGUUUUAAGAAAAAAAUAUAUAUAUUUUCUUCUUUAUUCGAAGAAGAGCUUUUGAGCAAAGGACUUAGACAAAGUUAUGAGUUGGGUAUUAUUACUCAUAGUCAUUGUAGUCGUAAUAUUGGGGGUGUGCUAUUAAUGCUUUUUCUAUUUCCUUUUUUCCUUUUCUUUAUUUGAACUAUGUUUUGUAAGAGGAAGUAGCAGGUAAUGUUUAGAUGACGUGGUGACUGGUGAGUGGGCGAUGAAAUUUGGUUGUUUGGAGUAGCUGGCUCGUCGAAAGUAGCUUCGUUUACUAUGAAAAUGUGACAUCGUAUAUAGUAAAACUUGGAUAAAUUAAUAACCUCUUUUAAGUAAUAAUUUUUUUCGACUCUAAUUUAGUAAACACCUACUAAAUUAUUAGUUCGAUUUUAUUUAACAUUUUGUUAAAUUAAUAGAAUUUUACUAGUCAUGAUUGUAUUAAUUUAUAAAUGUUUAAUGUAUGUUGGUAAUUUACUUUUUGACUAUGCAAUUUUUUUUCUAGAUUUUAUUGAUUUUUUUAUAGCUUUUGUUUUUUCUCUUAAAUUACUCUUAUUCUAUUUCACAAGAACUAGAUAUGGACUAUGGUCUUGGUCCCAACUUUAAUUGAUCAAAACAAAUAUUAGCCCUUUUGUUUAAAUUUAAUUUGGAUAUAGAAAUUAUGAGUUACUUCAAUUUUUAUAAGUUGUUGAAGUGUUUGAAUUGUUUUUUUAAUUUAUUUCCACACGGACAAAAAAUCCAGCCCUUAUCGCAGCAUUUCGAGACGUUCUGGGAGAGUGCUCGAAACCAAAGUAUGUGCUAGAGGGCGUAGACCGUUCCGCUGUGAGGCCAUGUGGAUCCGUCGAGAUGAAUGCGAAGAGAUUGUUCAAAAUCAAUGGACUGCACGGUUUGAUUCUGAUCCAAUUGGGGAUAUUCUUAUCAAAACAAAAAACUGCAAAAUGGCACUUAUUCAUUGGAGUAAAUAUGUGAUUAGCUAUGGUGCACGGACACGGAUACGUGGACACGGCGAUACGCGGAUACGGACACGGUGAUACGACAUUUCCAAAAAACUAGGAUACGGACACGUGGGGGAUACGCGUAAAUAUAAAAAACAUAGGGGUAUAUUUAUAAAUAAUAAAAAUAUAGGGGUACAUUUAUAAAUUGUAAAAAAUAUGUAUAAGUCGUCAUCGCAUAAGAGAACCACUCGCCCUUGUUGCUCGUGUUCUUGAUCGCCGUCGCAUGCUAGACUUUUGGAGUUUUUGGUGGACUCACAAAGAAAACAGAGGAAAUGUGUAUUACAAAGAAAAGAAAAUGCGUAUUUUUUUUAUUAGAGCUCUCCUUUACAACGUAAGAGAAGUGUCCCAACUUUUUUAAAAUUGUGGAUACUGCCCGAUACGGGUGUCCUACUUUUAGCGAAAUUACGACACGGCCCGACACGGGUGUCCGAGAAGUGUCCGGGAGUAUCCGAGUGUCCAGGUAUCGGAUACGGGGACUCUUCAUCUUCUAGAAGUGUCCGUGCAGCAUAGGUGAUUAGCACCCAAAGAAACGCAUUGCAGAGAUCCCAAAACGUCUUCAUCAACUACAGAUGGGUGAUCAGUCAGCUCAAGUUGUAGAGGAUAUUGGGGCUCUUCGGGGUGAGCUCGAAAAGUUGUAUGGGGAUCCAGGCCCGUUCCUGGGAUUUCGGGAGCCCAAGGCGAUAUCAGAUUCCAUAUCGUAUUUUAAAAAACAUUGAAGCUUAACACAACCUUCAGACAUUUGUCGUCUACCAAUUUCCACUUCUUUAAAUCUAAAAAAAAUCGAAAUUGUCCUUCAAACUUCUGAAAAUCUUCAAAUCUCUGCCUCAAUGAAGUAAGAGCUUGAUCAAUAACAAACAUGAAAAAUUCACCUCUAAAGGUUUCUUGUGCUGGUUGGGGUGUGUAUUCAUUCUCAUUCUCGUCAAAUUGCCUUUUUCUUUUAAUUACCCGUCUCAUCCGAAAUAUGGGUUGAACACCCAAUUUUGUGGCAAUUACUUGAGCUUCUUUUUUAACUUUCUCAAAACCUGUUUCUCUGUACUCUUCAAAAAGAAUGAUGAGUCCUUUCAACCGCCGCAAAGCUUCAUCCAUAUGCAUGUCUUUAUUUUGAAGUGUCUUACUGACACUAUUCAUAAAAAAUAAUAAAUCAUACAAAAUAACCAAACUUAUCAAAUUGUCAUAAAAAAUAAUAAAUCAUACAAAAUAACCAAACUUAUCAAAAAAUCAAAGUUUUCGAAUUCAUUUAUGAUCAAACCUUCAGCUUCACUAGUUAUAGUUCCAUCUUCAUCGCUGUGUGCUAACUCAAGUAAAGCAUUUCUAACUUCUUCGGUUUGUCGUAGCAAUGGCUUCACACUUUCAAUACGACUUUCCCAUCGUGUUUGGGACAAUGGUUUAAGAGUAAGACCGGUAACAUUACCUUCAUAAUUUCCCACCGCUUUGUUGAAGAAGAAAAUAAGCAAUAUAUUCGUUGAAUAACCCCAAAAAAGUUUUUACCUUUGAGACAACAGCUGGCCAUAUCACAAAGUGCAAGAUUCAGACUAUGACAACCACAUGUCAUAUAGAAAGCUCUUGGAUUUCAAUCAAGUAAUAUCUUUUGUCCACCUUUGUGUUUUCCCUUCAUAUUCGACCCAUAGUCAUAACCUUGACCUCUUAUAUCAUUGAUGUCUAGUUCAAGAGUAUCUAAUACCUCUUCUAGUUCACUAAAAAGGCCAAGUCCCGUUGUAUCAUCCACUUUCAGAAACUCCAAGAAGAACUCCUCAACUUUUAUUGGGCUUACAGUAACAUCCACACAUUGUAUCACAAGAGUUAUUUGCUCUUUAUGGCUUACAUCAGGCGUACAAUCAAGUACAACAAAGAAGUAUUUUGCUUUAUUUAUUUUUUUCCAUGAUAGCCCUCUUGACUUCACCAGCCAAUAAAUUAAUCAAUUCAUUUUGAAUCUUGUUACCAAGAUAAUGAUAAUGAAUCUCUUUUGUUUCAAUGCUUCGAACAUGCUCUUGAAUUAUGGGAUCAAACAUUGCAACCAUUUCAAUGAACUUCAAAAAAAUUCAAUUUCCAUCUUAAUGAAGUGUUUUAUUGUCUCCUCUAAAUGCCAAAUUUUGUUGUGCAAGAGUUCGCACAAGUGCAAUUAUUCGAACCAAUACUUGCCGCAAAUAAUCUUUCUCUCUAUUAAUUUUCUCUUGCAAACCUUUAUCAAUUGUUUCAUUUUUCUUUAGCCGCAUCUCCAAUUCGAUCCACUUACUCAUACAAAUAAUAUGGUCGUUGUUGCCUUCAUGACUAUGUAGUCUAUGAGCAAGAUUUUUCCAAUCAUUUAAACCAGUGGUUGCCAAUUGAGUAUUGUUUGACUCAUUCUUGAACAAUUUGCAGCAAAAACAAAAGACCUUAUCAGUAAUUUUGGAUUGAACUAACCACUUUCUCUUGUGUCUUGUGUCUCCCUCCAUUUGGAAAUUGUCGGACGCAAUGUGUAGAAGAGAAAUUUCUACAAGAAUUGUUAAGAGGGUACUCGAAAUCAUCAUCCACAUCUCUUAUAGGGCCUCGUUCUACCAAAAAGUUUCUCGUCUUUACAUCAAGUUUGUCCCAUUUGAUUGGAUCAUCAUUUACUUGCUCACUCAGCACUUGUUCAACUUGUGGAUCAUUGUCACUUCCAGCCUUGGUUGUUUUUAUUUCUUGGUUGCCAUCUACAGUUGGAUUUUCUUUCUAACUCCGCUGUUUCACUAUCAUUCACAUCCUCGUUCACCAAUUCUUCGACUAUUUCUAUAUUAUUAACUUGUUUGGCAUAAAAAAAUCUAUGCAAACCUCCUCUUCUUUUCAUAGAUCGAUCAAUUUCGCCUCGUUUAUCCUUCGUCUUUCUUUUUUCACAUCCAGAAGGAUAUACUCUAGGAGUAGGACCCAUGACCACGAAAAUAAGAAAUUUUGUACCAAAACAAGAAAAUAACUCAUCAAGUAUUAUAAAUUACAAAAUAUAAUGAAAAUAUCACUUUCAACACAAGAAAUAUAUUGAAAUAUCAGUCCUUCAUAGUUUAUUCAUAAAAAAAUAAAAAUAACAUGAACAUAUAUUUUUAUUCCAUUCAUCAAUAUAAAAAAAAUAAAAAUAUAUUAUGUUAUACCAAAUAUUGAAAAAAACUGGAAUUUGAGGAGGUGCGAUGUAGUCUGUAGCCGCCUGUCGAUUUCAAUCGAGGUUAGAGAAACUUAAGAAAGCAACAAUUGAGAGAAAGUAAUAGAAAACAGGAUCAAGAAAUUUGGUGACUUGAAAUUUGGAAUUUAAGAAUGAAAUUUGUGGAAUCUGUGUUUGAAAUUUAAGAAGAUGAGUGGGAAUUUGGGGUUUCAAAAUCCAGAAUUGAAGAUUAGGAGUUGAAAAUUUGGGGGAUAUGAAAACCCUUAGGGCAUUUGAUCAUGAAAAAUUGAAACCCUCAAUUUUUUUGUUAGAGAAAAGAACGUGGGUGGGGCAGGGGAGAGAAAUAAAAUAGAGAGAAGGUAAGAAAAUAAAGAGAAAAAGAUUAGGAUAUAUUGCGUAAAAACAGAAAAUAGAAAAAUAAUGGGGUUUAUGUUUUAUUUUAGAUAUUAUUUAAAAAAAAGUUAAUUUAUUAGGUAAAGCUUAGUUUGGAAUCAAUUGGCCUUAAAUAAAAAUAUUAUAGAUAAAUUCUAAUAUAAUAUAAAGAUUAUUUUCCAAAAUUAGGGGCACAUGGCGGUCGCCUUUCUCGUCUCCCCUCAGAACCGGACAUAUGGGGAUCUUGACAUGUAUUGGCGUCAGAAGAGUAGGGUCCACUGGAUUCGUGAAAGGGGAUAGAAUACGAGUUUCUUUCACUCGAGGGAAUCUUCUCGAAAGGGGACUAAUCGGGUGAAUAGGAUUAAGGAUGGAAUGGGUUCUUGGAAAGAGAGCAAAGAGGAUAUAUUGAGAAGGUGAUUUCAGAGUAUUUUACAUCUAUCUUCCAAUCAACAAAUCCGGAAGAGAGUGUGAUCGAUAGAGUCUUGGACCAUAUCGAACGUAGGAUUUCAAGCAUCGCCAGUCAAUCUCUCUCCCUUCCUUUUACAGCAGACGAGGUAACCCGAGCUAUCUCUCAAAUGUCUCCCACCAAAUUCUUGGGUCCUGAUGGCUUUCCUGUUUUAUUUUACACUAAAUACUGGAUAUUCUUGGUUCUAAUGUUCUUUAGUGCGUACUCAAUUUUCUUAAUCACAAGAAACUUCCCAGUGAACUCAACUUCACAUUCAUUGUUCUUAUCCCUAAAGUGAAGUGCCCAGAAAAAAUCACAGAGUAUCGGCCCAUUAGUUUGUGUAAUGUUAUUUAUAAAUUUGGCUCGAAAGUUAUAGCUAAUAGGAUUAAACCCUUCUUAAAAGGAUUAUCUCGUCUACCCAAUCUGCCUUUGUUCCUAAAUGCUUGAUUACCGAUAAUGUUCUCAUUUCUUACGAAAUCAAUCAUUUCAUUAAGUUAAAUUCUAGUAAGCGAACUAAUUAUAUGGCUGCAAAAUUGGACCUCGGUAAGGUGUAUGAUCGAAUAAAAUGGUUUUUCUUACAGAAAAUUCUAUGUAGAUUUGGUUUCCCUGUUGAGUUGACUGCCUUAAUAAAUGUUAUGUGUUUCUUCGGUAUCUUACUCUUUAUUUUUUUUUUGGGUUUUUUGCAAAAUCCUGCCCUGUGUAACCUCGAAUAGCUGAAAAAAUCCUCGUGUUAAAACUAUUAGCACAAAACACCCUGUGAAAAUAGUUAAAGCCAAAAAGGACCCUAUGAGCUUGAUGUGUUAUACACUUGCGAUUUGUGAAACUCGGCAUCUAAUUUUGGAACUAGAAAGACUCAAAAACCCUUGGAAUCAAUUUUUUGAAAUUUAUAAGUUUAUCCAGUAUUUUUCAUAAGCUCAAAAUGCAAUUUUCAGAAUUUUCAAUUCAAUCCCUAAUAAUUCAUAAAAGCCCUCUCUCCAAAUUGCAAUUUUCAUAAUUUCUCAAAACCUCAUCUUCUUUUUCCUUCUCCUCCUUCAGAUCUGCUCCUCGCCAAAAAGAAAAAAGAAUGAAACAAUUUCCAACAUUUCAUAUUCAUAAAGAACCCGUUUGCGAAAGAAGAAAAACCGACAAAAGUUGCACUUCACGAUGGAACCGGGGGGGAGAGAGAGAGAGAGAGAGAGAGAGAGAGAGAGAGAGAGAGAGAGAGAGAGAGAGAGAGAGAGAGAGAGAGAGAGAGAGAGAGAGAGAGUUGAGCGGCGUGAGAGAGAGGGGAAGAGAGAGAGAAAGAAAUGAGAUAAAAAAGAGACAUGUGACUUUUAUUAGGCAUUGUAAGGGUAUUUUUGGGUUAAUAAAAAUCAAAGGAUGUAUAUCAAUUUUUAUUUUGAAAUAGGGAUGUAGUUAAAAUAUUCUAUUUGAGUUUGUCACUCAUAUCUAAUUAAUUAAGUUUGGUUAGAGGGGUGUGAGGCAUAUUACCCCUAUAAAAUAACUAAAAAUAUGGAAAAAUUUCAACAUUCACCGAAUGAAUUGUUGGUUUACUUCCUCCCGUGACGUAUUAUCUUUAUAGAAAUAGACUUCAUAAAUAUUUAUAAAAAGAAACUUGAAUAAACUAAUGAAUAUUGAUUCUUAUUUUAGAAAUAGAAACAAGUUAUUAAGAAUUAUAAAUUUAAUAUUUAGGGGCCCCAAGGUUAAAAAAAAAUGUAAAAAUAUCUACUGAUCAUUGAUUUUAAAUUUAUUUCAGAAUUGAUGUUUCAAAAUAUUAUAUUUAAUAAAUUUCAAAAAAUAAGUACUAAUAUAAAAAGUGUAUAUAAACAUAUUUGGGGCCCUAAAUUUUCAUAUAAAUCCAGGGGCCUUAGGCGACCGUCUACUUAUCCUCCCCUCAGAACCGGCCCUGCAGUCUCAUGCCACCAUUGAAACUUGGUAGAAUUCACUAUUUUCCGGUAAAGCGGCGUUAAAGUUGAUUUUUACCGUCCCAGAAGGAGGGGGUGUCCAAUGAAAUUGCUCGGUCGGUUGAUGUAUCGACAAUUUGGAGUGCUGGGCUGCAUUAAAAACAUCAAGGAAGGUCUCACUCCAAGAAAGCAAAUCUCGUGACCAUAACCCCGCCUCGCCGUGUGCUUCCUUGUUACGUGAAUUCCAUGCUUUCCAGCACACAACCAUCGCAAGAUUGAAAAGCUCCUUAGACAGGUGCUGUUGAAGAAAAAGAAACCAACAAACGAAGGAUGUAAAUUCCCCGUGGAGUUUGAGAUCGAAUGGCGUUGAGCUCCACACAAAACUCAUGUCCCGGCAUCCACACAGAAUAUGCAUAACAGAUUCCGGUUGGGAUCAACAGCGGCGACCAGAGAGAUUAGAGAUAAUAUCCGAGACUCUAUCGGGAAAUGAGGUGUGAACAGGCCUUUUCGUCAAGAUCUUGUGGUUUCCAUCUUCGGUUAACCAGGGGUCCCCCCAAAUUGAUGUAGAGCGUCCGUUCCCGACCCUAAUUCGAACACCAGGAUUCAAGUAUGGCUGAGCAAGGAUAAUACUACGCCAAGUCGCCGAGGGGCGUGAACCAACAGAAGCGGACCAGAGUUUCCCGGAUGGAAAAUAACGAGCUCUCAAAAGCUGGGAAAGAAGGAAGAUUUGGAUUUGUGAGAAUUCGCCAAGUUUGCUUUGCAAGCAUGGCAAGAUUAAAGCUUCGUAAGUCUCGAAAUCCCAUACCCCCGUUUUCCUUGGAUUUGCACAAAUAAGCCCACGACAUCCAUGCCAUCGAUCGUGACGUUCCAUCCCAGCACCCAAAUAUCUGGAUGGCCGAUUCAAUUUCUCUAAUUAAUCCAAGGGGUAAGCUGAAGCAGCUGAUAAUGUAUGACCGAAUAGCUUGGAAAACGGUCUUUAUAAGUACCUCCUUGCCUGCUUUAGAGAGUUGCUUCUCCCCCAACCUUUGAUUCGGGCCCACACUCUAUCCCUCAAAAAAACUGAAAAUUACUUUACGAGAUUGUCCAAUUCUAACUGGCAUCCCCAAGUAUUUAUCGUGGCGCUCCACAACAUGAAAACCUAAAAUGGUCCUAACAUCCAAAGAGGUGUUUGGGCAAAAAGUCAUGGUGGACUUGUCCAGGUUGAUAACUUGACCUGAGGCAAGAGCGUAGUCAUUCAGGAUCUGGCGAUGGGUAAGUGCGUACGUCUCGGAGGCUCGGCAGAACACUAGUGUAUCAUCGGCAAAGCAAAGACAUGAAAUCGCCGGAGCUUCACGAGCAAUCUUAAUCCCUUGAAGAUCUCCCCUCGCUACAUCACUGUGAAUAGCCAAGAGAGCUUCAGUACAACAUAUGAAUAAGUAUGGUGAAAGAGGAUCUCCAUGCAUGAGCCCCGUGACCGGCAAAGCGAGCCGAACUGAGCACCAUUAAAAAGAAAAAGGAGCUAAUUGCAUACAACCCCUGUGUAAUCUGGAAUGACUAAAAAAUCCCUCGUGUUAAAAAUAUUAGCAUAGACCCCUCUUAUAUUAUAUUGGGCAAAUUACGGCCACCCCUCUGAGCUAUUGUAAAAUUACGAAAACCCCCCUCCUGUUUGGGUAAUUACAGCCACCCCCUCAACUAUGUAUUUAUCUUACGAAAAGACCCCUCAAGAGGUAAAAUUAGGGAUGUUAAUUCGGUAAAACCGAACCAAAAUUUCGGUACGCCAACAUUUCAUACCGUUUACAGAACUAAAUAUACGAUUUGGUUCGGUAAAUAACCGAAUUACAUAAAUUUUACGAAAAAAUAUUUAAAAGGAGGGGGUGGCUGUAAUUACCCAAACAAGAGGGGUUUUUUCGUAAUUUGACCAUAUCUCAGGGGGUGGCCGUAAUUUACCCUUCUUAUAAAUAUAAAAACUACGUUAGCUUCUAAUGAUGCUUUUUAGCUUAAUGUAAUAUUUAAUUAUUUUACAAAAACAAUGAUUUUAAUAGGAUAUCAUAGACAAAUUGCUUAUGGAUUUUUUGUUUAACUUUGUUAAUCAUUCAUGUAAAUAACAAUAGAAUUCGCCCACAUGGGUGUAGCUCAACUGGUUCCGGGGUGUAAGUUGGUACAAGGUCCUACGAUCGAAUCCUAACAACCAUAGUGUGAGAAUUUCAACUCUAAUGAGGGUUGAUUUCUUGUGGGCACCAGACCGGGUUCACUACCCUAACGGGCCGUUGAAUUAUCAUGAUUUACAUUCCUCUAUCAAAUACUCGUCGAGCCAAGAAAUAGAGGCCCCGAGGUCGAGGGAUUUAGCCUUUUGGUACAACAAGAGGAUUCAAAUUUUUUUUGUCUAAGUUAUUCAAAUUUUAGUGGUUGAUCGACAGUUGCAGAGCCUAGAAUGAUAAUAUGGUGGGCUAAAAAAUGGGAUAGUCCCUCAAAACUAACACAAAAUAAAUAAUUUUUGGUAGAUCUCAAAUACAAAUGAAUCUUCAACUACUCAAAAUUCACUUCAUAACCUCCAUUGCUCUCGUGCAAGUAGUAAUUUCUACAUUGUUUCAAACUAAAAUGUGUUUGUCAUGUACUCAUUUUUAUAACAAGAUUUGCAUCGCGAAGAAGCUCACUUUUGCGAUAUAUACAGUAGGCCAAAAUGCAAGACUGGCGACGAAAACGGACCUCUCGCGACGAUUUCUGAGGUAUUGCGACGAACAAAAUUCAUCACCAAAUCGAGCGAGGAUAGUCACCAAUUGCCAUGUCGCAAAGCCAGCAGCGAAAACCCAUUAGCGACGAGAUGUUUGGUGACAAAUUCUAGAAAUCGUCGCCAAUUUCGUAUUCUUAGAAAAAAAAAAGGUUUUUUUAUUACUCGCGAGGGAUUGCGUUAUUUCGGCGCAAAUUACUCGCAAAAAAUACACAAUAAGUUGCAAACAUUAGUGGCGAUAAUUGGUUUCGUCGCAAACUAUAUCGUCGUUUAGAAUAUUUUCGUCGCAACUGCUUUGAAUAUUUUGGUGACUAAAAAACAUUUUCGUCGCAAGCCACGCGUCAAUGUUUCGACGAUUUUGUAAUGUGAUUUGUCCCAUGCGUCGAGAUGUUUGUAACGACUGUGAAUUAGUCAAAGGUUUUUAGUUUUUCAAUAUUAAAUUUGGUUUAGUUUUAUUAUUUUCAAUUAGCAAAUUUAACCUAUACUAUCAGCUAUUGUACACAAAAAUAAAACACUAUCAUAUCAAAAAUAUUAAAACCACAUUUACGAAUUAAUAUCAAAAAAUAUUAAAACCACAUUUACGAAUUAAUAAUAUUAAUGUAGCACACAAACAUCAUUUCAAAAAAUACAUAAACUUUGUUGCACGACCUAUUCAUGGGUAGAAUAUAUCCACAAUAAAUGGAUUCCCAUUACAACUUAUUUAUACGUAAAUCAUGCAACCAAGGAAGUAAUAAAUACACACAUACAAGAAUAUAAGAUAAAAAAAAAUGAUUAUACAAACCCAGUCGUGUAUCAAAAUCUCAAAUAACUCGAUAGUCUAGUGUAUUCCAUUUUUUUCGCGCAAGGUGGUCGCCAUAGGAGUUCAGUAAGCACCAUAAGCCACAACAGCUGCAGCAACUGCACCCACCACUGCAACAGUAGUGAUAAUGUGGCGUUGCUCAACAUUCCCUAUCCACGAAAACAGUCCCUUUUUAACUGGUUUCUUCUCAACAUUCUCGUCUCUGCAGCAUGAGAAUCCAGUAACACCUCUGCAACACCCUCCACCAUUACUUGCCGAAGCAGCAACAAUCUCUUCGGGUUGUUUCUCGCUGCUCUUCACAUUUGUUCCAUUACUAUGAUUCGGUUCCUCAACUCUUUUCACAUUAGCACCCAUUUGGCCCCUGUAUAUAAUCAUGAUAUGCAUAAAAUAUUCAUUUUUCAUCUAUGUAGCACAUACACGGAAACAUGAAAACGGGCAUGUCGAAACGGCAUGUUGGAAAAAUGGGGAUACAGGAACUUAGGGGAAACAUAUAGGGGACGUUUGUUUCUAUUUCCAAACUCCAUUUCCAGUUUUAUACUAUUCAUAAAACUGAGAUCAUGUUUGUUUGAUGAUUUUAUCCAGAAAAUCCCAUUUUUUCUUCUCAAAUUUCUAUUGAAAAUACACUAUUCAUACUUUUUUCAAUUUCCAAACCUACAAAAACCUACUAACUAACCUAUAUAUUUUAUUCCACCAACUCAUUUCUCUCUCCUUAUAUUCAUCACUCCUCAUUAAUAUUUACACUCUCUCUCCUCUCAUUUCUCUCUCCUCAUUAAUAUCUACACUCUCUUUCCUCCCAAUUUCUCUUUCUUCUUCUUCUUCUUCUUCUAAUAAUAAUAAUAAUUAUUAAUAAUAAUAAUAAUAAUAAUAAUAAUAAUAAUAAUAAUAAUAGUAAUAAUAAUCAUAAUAAUAUUAAUAAUAUUAUUAUUAUUAUUAUUAUUAUUUUCACAACCUGUAUAUAGUUGUUCAAAGUCCAUUACAUAUUGAAUAUUUUUUACUUUUAUGCAAAAAUUGUGUUUAAUUUCAUUUUUUAUGUAUAUUGUGUAGAUGGAAUCUGGGGAUCAAUUUGAUUUGGACACUGUGAUUGAUCUAACAAUGUUGGAGAAUAACGAAAACAAAAAUUUGACAGAGCAACAAAAUGACACUAAGCAAGAACAGGACACUGCAAAUGUGGAACCAACUGAAAAGAAAAGACGGUCGUCGAACUUCUUGGGUUUGGGAUCAUUUUCCUAACAUAAAGGGUGCAUUGACCACUUAUGCCGUUAUUGUUAAAGAAGAUUAAAUGUGAUACAGACAACGGUUGAUGCUCUUAGUACCCAUUCGAAACAUCAAUUUCGUACAUCGUCUAUGUAUGUGGGAAAGAGGGGAAAGGCAUGGCUGAUAGAAAACUCUAUUCAAAAAAAAAGAGCAGUCAAUCAUGAAUUAUAAGCCAAGCCUAGCGUGAAGGGGGGGAUGCUUGUGGUGAGCUUACUACUCAUACGUUAGCCAAGAGAAAUGUAGAAUGGCACUUGCACAGAUGUGCAUCAAGGAUAAUAGGCCAUUCAAUAUCGUUAAUGAUGAUGGAUUUAGGGAGUGCCAGUACCGACAAAAAACAAACCAAAACCGAAUAUUGGAACCGAACCGUAAGAAAACGAUCGGUUUGGUUUUUGAUUCUUUAAGAACGACCACUUCGGUUUUUGUUUGAGGCUAAACCCGAACCGAACCGACAUCACCUUUAAUAUACGGUAUAAGAGCAAGUUAUGGACAAAAGAAAAUUUAGGAAGAUGGAUCAUAUUAUUUUUUGAAAUAAGAGUGUGUGUUGAAAAAAAAUGAUAGUUUAGAAUUGUUAUUUAAUUCUAAUUAGAUUUAGUUUGAGAAACUAUAGUAUAUUAACUCAUUUGAAAAAUCAUAUCAUUCUCACAGUCUUCAAAUAUAUGGCGUCCCUAAGUUAUUAAUUGUUACUCCAGCCAUGCACUUUCUUGCACGCUAAAGCAAAGUAAAAGUCAUUUAUAAUUAUAUAUCCUGCGAAAUUAAAGAUAAAUACGCUUCAACAAUAAUUAUAACAAAUAAAAUCUUAAUAGUUUGCAAACCAUACGAAACAUAAACAACACCAGACUAACCAUGUGUGAUAAACUUCACAUAAUGAUAGCGACCAUUGACAAGGGGAUUCAAACUUGGAUUAAUUAACACAAGUUCAUUUGUUCUAACUGUUAGGUCAUCCCUUGCAGGACAAUGCAAUAUUGAUCUGGGAACCAUUGCGUCAAGUUUGGGGACAUAUUCUUUUAAUUUCUAUUUAUAUGAUGGUACCUUAUUAAUAAAUUUAAAGAUAAAUAUAAGAGAUGUUCUGCAGUAUUGAUCAUUGUGAUCAUUGAACGAUUGAUUGUCAUCAGGUUUUGGGACUUAUUAUUUUAAUUCCAGCAUAAUUUUCCAAAUAUAGGCAACUUUCAGACCAUUGCACAACAAAUUAAGUCUACAGAAAAAGUGCAACGUUUUGAAGGCUGGGGGCAACGUGUAAAAUACCCUAUAUUCAAAGGAUAAAGUUUUGCUUACCCUAUAUUUAUUAAGAGAUACAUCCACAUGAUUCGAUAAUGAAACAAUCGUCGAGAGUUUUCAGAAUUUGAAGACGCAAAAGGGUCAUUCGAGCAUCUCCCAUUUGUCUCUAUAUCGCCAUUUUUACCUUAUUUAUGUGCUUUUAGUCUCCCACCCUGAAUCUAUGUAUCACCGUAUAUUCAAAUUCUAGUUUUCCACCAAAUUUUAUGGUGAAGGAAUUUUCAUUUUUUUCUUUCUCCCACCGGCUGACCAUUUUUCUAUUAUUUUUUUCACCAAAUCCUAAUUUUCCUAUCAAAUAUAAAGGUGAAAAUAGAAUUUGGUGUCAUUAACAUCAUUUUAUUAAUUAGCAUAUAAAAUAAUGAUUUUUUACUAAUUGCAUGUGAUUACCCACUUAUUAGCAAUAUUUAUUGUAAAUAUAUUAGUGUUAAUUAAUAUUUAAAAUAUAAAUACAUUUUUGACUAUUAAUAAAAACAUUAAUUCUAAUAAAUAUAAAUAUACUUAUUUUUAAUUAAAUUGUGUCUUAUUUUUUUUUAUCAAUGUUGAUUAGUUCAUUUUCUUUUAUUUAGCUAAUACACUAAUUGCUACUAAUAAAAUAUAAUAAACAACAACAGGAUGAUUGACGAAAUACACAAUUGACGAAAUACAUAACGAGCUAUUUAAAUUGAAAUUUGAUAAAUCAAGAAAAACACAAUGAACUAAAAAGGAGAUUGGUAGAACACUUUUGAUAAACGUGGUCAAAUAGAUGAUUUUCAAAAUUAUGAUGGUGAUGAUGAUGAUAAUAAUGGUGACUAAAACUUUUGUUUUUAUCUAUGAUUUUAGAUUAAUAUAUGUUGUAAUAUUAUUUAUUCAUGCAAUAAUUUAUGAUAUUAUUGUUAUGUAUGAUUUUAUUCUAUGUAAAAUAAUUUGAUUUAAUUUUAUUUCAUGUUUAUAUAGUUUUUUACAAUUUAUAACAUAAUUUAUAAUUUUAAAUUGUCAAGUUAAAAAGAUAAUUACAUAAAUUUAGAUCUAUAGUUAAUAUUUAUGAAAUAAAAUAUAGUAAAAUUGUGAUAAACAUUAAACUUAUAGGUUGGGGACAUAUAUGGUGAAAUGCCAUGGGAUACCAAAUCAAACUUCAUCGAAAAGACAAAAUGUAUCGUUUUUCUAUACAUAUUGCAUCGUAUCGUUUAUCGUAGUGUAUGGUAAGAUCUAAAUGCAAGUUUCAACAACAUCAAAUUAUUAAAAAGAAGAAAAAAAGUCAUAGUUAAUAGUUCGAAAUUCUAGUGUUGGUUGUUAUUACCUUUGUUGAUAUAAAUUGCCUUUCAAUUUUGUAAUGUUGAACAAAUUUGUUGGUUUAAUUUUUUUUUUUUUUUCAUAUUUUAAUCAGGAGAAUAAUAAUAUUUAUUUGAAAUAGUUUAUUUUGACUUUGCUUUAUUUAAAGAAAAAAAACACCAAACACAGUUGUUAUAAAUUUAUUUUACUGAUAAUCGCAAAAAUCACCUCUAAUGUGCUGGAAAUCACACAAAUAAUCCUAAACGUGUUGAAAUCGCACAAAAUCACUCCAAGCAUGCUGAAAAUUGCACAAAAUCAUCAAAAAUGUGCUGAAAUCGCAAAAAUCAACAGUUGAGCUAAAAAUUGCUCAAAUCAACACCAAAACAAAUAUAGUAAAUAUUUACCGACUUUUAAAGAUAACCGAUACAUAUGCCGGUUUAUAUCGUUUUUUAUAUAAUCGUAUUCUAUCGCGAUAUUGGCUACAACACUCAAAACAUGAGUUUCCUGUCAAUCAUAAUAGGAUAAGUUCAAAAACCAAUAAAAAUUAUCAAACUUGUAUGUUAAAACAACAUAGUCCAAUAUAUUGUCAAAAUCAUUCAAAUAUUUCAAUAAAUAAUAAUACUUGAACACCCCUUUUCUCAUAUCGUGAUAUUUUAGCCCCCGAGCAUUGGAAAAAGUCUGCACGACAAGCAAAACAUUAUAAUUAAUAAGGAUGUAAUUCCACUUCUUAAAAUUUGAAAUGUAGAAUUUGGCACUUUGCAUCCUCGAAAAUACUUAAUAACACUUUGCACCCUUGAAUUGAAUUUUUAAAACUUAAUGACGACGACAACUUCAUUGUUUUUAUUGGUUUACUUUUUUCAGGUGCAAAGUAAAAAUAUAAAUUAUGAAUUAAUGAUUGGUUCAUAUUUUUUAAUAAUUUAUGAGUAGUUAAUAAAUAAGUGGUUACUAAUUAUUUAUUAAUUAUUUAGUGAUUAAUAAACUAAGUAAUAGUAAUAGUAGUUGUUGUGGUAGUAGUAGAUUGUUUAGUAAUUUAUGAUAAAUUAAUAAAUAAUUGGUUACUAAUUAUUUAUUAAUUGUUUAGUGAUUAAUAAUGGUAAAUAGGAUAUGUUGAUUUUUUUUUGAAGUUUACUUUCACACAAGAUGAAUUUAUGUUUUUGAACUUAUCUAAUAUCCAAUAGGACUGUUCAUUCAAUAAAAAUGAUCACAUUUAGCUCAAUACCAGUUCCAUAUAUGUGAAAAGGUUGUGCAAAACAUGAACAAUCUAAAUUAAAGUUCUACACACAACACAAUUGAAGUAGAAAACUUGGUUUCUUUCUUUCUAUAUGUUGUGAGGGCUUGAUUUAAAGGAAAAAUAAAUUUACAACUUUAUAUUUUGAAGGAAAAACUUAUAUUAUACGAAAUUAUGGGUUGUAUAUUGAUACUCACAACCAUUGUAAUCGUAAUAUAGCCUCUCACCCUUUGUGAUAUCACGAUUCGCAACUAGAAGCACCACACAUUCUUCGUCUACUUUGUACCUCACAUAUUUAAUAUCUUGUGUUUUAUCCCUUCCUAGUAAAAGAUCAAAUGAUGUCUUUAACAAGACAAUACCAUACAUUGUAUUAAUUUUCUUCUACUAAAUUAAAAAAAGAGCAACCAUUUUACAAAAAACAAUAUCAAGAACAUACAUCAAAUUAAAGUAUCGUACACCUAAUUGGUAUUCAUAACUAAAAAAUUUAAUAAAUGAGCAGUGUAUCUAGUGAUCGGUUUAGGUGCAUAACUAGAACAAAACUGUUCUUGAAGAUGUUACAAUACAUCGUUCACUACAAAUUAAAAUGUGUUUUCAUCAUUCUUACACACAUACCAAUGUCUACGUGUGUAAAUGGAUGGGGUAUAUAUAACAAUUAUGGACAUUCACCAGGUAUAGCUUCUACUAUUAGGAAAAGAAGAUUGGCUUUAGAGACUUACUUUGUGUGAUUGUUAAUGCCACUUAUAAAUCUGGAGAUGUUUCCAAGCCUUUCUGUACAUGCAACAAGACUUUUAGAUGAGUGAACUGAAGAAAGUAGAGUCAUCAUAGAAGGUUAUUACUAAAAUAGGACCUGCAUUCCACCAUUUUCGAAAAAAGACUGAUUCUCGCUGAUCUUGAUGCCACGCUAAGGUUGUAAGUGAGUUCGUUGUUGUAUUCCAAAUUCUGUGAAAUCAUAGUCAUGACAAUAAUCUGAGCUAGUCUUCUUGCGGGAUCUUGUGACGGAACAUGUGCCAAUAAUCUUCUUCGUUUCUUACGGAAUUCUAAUGUACUUGUACGUCUACGUCAUUUCUUGGUAUCUGAAAUUAGGAGAUAUAUAUAUAUAUAUAUAUAUAUAUAUAUAUAUAUAUAUAUAUAUAUAUAUAUAUUAAAGCGUUUUGGUUGUCACCUUCUGUGGUCAAUAAAAGUGUAAAGCUCAAUAAAAUAAAGACAUAUUCAUGCACAUAUUGUUACAUGUCUGCAUAAUUAGUGGAACGAUAUAUAUGCAAAAGGCAACCAAAUUACGAAACACCCCCCCCCCCCCCCCCCCUCCCCUAUUUGUGUAAUUACAGCCACCCCGCUCAACUUUGUAUUAUCUUACGAAAAUACCUCUCCAGAGGUAAAUUUAGGGACGUUAGAUCGGUAAAAUCGAACCGAAAUUUCGGUACUCCAACAUUCAUACCGUUUACCGAACUGAAUAUACAAUUUGGUUCGGUAAAUAACCAAAUUACUUAAAUUUUAUGUAAAAAAUAAUUAAAAGGAGGGCAUGGCAGUAAUUACCCAAAAAAGUGGGGUUUGUUUUCAUAAUUUUGGCCAUACCUCAGGGGUGGCCCUAAUUUACCCUAGAUUUUAUUAUUAUUUGGUUAUUGCUUUUACUUUGAUAUUUCCAGUGGCAGUUUCACAAAUUAAAUUGAUGAAAACAAUGUACUAUUAAUUUUUAUUUAUUUAUUUUUUUUGGACAAAAAAAUGUAUUAUUUUUUGAUAAGGCACAGGGGGGCCUCGUUAAAAACCUUGUCGGCCUAGAACAAGGAAAAGAGUACCCCAUAUUUACAAUGAUUACAAAAAGUACAAAAACCUAGUCUAUCGGAUAAAACACAAUGUCUAACCCUACUAGGAAGAUCCGUAUAAUGGUAAUAAUCUAUUUAGAUUUGUGCUCGUGCGCCAACUUGGCUAGACGAUCAGCCACCUGAUUGCCUUCUCAAAAAGUAUGCUCUAUACACCAAUUAUCCUUGAUGGUAUCACUAAUACGAGCAACCACGUAAUAUAAUUCCCAUGCAACACUCAUUUCACCUGUGAUCAUGUCGAUCACUGCUUUGGAGUCAGACUCCAUAACCACAUGAUCCAGCUCCAAGUCGUGGCAGAGAAGCAGUCCCUCGAGGAUGGCGGUUGCAUGGGCUAGGAGAAGCUUCCCGUGUCCAUAAUAGUUGGAGAAACCAUAGAUAAAACGACCUUCAUGAUUUCUGAUAGCACCCCCUCCCUGUACUCACAUCUCCCAUCUUCGAACCGUCGACAUUAAACAAGAAGGCAUUCGAGUUAGGUGGGUGCCAUUUGAUCCAACAGCCUUUAUGCAGCGUUGGGUCAUUGAUCCGCAGGUUGAGCUGUUGCAGGGCCAACUUGCCGCUAGUAUCCGUCGUAUUCUUCACCAUCAUAAUUUCAUUAAGAGCGUCAAGCUGGGGAGCCAUGAUAUGCAAGAUGCCAGUCGUGUUCAUGGGGAUAUCCUCGAACACAGCUCUACAUCUCGAUUUCCAUAUCUCCCAACACCCUAUCAUCAAUAUACCAAGAGCUAUUAUACCUUGUUGAGAUUUCAUACUAAAGUCGGAAGUCCAGGCUUUGACGAGGUGCUUCAUAGAACCAUAAAAAUAGGGCAUGUGCCAUAAAGAGGCGUAGUACCUCCACACUCCUUGUGCCACGUCAGAUUGAAUGAAAACGUGCGACAAGCUCUCCUCUUUGGCGUUCGAGUAAUAUAGACAACGCGACAUAGUAAUGAACCCCGUUUCUUGAGGUUCAAGUCAACUAGGAUUGCUCCAUACGACAACUUCCAGAAAAAGGCGCCAAUUUUGAUGGGGAUUUUUAGAGUGCGAGCGGGACGUAAUAAUGAAACCUCGUUUCUUGAGGUUCAAGUCAACUGGGAUUGCUCCAUACGACAAUUUCCAGAAAAAGGCGCCAAUUUUGAUGGGGAUUUUAGAGUGGCACAUCCGAUUAGCAAAUUUUGACUUCCGUCUUUUCGGCCUAAGAAACUCCCAGUAGGCCGCGAUCGAGAAUUUGUCGUUGACAGAUUUAGUGAAAAUUAAAGUAUCGUCCAGGGAUUCAUCCAAAUUGAUCAUGUCAAAGAGAUUUUGUUGAUCCGAAUUCAAGAAGAGCCGAUACUCUUGAGCGUCUCUUUUGGCGACCUUGAAAGACAUUGAGCGAUUCUCAUCAAUAAUCUCGGAUUGGUACCACCUAUCUCUCCAAAAAUCAAUAUUUCCUUGACUGACAAGUCAAUUCCUAUUGUGCUCCAAGGUUUCGAAAUGAGUGUGAAUUUCUCGCCAUAAUGGAGAAGCAUGGUAGGGUAAGACUGUGAUCCGCCACAUACUUAGCCCUCGAGAACCGAGCCCAUAAAGAUCUUCCCUCCAUAACUUUCUAUGCUAAUUUACCCGUUAAAAGCAUUUACGUAUCUCCGAGGGAUCUAAAUCCGAGCCCACCUUCCACCUUAGGGCGACGUAGAACAUCCCAACUGAUCUAGUUAAUGCCCUUACGAUCUUGUUUACCCCAGAGGAACUUGCAGAACAGCCUUUCCAUGCGAUCAAGAACCUGCUUUGGGACCAAAUCCGAUGACAAGGUGUGAUUGGGAAGGCUAUACAAAACCAAUUUAACGAAAAUAAUGUGCCCGCCAAAAUUAAGGAAUUCGGACUGCCAUCCCUCGAGGCGAUUUUGCACUUGUUGGACCAAAUAGUCAAAGUGCUUAACCAGGCAGGGACCUUUAUAAAUAGGAACUCCGAGGUAUUUAGGAGGCAUAUUUUUAUGCGAGCAACCUGACCAUUCCUUGAUCUUUUGGAAUUUUCUCGCAUCCAAUCCCUUGGACGUGUAAAAACUAUUUUUUUCCAAACUAAUAAGAUGUCCUGAAGAAGCUUCGUAUUUAUGGAGCAUGUUUCGUAAGGCCUGCACCAACCUUUUACUUUCGUUGGUGAACAACAGCAUGUCAUCUGCGUAGAAAAGAUGGGAUAUAGAGAGUGAGCCGUGUCGGACUUUGUACAUUUUCAUGAGUUCCUGCUCUUCUAGAUGUUUGAUGUUUAAGGUGAGAAUUUCUUGGGUGAUGAUGAAAAUAAGAGGUGAUAAAGGGUCGCCUUGCCUUACUCCUCUGGAAGAUUUAAAGUGCCCGUGCGUCGCUCCAUUAAUUGAAUGUGUACCAAAUGUUGGAGAAAGAUCUGUACAUAAGGUCGCACACUUGGUGGGAAAAUCCCAAGGCCUGCAUAGCGAGAAGAAGGAAGGGCCACUCCAAACGGUCAUAGGCUUUCGACAUGUCGAAUUUAAAAAUAAUAUUCCCUCCUUCGACUUUUCGGUCAAUACCAGUGACCAAUUCUUGACCAGUUGCGAUGGACUCAUGAAAGCUGCGAUUCUUUAGGAAGCAUGUUUGCUUCCUCAGAAAUUAUUGUGGGUAAAUAUUUGUUCAACCGGGAAGCUAAUAUACGAGAGAUGACUUUACUAACGAAAUUCCCCAGACUUAUGGGGCGAUAGUUAUUGAAUGAUUCCGGGUUCGUGAUUUUUGGUAAUAAAACCAAGAUAGUAGUAGAUAUGCCCUUGGAUAAAUAGUCACCUAAAAAGAACUCGUGUACUAGCUGCAUGAGGUUCUUUUUUAUAGUAGUCCAACAUUUGACAUAAAAGGAACCCGUAAAGCCAUCUUGCCUGGGGCACUAUCUGGAGCUAAGUCCUUCACUGCUUGGAAGAGCUCUUCUUCGUCAGGGAUAAUGCCAAUCUUCGAUAUCAUCUCGAUCGUGAGCUUGGGUUGAACGUGAGUGAAAAGAGAGGCAUCCAAAUGAUACGUCAAGGCCAUGAAGAGAGAUGAAAAGUACUCAACCGUUUUUUCUCCAAAUAUCUUUCCGUCCGAUGUAAAUGACCCAUCCUCAAGCUUGAGAGUGAUGGUAUUUUUUUUCUACGCUCUUUGAUUCGGGCAUGGAGAUAUUUGGUAUUUCGGUCUUCAUCCUCUGCCAAAUUAAUUCUAGCUUUGCUCGCCAGUAGAUCCUUUCCCCAUUGAAGUUGUUGAGCCAACUCCACUUUAAUUUUCUCGCAUUCGAUAAAGAUUUCCCCGUCCCAGAUCUCCGUAAGUUGCCUUUCCAUCCCUUCAAUUCGAAACUGAAAGGCAGGAAUGUUUUCAUCAUGUUUUCCAAACGUGGUCUAGUUCCACUUUUUGAGGGAUUUACGGAGAUGGGCAAAUUUCACCUCAAAAUUCGACCUCACCCCUUGAGUCUCCACUGGCCAAUUGUUUGCAAGUAAGGACUCGAAAUCGUUGUGUUCACACCACAUUUCUUGGAAGUAAAACCGGCUCUGACGAGGCUGAGAUUGCUCAAAAUGAAUGUUGAGCGGGCAGUGAUCCGACUCUACUCUUGGUAAAUGAAUCACUUUCAGCGGACAAACUGAGAGAGCUUCUACAUUGAUUAAAAUUCUGUCGAGACGUUGCCAUAUGCUACUGCUCCCUUGUUGAUUAUUUAUUUCCUUCAAAGUCGGCAUCCGUGAGUCUGGCCUCGAUACGAAAACUCGUUAAAUUCUUGCAUGCCACGUAAGUGCGUAUAGGUUCCUCCCUUUUUUUCGUCUAGGUUCUUGAUCACAUUGAAAUCACCCCCUACGAUCCAUGGCUUGUUGAAAUUGUUGCUUAGCUGAGCCAAUGUUCCCAUAAAGGAAUUCUCUCUUGCCUAGUACAUUUCUGGAGAUUCACCUCGGCUUUCCAGAACACCCAGACAUAAGGGUUGAUGGGGUUGCCAUGUGUGUAAUGCGUAAGACCUAACUUUCUGGCGAUUUUAUCCAACAUGUUCUCAUUCUCCUUUGGUUCUAAAAGAACUACGAUAAGAGGUAUGUGCUGAUUUUUUAACGACUGCAAGUAAAUUAGGGAUUUCGGGUUCCCUGCACCUCGAAUAUUCCAGAUUAAGACUGACAUCAGGAAACAAAUGGAUUUCGAGCCUCUUCAUCCUUUCUUGGUCUUCCCCGUUUUCUCUUGGUUUUGGGCAGGGUUCGGCUUUUAGUCUUCCUAGCCAUAAUCUCUUUUGGAGAUUCCUCCGUAUCCCUUUUAUUUUGAACUUCUAUUACCUCUUGCUCCUCGUCUGAUUGUUCGGAGGUGUCCGUAUCAUUCUUAGCCUGGUGUUCUCCCUCCGAUAAUGACCUUUUACCAUGGUAUUGAGGGUCCAUACGAGCGAGGAGAUCCACAUUGGAGAUCUCCUUGCCUUUAUUUAUUUUUCCACGAUCUUGUCUAUCUGCAGGUCGUGUAUGUUAGGCGAAGUUGAAGACCUUUUGGCAGGUACUAUUACCUGCAUAUUAGGCUUUUCGAUCUUCUUAGGGGUGUUCUCAAUCACCUGCUCCAUUUCUUCUUCCUCCACAGCCUCAAAACGAUUAUUAGUGGAGGUUUUGGCAGUCAUAUUGUGUGUGUUGGUGGCAGCCGACGGGAGUUUUUGCUUGUCAUAUGGCGUUAGUCUAGGUUAGGAGCAGCUGUUGGAAUGCGUUGGGGCGGAGGUCGGGCAUUCUUUUUCCGACAGAUGUCGCUUGUGUGACUGAGCAACCCGCAGUGAGAUCAAAAGUUGAUGUUGCCUUCACAGUCUAGCUUCUACCAAAACCCUUUUUCUUUUGAUUCUCCUAUCCAAAGUCGAAAUGGCAAAGGCUGGGGUACAUCAACUUCGACACAUAUUUGAGCAAAUGUGAGGUUUUGAUAAUUAAUGGUUUUAGAAUCUGCACGGAGGAAGUUACCUAGUUGAUUACCCAUUCGCUCCAGAUAGGGCAGAUUAAAGUAGAAGAAGGGAAGCUUAUGAAGACGAAUCCACACCGCAACCCGUACAGUCUUUAUCGAAUUGGAGAUCCUUGGACCAUCUGAAGAUCCGAAACAUUGAUGUUCCUAUCGCGUUUGAGUCUCUCGCCAGUGCCAUAAUCAUAUCAUCGUAGUCUCCUGGAAUUACUAGAAUAUGCCGCGGAUCAAUUAAACCAAUAACCGGUUCAUUAGAGAGUUGCCAUGUUUGUGAAAUCUUGAGUCGGAUAUCAUGAAAACUAGGGCGUCCUCUAGAAAAAUUCAUGAUUAGAGCAUGCUCGAAUUGCUUCGAGGUGAGAUCCAUCUCUUUAGUCGAGAAUAAACAAGCUGGCUCAUCUUCUAUCAACGUGUAAGGUUGCGGUGGAAGGGAAACUUUGACGGGUUCAAACCACGAAGGAGGAGGCUUCUGGACAGUAGGAGCAGUAACCUGGGCAAACGUACGUACGGUGCAUGACCGGUGAAGGAGCGAGAUUGUGAGUCUGGGAUGGGCCGAAGGUGUGAGUGACUGUCGGUGAAGAGGCGCCCGCCGUUGAGUUCAUCACGGCGGCGCUGUAACACGGCAAAGUUAAUAUUUUAGGGUUUUUGAAUGAAAGAGAUUAGGGGAGAGAGGAGAGAGCAUUGUAGUAUUACAAAAAACAGUCUUUCAAAUAAGUAUUAUUAAUUUUAAUUAACUCUUUUUUUAUUAUUAAUUUAGAUUUAGAGCUUAAUGUAUAAGUUGGUUUUAAUUUUUAUAAAUUGUUGAAGUGUUGGAAAAUAUAAUAUAUAUUUUUUACUGCAACAGUGAUAAAAAUUGACAUGACAUCUUUAUAAUUAUUAAAAACAUUUUCUCUUGAUAUUUUUUCAAUAAUGUUUCUUAUAAAUAUCACAAAUUACUUUAGCUUCAAAUAAAUAUAGGGGUGCAAAUCGGACGGAUCGGGUCGAAAUUAGCCCUUCAUGAAAAAAAUGAUUUUUUUGCGAAAGUGAAAAUCUAGUUCCAAUAUUGUUCAAAAUAAAAUCGGAAGGAAACGGAAUCAGGAUUUCGGACAUUGGAAUGAAAACACUUGUUCCGAAAUCGGAAAAUUUUCGGAAAAUUUUAAUUUUUUGUCAUCUAAAAUAUAAAGUACACAAAAUAUUGGUAUUUUAAGCGUAACAAUCAGAAGAUAAAAAAUCGGAAUUUGCGGAUUAUUUUUGGAGCAUAAAAUUGGAUCAUAAAUCGAAAUCUCAUAUAUAUUCCAACUCCAAUCCAAAUAAUUUCGUAAAAACUGCAACUGGGAAUUUCGGGAUUCAAAUUGAAAAAUAUUGUUUCAAAAUCGGAAAAUUUCAGGUCAAAAUCGACGAAUAUCGAAAAUUCCGUUCCAUAUUCCACACCUAAAUAUAGUUAAAACCACAUAGUACAAUACGUCGACAAAACUAACUUAACUUUAUAAAAGAAUAAUACAAAUAGAGUUCGAGCAUGUUUCACACCACAAACAUUGCACAAAGUUUGCACAACAAACAAACCAUUAUGAUUAGUAAGUUAAUUAAUUAUAAAAUAUGUAAAAUACGUAUAUAAUAAAAAUAAAUAAGCAAAUUUAAAUACUCAACUAUUGCACCAGACUAAUUUAAUUUGCUAUAUUUUUUAUUAUUUGCCUGACCAAAAUAUUUAGAAUACAUUUAAAUAAUUACGAAGUUCAUUAAAAUAAAGAUUCCAACAAUAUUGAAUUUCAUGAAUUAUCAAUAUAUAAAUAUAGUUAUAUAUUGGAUAUAUAUUAAAAGAGAAAAACUCACUUGAAGGCCAUUCGGACCUUUCCUCCAAAGUGGAGUAUUCCUGUUUCCACAUGCCAUGUAGACUUUUGCAUCAUUUGCAUUCAGUCCUCUACGUGCAAUAGGUGCACGGUUCACCUUAUAAUUAUAUUCAAUUUAAUAAAAUUAAUCAAAAUAAUAAAUUAAUAAUAAAUUAAUGUAAAAUAAUUAAACAAAACUAAUGUAAGUUUUUUAACACAUGUUGACAUCUAUGAAUAUACAGUAGAAUCUCGAUAAAUUAAUAAUAAAUUAAUUAAUAAUUUCGCUUAAAUAAUAAUUUUUUUUCGAUCCCGACUCAGUGACAACAUGAUAAAUUAUAACUCGAUAAUUUAAUGCGAAGUGUAUCAAUAUAUAGAGGUUUAAGUUUAAUUGUUUGUUAAAGUUACUGAAUUGUAAGUGCAUUAUUGUUAGUGCGUUUGUGAAUGUUGUGUGCACUCAAUGUAUACUUUUUCCCUUUUAUUGAAAUUUAUAAUUUAUUUUUUCAUGAGUGUGUGUCUAUAUAUAUAUAUAUAUAUAUAUAUAUAUAUAUAUAUAUAUAUAUAUAUAUAUAUAUAUAUAUAUAUAUAUAUAAUGAAUAUAUUUGUUAUAGGAACAAAAAUAUGAUAAUAUAUAUUGAGUAAAUUAAAUAAAUACCUGAUCAUUUGGUGCAUAAGCAUCCACUAGUGCAUGAGCAUUCACUGGAGCAUUUCCUUGAUUUGGCGAUCUCAAUGUUAGGGUAAGAUCAAGAUUGAUAUCUUGGUUGUUAUUGUUGGCCAUUGGAUUUAUUUGGGAUCUACCUUUCAAUUUUUCUAAUCAAGAUACAAAACAUGAAAAUAAGUAUAAUUACUUAUGUAGGAGUAAACCUGACCACCGGUUCGGUUAGAACCGGAACCGAACCGGAGUCAACGGUUUUAGAACCGAACCGGAACGGGUUUGAUCGGAACCGGAAUCGGAACCGAAAAACCGGUUCGGUUCCGGUUCCUCAUUUCGGAACCUAGAACCGACGGUUAGAACCGCGGUUCUAAUCAUUUGAACCGGUUUUAAAUUUUACGUAUUUAAAAAAAAAUUAAGUUUUUUAAAUAUACUCUCCACUUAAAAAAAAGGAACUAUUUUUAAAAGUUUUUCUUUUAAGUUUUUUAAAGUAUCUUUUAAGUUAUAUAUUGAUGAUGCUAAUUAUUUAGAUCACCUAUGGUAGGGUAGAAAAUGAGCUAGGAGAGCAAAGCGGAUCAGUAGCUUAACAAUUUGAUGAUCCUGAGGUCCCUGCGAAAUGAACACACGUGAACUAAGCCGGGGGUUGAUCCGGCGGAAACCCCUCCAACGCUCAAGUCAGAUGUACGGAUCGUAGAGAUAGUGGAGAGAAUAAAACUCUAGAUUACUUGUGAAUAAUAGAACGUACCUUAACAAAUGAGUAAAAUCCUCUAUUUAUACGUGUUGACUGGGUUGGGUUCAUUUUGUUAGGCCCAAACCUUAUUUUAAAGGUGUUUGGGUCUUCGUGUAUUGGGCCCAAUUAUUAGAUAAACUGGGGAUCCAUUGGGUCGGCUCAAUUAGGUAUAUCAUUAAGCCCCCCAACUCUCGAGUCGAGGUGGGAGACUUGUCGAGAGGAUUCCGGAUCGUGUGGAGAGUUAAAUGUGACGUGGUUUUCCGGGUCGUAAUUUGUAAUUAAACAGCUUUGGAGCCCCCUUUUUUUUGUAUUUAUUUGGCAACAAGAUAUGUAUUUAAGGGUUUUAAAUAAUACAUCAGGGCCAAAUAAAUAGCAGCGGUGGAGAGAAUUAAUUUGCAAUCUUUGUGACGAAUAAAUAUGGGUAAGUAGUUUUAAUUUAUAUUGGUCUUCUUCUAUGCUCUUCCUUCUUUAUUGUUUGCGGUAGACUAGAAUUUUUUUUUUAAUUGCUUCUUCGGAGAAAAAUAUGUAUCAUGUCGAAUCCGAGUAAAUCGAAAUCCUUGGGAAUUAAGAUCCGAGAUCCGGUUCAACGGAGUGAGAAGCGGUUUGGUACUGUGGGUGUGGAACGCGAGAAGCUUGUAAUAUCGGGUGCAGAAAUCGGAUCUACGGUAGGCGGUGCACGGAUCGAGGGAAGAAAUAGGGUUAAUUGUGGCUUGGUUGAGGAGGACGGCUUGAGUCGUGCAGCCCCAUGCCUUGUUAUGGGAGAGGGUGAGCGCUUCGAGGGUGCAGCAAAGCUGAGCCGAGCCAUCGAGUUGGGGGCGUGCACGAUUUCCGAGGAGAGCAGAGAGAGAUGUUGCUGAGGUGACGCGCGCGUCAGGCGCGUCUUCCAAGGCACGCACGCGCGUCGGUGGGGGGAGGAGAGAGAGGCGCGCGCGUCGGCUGAUGGGGUGGGUGCGGGUGCACGCGCGCGCGCCAUUGGUCCACUUGGCAGACAUGAAGGGCGCAUGGGUGGAGCUGUGCUAGGGCGACGCGCGCGCGCGUCUAGCGCGGAGGCCGAGGACGACGCGCGCGCGUGUCAAUUGUCUGUGGCUACCGCGCAUGGCAGCGCGUUGGGGGAGAGGGUGGGAGCGCGUGGGGGCGCGUCCGGGGAGGUUUCUCGGGCGCGUGAAGGCGCGUCAGGUCCCGUUUUUCGUCGCUCAUCUCGGGAUAAUGAUGUGCGCGCUGAUGGGCGUUUAGGGGGAGUUGAUCCUUUACAUAGGAGGGGUCUUGGGUGGCGAGAAACCAUUGAUUCUUCGAGUGAUGACAGAGGACCGAGUGUUAAUGUUGUGGAGGAAGUGAAUGGGGUUGGUACUAGUAGGCGUCGUUAUGGACGUCAAGUCGUGGAUUUUGGGAGCGAUAGUGAUAAGUCGAAUUAGUCGCAUUCGUCAAUUGAGCGUGCUGAGCCGAGUAGGGAAGUUGAUCCGAUUGUUGAAGUAGAAGAGGAAGAUGAUAUUCCGCUGGGUGAUGUUGAGAUGGAUACGAUGAGGCAAAAGAAGAUUAAGCCAAUCAAUUUUGACUUAGUUGAUUUUGACAGUGUAUUGACUGAAGAGCAUUUGCAAUCUAUACGUCGAUUAGUUGAAGGGCCAAGGAAUAUUGAGUUGUUGUUGCCUCAGAAGGGCGAACAUUUAUAUUCUCCACCCACUGGGUUUCAUACGGUUUACUUGGCGUAUGUUACGUGUACUUCUCAGAUCACUCCGCAUCCGACCUUAUUGAAGGUUUGUGAUGAAUUUAAGAUAGGGUAUAGUCAGCUAACUCCGACUGCGCUUCUUAUGUUUGAGGCCAUUCACCAUAGGGCAUCGUGAGUAGGUUUGCCUAGUACUGUGAAUUUGUUCAAGGCAUUAUUUACACUGCAUCGGCCGAAUAAGCUGCCCUUCUUCUGUGUUCAUCCGCGGGUUCCCUACCAAUUUUUGAAGGGUGUGAAGAUGUCCUUGGGGAAUUGGAAGUCUCGUUUCUUUUAUGUGAGGGCUCCCUCUUUUGAUGUCCCUCUAAUUUGGAAACCUACGUGUGAGAGUUUCAAAAUUUCCGCUAAUAUGGCGAAGAGGAUUGAAGAAUCUAGGUUGUGUGAUGUGGAAUUUGACCCGAGGUGUCUGAUACCGGAUGGUCAGCGCCGCAUAUCCUUUUGUUGCAUCAAAUUUAUUUUUUUAUUUUUUUUUGUGUUGUUUUUCGGUUUUAUUUAUCUGUUAUCUCCAUUUUGUUUUUUAUGUAGAUGAUUGUAUUAACUUUGCGGCGCUUCGAGCUAAGGCGAAAGGGACAUCGAAGAAGGCAUCGAAGAAGGUUCCCUCUACGUUGGGAGGUUCUUCUGGUGGACUGACUCGAGAGACGGUCCGUGUGGUGACUCCUCGAGUGAUUGAAGACGAUCGUAGCUAUGCUGGUGAAGUGGAGGUGCGCGAACCUAUGAAAGAUCGUGGCAAGAGAAAGAUGGUAGACACUGAGUAUGUGGUUGUGCCAAAGCGUCCGCGGGUAGAUCCAGAGGAGCCUUAUGCUUUCCAUGGUGGGGCAGGGAAGCAGUUGUUUACCUUUGGGGUGAAUCGUGAGGGGAAUGAAUUGUAUUGGGAUGUGUCGGACCAUGGUUGCCGACUAUGAGUACCGAGGGCUUCGUUCAGGACUACGAUCGUGCUCAGAUGUCCGGCAAGGGUCAUUCACAUAUGCUCGAGUUGGCCGGCGGGGACAUAUGUCGGGUGAGUGCUUGUCUUUUUAGAACAAGACUUCUUAUUUACUCAUUUUCUUGCUUAAUCAAAACUUUUUUUUUUUUAAUUUUUUUUUAAUUUUGUAUAUAUAGUUGUUAGCGGCUUGAAGAUACCUCAUGGAGCAAGAUGGGAACGUGGAAGCUAGGAAAGAAGAUGAGCAGGCUCGAAGUUAGGUGCGUGAGGACGAACUUCGAAGCCAGUUGGAGAUAGCGCGGUCCGAUUUUGCUCAACGGACGGAGGAGCUUGCUCAGAGGACAGAGGAGCUUGAGGUUAGCCGAGGUGAGGCGAAGGCCUAUAAGGAUGAUGUUGAGAAGUUGAACGAGUGCUAUGAUCAGCUGAAAACGAAGUAUGAAGUUGAGAAAGCGACGGGAAAGAGGUUUCUCGCUACGUCGGGUGGUGCUGUUUAUAAGGAGUCCAUCAUGGAGGAAACCAAUCUUAGCUUCCGAGGUAGUGCUGAGUGUUUUGCUAUGAUUGAAGAAUGUGCUUUGGCUGCAGUCUAUAAGCCAUUAGUUCGUACCUGUCGCAAAUACCUUCGCGAGGUGGGUGAUAUCAGUGAGAGGGUCAUUCGUGGGAUGGAAUCAGGUAUAUCCGAUGAAGAGGAGGUUGGGGCAGAUGUCAACGAGAUGGGCACUGAGCUCAUGGAUGACAUGGUUGGUGAUGACCCCACUGCAGGGGCGUCUUCUGCUCAUGGAGGGGGAGCUUAUAUUUAUAUGAUAGUGUUGCUAGGAUAGUGAAAAUCUUUUUUUUUUUUUUUUUUUUUUUUUAUGGAACUCUUAGUUUAUUUUUAUCGUUGAUGUAGAUGGGUAUGUCCACUACUAUUCCGUUUGAAUUUUCUUCCUUGUUUGACUUUUGAAGUUUGAUAUCUUGAUUUAUUUAUUUUGACAUGGUCAAGAGUUUCAUGCGUUGCUUAAAUGUGUUUACAUUUAGCAUUGUACGCGAUGUACUUGAGAAGGGGAUCAGUCUCCCAAGGUUUUUAUUAAGGGUCGUGCCCUUUGUUCGGACCGCGUGGGUCUUAAGUAUGCUAGGUCCGUGGCCACGUUUUAAAAGUAGCGCCCCGUGAAACAAAUAAAGAGAUUUAGACAAUCCAGCUUGCCAGGCUAUAUAGACUAUCUGAAUUUCUCUAAGUGUUUGUAGGGUUGUAUUGCAGUGAACUCGUCGUAGCGGGUAAAUAGUAUAGAUGUAAUAACCCAGAGAGUAAAGCAAAAAAAAUUGAUUUAUUCAAUGGUUAAAAGUGAGAAUUGCUUAAAGCCUACGUGAGGCGAAGGAAAAUAAAUAUUCGAAUGUCAUAAGCCUUUGUGAGGCGAAGGGAGAUAAGUAUUGCAAAAGCAAAUGAGUUGAAAUAAUAAAAACUAUUCUAAGUGAUUAUACUAAUUUGUUCUUCUUGCACGUCUUCCUUGUACUCGUCCGUGUCGCUGUGGUGAUGGUAAGUCGAUUUCCUUUGACGUCUCUAUGCCUGAAAAGUAUAGUAGAAAAAAAAUUUAAACACUUGUACUGAAGACUUAGUAAUUGCAUAAGCGGGGGUGGUGUGUACUAUAAUAUCACAUACCCUACUAAGGGGAUUAUUUCUCUUCCUCGCACUCCGAGAUAUGAAAUCAACUCGUGAGUUGCUGCGUAAUCGUACCUGUUAAAUGGAAUGACUUUAUCAUGUUAGUGUGAAUAUACAAUAGCAUGCGUGUGAUAUCUUUUAGUGGAAGUAGUGUUACCCUUGGCGAUGUGGUAUGGAGUAUCUUCGCUUUUAGGGUCAGUGAUGAGUAGUAGGUAUUCCCUCGUAAUUGACUCUCCAUCUAUAAGAAGGUGAUGAAAACUGAGUAUGGAAUGUCGAUGUAAGUAAUAUUACUAGCCCCUCAGUUUGGGUGGGUCUUUUACGCACCUCGUUAUGGAAUAGAAUCUUCCCAAGAGUGUAGAGACGGUUUUUGCAAGACGAGUGACGUGAAAGGUCGCGAAGCCUAUAGGGGUAAUGGUUUGUAGGCAACUUUUGUAUCAGGAGUACAAGGAUGGUAACUUAAACAGUUUGAAGUAAUGUGAAUUUAUACCUCAAGCGUAGAACCUUUUGAGAUUCCUUAUAUUCCAGGUUCUGGGUAUCGGGUGUCCGUCAAGGUUCUCGAGACGAUAUGCUCCACUGUUCACCACUUUUGUGAUUUUAUAUGGUCAUUCCCACUUCGGGUCGAGUUUACCUAUUGGGCGUGAGGCAUCGGCUUCGCGGAGAACUAAAUCUUCUAUUUGGAAAGAGCGAAGGCGGACUUUGGAUUUAUAAGUUUUCGCCAUGCGACUCUUGUACAUUUGUUGUCGGAUAGAGGCGAUCUUUCUUAGUUCAUCGACGAGAUCAAGAUUAGCUCUCAUUGAUUCAUCAUUUUCCUCUGAAGAAUAAUUGAUGACUCUCCAAGAGGGUUCGCCAAUCUCGACGGGUGCUACAGCCUCUGUUCCGAAAGCUAGGUUAAAUGGAGAUUCCCCUGUUGCUGUUCGUGGGGUUGUUCGAUAUGCCCACAGAGCAUUGGGUAAUUCUUCAACCCAUUUUCCCUUGGCACUUCCAAGCCUUGUCUUGAGAUGUUGAAGUAUCGUGCGAUUAGUUACUUCAGUUUGACCAUUUGCUUGGGGGUUGGCAACCGAAGUAAAGGAUUGCUUAAUAGAUCAGCCAAGGCACCAAUUCUUUACUUUGUCUCCACAUAAUUGGGUUCCAUUGUCAGAAAAAUGGAACGGGGGAUCCCAAAGCGGCACACGAUGUUCUUCUAGAGGAAUUGGAUGAUGUCUUCCUCUCGAAUGCGAGCUAGAGGUUCUGCUUCCACCCACUUGGUGAAGUAAUCUACAACUACAAUGAGGAACUUGCGUCCUCCUGUUGCUGGUAGAAAAGGACCGACCAAGUCAACUCCCUAUUGAGUGAAAGGUAUGGGACUGUCAAUCGGUUGCAUCAGUGCUGCUGGGAGAUGAAGGAUGUUGGCGUGUUCUUGGCAAGGCUUACAUCUAUGUACUAGUCUUUUCGCAUCUUCAUGCAUGGUGGGCCAAUAGUAACCUUGUCUCAAUAUUUUGAGAGCUAAGUUUCUUCCACUUAAGUGAUUAACGCAAAUACCUUCAUGUACUUCCCAUAGCACAUAGUAUGCUGGUGAUGGGUUAAGGCACUUAAGAUAGGGGAAAGAGAACCCUCGCUUGUAGAGAUCUUCACCUACCAUUAGGAAACUAGCCGCUCUUAUCUUUAUUUUCUUCGCUUGGAAGAUGUCAGUCGGAAGUUCGCCGCUUUUGAUAUAGUUUGUAAUGGGGGUAAUCCAACAGGGUUCGUUCUCUUCAGCGCAAUUCACUCCGUCGGUGGAGACCAUUUCUGGUUGGGAAGCCGUGAGGAGGGUGAUUUUCCGGCUUCCAAUGCUUGCCAUGGAACUACCAAUUCUAGCCAACUUGUCUGCAUCAAUAUUAUUGGCUCGUGGGAUUUGCUUUAUCUCAUAACUAUCCAAUUUUGAGAGGAGGGUAAGUGCAAGAACAAGAUACUUUGCCAUGGAUUAUUCUUUGGCCUCAUAGGUCCCAAGGACUUGGUUGACUACUAACUGGGAGUCGCUAUGUAUUAUGAGUUUGCGAGCUCCAGCAUCUAAAGCAAGGCGGAUACCAGCGAUCAAAGCUUCAUAUUCGGCUUCGUUAUUGGAGGCUUUGAAAUCAAAUCGUUGAGCAUACUCGAAUUCGUCACCAUCUGGGCUUGUUAAUACAAUACCCCCGCCUUCUCGUGUAGUGGUAGAGGAUCCAUCGAAAUUGACGGUCCAAGUGGGUAUGGAGGUGCUCUCCUCCGAUGUAGUCGUCUCUACUACAAAGUCCUCCAAAAUUUGAGCUUUGAUGGCUGGGCGUGGUUUGAAUUCGACCCCAUAUUCGCUUAACUCUAUAGCCCAUUUAGCUAGUCGUCCGAAAGUUUCGGGACUUCUCAAUAUUUGUUUAAGGGGAUAGUUGGUGAGAACUAUCACCUGAUGCGAUUGGAAGUACGGACGUAACUUUCUGGCUGCAUUGAUGAGGGCGAGAGCAAGUUUCUCCAUGUUGGUAUAGCGGUGCUUUGAGCCUUGAAGAGCUCGGCUUAUGUAAUAUAUUGGUUGGUGACCUUUUUCACCGUCCCGAAUGAGCACUGCGCUAAUGGCAUCAGCAGAAAUAGCCAAAUAUAGGAAGAGGGUAUCUCCUGGCUGGGGCUUCGUUAACAGAUGCGGGGAAGUAAUAUAUGCUUUCAAUUAUGUGAAAGCUCUUUGGCAAUCCUCAUUCCAUUCAAACUUGUGCCCAUCUCUUAAUACCUUGAAGAAAGGAAGGCCUUUAUCAGCUGAUCGGGAUAUAAAUCUGUUUAGGGCUGCCAAACAACCGCUAAGUUGUUGGACCUUCUUGAUCGAUGUGGGAGGGGCCAUGGAGGUGAUAGCUUCAAUCUUUGCCGGGUUGGCUUCAAUUCCUCGUUGUGAUAUCAUGUACCCUAAGAAUUUUCCGCCUCGAACUCCGAAAGAACAUUUUAGGGGAUUGAGCUUCAUUUUGUAUUUACGUAAGAUGGAGAAGCAUUGACUUAAAUCGGUUAGGUGAUUCGCGACUUUAAUACUCUUGACGAGCAUGUCAUCAAUGUAUACUUCCAUGUUCUUAUCAAUCAAGUCUGCGAACAUCAUGUUCACUAGGCGUUGGUAAGUAGCUCAUGCAUUCUUGAGACCGAACGGCAUGACUUGAUAGCAGUAGAUGCCUUGGUUUGUAAUGAAGCUAGCUCUCUCUUGGUCUUCUGGGGCGAGCAAUAUUUGGUUGUAUCCUUGAUAUGCAUCAAGGAAGCUGAGAUGUUCGCACCCUGAGGUUGAGUCUAUGAGCUGGUCGAUCCUUGGUAAAGGAAAAGGGUCCUUGGGGCAUGCCUUGUUGAGGUCGGUGAAGUCUUCACAUAGCCUGCACUUGCCUCCGGGAUUAGGUACUAAUACAACAUUGGAUAACCAGUCGGGAUACUGAACCGAUCUAAUGUGGCCUGCAUCUAAGAGUUUUGCAACUUCCUCUUUGAUAUGUUUGUUGCGCUCAGGACCAAAAGUCCUUUUACGUUGCUUGACUGGUCUCAAUCUUUUGACAAUGUUUAGUCGAUGCAAUGCUACUUUGGGAGGAAUUCCCGUUAGAUCUUGAGCUUUCCAAGAAAACAUAUCCCCAUUGUGUCUAAGGAAGUUAACUAACUGAUUCUCCACUUCUUGAUCUAGAUCAGAUCCGAUGCGGAGAAGCUUAGAAUUAUCUCCGGGUAUGAGUUCUACUGAUUUUAGCUCUUCAACAGCUGCUAGCUUGGUGGCGUCGUCAGGGACGCUGAUUAAGAUUUCUUUAUCAGCUUCGAUGACCGCGUUGACCCAUUUUCCUUUAUCGUGCCUCAGUGUCUCGUCUCCUCUCCCUAAAGGAUUAGGUUUCUUAGAUGGCUCACGUAGAGCUCUUGCAUAACAUUCUCGGGCGAGACGUCUAUCUCCAAGUACCUCUCCCAUUCCGUAUGGAGUGGGGAAUUUCCACUUUUGGUGGUAAGAUGAAGGCACUGACUUGAAUGUAUGGAUCGGUGGCCUCCCUAGGAUGAUGAUGUUAUAAGGGGAUGGUUUGUCGACGAUGAGGAAUUUUAUCAUCUUCGUAAUUCGACAAGGAUUGUCCCCUAAGGAGAUGGGUAACUCCACUUCCCCCAUGGAUAAAACGCCCUCUCCCGUGAAUCCUUUUAAUGGUGUAGUGAUGGGGCUAAACCGGGCAUUAUCUAUACCUAGCUGCUUGAAAGUGUGGAGAUACAUGAUGUCGGCUGAGCUCCCACCGUCCACUAAUAUCUUCUUAACCAAGAAGUUGGCCACCGACGCUGUGAUUACCAAUGCAUCGACAUGAUCUUCAUCUGGACCUUCAAGGUCCGAGGAGUUGAAGACUAUGCUAUGAUUAGGUCUUCGUAUCUGAUAGAUAGAUGCGGAUGGAGAGGCGUGCUCUUGAUUCAUAUGUGCUGACCGAGCGAGGGAGCAUCUCGUAUUUUGUGAGUCGCCACCCGCUGGUCCUCCGGAGAUAAAGGCAAUGACUCCCCGGGUGGGUUGGUUAUCAUUGUUAUCUUGUUCUCUCCGAUGACCCACCUCCUCUCGUCGUUGCAGUUGAUCUAGAUUGUUAUCUCGGCAUGGGACGUCAUCACGGCGCUUGUUUCGAGGCUUGUCGAUAUAUUCGCCUAAGUGACCCUGCUUGAUCAACUUCUCAAUUACUACUUUGAGUUAUGCACAUUCCUCGGUAGUAUGUCCUCUAUCCUUAUGGAAUCGACAGUAGCGAUCCGAUUUUUCUCGUUUCGCAUUUGGCUGCAUUGGGCGUGGAGGUUCUGCUAGACCUCUUUGUUCUAUCACAUGAAGGAUUUCUGUGAGGCAAGUUUUUAGCGGAGUGAACCGAUUGUAGGAGAAAGAUGAUUGGCCUCGAGGCGGGAGUGGUGGAUGUCGAUCAUAUCGUCUUCUAACGUUGUCGGUCAUGUUCCCUCUUUCUCUUGGGAGGAGCAUAGGUAGAGGCUUCCUCUAUUCGAACAUAUUUCUCGGCUCGGUUCAGCAAUUCUUCUAGGUUGUCUGGAGGCCUUCCGGCAAUAGAUUCUUUAAACCUACCCGGCUUCAAGUUUUGUUGCAUGAUCCCGGAGAGCAUGUCUUGUCCUACGCUUGGGACUUCGUGGACGGCUUCCACAAAAUGCUUGAUGUAGUUGCGGAGCGUUUCGUUGUCUCUCUGUACUACAGAGAAAAGGUGGGUUGGGGUCUUGGCAUACUGUUUGUUGAUGGCGAAUUGACUGGUGAAACGUGUUGACAAUCGAGCGAAGGUGUCGAUCGAUCCUGUAGGUAGAAAGUUGUGGAUCGGUGGUCCCUUCAAAUUGAGGUAACCCCGAGAUCUUCACUCCUUGAGGUAAUACCUAGUUGAGGAUGUCCAUGGUGAAAGGACUGCGUCUUACUGGGGCGGGCAUUCUUCCGCCAAUUGGAUUGUUCAAUUGGUGGAAUGAAAUUUGGCGAGACAUUCUGCUGUUUACCUCGCCUUCUCACUCAUUAAAGAGAGGGACUCUCUGUGGAGACGCAUUCCCCCGUGGGGGUGAGCGCUGACGUUGUUGUCUGGGUUGCGCCCCUCUGUGAUUGGUGGAUAGUUGCACUCGGGACCGUGGGUCCGAGGUGGAGGAGCAGACACUUAUUUGAUUCUGGACUCGCGGUGGUGCCAUAGGUGGCACCACAGGUGGAGCAGGUGCUGGUAUCGCGUUGGGAGCAUUUGCUCCCAUCGUGGCGAUAUAUUGGGUCACGGCCUCUGUGGCGGCGCGAGUUGAGGCUUCUGCUAUCAUGCGUUGGAGCGCAUCCUCGGUUAUCUGAACCGUUCGGGGAGCAGGGAGUGGCAGAUCGGCGAGUGGUGGGUCCCGAGGGGGGAUCACUUGAACCUCGCGAGGUGGAUCCGGAGCACGUGGACGAGGUGGUAAGCCAGAGCCUCCGCGGAUUGGGAGGUUGUUAGCUGUGUCAUUUUCUCUCCGAGUGGAUGCCUCAGGAGGAUCUUGCUGGCUACGUGAUCUGGUUUGCAUUUUCCAACAGACGGCGCCAAAAUGAUGAUCCUAGUUAUUUAAAUCAGCUGGGGUAGGGUAGAAAACGAGCUAGGAGAGCAAAGCGAAUCAGUAGCUUAACAAUUUGAUGAUCCUGAGGUCCCUGCGAAAUGAACACACGUGAACUAAGCCGGGGGUUGAUCCGGCGGAAACCCCUCCAACGCUCAAGUCAGAUGUACAGAUCGUAGAGAUAGUGGAGAGAAUAAAACUCUAGAUUACUUGUGAAUAAUAGAACGUACCUUAACAAAUGAGUAAAAUCCUCUAUUUAUACGUGUUGAUUGGGUUGGGUUCACUUUGUUAGGCCCAAACCUUAUUUUAAAGGUGUUUGGGUCUUCGUGUAUUGGGCCCAAUUAUUAGAUAAACUGGGGGUCCAUUGGGUCGGAUCAAUUAGGUAUAUCAUUAAGCCCCCCAACUCUCGAGUCGAGGUGGGAGACUUGUCGAGGGGAUUCCGGAUCGUGUGGAGAGUUAAAUGUGACGUGGUUUUUCGGGUCGUAAUUUGUAAUUAAACAGCUUCGGAGCCCCCUUUUUUUUUGUAUUUAUUUGGCAACAAGAUAUGUAUUUAAGGUUUUUAAAUAAUACAUCAGGGCCAAAUAAAUAGAAUCCUGCAGCGGUGGAGAGAAUUAAUUUGCAAUCUUUGUGAAGAAUAAAUAUGGGUAAGUAGUUUUAAUUUUUUUUGGUCUUCUUCUAUGCUCUUCCUUCUUUAUUGUUUGCGGUAGACUAGAAUUUUUUUUUUAAUUGCUUCUUCGGAGAAAAAUAUGUAUCAUGUCGAAUCCGAGUAAAUCGAAAUCCUUGCGAAUUAAGAUCCGAGAUCCCGUUCAACAGAGUGAGAAGCGGUUUGGUACUAUGGGUAUGGAACGCGAGAAGCUUGUAAUAUCGGGUGCAGAAAUCGGAUCUGCAGUAGGCGGUGCACAGAUCGAGGGAAGAAAUAGGGUUAAUUGUGGCUUGGUUGAGGAGGACGGCUUGAGUCGUGCAGCCCCAUGCCUUGUUAUGGGAGAGGGUGAGCGCUUCGAGGGUGCAGCAAAGCUGAGCCGAGCCAUCGAGUUGGGAGCGUGCACGAUUUCCGAGGAGAGCAGAGAGAGAUGUUGCUGAGGUGACGCGCGCGUCAGGCGCGUUGGUGGGGGGAGGAGAGAGAGGCGCGCGCGUCGGCUGAUGGGGUGGGUGCGGGUGCACGCGCGCGCGCCAUUGGUCCACUUGGCAGACAUGAAGGGCGCAUGGGUGGAGCUGUGCUAGGGCGACGCGCGCGCGCGUCUAGCGCGGAGGCCGAGGACGACGCGCGCGCGUGUCAAUUGUCUGUGGCUACCGCGCAUGGCAGCGCGUUGGGGGAGAGGGUGGGAGCGCGUGGGGGCGCGUCCGGGGAGGUUUCUCGGGCGCGUGAAGGCGCGUCGGGUCCCGUUUUUCGUCGCUCAUCUCGGGAUAAUGAUGUGCGCGCUGAUGGGCGUUUAGGGGGAGUUGAUCCUUUACAUGGGAGGGGUCUUGGGUGGCGAGAAACCAUUGAUUCUUCGAGUGAUGACGGAGGACCGAGUGUUAAUGUUGUGGAGGAAGUGAAUGGGGUUGGUACUAGUAGGCGUCGUUAUGGACGUCAAGUCGUGGAUUUUGGGAGCAAUAGUGAUAAGUCGAAUUAGUUGCAUUCUUCAAGUGAGCGUGCUGAGCCGAGUAAGGAAGUUGAUCCGAUUGUUGAAGUAGAAGAGGAAGAUGAUAUUCCGCUGGGUGAUGUUGAGAUGGAUACGAUGAGGCAAAAGAAGAUUAAGCCAAUCAAUUUUGACUUAGUUGAUUUUGACAGUGUAUUGACUGAAGAGCAUUUGCAAUCUAUACGUCGAUUAGUUGAAGGGCUCAAGGAAUAUUGAGUUGUUGUUGCCUCAGAAGGGCGNNNNNNNNNNNNNNNNNNNNNNNNNNNNNNNNNNNNNNNNNNNNNNNNNNNNNNNNNNNNNNNNNNNNNNNNNNNNNNNNNNNNNNNNNNNNNNNNNNNNUGUAGCUAACUGUUAUUCUGUAACCCCAUUAAGGAACUUUUUCACACUAAAAUAAUUAGAAAGUCAUUUAAUACUAGCAUAAAGAUGAGUUCUUGUCGAAUAACAGUAAAAAUUAAAAUGAUAAACUUUUGUCGGGAUCGGUGUUAUUAUAAGAUCGCCUAUAACGGAUACAAAAUACCACAUACGAUAAAACUAACAAGACGCCAAAAAAUGGAGGAAAGAAAAUCAUAGUAAAAUAACCAUAAGGUCAUUUAAUACUAGCAUAAAGAAGAGUUCUUGUCGAAUAACAGUAAAAAAUUAAAAUGAUAAACUUUUGUCGGGAUCGAUCUUAUUAUAACAUCGCCUAUAACGGAUACAAAAUAACACAUACGAUGAAAAAUACAAGACGCCAAAAAAUAGAGGAAAGCAAAUCACAGUAACAAAAGGAUAAUAAAGAUUUUUUUUAAUCAACAGACAACACGUGGAUCGCUGAUCAGACAUAAAUAAAAGUACGAGUUAAAUUCAUCUAAUCUAAAUCUAAUCAUACAAUCAAAAUGGAUGUUAAUACAUACCAAGUAACAACACAUACAAAUGAGAAGAAUGUAAAAUUUGAAUAAAGUUAACCAUAAAAAAGUGACUACCUACGGGGUCCAACUUUAAAGAAAAAGAGAAACAAGGAAAGAUAGAGAUAAAACACUAAAAAUAACACGAAGUACAAUAUUUUUACUUUUGCAGGUAUUUUAAAGCAAAUAAUUUUUGGAGGGUUCAAUAUUUAUUGAAAGUUUUUGAAUGCCAUGUGUAAUAAAUACUCUCUAGAUGUAUCACAAAUUAUGUGAAGAAUCUUUUGAGGUUUAGAUAAAUUUCAAAAACUGCACAACUAAAUAUUUAGUAAACUUUGUCAAAAAAUGUAAUAGUUGAUUAGUACAUUAAAUGUUUUCAAAACUUGUAUAAUUAUAUAUAAUGAUAUAUAGUAUACAUUUGAAAAAUCACGCACUUAUCAAACAAAUAAUGGGCAAGUUUUAUUAACUUUCAAUGUUAAUGUUAUAUAUAUUUAUUUACUUCAUAUUACUAAGUUUUUUAGAUAAGUAAUAAUCCGUUAAAUAUGUUUGAACACCAAAAGUUUUUAUCCAUAUCAUCUUCUUCAUCAUAUUAUUUAUUUUUGAUGCACCCUUUCAGACCUUCUGCACUCUCCCUUCCUGCAGCUGCCAUCACUGAAACUCUUCACGCGCGCGCACACAUACCCACAUACCAUAGAGAGUGACUUAUGCACAUGCACAUGCAAAAUCACAUUCAUGCACAAUAGUCGUUUGCAAAAUCAGAUUUACAUAUUUUUGGGAGAGAUGAUUGUAUAUAGGUAAGUAUUCCAUUGUAAAUGACCAUUCACUAUGCUCCAUAACUAAUUUCUCAAUAAACUUUAUAAGUAAACUCUACGAGUAAUAUUUAGUCUCAGUGGGGAAGUCAGUGUACUGCCAAGGGAGGCCAUGGCACCUCUCAAAUUUUACCUUUUUUACUACUAUAUAUGGAUGGAUAUAUAAUUAUUGUCCUUGUAUUGUGCUCCUAUAAUUUUUAAGAAAUUAGUUUUAUAUAAAAAACCUAGAAAUCAGUAUUUUUCUUGUAGAAAAUAAAUAAUAAAUUAGUCUAACAAGUAUGAUAAGAAAGUAACGGAGUGUGUCAUAUAUAGAACAAGAGGCGAGUCCACCUUUGGGCAAUGAUUGAUUCAAUCCCACCUCAAUUGGAAUUUGUUUUUUACUAUAUUCCUUCUAUAUAUUUAUUAAGUCCAUCCAUAUUUUAUUAUUUAGUCCACCCGAAAUUCAAAUUAAUGCAAAGUAAGUCAUAAAUUUUUCUUUUCCAGUCUUUUGAUUUUGCCAACAAAGAAAAAAUCCUAAUUUUUUUCCAAGGGCACUGCCCUGAACCACUGAAAAUUUAAAUUCAUCAUGUAACAAUAUCCUAGACUGGCAACUCUUUAAAUAAUCAUUAUUGUGAUUAAUUUCUUCACGUUAUUUUUUAUUUAAAACUUUUAGUGUAAAUUCAGUCCUCCCAAAAAUAAAAUUCUGUUUUCUCCACUGCUUAGUUUAAUCUCUCAAAGUAAGCCUUUAGCUUCAAAUAAUGUGUUUUACCUUAAUGUAAUACUUGAUUAUUUUACCAAAAAACAAUAAUUUUAAUAUGACGUUAUAGAUGAAUUGCUUAUGGAUUUAUUUUUUACUUAUUAAUCAGUUAAUAGUGAAUAACGAACGAAUCCAAAAUUUUAGUCAAACAUAUUUAAAAUUUAGUGGUAAAUCAACAGCUGCAAAACCUGAAAUGCUAAUAUGGUGGGCAUAAAGACGACGGGGUUCAGGGAGUGCGCCCUCUCUCAAAACUAUCACAAAUGAAUCUUCAACUACUCAAAAUUCACUUCAUAAUCUCUAAAUUACUCAAAAUUCACUUCAUAACCUCCAUCGCUCUCGGGUAAGUAUUAAUUUUCUCUAUUGUUUCAAACUAAAAUGUGUUUGUCACGUAUUCAUUUUUAUAACAAGAUUUGAACUUUGAAAGAAGCUCAAUUUUAUUAUUUUGUUGUACGACCUUUUAAUAGGACGUAGAAUAUUCCCACAACAAAGGGAUUCCCGUUACAACUUAUUUAUACAUAAAUCACGCAACAAAGAAAGUAAUAAAUUCACACAUACAAGAAUUAAAGAUCAAAUUAUCAGUGAUUAUACAAACCCAAUCAACAGUGUAUAAAAAUCUCAAAGUGGUCGCCAUAGUAGUUUAGUACGCACCAUAAGCCACAACAGCUGCAACAACUGCACCCAUCACAACAACACUAGUGAUAAUAUGGUGUUGCUCCUAUUUUCCUAUCCACGACAAGAGUCCUUUUUUAACUGGUUUAUUCUCAACAUUUUCGUCUUUGCAGCAUGAAAAUCCAUCGGCACCUCUGCAACACCCUCCAGUACUUGCCGAAGCAGCAACAAUCUUUUCAGGUUGUUUCUCGUUGCUCUUCACAUUUGUUCCAUUAGUAUGAUUCGGUUCCUCAACUCCUUUGAUAUUAGCACCCAUUUGGCCUCUGUAUAUAAUCAUGGUAUGCAUAAAAUAUUCACUUCUUAUCUAUGUAGCGCAAACACGAAAAUGACAAUACAGAGAAACGGGGAACAAAGGGUACGUCGAAACGGCAUGUCCGAAAAAUGGAGAUACAAGAACUUGGGGAAAACGUAUAAAUAUUAAAAGUAUAGGGGCAUAUUUAUAAAUAUGCUAUAUAAACAUAUAUAAACUUUUAUUUAUAUAUAACUUUUUUAUAUUUCCAUACAAAUAUAUUCAAAAUUAAUAUUAUUAUCAACUAUCAAUUUGUAGUUGAUCAAUAAAUCAUGUAUUUAAUUAGGGAAGUAACAAAAAUAUCUGAAAAUUUACUAUUCAAACAUGUUUUUAAUCUUUUAGAAAUUGUAAAAUGGCCAAUAAGGUGUCCGGCGGCUGUCGUUUAGUGUCGUACACGAAACAUGUCCGAAACGCGAAAACGUUAAAAAGUUGAAAUUUCCGUACUAUAUAGUUUCCCAUUGUGGCGAAACAAUAAUUAGAUAUUAAGAAAAGGAAGAUGAAGAAAGAAAGCACACCUCCAAAUCCGGUCAACGGCUUCUCCUUGCCCAAUUUGUUUAUCAAUCAAUUCAUGAAUGUCGCCGGGUGUAACAUACCCGUACCUGAAGAAUGGAGGAUGAAUCAUUUUAUGAUGUACAUGGAUACACAUACAACAAAUAAUUUUUUGAGUGACAACACCUCUUUUUACAUGAUUCAUCAGGCGAAACAAAAUAUUAUGAAUUACUAAUAGGGUAUCACUAAUUCUAUAUAUUGAUGAUAAAAUGUGAUUGUCACUUCUAUAUAUAAUUAUAUAGUCAUAGUGACAUAAAAAAUUAUUUAAGUGAAAACAAAAUGAGCACAGCAUACAAAAUGUUGUCUUUAUAGUAACAAUUUAUUUUAAGGACGAUAUAGUUAUUGGUUUCCCAAUCCCCCUCUUGGUGUAUUGAAUUCAUGACCAAUGGUCCUGAGUGCAAGGUGCUUACCAACAGGCUACCUUGUCUUUACUUUUUACCAACAACUUCUGAUAUUGUUUCAUCUAGGGUAUCACUCAUUAUUCAGGUGCGCGAAAGCGACGUUUGUCGCCGUUCCGAACGAUAAAUCGGCGAUUUCAACUCUUAAGACGAAACUUUAUCACUUCCGACGAAGCACUAUCACUAUGAUUAAUGAUGCAGUGCUCAUGAACUUAACGUUUAGCCAAAAAACUAAGUCAAACACAAAGUAGAGAAAAGUGUAGUCCAUACCAGUUACCACUAAUUUUUCCUUGAGGAGUUGCACUAAAGAUGAUCACAUUGCCUGCAUACUUGUGUCCUCCUACAUGUGAGCAAGAAGUCACAAAUACAUGCUUCGUCAAAUCUUUGGAUCCAAUCUCUUCCUUAAACUUCUCAAUCAAAAUCGGGCCACAAACCCCACAUCGUCGGUCUCGAUUGUUAUGACAACAAACGAACACGUAUGAGCCACUCAAUUUUUCGAUCUUUCCAGACAGGUCAACCUUUUCAUUUACAAGCACAUCUUCAACAAACCUAUCACCUUCGGACUCUAUCAAGCCCCUUCAAUAAACCAAAACAAAGACGUACAAUUUCCAACCAAUUAAAACUAAGGCAAUAUCAAUAAUUUAAUAAUGAAUAUAUGUAUAUAUUCCUUAAGUAUGUUCAUACCUGUAUACAAUCAUUUCUGGAAAAAUCAGUACGUCUCCAUCUGACAACUUCCCCUUGUCGCCUGCCUCGCAUAUAGUCAAACGAGUCUACAAGUUCCCAAAUCGCCAAAAUUAUAAUAUAUAUGCAUGUGGUUUGAUAUAUUUCCAAGAAAUUAAAUACACCAAAAAAUUAAAUAUCUGAAAGACAAAAUGCAAGCACACGAGAUGCAAAAAAAAAUAUAUAUAUAUAUAUAUAUAUAUAUAUAUAUAUAUAUAUAUAUAUAUAUAUAGUUUUCCAGGAUCUAGUUACAAUGUGGGCUUAAUUUUCCAGUGAGAUGCAAAAAAAUUACGACUUUUUUUGACAAAAAAAAAAAAAAAAAACCGAGUCUACAGUUGUUAAUAAACACAAGUUUCAUUUCUUCUUCAAUGGAAUACAACGGCUACAUUUUUAAAAUGUGUCGUUGAUAGAAAAACAAAUAUGCAUGGUGGUGUGAUCGUACCGACCACCCACAACAUUUAACGACAGUGAGAAUAUAAACAACUAAAAUAAUAUAAACGGGGAAAAAAAAUAAGAACGUGCAUGUAUUAGUACGGAUCCGGACCUUGAGUUUAAUGUCGUUUUUACGAGCUUUAAGGGCAGAGGCGAGAAGCUUAGGGAGAGGAUCGGCAUCAGAUUCCUCGACUCGUGUAGGCCACAACUCAUGCGACUUGUAGCAUAGGAACAGGUGUCGUUCGUACUGUUCAACACUUCCGGCGAGUUUGCUUUCGUACAUGUCACUUCUCUCGAAUCCGUAAUUGCCGCUCUCAUCUACGACGAUGGUGGUGGUGCUGGCCAUGGUGGAGGACGACGGAGUGAUGACUGGUGGUCGGCCGGGAGAUAUUUUUCUAAGGUUUUCGAAUAUGGUUAUGGGGGAAGUGGAGUGGACCUAUAUAUAUAUACAUGUACAUAAAUUAAAAUUCAACUCUCCAUUCUUGUACUCUGACUCAGUAUCACUUUACCCCCUUUUACUCUUGAUUGCAUCGAUUUGCCCCCCUGCACUUGAAAAAUUGUCCCAAGGUGCCCUCGUUGUUAGUUGUCAGACAUUUGACCUUAACACCGUUUGAUUUAAGCUCUGAAAUUACAAAAACGUCACAUCUCCUAGUUUAAAUACUUAUUAAAGAAAAUAAAAUAAAAUAUAUAAAAAAUUCAAGACAACGAGAAAACAUAGUUCACGACGCCAACCACAAUUUAUUUUUAAUUUUUUUUUAAUUUUUGUAAAUGAUUAUUUAAACUGGUAGGGGUUGCUUUUUUUGUAAUUUGCAACCUUAGAUCACAAACGGUGUUAAUGUAAAAGGUCUGAAAACUAACGGACGGCGAGGGCCACAUUGAAACAACUUUUCAAAUCAGGGGAAAAAUCAAUGCAAUCGAAAGUAGAAAGGGGUAAAAUGAUAUUGAGUCAAAAUAUAAGGAGGUAAGUGGAAUUUAGACUUAUUUUUAUACAGGCAUAUAUAUUUAUAUAUAUACUUGUCUGAAUGGAGGCUAUAAAUUGGGCCAGGUACCAAAUGAGCAUCGUCUUGUAAUGGUUUUUGAAGUACAAAAUAAAAAUACUAAGACUAGUCAACGACACGAUAUAAACUCAUCACACCACGUUGUUGUUUGGGUUGACAAUUAAAAGAUAAGCAUUAAGUUUUUUGAUCUCUCAUCUCAUUAUAAAAUUUCAAUUUGCAAAUUUUAAUUUUAUAGUAUAAUUCAAUGUUUACAAAACCGGACCCGUUAUAGAAUCGAACGACCAUUUGGGUCAUGGGUUCAUAGGAUCGAACCGGUUCAACCGAGUUUUUUUUUUUUUUUUAAUAUGACAUUAUUUUAUUGAUUUUAUUGUUUCAAAAAUAUUAUUUUCUUUAUAUUUUUAAUCUCCCAGUUAUUAUUCUUACUUUUAUCUACUUCACCUCACUUUUUACUAUAUUUUAUUGUUUAUACUCUAUCUUUUAUCAUUUUUUAUUCUUCAAAUCCGGCAAUCCGGCAAUCGGCUACCCCUAUUCGAUCCCCCACGAUCAUAUCCGACAAUCCUUCGGCCCCUCAUGACUAAAUCCGGUCAGCCACUACUAAGUAUGUGAAAGUUCGCUCAAAUCUAGCGACAAAUAACCAACUAAACGGUGAUUCGAGGCGUUUUGGCCGAAAACCGGGUUCAUUGACUGACUCGUCGGUUCUCGGGUUUUACCCGGUCGAACCGGGUUUUGAUCAUUUGACCCCGGUUUUCAAAAUUGUCUGGUUUCGAUGUUAGACCGAACCGCUUUAUUGCCGGAUCAUGGUCAAACCGGUCCGACCGGCCGGUUCGAUCCGGUUCUAACAACAUUGGUAUAAUUCAUCUAUCGAGAUUGUUUGAGUAUAACUAAUUAUGUCAAUAAGUUUUCUGCAACCAUUGGGUUAGUUGACAUAUAGUAUUUUAGUUUUUUUUCUUUCUUUAGUGUAGAGUUGACAUAUAAUAUUUGUGAUAUCAUUUGACUUUCACUUCUAACAUUCGAACUGCAUAUUAUUCCAUUGGGCUAAACUUAUCUGCACUCUUAUUAAGACCAAAUUCAGUUCUAAAACAAACUAAUCCCUUUGGGUCUUACUUAAAAUAUACCUCGUAAUAUAAUUUGCAUCAAUUUUAUCAAUAAUAUUCUAAUUUAAUAUAUAUUGCACAUUAAUCCCUAAUAUUAACAAACAUUAACAUCCAUAUAUCAAUUUUUUGAAUAUUUUGUUUUAGAAAUUAAAAGAAAAAAACGAAAAUCUAAACUUUUUUUCCGGCCAUUGACCGGUAUCGACCACCGGUCUUCGGCAUUGACCGCCAGUCUCAAGAGUUACUGUUGACAUCGAAAUUGGGAUUAAACUACAAAUUAAUGGCCUAAAUAAUUUGGUUAUUAAUUUGGAUCUCGAUUAACAGUCCAUAAUAAAUUUUGGAUUUUGUAUUGAAGUCCACAAAAUUUGGGCUUCACAAAUAUAUCAUAUGAGUUAACCCAGAAUUGAGUACUAAAUUCUUAUUAUUGGGUUAGCUGUUUGGGCUCACAAAGUAUGGCCCACAAUAAAUAAGUUGCAAGUGUCCGAGUCCACCGGCCCAAGUUUCAAGUCAAGAAACCCUAAACCGAGCCUAUAAAAUGAGGUAUUAUACAAGAAGACAAGGACACAAGCAUCAAGCAAGGCGUACAUCAAGCACUCAAAAGCUCUCAAGUCUCGAGCUCUUGCCACGACGAAGAACAACAACCGCGGAGGUUCUACAUCUUCAUCAAGGCACCAAAUCCACAAGACCUAGAAAUCCCUAAAUCGAUUUCUAGAUAUUCAUAUCUACUUCCGCAAAUCAACGGUGGAAUCAAGCUCUCAAUUCAAGAACAAGCUUCGGCCCUUGGAUUAUAUCUAGGAGAAGAAUCAGAGGAAUCAACAAAGAUUGUAACCCAUUUUCGUUUUGAUUAAAAUAUAAUUAUUUGUUCUUAUAUUUUCUUGUCUUGUAAUUUAUUUUGCAGACAUUUAAAUUUGAGGUUAACAGUUACUUUUUCCUUUUAUUAUUUAAAUUUCUUUUUUUUUUAAAUUCUGAAAUUUUCUUUCGCCCACCACUUUUGUCCACUAGUCCUCGACAUCGACUCUUUUUUCCUAAUCCCUUUAUUUGAAUUAUUUUAUUUUCCUGUUGUUGUCCGAUCAACACAAUACGAUUGAUCUGAAUACAACACAAUAAUCUUCUUGUCUUACAGAGUGAUAUUACUAUGUUCACAAUAAUAUUAAAUAUUUUUAACCUUUUUUUCCAUUUUUUUUUAUUAUUUAAACAACCAACACAAUAAUAUUACCGUGCUAGCACUAACAUUAUGGUCUGAGACAUUAAUAUUGCAGGUCAAGACAAUAAUAUUAAUAUUAAGACAAUAAUAUUAUUAUGCUAUUAUUGUCUGAGACAGUAAUAUUACAGGCCAAGACAGUAGUAUUAAAAUUACCACAAUAAUAUUAUUUCAUAUUAUUGUCAACACACAUAAUUUGGUUAACAGUAAUAUUAUUUAUCGUGGUUGAUGGACCCACCCCCAAAAGCCCAUAUCGACUAAACCAAUAGAGGCACACAAACCAAGCCCAAGUUAACUUAAAGUAAUAAUACAUGCCCAAGUUGGCUAACUAAUUGGGUACUAAGGAAAAAUAUAUUGAACUUGUGUCGCAUUGAGAAUCACAAGGGGUUGACAAUUGAACAGUUGAUUUACUCUAGCUUGCAGAAUUAGGGUAUUGAGCGCGUUUUUACCGUGACGGUGGAUAAUGCCAAUGUUUUGAAAACCGGACCGGACCGGCCGGUCCGACCGGUUCAACCGCGAACCGCUGCCAUGUCCGGUCCGGUUAUAUGUGAAAACCCGAAAAGCCCAAAAAACCGGUUCAACUGCCAAAAUCCCGGUUCCACCGGUAAAAACCGGUUAACUCGGAACCCAGUCGAAAACCGGUUUUCAGCUCAAAAAAAAAAUUCAUGGUCGGAUCUAUGUCAAUGGUGGUCGUUGGUGAUUGAAUCUUGUCGGAAAAGUUUGUUGGUGAACAGAUCUGGGUAGUAUGUGACCCAAUCCAAGUGGUGGCCGCCAUAGCUUUCCAUCGAAGAAACAAAAACGAAGAAGAUGAAAGUGAAAAUGAAGAAAAAAAUGAAAAAAUAAGUUGAGGAAAUAGAGUAUAUAUUUGGGUGGAAAUGAGGAUAAUUAAGAAUAAACAACAAUGAAGAAGAGAAGAAAAGAAGGAGAGAAGAAGAGAAGAAGGAGAUGGGGUCUGUGAAGACGAGAGGAAGAAGAAAGAAGAGAGAGAGAGAGAGAGAGAGAGAGAGAGGGAGUGGGAGAGGAGAGAGAGAGAGAGAGAGAGGAGUGUGGAGAAAUUAAUAAUUUUAAACUAUUUUUGUAAUAAAAAAAGGUGGAGUAAGUUGGAUAAUAAAGUGAUGAAAGUAUGAAGGAAAUAUAAAAAUAUAAAAUAUAUUAUAUUUGAGGUAUUAAAUUAAUAAAAUAAUUAAAUAUAUAAAAAAAAUAAAAAACCCGGUUGGACCCCGGUUGAACCGGUCCAACCGCGACCCGGUAGCUUUGCCGGGUCGAUGUCCGGUCCGGUUUUCAAAACAUUGGAUAAUGCUUCAUUAAAUGAUGGGGCAAUUAAAUUCUUAGAAACCAUGCUUAGCGGACCUGAUGCAAUCUUAGAGUGUAGGUUUCUGCAUUUAAGGUGUUGCGCCCAUAUCUUAAAUCUUGUGGUGAGGGAUGGAUUAGGGGAACAGAACCUCUCGGUUGUUAAAAUCAGAAAUUCGGAAAUAUAUGUCAGAUCCUCUCCGCCUAGAGAGGCAAAAUUCAGAGUGUGUCGAGAGGGGGAAGAUAGAUUGCACAAAGAAAGUUUGUUUAGACGUCGAAAAAAGGUGGAAUUCCACAUAUUUGAUGUUGAAAACUUCUGAUAAGUAUGCCAAUGCUUUUGCCAGGCUUCAAUCAUUGGAUUAAAACUUUGAGUACUUUCAAGUUGGUAGUGACGAGGAGUAAUCUAAUACAAGGAAGCGAAAGAGGGAAAAAAAUUGGGACCUCCAAGCAAAAGUUAUUGGGCGAAAGCACGACGCUUUAUUAAAUAUCUGAAGAUCUUCUACUAUGUGACUAAUCUGAUUUCGGGGAAAAAAUAUGUUACCUCAAACUUAUUUUUCAAAGAACUAGUGGUAAUGCAUGUAAGCAUUUAAAAAAUAUGCUUGAGUUCAAAUAAGGAAGAUAGGGAAAUUGACGUCUCAAUGAAAGCAAAUCAUGAUAAGUACUGGGAAAACAUUGAUAACAUAAAUCUUUUAUUGUAUAUAGCUGUGGUGUUGGAUCCUCGCAAUAAAUGAGUUAUCUUGACUUUUGUUUGGGGCAAACUUACGCAUGAGAUACGCAGAUGUCCAAGGAUAUAAGUACAACAGUUCUUUUAGUUUUUAAUGAAUUAUUUGAACACUACAAAAAAGAAAUUAAAUAAGGCGAAUGGUAAAGGAUCUUCUUCUUCGAGUUGUGUUGUUUCUGAGGAUAAAACUGGUGAUAUAAAAUCUGAUUUAGAAUCAAGUUAUUUGAAAUUGUUGGAAGGAAAAGGAAAUAUUGAUAAGUUUGAGGUUGAAGUGUACUUGUCUGAUGGAAUGGAAAAGAGAGAUCAAAAGUUUGAUAUUUUGAAAUGGUGGAAAAUGAAUUCCUUAAAGUUUCUGAUCCUUUCUCAAAUUGCUGGACAUUUAGUACCAAUGUCGAUAUUCACUGAGGCAUCGGAGUCGACAUUUAGUGGUGGCGGUAGGGUUAUUGAUCCAUUUAGAAUUUUGCUUGGUCGUACGACGGCUGAAGCUCUUAUUUGUGCUCAAGAUUGGAUACGGUCUUCGUCGACGAGCAUUGGGCUUUCUCAUGCAAAAUCAAGAAGCAUGGAUGUAGGAGAUUCGCAAAAAAAAAAAAAUUAGAAAAACUUGAGACAAGUACAAAAUUUUAAAUACUUCAUAUGUAUUCUAAUUUAAUUUACCAUACAAUUAUGCUUAUUUUCUAUAUUCUGAUGUAUUUUUUACUUAUGUAAUUUUUAGAGGCAUUUGCAAGUGGAUCGAAGUUUUUCACCAUACCAUAUUGAUGUUUCUAAAAUGGUAAACUUGUUUAUAUAAAUGUGAUUUCUUUGUUUGAUGUUACUAACUACAAUUAAAACUAUAUGUAUUUUUAGGCUGGUACAACGUCUAUGGAGCCGUGGCCUCGUGGGGGAGUUGGUGACAAUGUCUUUGUAUUUGCAUUGUUCCUCAUUUUGCAGUUUUUUUAAGCUUUCCUAAACGAAGUUUGGUAGAUUUUUGCUACUGUUAAAAGGAUGUAUUAUCUGGUUUUGAUGUGAUUUUUUCAGCUAAUUUUUAAUGAAUGUUGCUAAGUUUUAUCCGAUUUUUUGCUGCUUAUUUUUUAAUGAAUGUCGUUGGGGUUUAUUUUUUAUUUUUUUAUUUCUUUUGUGUAUGAAGUUUUGCAGUGGAUUUUUCUAUUUUUUCAGAUGAUUUCGAAUGAAUUUUAAUUGAUUUUUUGGCUGAUUGUUUCCUGAAUUUUGAGCUAAUUUAUUGACAUUUUUCAGUUGGAUUGUUGGGCCAAAAUGAGCCCAAACCGAACCGAAAACAGAACCAUUAUUUAAACCGUACCGAGAAUUUAUGAACCGAAAAGCAACCGAAACCGACAAAAAGCGAACCGAACCGAUUGGAACCGAACCGCAAGAAACCGAUCGGUUUGGUUUUUGGUUCUUUAAGAACCGACCACUUCGGUUUUUGUUUGAGGCUAUAACCGAAUCGAACCGAACCGAUCUCACCCCUAAUUUAGGGUAUAAGAGCAAGUUAGGGAUAAAAAGAAAUUUAGGAAAAUGGAUCAUAUUAUGUUUCGAAAUAAGAGUGUAUUUAAAAUUUUAGUACUUUAGGAUUGUCAUUUAAAUCUAAUUAGAUUUGGUUUGAGAAAGUAUAGUAUAUUAAUCCCUUUGAAAAAUCAUAUCAUUGUCACAGUCUUUAAAUAUAUGUCGUCCCUAAAUUAUUAAUGGUUACUCUCGCCGUUUUCUUGCACGCUAAGCAAAGUAAAAGUCAAUUAUAUAUCUAGGACAAUGCAACAUUUAUAUAAUCUUACCUUAUAAAUAAAUCGAAAGAUAAAUAUAAGAGAUGUCCCGCAGUAUUGAUCUUUGAACGAUUGAUUGGCAUCAGGUUCCGGCACUUAUUAUUUUAAUUCCAGCAUAAUUUUCCAAAUAUAGAAAACUUUCAGACCUUGGCACAACUAACAAAGUCUACAAAAAAAAGGGUAAAUUCUACUUUACCCCCUCGUACUCUGCCCGAGAGUCACUUAACCCCCUCGUACUCUCAAUUUUAUCGAUGUACCCCCCUGUACUUGUACAAUUUCCCAAUACAGCCCUCUCCGUCAACUUUUUUCAAUUUUGACUCUGACGCCGUUUGAUGAACUCUGUAAAUUACAAAAUUGCCACUGCCUAAACAUCGUUUCUUCUCCUUCAACAUUAUCGUUUCUUCUUCUUUCACCACUCUCCCUUACAAGAUAUCCCCAAAUUGGUAGAAUUCACCCUAAGGUAAUAUAAUUUGCAUAUAAGUUACACCACUUCUAUUUAGUUGGUGAUUACACAACAUAAUUUUGCUUCUUUGUUCAGGUAAUAAAGAAAUCAACAAGAUUCGGGGACAUACUCUUCAGUCAAGGCCCGAUCGAUAAACCUGUCUAAUUACCUUGUUCUAUAUUAUGAGUAUAAUUUAAUUUUCUUGUAAGGGGGAGUGGUGGAAGAAGAAGAAACGAUAAUGUUGAAGGAGAAGAAACGAUGUUUAGGCAGUGGCAAUUUUGUAAUUUACAGAGUUGACCAAACGGCGUCAGAGUCAAAAUUGAAAAAAGUUGACGGAGAGGGCUGUAUUGGGAAAUUGUACAAGUACAGGGGGGUACAUCGAUAAAAUUGAGAGUAUGAGGGGGUUAAGUGACUUUCGGGCAGAGUACGAGGGGGUAAAGUGGAAUUUACCCAAAAAAAAUGCAACAUUUUGAAAGUUGGGGGCAACGUGUAAAAUGCCCUAUAUUCAAAGGAUAAAGUUACUCUAUAUUUAUUAAGAGAUAUCUUCACAAGAUUUGAUAAUGAAACAUACGUCGAGAGUUUUUAGAAUUUGAAGACGCAAAAAGGUCAUUAGAGCAUCCCCACCGUUCUAUGUAUUGAUUUUUCACAUAAUUUAGGUGGUUUUAGUCUCCCACCAUAAAUCUCUAUAUCAGUAUAUACUCAAAUCCUAAUUUUCCACCAAAUUUUAUGGUGAAAGAAUUUUUAUCUCCCACCGGUUCACAUUUUCCUAUUUUUUCCACAAAAUCCUAUUUCGUCUAUCAUAUAUAGAGGUGAAAAUAGGAUUUGGUGUAAUUAACAUCAUUUUAUUGGUUAGCAUAUAAAAUAAUAAUUUUAACUAAUCGCAUGUUAUUACCCACUUAUUAGCAUAUUUAUUGUAAAUACAUUAGUGUUAAUUAAUAAAUUAAUAUUCAAAAUAUAAAUAUAUUAUUAUCAAUAAAAACAUUAAUUCUAAUAAGUAUAAAUAUGCUUAUUUUUAAUUAAAUUGUGUAUUUUUUGGUAUCAAUGUUGAUUAGCUCAUUUUCUUUUAUUUAACUAAUACGCUAAUUGCUACUAAUAAAAUAUAAUAAACAAUAAUAGGACGAGCCCUUUAAAUUGAAAUUUUGAUAAAUCAAGGAAAGCACAAUGAAAUAAAAAAGGAAAUUGAUAGCACACUUUUGAUAAACGUGGUCAAAUAGAUGAUUUUGAAGAUUAUGAUGGUGAUGGUGAUGAUGAUAAUAAUGGUGACUGAAACUUUUGUUUUUAUUUAUGAUUUUAGAUCAAUAUAUGUUGUAAUAUUAUUUAUUCAUCAAUAGUUUAUGAUAUUAUUGUUUAUGUGUGAUUUGAUUAUAUGUAAAAUAAAUGAUGUAAUUUUAUUUCAUGAUGUACUUGCUACUAAUAAAAUAUAAUAAACAAUAAUAGGACGAGCCCUUUAAAUUGAAAUUUUGAUAAAUCAAGGAAAGCACAAUGAAAUAAAAAAGGAAAUUGGUAGCACACUUUUGAUAAACGUGGUCAAAUAGAUGAUUUUGAAGAUUAUGAUGGUGAUGGUGAUGAUGAUAAUAAUGGUGACUGAAACUUUUGUUUUUAUUUAUGAUUUUAGAUCAAUAUAUGUUGUAAUAUUAUUUAUUCAUCAAUAGUUUAUGAUAUUAUUGUUUAUGUGUGAUUUCAUUAUAUGUAAAAUAAAUGAUGUAAUUUUAUUUCAUGUUUAGAUAGUUUUUAAAACUCUUAACAUAAUUUCGAAUUGUAUAGUUAAAAAUAUGAUUAUUUAAAUUUAGAUCUAUAUUUAAUAAUUUAGGAAAUAAAGUAUAGUAAAAUUAUGAUUGUUUGAGCUGAUACACACUCUUGGCAUCCUACGUGAAUGCCAUGGGAUACCAAACCAAAUCUCAUCGAAACUCUCACAUGUAUCGUUUUCUAUACAUAUUGUAUCGUAUCGUUUAUCGUAUUGUAUCGUAAGAUAUUUAACUAGAUAUUGAAAGGAAAAAUUAGCACGGCCUCCUUCAUCUAGGAAAUAUAGUUAAGGAAAAUCUCCCUCCCAAAAGUAAUUAGAGAAAACCCGUUCCCCUUUUAAACUAACCCUCCUAACGAAUCUUACUUGUCUAAUAUACUCUUGGAGAACCCUAAUCUCAUUUAUCAUUUCUCUCUUCUUCUUUUCACGCAUCUCCUCUCUCUUUUUCUCUGAUAUUUUUUUCUAUUUUCAAUGUCCCACCAAAUCUCUAGUUUUUUCUCUCUCGAUCUGGAGGCGAAGAACAAGAGUUGUCGGCGCCACUGGAACGACACUCCUUCUCCUUCUCUUUCUCUUGGAGAUGGAUUUUUUCACUGCGUGUUUCCAGAACGAGUGCGAGGAAGAUGACUUUUUCGUCGAUUUGGUUCCGAUAUCGGAUUUUGAUGGGUUGUGGUUCUGUUUUGAUUGGUGGUGCGAUUGUGAUUUACUUUAUUUGUAAGAAAAAAAUCGUCAGAGUAUAGAAGUACGAGGUAGUGGUGGUGAUGGUGUUGUGUGGCGGCUGUGUGGUAACGAUGGGGAGGUAGAUCUAGGGUUUUUCGGUGGAUCAGAUGGAGGACGGCGCGAGUAGAGAAAUUCGCGCAAGCUGGAUCCUUAAUCGACUAUGCUUCGAUUUUAUUUUUUAAUUCAUUUUUGAAUUUUUGUGUAUUAAUUCCGAUUUGUAUAAAUCAAUUACAGUUUAUGUAUAUUAUUUGUUUUGUAACAAAAAUAUUGAUUUUCAUUUUUAUGUCAUGUUUUUUUUUUUUAGUAGUUUGUUCCUUAAUCAACUAUGCUUCAUCAUAGUUGAUUAAUAUGUUUCAUAGUCGAUUAAUAUACAUGAUAGAGGAAAAAUGGUUAAAAAACAAAAAAAACAUUAAAAAAAAAAAAUAGAUAACGGCUGAUGAUGUAGCCGCACAGUAGGUGAUAGUGCUGAUGAGGUGGCAGGGGCAUAAUUGAAAAAUGGGUGGCUGAAAUUAGGAGUGGCUUUUCUCAAACAUUGCAAAAUAGUUUGGGCAUCUCUCUAUUAACAUCAUCUUCACAUAGAUCUCUACACCAUCGUCUUCGCAUAGAUCUCUACACCACCACCGUCGUCGCUUGCCGCCACCGCGUCCUUCAUCUCCAGGUAAGGUUUUUUCUCUCUUUUUCGUUAUCUCUACCGAUUUCUCAGUUUUUUUCCCCAGAUAUGUCCACCACCACCACCGCCGCCACCGCUGUUGUCGUCGACUCCCCCUCCCUCUCUUUCGAUUUCUCUAUUUUUUUUCUCCAUAUCUAAACUAGCAACAUUAAAAUGAUUAUAGUCAUAUUCGAAAUUUUUUUUUGUUCUCCAGAUCUUAGCUUUCUAUCUCUAUUUCUGUAUUUUUAGAUUUUUUUUUUUCUCUACAUCUAAACUAGCAGUACCAGCAUUAAAAUGACUAUACAUAUUCGAACUUUUUUUUUCUUCUCCAUAUCUAAACUAGCAGCAGUAACAUGACUAUACUCAUAUUCGAAUAUGACUAUUGUUUGAAUAUGACUGUAGUCAUAUUCAAAUAUGUUCUAUCUUUUCGUUUCAAGUUAACUUGUAAUAAUAACAUUCAAAAUGUUGAUUGGAUUGUUUUCGUAAGUAAUAAGCAAAAUCUUCGUUGUUUUAUAUAAUUUGGUAAACACAACUUUACCUCACUAUACAAUCGAAUUUUUAAAUUGAAAAUGUAAAAAACUGCAAUAUAAAGAAAGAAUAUGACUACCAUUGAUAUAGUCACAUAUAGUCAACUAUAGUCAUAUUCGGCGUAGUAAAUAAGUCGAGAAACAAAAAAUAAAUUUUUUGUUUAAAAAAAUUAAAAAAAAAAUUAUUACAAAAAUAUAAUAAUAAAUAAUAAAAAAAUACGAAAUAAAUCCAAAAUAAUAAAAGAUAAAAAAAUAAAAAAUAUAAUUUGUUUUUUUUUUCUUCUAUUUGUUAGCAAUUUUUUAAGAAUUUGGAAGCAGAUUUUUAGAAAUUAGAUUGUUGUUAUGGAAAUAGUAAAAAAAAAAGAAUAAUUGAGACAAAUUAUGCUAAUUGACAUAAUGGUAGUAUUGGGAAUACAAUUGUUAGGGGGUUAUCACAAAGAAGGAUUUAAGGGGUGGACCUAUCACUAUUUAUUAGCUAUAUGAGGGGCUUAUUGCUAAUGACCGCUAUUGAUAAUAGUACAAAAUAUAUAUUUGUAUAUUAAAAAUAUAGUAAACACGUAACAUUUUUAAUCAAACACUCAUUGAAAAUAGAUCUAAAUGCAAGUUUCAAGAUUAAACUAUUAAAAAGAAAAAAAAGUCACAGUUGAUUGAUAGAAAUGCUAGUGUUGGUUUUAUUACCUUUGUUGAUAUAAAUUGCAUUUCAAAUUUGUAAUGCUGAACAAUUUUUUUUUUUUUGUAUUGUUUUUAUUUUUUUCUAAUUUUUUUUUCGUAUUUUAAUGGGAAGAAUAAUAAUAUUUAUCUGAAAUAAUUUAUUUUGUUUUUGCCUUAAUUAAAGAAAAAUAAAAAUCCAAACACAAUUGUUAUAAAUUUAUUUUAUUUAUAAUCGCACAAAUCACCUCUAAUAUUUUGGAAAUCACACAAAUAAUCCCAAACGUGCUGAAAUGGCACAAAAUCACUCCAAACAUUCUGAAAAUUGCACAAAAUCACCCCCAAACUUGAUGAAAAUCGCACAAAUCACCAGUUGAGUUGAAAAUUGCACAAAUCCCCACCAGAACAUAUAUACCAUAUAUCUACCGAUAUUUAUUGAUAACCGAUACAUAUACCGGUUUACAGGCCCGACUUGAGCACAAGGCAAAUAAGGUAUUUGCCUAGGGCCACCAAUUUUAGGGGUCCCCACCUAGAUACACAAAUGUUAUAUAAAUAUAUAUAUAUAUAUAUAUAUAUAUAUAUAUAUAUAUAUAUAUAUAUAUAUAUAUAUAUAUAUUAGUUUUAUGUUAUAUUUAAUAUAUAUUAACUAAAAUUUUCUUACAUUUAAUAGAGGGUCCAUGUUAAAUUCUAUUCUCAAUCAACAAUCAACGGUACAACUUUCUCAUCUUCUAUAAAACAAAAGUUUAUUUCCUUAAUUUACUAGGGUCCACUUCACACAAUUCCACUUUUCUCUCUCUAUAUCCCAUGAAUCAAGACUUUUCAGUUUCCCUGAAUUCACGUUAUAUUCUUAUAAAUUGUUUUUUUUUUCUCCUUCACACUUCUCCCUCCUCUUCUUCUUCUUCUCUCUCUCUCUCUCUCUCUCUCUCUCUCUCUCUCUCUCUCUCUCUCUCUCUCUCUCUCUCUUCUUCUGUAAAAACAAAAUCCACCAAAAACUCUAGCCACUCAACGUGAAGCACACAACAAAAUCUCAAGAUUUUUUUUCUUUUCUUUUUGUUUGACGAUUUCUUUUAUUUUUUUUCCUUAUCAUUUUUCUAUUGUUUCUACUUUCUUAGGAUUGCUAAUCUCCAUUUGCUUUAUUAUGUCGAAUGGUAGACAUUACAUGUCUGGUUGUCAAAAAAGAAAAAGACAAGAAAAACUAAAGAAAGAUGAUGACUCUCAAAGAGGAGUUAUAGAAAGAUUAUUUAUGAAUAUGAGGAAUCAAAAUGCUAGAAACGAACAUGAAAUUCCUAUGAAUGCCCAAAACGAUAAUCCUAAUGAUGUUCAAAAUGAUAAUAUUCUUAAUAAACAAAAUGAUAAUCUAAUUGUUGUUCCAUUUGAUAAUCCUACUAAUGAUCAAAAUGAAAUUCCUAUGGGAGAAGAAAAUGAAAAUAAUGUUACUAAUUCAAAUGAAAAUAUUGCUACGGAUCAUAAUGUAAUUGAAGAAAAUGCCGACUUUCUUGAUAAAUUUGAUCCGGCAAAUUGGAUCAAUAUAAAUACAAAAUUACGAGAUUUACUAGUCGAAAAAGGUCCUAUUAGAAUUACUAAUAUAGAUUUUCCAAAAGAUCGUGAUGGUAGACAUUUCUCUAUUUCAAGUUAUAUUCGAAAUUUACCUAAUCGAGAGAAAUAUGAUAGGAGAUGGCUCGUAUAUUCAAAAAGUGUAGAUAAAGUAUUUUGUUUUUGUUGUAAGUUGUUUAGCAUUAAAACUACUUCAAGUAAAAAUUUUGGUGGCGGAGUAAAUGAUUAGAAAAAUAUUAGUACUAUAUUAAAAACUCAUGAGACAUCUAGUGAACAUAUUAAUAACAUGUAUGAUUGGAUGAAUUUAGAAACAAGAUUGCGAAGCAAUAAAACAAUUGAUCAUAGUAUACAAGAAAACAUAAAGAGAGAAAAAGAACAUUGGAAACAAGUAUUGAAAAGAAUUAUUGCGGUUGUGAAAACUUUAGCUAAAAAUAAUUUGGCUUUUCGUGGGACAAAUGAAAAAAAUUAUGACAAUAACAAUGAAAUUUUUUUAGGUCUAAUUGAAAUGAUUGCGGAAUUCGAUCCUAUAAUGCAAGAACACCUUAGGCGCAUUAAAGAUAGGGAUAUUCACUACCUCGGGCAUAAUAUACAAAAUGAAUUGGUGCAUAUUUUAGCUUGUGAAUUAAAAAUAAUAUUAUUAAGAGAAUUAAAAUGGCUAAAUAUUUUUCUAUUAUACUUGAUUGUACUCCGGAUACAAGUCAUCGAGAACAAAUGUCUCUUAUUUAAGAAGUGUGAAUGUAUCUAUGAAUCCAAUUCAAAUAGAAGAAUAUUUUAUAGAUUUUUUAAAAAUAGAUGAUACAACGGGAAAAAAGUAUUUUUGAUGAACUUCUAAAUGUAAUAAAAAAUCUUGAACUUGAUAUUGAUAUUGUGAGAGGUCAAGGAUAUGAUAAUGGUUCAAACAUGAAAGGUAAAGAACAAGGUGGGCAAAAAAAAUGUUAAAUAUAAAUUCUAGAGCAUUUUACACUCCUUGUGGUAGCCAUAGUGUUAAUUUAGUAAUUUGUGACAUGGCCAAUUCUUGUCAUAGAGUUAUAUCUUUCUUUGGAGUCAUACAACGUAUAUAUACAAUAUUUUCUAGUUCCACAAAGAGAUGAAAAAUAUUGACGGAUAAUGUAAAGAAAUUAACAGUUAAACCAUUGUCACAAACACCGUGGGAAAGUCACAUUGAAAGUGUUAGAGCCAUCGAUAGUCAACCUAUCGAAAUAAGAGAUGCUUUGAUUGAACUGGGAGAAACUUCCUUAGAUCCUAAAAUAAAGAGUGAAGCUAAAUGCUUAGCCACUUAUGAGGUUGAAAUUUUUGAAUUUUUACUUAGCAUAAAUAUUUGGUUUGAAUUAUUACAUGCCGUUAAUUGUGUUAGUAAAAAUUUACAAUCUAAAGAUAUGCACAUUGAUUCCGCUAUAGAUCACUUGCAAGGUCUUGUAUCAUUUUUAGAGGAUUUUAGAGACAAUGGGUUUGAAUUAGCUAUUAAUGCUACUAAAGACAUUGCUUUAACGAUGGGAAUUGAACCAAUAUUUCGAGAAAAACGUGUGAUACAUAGAAAACAACAAUUUGAUGAAACUCAAAGUACUGAUACUAUAUUAUCACCCGAAGAAACAUUUAGGAUAGAAGCGAGAUUCGAGCAGUUUAAACAAUAUCAAAAUACAUGGGGGUGUCUAGGGUCCGAGAGGCAUUGUACUUCUCGGACCUAAAUGAUACGCGUAAAACCUACUUAUAAAUAAUCGCAAGUGUACAGUAUCGCGUUUUGUAGAAUAGUGAAUUUCAGAUAUCGAUCCACAGGGAAUUAAGUUCCUAAAUCUACCAAGUACCGUAAUUAUACUAUCCUAAACUUUAUCUAGACGAUCGAAAGGGUGGGGGGUGAAGCUAAAAAUAAAGAAACAAUAAUAAAAGCAACGGUCCGCCAGUAUAAACGAGGAAUUCCGACGUGUGAUGGCUUCUAGGGAAAAUCCACCAGUGUACUAUCGAUAAAGAUCUACAUAUCCGAAUCUAAUGUCAAUUCUAUAUUCGCUAACCCAGACACUAAAAUACUCUAACCCCCGUCUCCAGUGUAGUUAGAGUCUACCCACAGGUCCGACUCUCCGUUGGAUACACGCGCUUUAUACGUUUUAAGUGGCGCGGCCUGCCGUCUCCCCUCUUUUUGGGUUCCCUCUUUUUUNNNNNNNNNNNNNNNNNNNNNNNNNNNNNNNNNNNNNNNNNNNNNNNNNNNNNNNNNNNNNNNNNNNNNNNNNNNNNNNNNNNNNNNNNNNNNNNNNNNNNNNNNNNNNNNNNNNNNNNNNNNNNNNNNNNNNNNNNNNNNNNNNNNNNNNNNNNNNNNNNNNNNNNNNNNNNNNNNNNNNNNNNNNNNNNNNNNNNNNNNNNNNNNNNNNNNNNNNNNNNNNNNNNNNNNNNNNNNNNNNNNNNNNNNNNNNNNNNNNNNNNNNNNNNNNNNNNNNNNNNNNNNNNNNNNNNNNNNNNNNNNNNNNNNNNNNNNNNNNNNNNNNNNNNNNNNNNNNNNNNNNNNNNNNNNNNNNNNNNNNNNNNNNNNNNNNNNNNNNNNNNNNNNNNNNNNNNNNNNNNNNNNNNNNNNNNNNNNNNNNNNNNNNNNNNNNNNNNNNNNNNNNNNNNNNNNNNNNNNNNNNNNNNNNNNNNNNNNNNNNNNNNNNNNNNNNNNNNNNNNNNNNNNNNNNNNNNNNNNNNNNNNNNNNNNNNNNNNNNNNNNNNNNNNNNNNNNNNNNNNNNNNNNNNNNNNNNNNNNNNNNNNNNNNNNNNNNNNNNNNNNNNNNNNNNNNNNNNNNNNNNNNNNNNNNNNNNNNNNNNNNNNNNNNNNNNNNNNNNNNNNNNNNNNNNNNNNNNNNNNNNNNNNNNNNNNNNNNNNNNNNNNNNNNNNNNNNNNNNNNNNNNNNNNNNNNNNNNNNNNNNNNNNNNNNNNNNNNNNNNNNNNNNNNNNNNNNNNNNNNNNNNNNNNNNNNNNNNNNNNNNNNNNNNNNNNNNNNNNNNNNNNNNNNNNNNNNNNNNNNNNNNNNNNNNNNNNNNNNNNNNNNNNNNNNNNNNNNNNNNNNNNNNNNNNNNNNNNNNNNNNNNNNNNNNNNNNNNNNNNNNNNNNNNNNNNNNNNNNNNNNNNNNNNNNNNNNNNNNNNNNNNNNNNNNNNNNNNNNNNNNNNNNNNNNNNNNNNNNNNNNNNNNNNNNNNNNNNNNNNNNNNNNNNNNNNNNNNNNNNNNNNNNNNNNNNNNNNNNNNNNNNNNNNNNNNUGAGGGGCUUGCUUCUAUUUAUAGUAAGGCAAGCUUCUUGAGGAAGUUUUGCCUUUUUAGAUAUUUUUUACACAUCCCGAGGCCCAUAUCGCGAUAUGGGCAUCAGUAUCGGGCGAUAUGGUAAAAUUGCAAGCUCUCUGUUUCGUUUCUCCCCAUAUCGCGAUACAGGAUAGCAUAUCGCGCGAUAUGGCAAAAAUGCAAGCUCUCUGUUUCAUUUCUCCCCAUAUCGCGAUACAGGAUGGCAAUAUCGCGAUAUGGUGAUUGUCUGAACUUGAAACUCCGUGUUGACCCUUUUUCAGGCCGAAUUCGUCAAAAAUGCAUUUCACAAAAGUUGUAGCCCUUGCACUUGGCUUUCUAACUCCACUUUAAUCAGCUCAAUCGGAGGUCAUAUGAGAGAGUUAUGCAUGAAAUACCGAACGCUGCCAUUGUCCGCUAAAAUGCAACUUUGCACUUGUUUGGUUUGAUUCUCGGCUUCGCUUCCAAAAUCGUUUCGAAUCGGCAAAAAUAGCUUCUCUUUACCUAUAAUAGAAAUAAAACAAGAAACGCAAUAAUAUGUACAAAUAACGCCGAAACUCGGACGAACGAAGACCAAAACUCGAAGAUUCGAUAAGUAAAUAUCGUGCAAAAUGAACACUUAUCACUAAACGAUUGAAGAUCAACCAAUAAAAAUAUGACACGUCGGAUAAGUACGAACCUCAUAAGAAAAAGUACGACAUAUGGGUUAUAACUAAAAUUACAUAAAUACCCUUAAAUUUAAAACUUAAUUAAAAACUAAUAAUUAUAAUUAAUAACUAGUAUUAAGAUUUGAUUAGAUAUAUAAAUAAUAAUUAUAAUAAAACUAUAACCUAAUUGUCUAUUAAAUCUUUCUUUAAGAAAUAACAAUUUAUAUUCGUCGUCUUCUUCAUAUUACUGUAAGCCCUAAUCACCCAUCUUUCUUUCUUAUGUUUUUCUCCACCUCUCUCAUUCAUCUUUUUUUUUUUAGCAUUCUAGAAAUAGUAUAAUAUAAAACUAAUAAAAGAAAUAUAUAUCUCAAACAGGAAAAAUUGCAUUCAGUCAUAACAAUCCUUCAAAAUCUCCAAAGAUAAUAAUAAAUUCUGAGGCACAACAAAAUUGAAUUUAAGAAACAGAAGGAAAAAAAAUCAUUAUUCUUCCUUCUUCUUCAUCAUCAGUCAUUACCUCCAAUAAGCUAAGCAACAUCCAUUGUAUCUUUCUUCAUCAUCUUGGCUUCUCCCUCGAGAUCCUCCCCAAAAAAAACGAAAAAAAGAAGAAGAGUAAAUUGGCAAUCUCAUGUCACCUUCAGCAAAUGAAUUAUUGGAAUAUCUGGCAAUGGAGUUGUCGACAAACGUUGUUCGAAGCAAAAUCAAAAUUCAAAUUGGACCUUAUUUCCAUAUUGUUAUAAUUUGUCCAUAUUCAAAAUUAUGAAAGUAAUAUUUAUAAAUAUUACUCUUACUGUGAGAUUGAUUUAGAAAAACUAUUACAACAAGCUAUAAGUUAUAAACAAGCAAUUUCUGCAACAAUAUGAUACGAACCAUCCCCAAAUCUCCUAAGAUUCAAUUUGUCCUGAACCAAAAUCAAAAUUCAAUAAGCUAUCUUCCAUGUAACCCAUCAAAUUUUUAUUCUGCUAAAUUAAUAAAAUAAAAUUUUAAUUAGAAAUCAGAAAAAAAAAAAUAUAGUACUUCAAAAUUUAACCCACGGAACACUAAACCUAAAGUCAAACUCAGCUCCUCUUCCAUCAUCAAUUUUCACUUCCGGCAGAAAACGUUUGAAGCGACAAUUCGACGGGGUAAGAGUGAGGGUGAUGGUGAGGAUGGGCUCUUUCUCGGCCACCAGUGAUUGGACUGAAGAACUGUGGUGUUGUGGAAGAAAAGUGUGUGAUUUGGGAAUAAGGAUGAUAAUUUUGGGGGAAUUAUUUUUUAUUUUGGUCAGAAUUUAAUUAAAGAUUUAAGGGUAAUAAAGUAAUUUAAAUCGAGUACGAAGUGAGUACGAUAUGGGUACGACAUAUUUUUGCUAGGUUUGUACUUUAGUUUAUAGAUUCCUAGGGUCAUACUGUAUCGUACUAGGUCGUACUUAAAAUCAACGAUUAUAAUUAUUUACAUAAUAUUUUUAACGCACCAGAUUUAACCAUUUAGGUCCGAGAAGUACAAUACUUCUCGGACCCUAGACAACCCCAAAAUACAUUUGGAUUUUUAUUGAAUAUAAAAAAAUUAAAGUCUUUAGAUGAUAAUACCUUGAAAGAAAGUUGUAUUAAUCGUGAAAAUUCUUUACAACAUAACUCAUUAUCUGAUAUUGAUGAUUCGGAUUUAUAUUAUAAAUUAAAAGUGUUAAGAAAAGUCAUACCUUCCGAAAUAGAUAAACCAAUUGAUGUACUUCAUCAUAUAAAAGUUAUUGAUUAUUAUCCUAAUACGUGUAUAUGCUAUCAAAUAAUAUUUAAGGGAAAGUACAGUUUGCACCCCUGAACUAUAGGGGUUGUCGCAAACACCUCCCUAAACUAAAAAAUGUAACAAAAUGACCCAUCCGUUUCCAUUCCCCAUGCGAUGUGCUGAUGUGGAAGGUUGAACUUUCUCUAGUUAAAUUGUUUUGACAAUUUUGCCCACUCAGUUUUCUCUAUCUCUCUCUCUCUCUAUAUAUAUAUAUAUAUAUAUACCACCAAAUUUAAUUAACUUAACUGAACCUAAAAUAUUAUUUAUAAGUUAUUCCAUUUUUAAUAGCUAUUUAAUUUCAUUGAAAUAAUAUUAUUUUUUUGUUUUACCUGUUAACGUAGUAACUAGUAACAUAUUUAAUUUUAAUUUUAAUUUAGUUAAGAAAUGGGUCUUAUCAUCGUCUCCUAUCUCAAAACCAAAAAAAAAAAAAAACAAAGAAAAAAAAAUGGCUGAUUAUCGUCUCCAACACCUCGCGUGAAACUCCCUCAGUCCCUCCCCUGCCCAUCGACAAUUAAAUAUCUACGAUUUCUCUAAAGUUUUAAAAACCCACUGCUCCAUCUAGACCCAAGAGGAAGAUUAGAGUCGAGAAUGGAGGCGGAUAAAACUCCGGCGAGCAGUGACAAGACGCGAAGGGGCAGCAAACACAUGCAACAGAGAUUGUCGGGGAUGACGAAGCAACAUAGGUUCAGAAUUCUAUUUGAGAUUAAAAUAUUCUGUUUUUGAUGAAGAAAAAUAUUCAAUUAUAUUAAAAUUCUAAAAUACCAAUUUGGUUUUUGUAUUGAAAAUCUUAUUUUGGCGUGUAGGUAUUCGAUGGGUUGAAUUAGACGAUGACGGAUAGCAAUAAUUACAUAAGAAUUGAAUCUUUUAACAUCUCUAAUUAUUAGCCACUCGCUCGAAAAAAGAAUACGCAAAAUGAAAUAUUGGAUGAAGAAGAAAGAACAAGAGAGAGAGUGCGUGGUGAUUUGGCUGAUCUUUAGGGGUAAAUUAGUACAUGCACAUGAAAGUUGAUGGUGUCACUUUUCUUAACGUUGACCAUAAAUGACAGGGGUCAUUUUGGCACGUUUUGUAGUUUAGGGGGUGUUUGCGAUAACCCCUAUAGUUCAGGGGUGCAAACUGUACUUUCCCCUAAUAUUUACAAUACAUGUAACCGUUGCUUCGGCCGAAAGGAGUUUUUCAAAGUUAAAAUUAAUAAAAACAUAUUUACGUUCAACUGUCACAAGAACGAUUAAGUGAAUUGGCUAUUUUAUCUAUAGAAAAAGAUUUAUUAGAAGAACUAGAAUAUAAAGAUCUAAUUAAUACAUUUGCAUCUAUAAAAGCAAGAAAAAUAAAUUUUACAUAAGAUAAAAAAAAAAAAAAAAAAAAAAAAACAAAAUCAGGGCCUCAUUUUUGGGUUUCGCCUAGGGCCCCCAAUAUCCUAGGGCCAGCCCUGCCGGUUUAUAUCAUUUUUAUAUAAUUGUUUUGUAUUGCGAUAUUGACUACAACACUCAAAACACAAGUUUCCUAUCAAUCAUAAUGGGAUAAGUUCAAAAACCAAUAAAAAAUAUCAAACUUGUAUGUUAAAACAACAUAGCCCAAUACAUCGUCAAAAUCAUAUAAAUUUUUCAGUAAAGAAUAAAACAUAUAUUGAACUCCCCUUUUCAGAGAUCGUGAUGUUUUAGCCCACGAGCAUUGAAUGAAGUCUACACACAGGCCCGUUCCUGAGAAUUCGGGGGCCCUAGGCGAGGUUUAAAGAACAACUGAAAAUAGGGGCCCCUAUUUGAUAAUUUUUUUUAUUAAUGGGUGUUCGAAAUUGAAUGUAUUAACAAAAUAUAAAUAACAUUUUCUAAAACUGAUGAAAUAAAGAUGAUGGGGGUUCGGGGGCGGUGCCCCCGAAAUAUUUUUUGAAAUAUAUGAAUAUAAAGUAGCUAAAAAUGUGGAAAAACAUUCAAAAUUAACAAUAUGAUUUGCUAGUUCACUUUCUCCCGUGACGUAUAAUUUUUAUAGCAAAUAGACUUCAUAAAUAUUUAUAAACUUGAAUACACUAAUGAAUAUUGAUUCUGAUGGUAGAAUAAAAUAAGUAAUUAAGACAUUAUAAAGUUAGUAUUUAGGGGCCCCAAAGUUUGGAAAAUUGCAAAAAUAUCUAUUGAUCAUUUAGCUUAAAUUUAUUUUAGAACCCAUGUUCCAAAAUAUUAUAUAUAAUAAAUUUUUAAAAAUAAGUACUAAUAUAUAAAGUGUAAAUAAAAUAAUUUGGGGGCCCCAAAUUUUCGUAAAAAGUUGGGGGCCCUAGGCGACCGCCUACUUCGCCUCCCCUCAGAACCGGCCCUGUCUACACAACAAGAAAAACAUUAUAAUUAGUAAGGAUGUAAUCCACUUUGCACUCUUCAAAAUUGAAAUGUAGAAUUUGGGCACUUUGCAUCCUCAAAAAUAAUUAAUAGCACCAUCUUGAAUUGAAUUUUUAAAACUUAAUGACGACAACUUUAUUUUUUUAUUGGUGUAAUUUUUUCAGAGUGCAAAGUAAGUAAAUAAAUUAUUUAUUAAUAAUUGGUUCAUAUUUUUUAAGUAAUUAAUAAUAAUUGGUUACUGAUAUAUAUAUAUAUAUAUAUAUAUAUAUAUAUAUAUAUAUAUAUAAACACAAUUCAUGUCACAAUAUUGCGACACGUGACACUUUUUAGGGUUUCAAAACCCUAAGGGAAUUUUUUUUAAUUAUUUGAUAACCUUAAGACUAUUUUUAGGUUAAAAAUAACCAACUCACACAACGUUUUCAUUCUGCACGUUCGUAUAAAUGCUCUUGGCGUCUUCUCGUCUCAACUUCGUCCACGGUUAUUCAACUUCGUCUUCCACUAAUAUAAUUUCUUCUCUCCUUUGUCUUCGGUUCUUCUGUUACUAAUUCCUAAUCGUGUUCUUCAUGUAAAUCUCUAUAAUUUUUCUACUGUAAUUUUACAUCUUCAUUUGUGUUUUAUAUAUUCCUAAACGUGGGGCCUUUUAUUUUUCUACAACAUGUGGGCCCAUUUUUUUCAAAAUUAGAACACAUUUCCAAGUUAUUUCAGUUUUACAAUAACGCGUCAUUUAUAAUGACGCCUUUUAGAAAACUGCCACGUGUCAUGAUUAGUUGUGGGCAGAUUUAGAUUUUUAUAUUAAUUUUCUUCUUAUUAUUAUUUCUUAUUAUUAUUAUUAUUAUUAUUAUUAUUAUUAUUAUUAUUAUUAUUAUUAUUAUUAUUAUUAUUAUUAUUAUUAUUAUUAUUAUUAUUAUUAUUAAUAAUAAUAAUAAUAAUAAUAAUACCGCCGCUGCACGGUUUCUCGGGUACUCGGAACCGGACCUUCAUAGAUGGGCCUUGAAAGUGCGANNNNNNNNNNNNNNNNNNNNNNNNNNNNNNNNNNNNNNNNNNNNNNNNNNNNNNNNNNNNNNNNNNNNNNNNNNNNNNNNNNNNNNNNNNNNNNNNNNNNNNNNNNNNNNNNNNNNNNNNNNNNNNNNNNNNNNNNNNNNNNNNNNNNNNNNNNNNNNNNNNNNNNNNNNNNNNNNNNNNNNNNNNNNNNNNNNNNNNNNNNNNNNNNNNNNNNNNNNNNNNNNNNNNNNNNNNNNNNNNNNNNNNNNNNNNNNNNNNNNNNNNNNNNNNNNNNNNNNNNNNNNNNNNNNNNNNNNNNNNNNNNNNNNNNNNNNNNNNNNNNNNNNNNNNNNNNNNNNNNNNNNNNNNNNNNNNNNNNNNNNNNNNNNNNNNNNNNNNNNNNNNNNNNNNNNNNNNNNNNNNNNNNNNNNNNNNNNNNNNNNNNNNNNNNNNNNNNNNNNNNNNNNNNNNNNNNNNNNNNNNNNNNNNNNNNNNNNNNNNNNNNNNNNNNNNNNNNNNNNNNNNNNNNNNNNNNNNNNNNNNNNNNNNNNNNNNNNNNNNNNNNNNNNNNNNNNNNNNNNNNNNNNNNNNNNNNNNNNNNNNNNNNNNNNNNNNNNNNNNNNNNNNNNNNNNNNNNNNNNNNNNNNNNNNNNNNNNNNNNNNNNNNNNNNNNNNNNNNNNNNNNNNNNNNNNNNNNNNNNNNNNNNNNNNNNNNNNNNNNNNNNNNNNNNNNNNNNNNNNNNNNNNNNNNNNNNNNNNNNNNNNNNNNNNNNNNNNNNNNNNNNNNNNNNNNNNNNNNNNNNNNNNNNNNNNNNNNNNNNNNNNNNNNNNNNNNNNNNNNNNNNNNNNNNNNNNNNNNNNNNNNNNNNNNNNNNNNNNNNNNNNNNNNNNNNNNNNNNNNNNNNNNNNNNNNNNNNNNNNNNNNNNNNNNNNNNNNNNNNNNNNNNNNNNNNNNNNNNNNNNNNNNNNNNNNNNNNNNNNNNNNNNNNNNNNNNNNNNNNNNNNNNNNNNNNNNNNNNNNNNNNNNNNNNNNNNNNNNNNNNNNNNNNNNNNNNNNNNNNNNNNNNNNNNNNNNNNNNNNNNNNNNNNNNNNNNNNNNNNNNNNNNNNNNNNNNNNNNNNNNNNNNNNNNNNNNNNNNNNNNNNNNNNNNNNNNNNNNNNNNNNNNNNNNNNNNNNNNNNNNNNNNNNNNNNNNNNNNNNNNNNNNNNNNNNNNNNNNNNNNNNNNNNNNNNNNNNNNNNNNNNNNNNNNNNNNNNNNNNNNNNNNNNNNNNNNNNNNNNNNNNNNNNNNNNNNNNNNNNNNNNNNNNNNNNNNNNNNNNNNNNNNNNNNNNNNNNNNNNNNNNNNNNNNNNNNNNNNNNNNNNNNNNNNNNNNNNNNNNNNNNNNNNNNNNNNNNNNNNNNNNNNNNNNNNNNNNNNNNNNNNNNNNNNNNNNNNNNNNNNNNNNNNNNNNNNNNNNNNNNNNNNNNNNNNNNNNNNNNNNNNNNNNNNNNNNNNNNNNNNNNNNNNNNNNNNNNNNNNNNNNNNNNNNNNNNNNNNNNNNNNNNNNNNNNNNNNNNNNNNNNNNNNNNNNNNNNNNNNNNNNNNNNNNNNNNNNNNNNNNNNNNNNNNNNNNNNNNNNNNNNNNNNNNNNNNNNNNNNNNNNNNNNNNNNNNNNNNNNNNNNNNNNNNNNNNNNNNNNNNNNNNNNNNNNNNNNNNNNNNNNNNNNNNNNNNNNNNNNNNNNNNNNNNNNNNNNNNNNNNNNNNNNNNNNNNNNNNNNNNNNNNNNNNNNNNNNNNNNNNNNNNNNNNNNNNNNNNNNNNNNNNNNNNNNNNNNNNNNNNNNNNNNNNNNNNNNNNNNNNNNNNNNNNNNNNNNNNNNNNNNNNNNNNNNNNNNNNNNNNNNNNNNNNNNNNNNNNNNNNNNNNNNNNNNNNNNNNNNNNNNNNNNNNNNNNNNNNNNNNNNNNNNNNNNNNNNNNNNNNNNNNNNNNNNNNNNNNNNNNNNNNNNNNNNNNNNNNNNNNNNNNNNNNNNNNNNNNNNNNNNNNNNNNNNNNNNNNNNNNNNNNNNNNNNNNNNNNNNNNNNNNNNNNNNNNNNNNNNNNNNNNNNNNNNNNNNNNNNNNNNNNNNNNNNNNNNNNNNNNNNNNNNNNNNNNNNNNNNNNNNNNNNNNNNNNNNNNNNNNNNNNNNNNNNNNNNNNNNNNNNNNNNNNNNNNNNNNNNNNNNNNNNNNNNNNNNNNNNNNNNNNNNNNNNNNNNNNNNNNNNNNNNNNNNNNNNNNNNNNNNNNNNNNNNNNNNNNNNNNNNNNNNNNNNNNNNNNNNNNNNNNNNACCCCAACACCAUGCGAAGUGUUUUAACCCGCGGGCCCCCUCAGUUUUAAAAUUUUUUACUUUAAUUUUUUAAAUGAAAAAUACAAUCUGCCCACAACUAAUCAUGACACGUGGCAGUUUUUUAAAAGGCGUCAUUUUUAAUGACGCGUUAUUGUAAAACUGAAAUAACUUGGAAAUGUGUUCUAAUUUUGAAAAAAAUGGGCCCACAUAUUGUAGAAAAAUGAAAGGCCCCCUAAACGUGUUCAGCCCUAGGUAAUGGUGUUAAUAUUUGUUUUGUCAGACUCGGCCCUAGGUAAUGGCAUUUAUAUUUGUUUUAUUUGUAAUAAAUAUUACACUGAUUUUCGUUUUCCAGACUUCAUGUGUAAAUUUCCAGGAGUAACAAGUCUCAUUCAUAUAUCGCCGUAGCGACUAAACUGGAAAUUGGUAGUUCGAGUCAUGCGUCAUUGGAGAGUUCAUAGCAAAAUCAAUACUGGACAUCGCUCUUCCAGACUUAAGGUAUGUAUUUUCAGAUUAUAUAUGUACACUAAUUUCAAUUUUUAUACUUAAUGGUUUCAUAAUUGUGAAGCAGCAAGGUAAUAUGCGUGUGUAUUAGUUUGUAGCAGCAAUGUGCUGCUAUGCGUGUUAGUGUGAUUUGUUUUGUGUGUAGGCCGUGGGGUUAGUUGUUUGAUGUGUAUAUAUUAUUAUAAUAUUUAAUAAAUGCAAAAUAGUUGUUCUUAGAUGAUUUAAGUAUUAACUUCAAUUUACUGUAUACAAUAGUUAACACAGGUUCAAUGAUGGGUACUUAGAAUCUAUGAUCAAAGUUUAGGGGAUAUGAUCGUUUAUUGUGGUAAUUGUUUUGUCAUAUCGUAACACAUAAUCGAAUAUAGUCAUGGCAUAAUAUGUUGACACGUGGCGCUUUAGGGUUUCAAAACCCCGGGGCAAGUUUUAUAAUUUUUUGAUAGUCGUAGGACUGUUUUGCAAAAAAUAAAAAAAAUUUGUAUAACUCCGUCCUAACUGCAUCUGUAAUCUCUCACAAUUUCUUUUCACGUUACUUCUUUUUAUCAGUUUCUCUAAACUUCUUCUUAUAACUUCUCAAUUCAAAUUGCAUAUCACAUCUGUAUACCAACCCGAAUUAUAAUUUAUUAUUUCGUUCGCUUGAUAGAAUCGCACCCAUAAAUCUUUAAAAAAUUAUUGAUUCGCUGAAAAUUGAAGCGCCACCCAUAAAUCUUUUAACUAUUGAAUUCGUCUGGGCGCAUGAAUGUUUGAAACUGUAGUUUUGAGAAAACAGAGUUCCAUGUUUCUACAUCUUUUGCAACAUACAUGUGUUCCAUUAUUUUCAAAUGCCCAACGGAUUUUGCAAAAACAAAAGUUCUUUAUUUUAUGCAAAGGUAUUAUAUAAUCUUCACCUUUUUCCUCUUUUUUUUUUCAAUCAUUCCAUUUUAUGUUUAGAUUUAGUUUUUUGAUUUCAUGCAAUUUUACAUGUUAAAUAUUUUUGUCUUUGUAUACUAUGAGCGAAUUUAUAUGGAGUAAUAGAAUUAUUUUUGUUGAACCUAUAUUAAUUGUGUAAUGGUUCAAGGAGUACUGAAUUUUGACCAAAUGUUUGUUUUUGAUUGAAAAAAUGACCAUUUGUGUUUUAGUCUGUCGCAAAUAUAUGUGUGCAGUUUGUGAAAAUGUUCUAAUUAUGUCUAGUUUUCUUUUUUCUACAAAAGUUGUAAUCUGUUGUUUUUUUUUUUCCUUACGAGUGAUAACAGUGUUGUGACAGAUAUCUGAGAUGAUCUCCGAUAUGCAUAUGAGGCUGAUAUGAAGCUUGCACAAGCAAUUAUGGAUUGUGUUGUGGUUAUUGUUCAAAAUUCCGACUUAACGCUAUGAUGAGAGAGGUUUGUACUUUAUACUAAAAUUUGCUUAUUAAAACAAUGUGGUUCAAAGACAUCUAAUAUAAUUACAAGUCCGUUGUAGGAAAAAAAGUUAGUCUUUUGUAUCAAUGUUCAGUGUAUUUCUUUCUUGCAGGGGCAAUAUAUGAGCCAGUCUAAUUAUUAUUGUUUCAAAUUCAGACUGCACAUAUUAAGCUCUACCAUGAGGCUCAACCACCUUCUCUAUCAUGAGGCUCAGCCACAUUCUCCAUAUUAUAUUACAUAUAUUUGGUGUUUACAUAUAUUUAUUUAUUUGUCGAUAAGUUAUGUAUUGAAUUUUAUUCUAUAUACAUGCAUAAAGAAAUAUAGCGAUGCACAUUAAUGAGAAUGCAAAUAUUACAACAGUUGUGUUCAAAUAUAAUUUAUUUCAUUAGGGAAAUGAUAAUCUUGCAGGUUCUUUAAAUCUCUAUUGCUUGACUUCUCUAUUAUUGCGCCAUUGUUAUAAGUCUGUUACUUUGGAUAAGUUCAUAUGGUAUAUAUUGCAUUAUAUGAAAUAGUUGAACAAUCUAUUUUAAAUGAUAUCAUAUUGAUUCAUACCGUGGUUUACCCGUAAAGAUAAAGUUUAUAUUUUUUAUUUUUUUUCGUUCCUAUUAACUCUCCGUGGAUGCACAUGUGAAAUACUAGUUAUUUAUUAAUUGUUUAUUGAUUAAUAAAAUUUGUUGCAGUAGUAGUAGAUUGUUUAGUAAUUUAUGAGAAAUUAAUAAUUAAAUUGGUUACUAAUUAUUAAUUAUUUUUUUAGUGAUUAAUAAAAGUAAAUAGGACCGUUGAAUUUUUUGAAGUUUACUUUCACACAACAGGAGUUUAUGUUGUUGAACUUACAUAAUAUUCAGUCGGACCGUUGAUUCAAGCAAAAUGAUUAAAUUUAGCUCAAUAUCACUUUCAUAUAUGUGAAAAGGUUGUGCAAAACAUGCGCAAUCUAAAUUAAAUUUCUAUGCACAAUACAAUUGAAGUAAAAAACUUGGUUUAUUUCUUUCUAUUUGUUGUGAGGGCUUGAUUAAAGGAAAAAUAAAUUUACAACUUUAUAUAUUAAAAUAAAAACUUAUAUUAUACGAAAUUAUGGGUUGGAUAUUCAUACUCACAACCAUUGUAAUUAUAUAGCCUCUCACCCUUUGCGAUAUCACGAUUCACAACUAGAAGCACCACGCAUUCUUUAUCUAUGUUGUACCUCACGCAUUUAAUAUUUUGUUUUUUUCUCCCUUCCCAGUAAAAGAUCAAAUGAUGUCUUUAACAAGACAAUAUCAAACAUUGUAUUAAUUUUCUUAUAAUAAUUAAAAAAAAGCAACCAUUUAACAAAAAAACAAAAUCAAGAACAUACAUCAAAUUUAAGUAUCGUACACCUAAUUGGUAUACAUAACUAAAAAUUGAAUAAGUGAAGAGUGUAUCUAGCUAGUGUACGGUUUACGUGCAUAACUAGAACAAAUCUAUUCUUGAAAUGUUGACGAUGAAAUUUUGAAACAUGGUAUGUACUCUGGUCAUUUGCUUUUCGAUGAUGCAAAUUGUUCUUAGGGUAAAAUUCAUUUUGCACCUUUGUACAAUGUGAAAUGUAUCAUUUACCCUGAUGUAUAGAAACUUUUGGGAGUAUUUUCGUCAAAAAAAGCCAACACUUAUUUGCAAUAGUUGGUCAAAGGAUUUGACUAAUGGAGUUAGGAAAAAAACUAGGGUCCAUUCGAUAUAACCCCCUUAGUCUUACAAAUAAUAGGGGUAGAUCCAAACUCAAAUUUGUCAUUUAGAUAAAAACUCAUAUUUUUCUAAAUUCCAUCAAUAACCUCAAUCAAAAUCCCACAAAUCCCGUUACGUUACCUUUUGAAAUGAUAUCAAAUCCCUCCCUAUUUCCCCGUUAAAACCACUAUCCCCACUCAACCCACUACCACAUUCUGCAAAAAUUCCAAAAAACUAGAAAAAAGAAUACGAUUCACUGGAAAAAAUCACCAAAGCAAACCAAUGGAAUACGAUUCACUAGAAUAUCGUCGUUCACUUUCUAACACAAAAACAGAAAGCAUCAAUGAAAGUCACUGCAAGUAGAUACAACAUUGACAUCGAUUUCGAUUUUGAUAUUGAAGUCGUUAAGGAUUGCCCACAACAAACCAAUGGCCACGACUGUGGUGUCCAUGUUCUGUACUGCAUAAAGCAGAUUUUUCGUCAACGACCAAUCGACGCGAGCAGCGCAAAUGAUGAUUUGAUUAAUAUGCGCAAAGAGAUUGUAGAGACUUUCUUGGAAUGGGGUAACAAAGAGUGUGCUGCAUAGGCCACUCCACCUUGUGAUAAUGUGGUAUCAACCAGUUUUCUGUAUGAUACGUUUCAGUGCAGUUCUACAUCUACAAAACUUAUUUUGAAUAUUAUGUGAAAUAUAAUGUUUUCAGUAUUAACUUAUUGACAAUAAUUUAGGAACUAAAUACAAUAUCUGUGUUUCCUAGGUACAUCUAUGCAAAUGGGAGCACAUAGUAUAUUACAUAAAUGCCAAUAGUAUAUUAUUAUGAUAAUAAUAGUAUAUUAAUAUGGUACUAAAAUAUAUAGUAUUGAAUUGUACAUCCUAUAGCACUGAAUUGUCUGCAACACUUUCGACACACCAAAAAACAAACAUGUGAUGAAUAGCAUAUUACUGCAAUUGAUGAGAUAAUCUCAUCACAAUUAUUAUUUUACAUUAGUAUACAUAAAAAUUUCAUAUAAAUGACAACUGUAUUUUUCAACCACAUAGUAUAUUAAUGAUUUCAAUAUAGUACAUUAAUCUGCUAUGAUAGUAUAUUACGGUUAUAGUAGUAGUAUGAAAUUGUGUUACAAACAAUAUACCACUGAAAAUGACAAGAACAUUGAUAAUAAAACCAACGUAAAGUAAUUCCAACAUAACUAAUAAAAUACUUAAAACACAUCAUAACACAAUUAAACCAAUAUGUCGAGUUAAAAAACUCUAGUACAUUAAUAAUCUCAUGAUAGUAUAAUAAAAUUAUAAUGGUAGUAUCAUACGGUAUUCAUAAUAGUAUACUAAUGUAUUACAACGGUUUAACACUUAACUGAAGUUACCGAGCCAUUACAUCGUAAACACGACAUUAAUUAAACAUAUCAAAUCUUAGGGGGGUUUGGAAAAUAACAACCAUCGGAAUCAAUUGAAUUCAUUGAGUUAACAUCAAUACGAUCCAACAAAAGCUCUGACGACAUUUCAAACAUCGACAUCAUGUCCUCGUUGUCAGCCAAAAUACAUUCACCAAUGUCAUCCAGCCUAUAUGUCAUGCUUAUAUCCCAUCCAUCAAGUUGUGGCCACUUUGAAAUAGCAAAUGCAACCAAUGAACCGCGAGAAAACCCAUUCGAACACCUCUUUAUAGCAACCAAACCACCAAACCUCAACAAAAUCCGUACGAAAUUAGCCAUCUAAAAAAAACUAAAAUCAUCAAAUGAACUUAAAAAUGCAGAAUACGAAAAAUUGAUUAAAUAGACUACCAAAUACAUUUCAAUGACAAAAAACUAAAUCAUCAAAUGAACUUAAAAAAUGCAGAAUACAAAUAAUUGAUUAAAUAGACUACCAAAUACAUAUCAAUGUACUACCGAAUACAUUAAAAUCGACUGCUGUAAACAAAAAAAACAACUAUCAAUCAGUUUCAACUUCAUCAACUCGACCACACCAAAAAUUUAUUUCGAUUACUGCGUAAACCAACUACGACACUCAUAUAAAACAACUCUGGUCAGUCUACGUGAACCCUCCUCUUGCGACUACGUGAAUCCUCCUCCAAGACAAACAUCAUCAGUCAAUAACGAUGUAUAUAUCACGACGUAAUUUUUUUUUAAAAACGAUCGACAUUAAUACCAAUUGAAUCAACACAUCAAGACAAACCUUAUAAUGGCUGACCACCAUAACACAACAACACUUACACAUGACAGAUAAAAAAUAAACGAAAAAAAACUGUACAUACUAACCAGAUAAAACGCUCCGAUCCGAGAAUACUACCACGGCGGUGAAAAAUUCUUCCUAUCCCGAUUGUAUACGCUUUGAUAAUGAUGAAAACGAUGAAACCACCAAUAUACUCACGUAAGUUUAAUCCGUGAUUAUAGGCAACGUAUCAGCAAUCCCAUAUCACGUCGAUAAGGAAAAAACCGACGUCCAAAAAUAAAAUAGGGGUAUUAUAGGGAAAUUAAAUAAUAUAUUGUGCCAAGUUGGCAUGAUUGGGUGUAUCUCAAAAAGGGAAAAAUCAAAUGGAUCAACCUCAUUACAAAAUCUCAACAAGGGGGUUAGCCCUAAUAAAUCCAAAAAAAUAACAGCAGAGGGGGUGUUUGAUGUUUUCUAUACUUCAGGCGGAUAAAUGAUACAUUUCGCAUAGUACAGGAGUGCAAAAUGAAUUUUGCCCUGUUAUUAUUUUGUUAUUUCCUUUUAAUUUUUUGUUUAAAAUUACUCGCAUCAUAUUUGAUAAGAACUUUGAUAUUUUGAGUCGCAGUGUCGCAAAUAAAAUUGAUGAAAACAAGUAUUAAUUAACUUUUUUUUUUAAUUUAGAUUUAUAAAUUACUUUUAAUUUUUAUAAAUUGUUGAAGUGUUGGAAUAUAUAAUUAUUAUUUUUUUACUUCAAAAGUGAUAAAAAAAAUGACAUGACAUCUUAAUAACUAUUAGAAUUAUUUUUUCUUGACAUUUUUUCUUUAAAUUUUCUUAUAAAUAUCAAAAAAAUACUUUGGCUUCAAAAAAAUAUUAUCGAUUCCCUUUUUUUAUUUAAUCCUGAUGUUAGAUUUGAUUAUUUUACAAACAAAAUUAAUUGACAUUAUAGAUGAAUUCUAACCUCGAGACCAAUGGACUCAGUUCUCCCAUACGUAAUUAGUUCUUUCGUAAAAAAAAUUAUUUGUUUCGGGAGUGAAAACUAGUUCCAAUACCGUUCCGAAGAAAAUCGGAAAGAACUGGCAAUGGAAUUUCGGAAAUUGAAAUGAAAAAACUUGUUCCAUAAUAGAAAAAUUUCGGAUCGGAAAUCAGCAGAAUAUAGAAAAUUUUAAUUUUUAGUCACCUAAAAUAUAAAGUACACAAUAAUAUUCGUAUUUUAAGUGUAAUAUUAGAAAAAAUAAAUACAUCGGAAUUUGCGGAUUAUUUUCGGAACAUAAAAUUAGACUGAAAAUCGGUAUCUCAUAUAUAUUCCAACUCCAACUAAUUCAAAUAAUUUCGGAAAAAACGAAACUCGGAAUUUCGGAAUUCGAAUUGAAAAAUGUUGUUCGAGAAUCUGAAAAUUUCGGAUCAGAAUCGGCAUAAAUUAAAAAUUUCUUUCCAAUUUCCAUCCCUAAUAUAAUCAAAACCACAAGUACAUAAGUCGACAAAAUUAACUUAAAUUCAAGAAAGAAUAAUACAAAUAUUAUUCAUUUACUGAGCAGUCCUUCACACAAUUUGAGCAUGUUUUAGGCCACAAGCAUUGCACAAAUUCUACACAACAAACAAAACAUUAUAAUUAUGGUUAAAUACAAAAACAACCAUGUACUAAGGACUUUGUAUUAUAUACUCCCUGUAUUACACAUAAUUACAGGAACUCUCCUACUUUUACAUUUUUUUUGUAAAAUCUGACGAAAAUACCCUUGCUAAGCCUAUAAAUAUAAGGGUGUCGGCCUGGAGAUAUUUUUCCAAGAUUUUCUGAGAUGGUUUUGGCGGGGACUGGAGAUGGUCAAUGCCGGAAAACGACGGCGGAAGGAAUAAAAAAAAAAUCAAGUUGGAAACCGGCGGAGACGGACGAAAUUGUCCAUAAAAUUGUAUUUUGGGUCAAAAUUGAAUAAUUUGUGAAAAUGGGGUGAAAUUGAGGUUAGAUUGAAUUAAAUGAUAAAAUUGGAGCAUAUUGAAAUGUGAGGGGCUAUUUUAGCCUUUUACAAACUUCUGGAUCAUGUGUGGACUUUUUUAUAAAAGAGUUUUUUUAUCUAGACCCAUGAAUAAGGUGGUGUUUGCAAAUGCUUUUUGAAAGUGAUUAUGCGGAUUUUUUUGCUCAUAAUCUAUUUUAAGGUGUUUGCAAAAUCAACUUUUGCUUUUGCUUCUCUUAAAAUAAUCUGCUUUAAGCUAUUUUUUUUAAAAGCACCCGUAACACUGCUUUUUCAAUUUUAGUUCAUUUUUCGAAAUAUUUGCAAACACCCCCAAUUUUAGUUCACAAUCACUAACUUCUGCUUUUAAAUAAUCAUUUGCAAACACCACCUAAGUACUCAGUGAUGGGCUUAUUUGUAGAGUCAUAUAUAUAUAUAUAUAUAUAUAUAUAUAUAUAUAUAUAUAUAUAUAUAUAUAUAUAUAUAUAUAUAUAUAUAUGCAUAAACAUAUUUGUUUGAAUGGAGGCAGCAGGUCGGGCCAGGUACCGAAUGAGCAUUAUCCCGUAAUGGUUUUUGAAGUAAAAUAUAAAAGUGCAAGACUAGUCAACGACACCAUAUAAACUCGUCACGCCACGUUACGUUGUUUGGGUUGACAAUAUAUUAAAGGGACUAUAUGCCAAACACCAUUCGUUGGGAUUUUAAUUCUUGAUAAAUCAUUUAUUUAUAUAUGAUAUUUGAGAUAAAUCCAAUGGGCCUGAAAAAUUAUAUAUGCCCCCACUAAUUAUUAAUUAGUAUAAUUAUUUAAUUUAAAAAAAAAAUUAUACCCAUAAUCUACACCCAAAUCUUCUCCAAAAAUUAUUCCCCUCAUCACGUCAAUUCAGUUUUUUUUUUCCUUUUCUUUUUUAUUUUGUUUAAUGCUUUUCUUUAUUUCGAUUUAAAAGAAAAUUUUGUAAUUAUUUUGUUUUUGAAAUUUUUUUUUCUUAUUUAUAUUUAUCAUGUUUUUUUAUUUUAAUUUGAAAAAAUGGUUUUAUUUUUAUUUUCGUUUUUUCAUGAUUUUUCUUUUUCUUAAUUUUUCAUUGUUUUGAAAAUGGUUUUUUUUUUUCCAGUUUUUUGAAUUAAAAACCACUGUAUAUAAACAUGAAAACCACUCUGUAUAAAAAUCUAUAUAAACAUGAAAAUCACUAUAUAUAAAAAUUAUAUAACAUGAAAACCACUCUGUAUAACAACUAUGUCAACAUAAAAACCACUCUGUAUAUACAGUUAUGUAAAAAUCUAUACAAAAAUUAUUGAAACCACUAUAUUUUUGUACAGAUUUUUAUAGUGGUUUACGUAAAAAUAUUGAAACCACUAUAAAAUCUGUACAUAAUUAUUGAAACCACUAUAAAAAANNNNNNNNNNNNNNNNNNNNNNNNNNNNNNNNNNNNNNNNNNNNNNNNNNNNNNNNNNNNNNNNNNNNNNNNNNNNNNNNNNNNNNNNNNNNNNNNNNNNUUUUUUUUCAAUUUUGCCCCCACCCGCCACAUCAUCAUUGCAUCACGCACUGGUCAUCUGCGGAUUUUUUUUUCUCUAUCAGUUUUAUUAAUCGACUAUGAAGCAUAGUCGAUUAAGGUAAAUCGAAUAUGAAACAUAGUCGAUUAAGGAAAUUCGUUAAUUUUUUUAUUUUAAUUUAUUUUUCUAUAUCAGGUUAUUAAUCGACUAUGAUGAACCAUAGUCGAUUAAGAAUUUGCUAUUAAAAAUAACAAUUCACAACCGCAAAAAAAUGCAAAAUCAACUAUAUUUUACAAAAAAAAAAUAUACAAACAUUAUAAUUGAUUUAAACAAUUGGAAUCAAUAUACAAAAACUCCAAAAUAAAAAUAAAAAAUUGGAGUCGAUCAACCUUAAUCGACUACCAGAGCAUAGUUGAUUAAUUUAAUCGACUAUUGAACAUGUACAUAGUCAAUUAAGGUUCCAGCUUGCGCAAAUUUCUCUACCCACGCCGUCCUCUGCCCGAUCCACAAAAAACACUAGAUUUUCCUCCACAUCGUCACCACACCACCGCCACACCACACUAUUCAAACGAUCCCUAACAAGACUAACAUAAAUAAAAUAAAUCAUUCAUAUAAAAAAACACAAAUUGGCAUUUCAAUGUCCCAAAAAAAAUAUACAGGAACAAUUCAAAGUAUUUUUCAACCAUUACUGGCCAAUUCAUAAACAAUUUCUGAACACAUGACAAAACCAACACUAAAAAACUAAAAAAUAAAAACAAAUACAUUCAUCAACAAUUUCCAUUGAUUCUCCUCCGACGACGAGUGCUUCAUCUUCUUUCUCAACAGCUUGUUCCUCUUCUUCUUCCUCCACAUGCCGACGGGGUGGAACGAGCUAUUGAGAAAUAAGAGUGCUUCUCCUCUACACGCCGAUGACGAGUGCUUCCUCUUCUUUCUUUCUCCAACUUCCGGUGGCGGCGGGGAGAAGAUAAUAGGAGAAAACAGAGAAAAAAAAAAGAAAAAACACUCGAGCAAAAACAGAGAAACGAGAAAGCGGAAGUGGUUUUGAAUAAUCUCUUCUAAAAAUGCUGAGUUUGGGGGGUUCAAACCCGGGAGGCCCAAGUGGUUUUGAAGAGUACUAGACACUCGGGCAAACUUACUUAUUAUAAUAUUAAUCCUAACUCUGUAUAUAUAAAUAUAAAUAACACUGUAAAAUAAUUAUAAUAAUUGUUGAACUAAUGUUUAAUAAAUUAUUAAUUGACAUGUUCACUGUUAUUAAUAUUAAAAAUCUCCACUUAAAACAAAUGGAUAUAUAUUUAAUUUUGAAAAAUAUAAAAAAUUACGAUAUAAUUUAAAAGAAAGAUUGAAUUUUGAUUUUUUUUUUAAUUUUGAAAUUUUGAAAAAAUUCUAAAUUAUUAUUUGCACUUAUAAAUACCCCUAAUCCAAUCUUCACAACUUUCAUUUUAUUUAGUUUAUGUCUCAAGGUCUUCAUCGUUUCAUUUUUUUUCUAAAAUUGUUUAGUGUUUAAAUUAAAUUUUUAUUUUGUAAUUUUGAAUUUGAAGUUAAUCUCAAGUUUUUUUCAAGUUUCAGUUUACGUUUUUUUUUCUUUCUUGUAAUUAUUUAGAAAAUAAAAAAAAAAAUUGUUAAUUAGUUAAUAGUAAAUAUUGGCGAAUCCAAAAUCUUAGUCAAACAUAUUCAAAGUUUAGUGGUAGAUCAACAGUUGCAACUGAACCUGAAAUGAUAAUAUGAUGGGCUCAAAGACAACGGGGUUCAGGGAGAGCGCCCUCUCUUAAAAUUAAUACAAAUGAUCUCCAACUACUCAAAAUUCACUUCAUAACCUCCAUCGCUCUUGCGCAAGUAUUAAUUUUCUCUAUUGUUAAAACUUAAAAUGUGUUUGUCAUGUAUUCAUUUUUAUUACCAGAUUUGAAUCGUGAAAGAAGCUCACUUUACUAUUUUGUUGUACGACCUUUUAAUAGGACGUAGAAUAUACCCACAACAAAGGGAUUCCCGUUACAAUUUAUUUAUACGUAAAUCAUGCAAUCAAGAAAGUAAUAAGUACACACACAUACAAGAAUAUAAGAUCAAACUAUAAAUGAUUAUACAAACCCAAUCAACAGUGUAUUAAAAUCUCAAAGUGGUCGCCAUAGUAGAGUUCAGUACGCACCAUAAGACACAACAGCUGCAGCAACAACACCUACCACAACAACAGUAGUGAUAAUAUGGUGUUGCUCUUAUUUCCCUAUCCACGAAAAGAGUCCUUUGUUAACUGGUUUCUUCUCAACAUUCUCGUCUUUGCAGCAUGAAAAUCCAUCGGCACCUCUGCAACACCCUCCGGUACUUGCCGAAGCAGCAACAAUCUCUUCAGGUUGUUUCUCGUUCCUCUUCACAUUUGUUCCAUUAGUAAGAUUCGGUUCCUCCUUUGACAUUAGCACCCAUUUGGCCCCUGUAUAUAAUCAUCGUAUGCAUAAAAUAUUCAAUUCUUAUCUAUGUAGUACAAACACGGAAAUGACAAUACAAAGAAACGAAAAAAGGGCACGUCGAAACAGCAUGUCCAAAAAUUGGGAUAUGGGAACUUGGGGGAAACGUAUAAAUAUCAAAAGUAUAGGGGCCAAUAUAUAAAUAUGGUAAAAAAAACAUAUAUAAGAUUUUAUUUAUAUAUAACUUUUUUUUUUAUAUUUCCAUACAAAUAUAUUCAAAUUAAAAUUUUUAUCAACAACCAAUUUGUAGUUGAUCAAUAAAUCAUGUAUUUAAUUAGGGAAGUAACAAAAAUAUCUGAAAUUUUACUAUUCAAACAUGUUUCUAAUCUUACAGGAAUUGCAAAAUGGUCCAUAAGAUGUGCGGCGGCUGUCCUUUAGUGUCACACACGAAACAUGUCCGCAACGCGAAAACAUUAAAAUGUUGAAGUUUCCGUACUAUAUAGCUUCUCAUAGUUGUGAAACAAUAAUUAGAUAUUAAGAAAAGGAAGAUGAAGAAAGAAAGCACACCUCCAAAUCCGGUCAAUGGCUUCUCCUUGCCCAAUUUGUUUAUCAAGCAAUUCAUGAAUGUCGCCAGGUGUAACAUACCCAUUCCUGAAAAAUGGAGCAUGAAUCAUUUUAUGAUGUACGUGGAUACACAUGCAACAAAUAAUUUUUUGAGUGACAACACAUCUUUUUACAUGGUUAAUUAAGCAAAACAGCUGUUACGAAGUACUAAUAGGGUAUCACUGAUUCUAUCUAUAUAUAUAUAAACAAUAAAAUGUGAUUGUCACUUAUAUACAUAAUAGGGAAAUUGGCUAGACACCCCUUAUUCUGGACUUAUAUAGGUGGCGAUCAUAACUAUUAGAUGAAUAUAGGUCUAGGUCCUUUGAUAAAAAAAAAUUAAUAUAAAUAAAAUAAAAUAAUUAGUACAUUGACAUAAACACCCUUAAUUAAAAAGAAAUUAAAUUCCAUAUAUCACUCUUCCUCUCUCUCCAAUCUCACGUCUCUUUCUCCCCCUAUAUCUAAUCUCUCAUCUCUCUCUCCCUCUCUAUCUCGUGCCUCUCCAUCGUGUUUCUCUUCUGUUCUAUUUUUUCUUCCGAUAAGCAUCUUUUCGAAGAAAAAAUCUGAUCAAUUUCUUACUCUCUUUCCUUUCUCGAUUCCGAUAUUUUUUCUUCCCUUUUGAAUCCUGCCAUAGCUAGAACCUUCAACAAACUAUAAAAAAAUAUUUUUCGUUUGUUUUUUGGUUGUGGGAUAUGUUGCUUGUUCUUUGUUUGGAAAAAUUGUUUGCUAUUUUGGAGACCUUGUUUGUUGUUUGUAUUUAAUUUAUAUUUCUCCAGUUGUUACGAUGGAAGGCAAUUCAGGAGAUACUCGCCCCGAUCUUGGUUGGUGGUUCUACGGCAAUCGAUCCAUGAGAUUUUGAUGCACCUCUUCACCGGUGUUCGGAAUCCACCUUCUGGUUCGUCCCCAACAAUAUCUUCGUCUCGGUCUCUACCAUCCUCGCCGAGAGCUUUGACUGGUUGCACUCAAUUGAUUGGGUUCAUUACGGCGGCGGCGGCGGUGGCUCUAGGAUUUGUGACGGAGUUAGGACUGGCGACAAGGGAUUUGGGGUGAGCACCUCGGUUUUUUCUCGUAUUCAAUUUUUUCUUCAGUUUGAUGUUUGUAUUUGGAGAAGUCAUAGGUAAUCAUUUUUUGCAACUCAAUAAUGCAAAUUCUGGAUUUUAUUUCCAGUUUGCUGUUUUCUGGGUGAAUCGUUGGUAUUUUGUUGUUUGCAAUUCAAUAAUACAAAUUCUAAUAUUCAGUUUGUUGUUUGCAGUUAACGGAAUCAUAAGCGUCAUUUGCUAUUUGCAGUUCACAGAGUCAUAAGCGUCAGUUUGCUAUUUGCAGUUCACGACAGACGGUGGCGCGGAGACGGUGUCGAUUUUAGAGUAUGAGUUUGUACAAUAAAUAGUAUAUUUUUUUUUACUAAUUUAUUUAAUUUUUUGUUAAUAUUUGCAAGAGAGAUGUUUGGGAAUUUGUUUUGAUAGAGAGGUUUUUGGGGGAUUUGAUUUGAUUUGGCUAAGGGUAUUUUUGACACAAUAAAUAUUAUUAAUUUAUUAAAAUAUAGAAAUUUUGACUUGGAUUUAUACAUAUAAAUUAGAAUAUAGAGGGACCUAUAGCAAAUUGUCCCUACAUAAUAAUAUAGUGACGAUAAAAAUUAUUAAGUGACAACAAAAUGAGCAAUUACUGACAGCAUAUAAAAUGUUGUCACUUUUUAGUACCAACUUUUUUUUUAAGAAGGAUAUAGUUACUAGUUUCCCAAUUCUCCUCCUAGUGUCUCGAACCCAUGACCUAAUGGUCCUAGGUGCAAGAUUCUUACCAACAAGCUACAUUGUCUUGACUUUUUAGUAACAACUUUUAAUAUUGUUCCGGUGCCGAAAGCGGCGUUUGUCACCAUUCCGGACGAUAAAUCUGCGAUUUUAGCUCUUAAGCCGGAACUUUAUCGCGUCAAGCUAAGCAUUAUUACUAAUGAUUAAUGGGUCCACUGCUCAUGAACAUAACAUUUAGCCAAAAAUAAGUGAAACACAAAGCAGAGAAAAGUGUAGUUCUUACCAAUUACCAGCAAUUUUUCCAUGAGAAGUUGCACUAAAGAUGAUCACAUUGCCAGCAUACUUGUGUCCUCCAACAUGUGAGCAAGCAGUCACAGAUACAUGCUUCUUCAAAUCUUUGGAUCCAAUCUCUUUCUUAAACUUCUCAAUCAAAAUUGGGCCACAAACCCCACAUCUUCGGUCUCGAUUGUUAUGACAACAGACGAACACGUAUCAGCCACUCAAGUUUUCGAUCUUUCCAGACAGCUUAACAUUUUCAUUUACAAGCACAUCUUCAACAAACCUAUCGACUUCGGACUCUAUUAAGCCCCUUCAAUAAACCAAAACAAAGGCGUACGUGUUCAUACCUGUAUACAAUAAUUUAGUAAUGAAUGCAUAUAUUCCUUAAGUAUGUCCAUACCUGUAUACAAUCAUUUCGGGAAAAAUCAGUACGUCUCCAUUUGACAACUUCCCAUUGUCGCCUGCCUCGCAUAUGGUCAAACGUGUCUACAAAUUCCCAAAUCAUCAAACUUAAAACGUAUAUGUUGGCACCAGAUUUCUGUUUGUUAAGAUUGAAGAAAUCUGCCAUACGUGGAAACUAAAGAUUGGCAAAGAUUUGUUUUCCAUGUUUAUUUUGGAAUUAAUUAGAGUCAUAUUCUUGUAAUAUUUUUAUUAGGACUUAGAUUUAUUUCCAUGUAUUAUAUUCUAGUUAGGUAUCUUUUGUACUUAUCUAGAAUAGAAGUAGAAAUCGACUAGGAUUCUAUUACCUAUUAAAUCGAUUUCUUAGGGCCCAAGUUAGGUUUAGGUUGGAGAUUUCGUGCCUAUAUGAGUCCCAUGGAGCUUUAAUAACAAAAAUCCCAGCAUAAAGGCUUUGAAGGGUGCAGCCCAUGCUGUAGCCCUGUCGGCACAUCAGGUGUGGCAACAGAACGGGUUUCUUCUACCAGGCCAUAAAGAAGAUCGGCGUUUCGGGAGAAGUGCUUAAAAGAUCUCGGGAGAGGUCGAUCUGCCGUUUGAAAGAAGUUCAACAUUGGAGGAAGUCCAAGAGUGCGGAGGAGGAAUUACUUUGAUUAUCAACAAGUUCGAGUCAUGUGCAAGAACGGCGUAUCACAUAAAGAGGGAGUCUUUAGUGUUUUAUUAAGUUCUUUUAAUGUACACUUAAAUCUGAACUAGUUUUGCAAGUCCUCGUGGAUGUAGGGUACAUUUGUAUCCGAACCACAUUAAAUUCUUGUGUUCUUUAUUCUACUUUUAGUAGAUUUAUUACUGUGACAACACAAGAAUUCUGUUACCACACCUAAUGUCGUAACACGUAGUCUGUCUUAACAGAUGAGUAGAUAGUCAUAUGCAUUAAAAAUCAACAGUAUAUGUAUGUUUUUUGAUAUAUUUCCAAGAAAUUAAACAAGAACCAGGUAAAAGGUUAAUCUAACUAACUAUGUAUGGAUACGCAAAGCAAGCAUAAAACAAAAAUAGAAUAAAUGAAAACGGAAAAAACAAACUCAUCUAGCAUGACAAGAUUUCUAGAUCUUGAAUUCUAAAUUAAUUAGUUGGUUUAGGAUUGCUUGUAAUUUCCAUUUUUUUUUUAUAGCUUAGGAAUCAUGAUACUUUUUUACAUAGGGUUGACCUCUAACAAUAAAAUAAAGGUUUCAUUCCACUUUGUACUCUUAAACCGGAUCAUUUUGACACUUUAUACAUUUGAAAAAAAUACUUUUCUUACAAAUCAAAACAAAAUAGACUUUUAUCACUAAAUUAUUCAAUUGUCGGAUCUUUUAUUGUUGGUAGAAAUCUUUGAAAGAAAAUAUGAUUUUCAAAUAAUUUGAUAAUAAAAAAGCUGAAGGGAUUUUAUUUAUAUUGUAAAAUACUUUUUUGUGAUAGAAAGUAUAAUUUUCAAAUAUGCUGAUGUGACAUAUUUUAUUUUGCACUUUAUAGUUUCUAGAGGAUUGAUGAAUAAAAGAAAUUGAUUUGACAUUAGCUUUAAAAAUUCACCUUGGGCGCAUUAUGCUUAUUUUAUUGUGUUUCGAUGGUGUUAACUGUUAUUAAUUUUUUUUUGAGGGUGCAAAGUGUGAUUAAGCCUAAAUUAAAUAAUAUCUGAUUAUUUAUAAGUUAAUUUCCUCAAACGUUUGACUUUUACGAAUUAUCUAUAAAUCAAUCCAGAGUAACCUAGGUUUUCUUGUUGACUAUUUGUUAUGCAUAAAUAUAGUAUAUUCUACAGCUGUUAAUAAACAACACAACUUUCACUUCUUCUUCAAUGGAAUUAAUACAACGGCUACAUUUUUAAAACAAAUAUGUUUGGUGCGAUCGUACCGACUAUUUUCCACAACAUUUAAAGACAGUGAGAAUAUAAACAACUAAAAUAAUAUAUUCAAUUCUGCUAUUAAUAUUUUUUUUGAAGUACGGACCUUGAGUUUAAUGUCCUCUUUACGAGCUUUUAGGGCAAGAGGCGAGAAGCUUAGGGAGAGGAUCGGCAUCAGAUUCCUCGACUCAUGUAGGCCACGACUCAUGAGACUUGUAGCAUAGGAACAGGUGUCGUUCGUACUGUUCAACACUUCCGGCAAGUUUGCUUUCGUACAUGUCGCUUCUCUCGAAGCCGUAAUUGCCGCUCUCAUCUACGCCGAUGGUGGUGUUGGCCAUGGUGGAGGACGACGGAGAUAUUUUUCCAAGGUUUUCGUAUAUGGUUUUUGGGGGGAAUGAGUGGACCUAAAUAUAUAUAUAUAUAUAUAUAUAUAUAUAUAUAUAUAUAUAUAUAUAUAUAUAUAUAUAUAUAUAUAUAUAUAUAUAUGGGAAAAUUACGACUAUCACUAAGGUAUGAUUAAAUACAAAAAAUCCCUCCUGUUUGGGUAAUUACAGUCACCCCUCUCCUUUUAAAUAUUUUUGCAUAAAAUUUAUGUAAUUCGAUUAUUUACAGAACAAAAUCGUAUAUUCAGUUCGGUUAACAGUAUGAAAUGUCGCGUACUGAAAUUUCGGUUCGGUUUUACCAAAUUAACAUCCCUAAUUUAUUUACCUCUGAAUGGGGUUUUUCAUAAAAUAAUACAUAGUUGAGGGGUGACUAUAAUUAUCCAAACAGGAGGGGGCUUCGUAAAUUAACCAUAACCCAGGGGUGGCUGUAAUUUGCCCAUAUAUUGUCUGAAUUGAGGCAAUAGAUCGGACUAGGUACCAAAUGAGCAUCUCUUAAUGGUUUUUGAAGUACAAAAUAGAAAUGCAAGACUAGUCACACCACGACACGUUGUUUGGGUUGACAUAUAAUAUUUUAGUUUUCUUUUUUUUUUCUCUUAUUUUUAGAGUAGGGUUGACAUAUAAUAUUUUAGUUUUUUGUUCCUUCUUUUUUUAGAGUAGAGUUGGCAUAUAAUAUGUGUUAUAUCAUUCGACUUUUACUUAUAACAUUCAAAUUGCAUACCAUUACAUUGGGCUAAACUUAUCUGCACUCUUAUUAAGACCAAAUUCAGUUUACAAAAUAACUAAUUCCUUCGGCUCUUGUACGGCAUUGACCGCCAGUCUCCAUCGUUACUUUUUUUUUUUUUUUUUAUUUAAAAAAUGAUAUUCUUUUUUUUCUAAAAAAAAAUUCUGAAAUUUUCUUCGGCCACCACCUUUGUCCGCAUUGAUUUUAGGAAUAGAAUUAGCCUUAUAAAUUGGAGCUUACACUAUCCAAAUUUUCAAAGCAAAAAACAUUACAUCAUCACUUAGUUCAUCAAACUAACUAAUUUGUCUUUCCUUGUUUGUUGCUUUUUGCCUCAAUUUUGUCAAAAAUAUUUUGUUUUUUUCCUUCCAAUAAUUCGAAAAUGAAGGACAAGUUUACAGGGACUAUUCUUCAGAGUGAUGCACUCGCCCAGGUAAUUAAAUUUCUUUCUUAAUUUCGCCGCUUUUAUUUUCUUUACUAAAUAUAACAUUUAUGUAUGUUGCUAAAUAUACUACUUGUUAUUUUAUAUUUUCAUUUUUUUUUAAUAAUAUAUUUUCGAAAUUUUUGCAGUAUAUUUUGGAAACAACUGCUUACCCGAGGGAGCAUGAGCAACUCAAAGAACUAAGAAUGGCUACUGUCAACAAGUAUCAGUGGUGGUACGAUAAUCUAAUAUAUUCGAAAUAAUCUAAUUUAAUCUUUUUUUAUUAUUAUUAAGAGUGGUGUUAUUUUCACCUCCAAAUUAUCUCAAUUCACCACUAAAAGUAUAUAAAAUGUCACAAAUACCCCUAAAAUUUACAAUCUACCACCGUUCCUUAUAUUCGCUUAAUCCUCAUGUGUUCAAAGUUAUUUCUAUAUUAUUAUUUUUUUUUUGUAAUGAAAUAUUUAUUACAAGACAUUUAAACUUCCAUUAUUUAAAUUUUUUUUUUCGGAAACGAAAUUAUAUUAAGCUAAACUGGCCAAUUCUAGAGGAAGUUCACGACCUUGUAUACAAACACUCUUAAUUUUUUUUCUCCAAAAACGUGAAUUUCUGCUCUUUUUUAUCUUCGUAAAUGUUUUUUUUUCUGACAAAAGUAUUAUUCACUUAAGGUGGAAAGGGUGAGAUUUUGCGGUAACGAUUCCAGUGAAAAUGUUGGGGUUUUUUUUAUAAAUAUUUUAGUUAGUUUAGUGGUGAAUGGUUUAUAAAUUUGUAAAAUAUAUAGGUGAAAGAAGAAAAAAAAAAUGGUAAAAUGGAAAAUAUAAUUAAUUUAGUAGUCAAAUAAGAUAUUUUGGUGAUGAAAAUAGCAGGUUUCAUUAUUAAUUCUUGAUUUGUUUUAUUUAAUUUGAACAGGAGUAUAAUGAAUGUAACUGCUGACGAAGGACAAUUCAUUUCAUUGUUCUUGAAAACGAUGAAUGCAAAGAAAACAAUUGAAGUUGGAGUUUUCACUGGCUACUCACUCCUCACUACUGCUCUUGCCCUCCCUGAAGAUGGCAAAGUAAGUAAAUAAACUUAACAAUAAAUAAAUGAAUUAAUUCAAAAAAAAGAAAAAACAAAUUGUAACUAAUUAUUAUUUUUGUUUUAUACAGUUAAACCUCUAUAAAUUAAUAGUACAGUCGAGACUAAUAAAAUUCUAUUAAUUUAGCAAAAUAUUAAAUUACCGAACUAAUAAUUUAGUAGUUUUUUACCGAGUCGGAACCAGAAAAAAUCAUUAUUUAAACGAGAUUAUUAAUUUAUUGAGUAUUAAUUUAUCGAGGUUUUACUGUAUAUUUUACAUGUAGAUCAUCGCCAUUGACCCAGACAGAGAAGCAUACGAGACUGGAUUGCCGUUUAUUCAGAAGGCAAACAUGGCCCACAAAAUUCACUUCAUUCAAUCUGAUGCCUUCAAAGUUAUGGAAGAACUCAAGGCCAACGUAAAAAUAUCUCCUCUUCAAUCUAUCUAAUAUUUCUUAAUUAAUUUAAAUUACGAAAACUCUCCUCUUCUUUGGAUAAUUACAACCACCUCUAUCAACUAUAAAUAUUCUUACACGUUCACCUUUGCGGUUUCAAAUUUAGUGGAAUCUUCUAGAUUAUAUGUAAUAUUAUCACUUUUAUCCUGUUUUAUCCCAAUACUAUCACUUUUAUCCUGUUUUAUCCCAUUCGAGCUCCACAUUCUGAAGCGAGAUGAUCAUAAGAUGUGUAUUUCAGCUUGUAUAUAUCAAAUUUUGGUGCAUCAAAAACUGUAUUGUUACACAAAACGAGUACAAACUAGAGCACAUUCUACGGACUCUAGAUGAUUAUGUUGAGUUUGACACCAUAAGGGUGGAGGUGUAAGAAGAUUCACAGUUGAGUGGGGUAGAUGUAAUUAUCCAAUCAAGAGGAAUUUUUUCGUAAUUUGACCAUACCUCAAGGGUGGUUGUAAUUUACCCUAUUGAUUAUAAUUGAAGUAUGCAGGGUGAAGAAGGAACAUUCGAUUUUGCAUUCGUGGAUGCGGACAAGCAGAACUACAUCCACUACCACGAACAACUAUUGAAACUGAUAAAGGUAGGAGGAAUAAUCGCGUACGACAACACAUUGUGGUCGGGAACUGUGGCAGCGUCCGAUGAUGACGAGAUGGAGGAAUAUCUGAGGAGGGUCAGAGUCGACAUCAUGCACUUGAACACUUUCUUAGCAGCUGAUCUACGUAUUGAGUUGGCUCAGCUUUCCAUCGGAGACGGGCUCACUCUUUGCAGACGUGUCAAAUAGAGAGACGACAUUCUAUUUAUUUAUACGUUUUUUAUGACAUAUAUUAUAUAAAAUGUAUCCUUUCUUGUUUGUGUCUUUUUUUCUUCUGUAUGGUUGUUAUUAUUAUUUAUUUUCCCUAUUACAUAUUUAAGCUCAUUUGAUUUGGAGUUUCUAAGUGUACAACUUUGUUGAAAUAAAAAUAAAUUGUUGUCUGGGCUAGCUUUUUCUUCUGUAGCAAUGUUUAUUUGUAAGUAGACUGUCUCUCUCAAAUAUUGGGGUAAAGAACAUAAAAAACCCUUGUGGUAUGACAAAUAUACACCAAAUUCUCUUAUGUUCUUUUUAUUACGUAAAAUCCCACUGUGUUUCAUUUUUUCUUGCAUCAAAUCCCAAAUUCCGUUACUAGUUAACACCGUUAACUAUAAAGAAGGGGAUUUAAUGUAAGUUUUUUGUAAUAUAGGAGGAUUUGGCAUGGUUUUGCAACAAAGGGGGGUCUAUUCAAAAUUAAUUUAUUCAUUUAAAUUUUAAAUUAUUUUCUUAAAUUAAGUCGAAUACAUCUAUUUAUUAAAAACAAAAAAAAUAUUCGAGGUGGAAGUUGGAACGAAUUCUCAAAUUAUUUAUGUUCUUUUCACAUAUACUUAAUCAAGAAUAAAUUAUAAAAAUAUAUAAUAAUUCUAAUAAAAUAAUUUAUAUUUUUAAAAAUCAAAUUUUUUUAAAUACAUUAAUAAAUUAUAUCAUAUAAAAAUUGAUUUAAAAAAAACAUUCACAACACCCUUUAAAUUUCUAUUUUUCAUAUUAUAACUGAAUAAAUGUGUUCGUAUUAAUUUAAGAAAAUAAGAUGAAAUUUAAACGAAUAAAUUAAUUUUGCAUACAAUCCCCUUGUAUUUUAAAAAAUAUACACUAAAUCCCCCUCCAUUAUGAUAAAAAAAAUGUAUAAAAUCUCUUCUAUAGUUGACGGCGUUAACUUUUAACGGAAAAGGGGACUUCGUUCAACGUAAAAUGAAAUAGAAGGAGGUUUUACGGAAGAAAAAAAAAACACGAGGAUUUGGCACAUAUUUUACUUAACACAGGAGAUUUCUGUGCUGUUUACCCCAAAUAUCGAUCUCCAUCGAUUGAAACAUUUAAACCAAAUAUACUAUUAUUAUAAGAGCACUUCAAAUCUACAAAGUUGUUGGGAAUUGAAUAACCAGUUCACGGUGUGCAACACGAACACGUUAACCAUUUUAACUUGUGAUCUUUUUUUUUUUCUUUUUUUUUUCAGAUAUAAAACAAUUGAUGUAAUCAAUUGAGUUAUUCAACUGGUUUUACUUAGUUGGUUUAUGUUUAAUCAAUUAAUUUUUCGAACAAGUCAAUUAUUCAGAAGAACUGGAUUUUUAAGAGUUUUAAAUCUCUUUUAUCAUCAUUAAACAUAAAAGGACCUAGUAUUCUCUUUUCAUUGUGGAACUAAUAAAAAUGAAUGAAAUAUAAAAUUAAGAAAAAAAAUUAAAAAAAAAAAAAAAAAAAGUCAAAGGACCAACUACAAGAACACCAUAUGUGAGCAAGCAUAUGAAACAUCCUAACAUGUCCUUCAAAAGAAAAUUUGCUUAUUUUUUUUUCUAAACUCUUUAUUAUUUUAUUGUAUUUUUCUGUUGUUGACCGGUCAACAUAGUAUGAUUGAUCUGAACACAACACAGUAAUCUUCCUGUUUUACAAAGUAAUUUUAUUAUAUUCACAGUAAUAUUAAAUAUUUUUAACCUUUUUUUUGCAAUUUUAUUUCUUAAACAACCAACACAAUAAUAUACCGUGCUAGCACUAACAUUACGGUCUGAGACAUUAAUACUGCAGGUCAAAACAAUAAUAUUAAUACUAACACAAUAAUAUUACUAUGUUAUUACUGUCCGAGACAGUAAUAUUGCAGGCCAAUACUUACCACAAUAAUAUUACUUCAAUGUCGAUAUCCACUGUGGGAUCGGAGUCGGCAUUUAGUUUUGGCGGUAGGCUUAUUGAUGCAUUUAGGAUUUUUCUUAGUCCUAAGACAGCGGAAGCUCUUGCUUGUGCUCAAGAUUGGAUACAGUUUUCGCCGACGGACAUUGAGCUUUCUGAUGCAAAAUCAAGAAGCAUGGAUGUAGGAGUUUUUGCAAGAAAAAUUAGAAAAACUUGAGACAAGUACAAAUUUUUAAAUACUUCUUUAUGUAUUCUAAUUUAAUUUACUAUACAAUUGUGAUUUUUUUUUUUUACUUAUUAUAUGUAAUUUUAGAGGCAUUUGCAAGUGGAUCGAAGUUUUUCACCAUGCCAGAUAGAUGUUUCUAAAAUGGUAAACUUGUUUAUAUAAAUGUGAUUUCUUUGUUUGAUGUUACUAACUAAAAUUAAAGCUAUAUGUACUUUUUAGGUUGUUACGACAUUUAUGGAACUGUGGCCUCGUGGGGGAGUUGGUGACAAUGUCUUUGUAUUUGCAUUGUUCUUCAUUUUGCAGUUUUUUUAAGCUCUCCUAAACAAACUUUGGUAGAUUUUUGCUACUGUUGAAAGAAUGUAUUAUCUGGUUUUGCUGUGGUUUUUUCAGCUGAUCUUUGAAUGAAUGCUGCUGUGUUUUUUUUUUUUUUUUGUGUGUGAAGUAUUGCAGUGGAUUUAUCAAUUUUUUCAGCUCAAUUUGAAUGAAUAUUAAUUGAUCUUUGGGGUGACUUUUUAUUGUUUUUUUUUUUCUUAAAGUUUGAGCUAAUUUAUUGACAUUUUUCGGCUGGAUUGUUGGGCCAAAAUGAUCCCAAUACCGAACCGAAAACAGAACCAUUAUUGAAAGCGAACCGAGAAUUUAUUAACCGAAAAGCAACUGAAACCGACAAAAACGAACUGAAACGGAUUGGAACCGAACUGCAAGAAAUCGGUCAGUUUGGUUUUUGGUUCUUUAAGAACCGACCACUUCGAUUUUUGUUUGAGGCUAAAACCGAACCGAUCUCACCCCUAAUUUAGGGUAUAAGAGCAUGUUUGGGAUAAAAGAAAAUUUAGGAAAAUUGAUCAUAUUAUGUUUUGAAAUAAGAGUGUAUUUAAAAAAACUAUACUUUAGGAUUGUCAUUUAAAUGUAAUUAGAUUUUGUUUGAGAAACUAUAGUUUAUUAACUCCUUUGAAAAAUCAUAUCAUUAUCACAAUCUUUAAAUAUAUGUCGUCCCUAAAUUAUUAAUGGUUACUUUCGCCACUUUCUUGCACGCUAAAGCAAAGUAAAAGUCAAUUUUAUAUCCUGCGAAAUUAAAGAUAAAAUACUCCUCAACAAUAAUUAUAACAAAUAUCUUAAUAGUUUUCAUAACCGUAUGAGAGACGUAAACCACACCAGACUAACCAUGUGUGACGAACUCCACAUAGCGAUAGCGACCAUUGACAAGGGAAUUCGAACUUGUGUUAGUUGACACAAGUUCACUUGUUCUAGAAGUUAGGUCAUCCCUUGCAGGACAAUGCGAUAUUGAUCUGGGAACUUGUGUCAAGUUUGGUGACAUAUUCUUUUAAUUUCUAUAUAUAUAAUCGUAUCGUAUAAAUAAAUUGAAAGAUAAAUCUAAGAGAUGUCCUAUAGUAUUGAUCUUUGAACGAUCGAUUGGCAUCAGGUUCCGGGAAUUAUUAUUUUAAUUCCACCAUAAUUUUCCUAAUAUAGGCAACUUCUAGACCAUGGCACAACCGACGAAGUCUACAAAAAAAGUGCAACGUUUUGAAAGUUGGGGGCAACGUGUAAAAUACCCUCUAUUCAAAGGAUAAAGUUACCCUAUAUUUAUUAAGAGAUAUCUCCACAUGAUUUGAUAAUGAAACAAAAGUCGAGAGAUUUUAGAAUUUGAAGACGCAAAAGGGUCAUUUGAGCAUCUCCCACCGGUCUCUAUAUCGUUGUUUUCAUCUAAUUUAGGUGUUUUUAAGGCAAUGUUUGGAAGCGUUUUAGAACUUAUUUUGAUUUCAUUUUGAGAAAAUGUGUUUUGGGGGAAGAAUUUGAGAAUGAAAGUAAUGUUUGUUUAUAUUUUGGAAGGAGACAAAAUACACUGUAGCAGUCACAUCAUGUUUAAAAGUGUUAGAAAAAAGUAUUUUAGAAGAAAAAAAUUGAAAGAUAAAGUGAUAUUUAUUUGUUUUUUAGUGAAGACAUUUUUUACUGCAGCAGUCAAAUCAUUUUACAGUAGCAGUCACAUCAUGUCUGAAGGAGAGAUAAACUUUUGAGAUUGUUUUGAGAAAAUUAUUUGAGAAGUGUAAUAAAUAUAAUUUUGUUUUGGGGAAUCAAUGAAAACAAAAUAAAAACAGAACCAAACAUUGCUAGUCUUCCACCCUCAAUCUCUAUAUUACCAUAUACUCAUAUCCUAUUUUCCACCAAAUUUUAUGGUGAAGAAAUUUUUAUCUCUCACCGGUUCACCAUUUUCCUAUUUUUUUUCCACAAAAUCCUAUUUUUCGUAUCAAAUAUAGAGGUGAAAAUAGGAUUUGGUGUAAUUAACAUCAUUUUAUUAAUUAGCAUAUUAAAUAAUAAUUUUAACUAAUUGCAUGUUAUUAUCCACUUAUUAGCAUAUUUAUUGUAGAUACAUUAGUGUUAAUUAAUAAAUUAAUACUCAAAAUAUAAAUACAUUUUUUAUAAAAACAUUAAUUCUAAUAAUUAUGAAUAUGCUUAUUUUUAAUUAAAUUGUGCAUUUUUUUUUAUAUCAAGUUGAUUAGUUCAUGUUUUUUUCUUUAACUAAUACGCUAAUUGUUACUAAUAAAAUAUAAUAAACAACAACAAGAUGAUUGACGAAAUAUACUUUAAUUGACGAAAACACAAGACGAGCCCUUUGAAUUGAAAAUUGAUAAAUCAAGGAAAGCACAAUGAAUUAAAAAGGAGAGUGGUAUCGCACUUUUGAUAAACGUGGUCAAAUAGACGAUUUUGAAGAUUAUGAUGGUGAUGACGAUAAUAAAGAUGAAUGAAACUUUUAUUUUUAUUUAUGAUUUUAGAUUAAUAUAUGUUGUAAUAUUAUUUAUUCAUGCAAUAGUUUAUGAAAUUAUUUUUUAUGUAUGAUUUUAUUAUAUGUAAAAUAAUUUGAUUUAAUUUAUUUCAUGUUUAGAUAGUUUUUAAAAUUUAUACCAUAACUUUUAAAUUGUAUGGUUAGAAAUAUGAUUAUUUAAAUUUAGAUCUAUAGUUAAUAUUUAGGAAAUAAAAUAUAGUAAAAUUAUGAUAAACAUUAAACUUAUAUUUUUGGAACAUAUAUGGUGAAACGCCAUGGGAUACCAAACCAAAUCUCAUCGAAAAUAUAAAAUGUAUUGUUUUUUAUACAUAUUGUAUCGUAUCGUUUAUCAUAAUGUAUCGUAAGAUAUUUGACUAAAUAUUGAGAGGGAAAAUUAGCAAGACCUCCCUCAUCUAUGAAAUAUAGUGAAAGAAAAUUUUCCUCCCAAAAGUACUUAGAAAAAACCUCUUCCCAUUUAAACUAACCCUCCUAACAAAUCUUACUUGUCUAAUAUACCCUUGAAGAACCCUAAUCUCAUUUAUCAUUUCUCUCUUUUUCUUUUCACGCCUCUCCUCUCUCUUUUGCUCUGAUAUUUUUUUCUCUUUUCAAUUUCCCACCCAAAUCUCUAGUCUUUUCUCUUUCGGUCCGAGGUGAAGAACAAGAGUUGUCGGCGCUGCUAGAACGACGCUCUAUCUCCUUCUCUUUCUCUUGGAGAUGGCUUUUCUCGGUGCGUAUUGCCGGAACGAGUGCGAGGAAGAUGACUUUUUCGUCGAUUUGUUGCCGAAAUCGGAUUUUGAUGGUUGGUGGUUCUGCUUUGGUUGGUGGUGUAGGUUAUAAUUUACUUUAUUUGUAAUAAAAUUCGUCAUAAUAUAGAAGUGGGGGUGGUGAUGGUGUGGUGUAGCGGCUGUGUGGAGACGAUGGGGAGGCAGAUCUAAGGUUUUUAAUUUGGUGGAUCGGGCAGAGGACGGCGCAGUAAAGAAACCGCGCAUGGUGGACCCUUCAUCGACUAUGCUUCAUAAUAGUGGAUUAAGUUAAUCGACUAUGCUCUGGUAAUUGAUUAAAGUGUUAAUAGACUAUUUUGGUAGUCGAUUAAGGUUACAUAAUUUUAUCUUUUAAUUCGUUAAUGAUUUUUUUUGUAUUGAUUCCGAUUUGUAUAAAUCAACUACAAUUUAUGUAUAUUAUUUAUUUUGUAAAAAAAUGUUGAUUUACGAUUUUAUGUAGUUGUGUUUUUUUUUAGUAGACAGUUCCUUAGUCGACUAUGCUUAAUUAUAGUCAAUUAAUAUGCUCCAUAGUCAAUUAAUAUACAUGAUAGAGAAAAAAAAAAGUUCAAAAACGAAAAAAAUUAAUUUUUUUUUAAAUGAAAAAAAAAAUAAAAAAAAUUGAAGAGAAAAAAAAGUAACGGCUGAUGAGGUUGCCGCGUGGUAGGUGAUAGUGUUGAUGAGGUGGCAGGAGCAUAAUUGAAAAAUAGGUGGCUGAAAUUAGAAGUGACUUUUCUCAAAUUGUGCAAAAUAGUUUGGGCAUCUGUCAAUUAAAAAAAUAUUAAAAGGUUAUAUCAAAGAACCCCAUAUUGAAAAUAGUACAAAAUAUAUAUAUUUGUAUAAUAAAAAUAUAGUAAACACGUAAAAUUUAAAAUUUUUAAUCAAACACUCGUUCAAAAUAGAUCUAAAUGCAAUUUUCAACAUUAUAUUAUUAAAAUGGAAAAAAAGUCAUAGUUAAUAGUUAGAAAUGCUAGUGUUGAUUUUAUUAUCUUUGUUGAUAUAAAUUUCCUUUCAAUUUUGUAAUGUUCAACAAAUUUAUUAGUUUUGUAUUGAUUUUAUUUUUUUUCUAAUAUUUUUUUUUUCGUAUUUUAAUCGAGAGAAUAAUAAUAUUUAUCUAAAAUAAUUUAUUUUUUCCUUGGCUUAAUUAAAGAAAAAAAAAACAUCCAACACAAUUGUUACAAAUUUAUUUUACUGAUAAUCGCACAAUUCACCACUAAUAUGUUGGAAAUCACACAAAUAAUCCCAAACGUGCUGAAAUCACAAAAAAUCAUUCCACAUAUGCUAAAAAUUGCACAAAACUACCCCAAAAUUUGUUGAAAAUCGCACAAAUCACCAGUUGAGCUGAAAAUUGCACAAAUUUGACCACCAAAACAUAUACAAUAUAUAUUUACCGAUAUUUAAAGAUAACCGAUACAUAUGCCGGUUUAUAUCCUUUUUUUAUAUAAUCGUAUUGUAUCGUGAUAUUGACCAAAACACUUAAAACACGAGUUUCCUAUCAAUCAUAAUGGGGUAAGUUCAAAAACCAAUUAAAAAAAUAUCAAACUUGUAUGUUAAAACAACAUAGUCCAAUACAUCGUCAAAAUCAUAUAAAAUUUUCGAUAAAGAAUAUUACAUAUAUUGAACUUCCCUUUUCACAGAUCGUGAUAUUUUAGCCCACGAGCAUUGAACAAAGUCUACACAACAAGCAAAAAUUAUAAUUAGUAAGGAUAUAAUUCCACUUUGCACUCUUAAAAUUUAAAAUUUAUCAUUUGGGCACUUUAAUUUGCAUCCUCGAAAAUAAUUAAUAGAACUUCGCACCUUGAAUUGAAUUUUUAAAACUUAAUGACAACUUCAUUCUUUUAUUGGUGUAAUUUUCUUAGAGUGCAAAGUAAGAAAAUAAAUUAUUAAUUAAUAAUUGGUUCAUAUUUUUUAGUAAUUUAUGAGUAAUUAAUAAAUAAUUAGUUACUAAUUAUUUAUUGAUUAACAAAAUUAGUAAUUGUAGUAGUAGAUGUUGAGGUAGUAGUAGAUUGUUUAGUAAUUUAUGAGAAAUGUAUAAAUAAUUCGUUAUUAAUUAUUUAUUAAUUGUUUAGUGAUUCAUAAAAGUAAAUAGCACCGUUGAAUGUUUUUUGAAGUUUACUUUCUUACAAGAUGAGAUUAUGUUGUUGAACUUACCUAAUAUCCAAUAGGACUGUUGAUUCAAGCAAAAUAAUCAAAUUUAGCUCAAUACGAGUUCCAUAUAUAUGUGAAAAGGUUGUGCAAAAUAUUCGCAAUCUAAAUUAAAUUUCUACGCACAAUACAAUUGAAGUAAAAAUCUUGAUUUAUUUCUUUCUAUCUGUUGCGAUGGCAUGAUUUAAAGGAAAAAUAAAUUUAAUACUUUAUAUUUUGAAGGAAAAACUUGUAUUAUACGAAAUUAUGGGUUGGAUAUGCAUACUCACAAUCAUUGUAAUCGUAAUAUAGCCUAUCACCCUAUGCGAUAUCACGAUUCGCAACUAGAAGCACCACACAUUCUUCGUCUACGUUGUACCUCACGCAUUUAAUAUUUUGUUUUUUUCUCCCUUUCUAGUAAAAGAUCAAAUGAUGUCUUUGACAAGGCAAUAUUACAAAUUGUAUUAAUUUUCUUCUAAUAAUUAAAAAAAGAGCAACCAUUUUACAAAAAACAAAAUCAAGAACAUACAUCAAAUUUAAGUAUUGUACACCUAAUUGGUAUACAUAACUAAAAAUUGAAUAAGUGAAGAGUGUAUCUAGUGUACGGUUUAGGUGCAAAACUAGAACAAAACUAUUCUUGAAGAUGUUACAGUACAUCGUUUACUAGAAAUUAAAAUGUGUUUCCAUCAUUCUUACACACAUACCAAUGUCUACGUGUGUAAAUGGACGGGGAUAUAUAACAAUUAUGUACAUUCACCAGGUAUAGCUUCUACUAUAGGAGAAGAAAAUUGGCUUUAGAGACUUACUUUGUGUGAUUGUUAAUGCCACUUAUAAAUCUGGAGAUAUUUCCAAGCAUAUCUGCACAUGCAACAAGACUUUUAGACGGUUCAACUAAAGAAAGGAAAGUCAUCAUACUGUCAUAAUCACCUUCCUCCUGAUUUCUUAUGCAAUCAACAUCUCCCGCGUAUUUAGCGAUCAAAAUCAUAUCCUUUAUGGGCCCGUCAUCUUCUACAGUAUACCUACAUAUGAGUUUCACAUUGAUUUUAUUAUUUAUUGCAUUGAACUAACCUCUGCAAUGUAUAAUCGGCGCCUUCUUUUUUUACAAUUAAAUUUACACGUUACAACAAUCAAAUUCAAAUCAAUCUAGAGUUUCAACAUGAAUUUUUUCGUAUUGGGGUAUUGUUGGGUGCUAAAUACCUAACACGCAAGUGCACGUAUCGCAAACAAGUAGUAAAAGUGGACUCGUGAGAGUCGGAUGUCGAUCCCACAGGGAAUACUCAAAUUAUCUAAUCCUAAGUACCAAAUUCUAACAAUUAUGAUUUUUAUUCAGCCUACGCAAAGUUGUUAAAUAAAUCAAUAAAACAAUUAAACUAAUUAUGAAAGCAAAUAAACACGGGAAAAUAUCAAUAAAAACGGACCUAGGAUUUUAUCUUCCCCCUAUGCAAGAAUUGCUCACCCAAAACCCCUCAAUUAUGAAAUACAUGAUUCAUGAUUAUUAACCCGAGACACUUAUUUACUCAUAACCCGCUGUCGCGUGUAUUAUGAGUCUAUUAUUCAUAAACGAUUCACUAUAUGUCUAUGCAAACCAAUUAUAAAUAAAGCAUUAACUAACAAGUCUCGUAAAUGGCUACCUAAGGUGAUAUCUGUAUGUCUACGACACCACAUGCAAUUGACACACUCAUCCGGUGAAAACUACUCGAAGGCUCUUCUACCUACCGUCUAAUUAUCAAAAUAGCUCUGUCGAGUCAAUCCCAAUAAUCACAGAUAAAGCACAUAAAUUGAUCAGGCUCAUGCACUAACAAUCAUAACAGGGAGAAGAAAUAAUCAUAAAAUCAUAAUUGCAUAAUCUCAAGAAAACGGGUUCACCAUCCCCACAUAGGGUUCCGACAAAAUCCUAGAUUAAAAACUUAGCUACUCGUAAUUCUUAUGAUAAGCAAAAUAGAAUAAAUAAAAUAAAUAAGAAAAACUAUGCUUGAGUCUUCGUUGAUCUUCGUUCUUCGCGUUUUGUGGUGUAAAAUUUCGUGCUUAUGGUGUAGAGACAUGUUGCUUUUAUAGGCUUUUCUUGAUAAGGAAGUAGUAGAAACCUAAUAGGAAUCAAUUUCCGCCACUUUCCCCCAUCAGGACUUGUUCUUCGAUUUUCGCCAUGUUGGAGUCCGAAUUUUGGAAUAUUGUGUAAAUAAGAAUUGUAGCCCUUGAAAUUAGCUUUCCAAUGCCGCCAAAAUCACCUAAUUCGGAGUUCGUAUGAGAGAGAUAUCCUCGAAAUCGUGUACACUUUCAAAGCUGUGGCGAGAUUCCUUCUUCCAAUUUGAUUUGUUUCCUUAUUUGCAACUUUUUCCUUUCUUUUUGAUCUUUUUUCCUUCAUGGACACCUAAUUCUCGUUUUUCACCUAUAAAACACAAAAUCAAUCAAUUAAAGCACAAAUAUAAUUAAAUCUAAACAAAAAAUCCACGUAAAGUAAACGUAUUGAGUGUAAAAUCUACACUCAACAGGUAUAUAUGAUAUUAGGGCUAUAAUUUACUAUAUAUAAUUGCAUGAACUAAUGAUACAAUAACAAAAAGAAAAAAAAUAAAUUCCCUUCCAACGAAUCAAACGCUACUACAAGAGGUGGGAAUUCGCCUGUUCUAUACAUAUCCCUACAGUUUUUUAGUGUCUACGUAUCUUCUUUGCAAAGAACCUGACCAGAAAAAUAUAUAUGUAUAGAAUCAAGAAGUUAUAGUUAGCAACCAAUUGAUCGAAACUAUGUGAAUUAAUUAUAGAAGGUUAUUACUAAAAUAGGACCUGCAUGCCACCGUUUACGAAAGAAGACUGAUGAUGCUAAAGUUAGAUCACCUUAGAUAGUUGAAGUAGGAUGAGCUGGAAGAGCAGAGUGGAUCACUGGCUCACGAGCUUGAUGACCUUGAGAUACCUGCGAUCAUAGAACACGUGAACUAGGCCGGGGGUUGAUCCGACGGAAACCCCUCCGACGCUCAAGUCAGGCGUGCUGAUCGUGAAAAUAGUCCAGAGAAUACAUAUUGUAGUAUUGCUCAUGAGUUAAUAAGACGUACCUUAAGGAAUGAGUUCAAACCUUUAUUUAUAGUUUAGUUGAGAUUGUCGGGCCCAAACCUUACUUGAAGGUGAUUGGGCAUCGGUGAUAGUGGUCUUAAAUAGGGUUCGUGGCCCAUUAGAUAAAAAAAAUUGUAGGCCCAUUAGGUUGGCCCAAUUAGGCAUAUCAUUAAAGACCGAUUCACUUAUCUAGGAGCCAUGCUAAGGUUGUAAGUGAGUUCGUUGUUGUAUUCCAAAUUCUGUGAAGUCAUAGCCAUGGCAAGAGAUGUCAUUCGAGCUAGUCUUAUUGCAUGAUCUUGUGAUGGAACAUGUGUCAAUAAUCUUCUUCGUUUCUUGUGUAAUUCCAAUAUACUUGUACGUCUAUGUCGUUUCUUGGUAUCUAAAAUUAGGACAAGAUUCAAAACAUCUAUAUAUAGAUAUAAUGUCAAAGCGUUUUGAUUGUCACAUUCAGUGGUCAAAAUAAGAUUAAAGCUAAGUAAAGCAAAGACAUACUUGUGCAGAUAUUGUUACAUGUGUGCAUACUUAGUGCAUCGAUAAAUAUACAAAAUGCGACCAAAGUGCAUGUAUUAUAAAAAUGUAUUUUAAUCGUGUAUAUUUGUAAAUUAGAAUGGGACAUUGAUUCUGAUUACUAUGAAACAGUUAAAAAAAAAAACACAAACACACACAUAUAUAUAUAUAUAUAUAUAUAUAUAUAUAUAUAUAUACACACACAUAUAUAUAUAUAUAUAUAUAUAUAUAUAUAUAUAUAUAUAUAUAUAGCACACUCAGCCACAGUAUGUGGUGACCUCUCUCACAUGUGUUGCACAACAGCAGAUCAUCAUCUCUUUAGCCGGAGCCGCAUUCCUCGCACCUCAAUUGGCUGUAAUAAUCACCGACGGCGUCAUUCUCCGCUGCCAAGUCCACCCGCUUCGCCACCCUCGUAAUCUCUCUCAUCGACGACCUGUACUUUUGUCCGCCUCCUUGAUCUGGCGGCAACCGCCAGUGGCGGCUGGCUCCCAUUAGCCACCUGAAUUGAGCAAGGCGACAUGUAUAUGCUAAAAAUAAAUUAAAGGGGGGAUUUCUGGCUGUGCUAUUAAUGUUUUUUUUUUCUCUUUUUCUCUUUUUUUUUUUCUUUUGAUUUUUUUUCUUUUUCUUUUUUUUUUUUUUUUUGACUUUGUUCAAUUGUAAGGUCAUCUCCAAUUGCUCAUUUAAAAACGUUUGUCUAUAUCUAUCAAUAGCUAGUUUAAAAAUGGUUGUCUAUAUCUAUAAUUUAGCUGAUCAGCACUGUUAUACACCAUCACUUUAACAUCACACUCCAACAACAUUGUUUAUAUUUUACACAAUUAUUAUAUUUUAUUAUUUUGCAAAAAAAAAUUUUAGUUAAUUUCCAAAAUUAGAUUUCAAGAACCAUAUUCCAACAAAUAUAUUGUAAAAACCAUUAAAAAAUAUUAAAAAUAAUAAUAAUAACUAAUAUUUUAAUNNNNNNNNNNNNNNNNNNNNNNNNNNNNNNNNNNNNNNNNNNNNNNNNNNNNNNNNNNNNNNNNNNNNNNNNNNNNNNNNNNNNNNNNNNNNNNNNNNNNNNNNNNNNNNNNNNNNNNNNNNNNNNNNNNNNNNNNNNNNNNNNNNNNNNNNNNNNNNNNNNNNNNNNNNNNNNNNNNNNNNNNNNNNNNNNNNNNNNNNNNNNNNNNNNNNNNNNNNNNNNNNNNNNNNNNNNNNNNNNNNNNNNNNNNNNNNNNNNNNNNNNNNNNNNNNNNNNNNNNNNNNNNNNNNNNNNNNNNNNNNNNNNNNNNNNNNNNNNNNNNNNNNNNNNNNNNNNNNNNNNNNNNNNNNNNNNNNNNNNNNNNNNNNNNNNNNNNNNNNNNNNNNNNNNNNNNNNNNNNNNNNNNNNNNNNNNNNNNNNNNNNNNNNNNNNNNNNNNNNNNNNNNNNNNNNNNNNNNNNNNNNNNNNNNNNNNNNNNNNNNNNNNNNNNNNNNNNNNNNNNNNNNNNNNNNNNNNNNNNNNNNNNNNNNNNNNNNNNNNNNNNNNNNNNNNNNNNNNNNNNNNNNNNNNNNNNNNNNNNNNNNNNNNNNNNNNNNNNNNNNNNNNNNNNNNNNNNNNNNNNNNNNNNNNNNNNNNNNNNNNNNNNNNNNNNNNNNNNNNNNNNNNNNNNNNNNNNNNNNNNNNNNNNNNNNNNNNNNNNNNNNNNNNNNNNNNNNNNNNNNNNNNNNNNNNNNNNNNNNNNNNNNNNNNNNNNNNNNNNNNNNNNNNNNNNNNNNNNNNNNNNNNNNNNNNNNNNNNNNNNNNNNNNNNNNNNNNNNNNNNNNNNNNNNNNNNNNNNNNNNNNNNNNNNNNNNNNNNNNNNNNNNNNNNNNNNNNNNNNNNNNNNNNNNNNNNNNNNNNNNNNNNNNNNNNNNNNNNNNNNNNNNNNNNNNNNNNNNNNNNNNNNNNNNNNNNNNNNNNNNNNNNNNNNNNNNNNNNNNNNNNNNNNNNNNNNNNNNNNNNNNNNNNNNNNNNNNNNNNNNNNNNNNNNNNNNNNNNNNNNNNNNNNNNNNNNNNNNNNNNNNNNNNNNNNNNNNNNNNNNNNNNNNNNNNNNNNNNNNNNNNNNNNNNNNNNNNNNNNNNNNNNNNNNNNNNNNNNNNNNNNNNNNNNNNNNNNNNNNNNNNNNNNNNNNNNAUAAUAAAGAGGAUAUAUAAAUAUUUUCGUCAAUAUAAUUUCAACAUCGGAUAAUUUUAUUACUUAAAAAAAUUACUUGGAGUUGAACUACCGUAUUUUGUGGUUGAAUGGGAUUUAGUAUGAUUAUUUUAUUAUUUUAAAUGUAUACACAAUUUGUUAAAAAUUAACUUUGGUUUUCCAAAUUUGAGAAAUCAUAGUUACAUUUUUACAUAUUCUAAGUUUUUGUAUUUUGUUGUUGGAGAUUCCAUUUUUGGUUGAAAUUGUGCAAAAUACGUAAAUUUUAGAUUUCGAUCACAUUGUUGGGGUUGCUCGAGGAAGUAGCACGUGAUGUUUGAUGACGUGGCGAUGAAAUUUGGCCCGGCCCAUGGAAUACGGAGCGUUUUUUACGAUGAAAUUUUGAAACAUGGUAUGUACUCUUGGUCAUUUGCUUUUCGAUUAUGCAAAUUGUUCUUUUACUUUGAUAGUUCCAGACUUCCAGUAGCAGUUUCACAAAUUAAUUUGAUGAAAACAAAAUACUAUUAAUUAUAGUUAACUUUUUUUUUUAUUAAUUUAGAUUUAGAGGUUUAUAAGUUACUAUUAUAAAUUAUUGCAGUGUUGGAAAAUGUAUAGUUUUUUACUGCGACAGUGAUAAAAAAAUGACAUUACAUCUUUAUACUUAUUAAAAUUAUUUUCUCUUGAUAUUUUUUCUAUAAAUUUUCUUAUAAAUAUCAAAAAUUACUUUAGCUUCAAAUAAAUAUAGUUAGGGGUAUAAAUCGGACGAAUCGGGUCGGAAUUAGCCCUUUCGUGAACAAACAUGAUUUUUUUUGUAAGUGAAAAACUAGUUCCAAUAUCGUUCCAAAUAAAAUUGGAAGGAAUCGGAAUCAGGAUUUUGGACAUUGGAAUGAAAAAAAAUGGUUCCAAAAUCGGAAAUUUUUUUAUCGAAAAUUUGGCGGAUUUCGAAAUUUUUUAAUUUUUUGUCACCUAUAAUAUAAAAUACACAAUAAUAUUGGUAUUUUAAGCGUAAAAAUCAGAAGAUAAAAAAAUCAGAAAUUGCGGAUUAUUUUCGGAGCUUAAAAUUGGAUUGAAAAUCGAAAAAUAUUUCAUCAGAAUAAUUUCGGAAAAAUCGGAACUCGGAAUAUUUCAGAAUUGGAAUUGAAAAAUAUUAUUUCAAAAUCAAAAAAUUUCAAAUCAAAAUCGACGGAAAUCGGAAAUUCCGUUCCAUAUUCCACCCCUAAAUAUAGUUAAUACCACAUAGUACAAUACGUCAACAAAAUAACUUCAGAAAAGAAUAAUACAAAUAUUAUUCCUUUAUUGAGCAGCCCUUCUCAGAGUUCGAGCAUGUUUCAGACCACAAGCAUUGCACAAAGUCUGCACAGCAAACAAAUCAUUAUAAUUAGUAAGUUAAUUAAUUAUAAAAUUGUUUUAUGUAAACAUACGUAUAUAAUUAAAAAAAUAAGCAAAACUAAAUACUCAAAUAUUGCACCAGACUAAUUUACUUUACUAUAUUUUUUCAUUAUUUGCAUAACCAAAAUACUUAGAAUACAUUUAAAUAAUUACGAAGUUCAUUAAAAUAAAGGUUCCAAUAAUAUUGGAUUUCAUGAAUUAUCAAUAUAUAAAUAUAUAGUUAUAUAUAUAAUGGAUAAAUAUUAAAAGAGAAAAACUCACUUGAGGGCCAUUUGGACCUUUCCUCCAAAGAGGAGUAUUCAUGUUUCCACAUGCCAUGCAGACUUUUGCAUCAUCUGCAUUCAGUACUCCUCUACGUGCAAUAGGUGCACGGUUCACCUUAUAAUUACAUUCAAUUCAAUAAAAUUAAUCGAAAUAAUAAUCACUCAUAUAAUUAAACAAAACUAAUGGGGUACAUACCAAUGUAAAAAAAAUAACACAUGCUAACAUCGAUGAAUGUAUAAUAGAAUCUCGAUAAAUUCAUAUUAAAUAAAUUAAUAAUUUCGUUUAAAUAAUAAAUAAAAAACGGUCCCGAAUCAGUGAUAACGUGAAAAAUUAUUAACUUAAAAUUUUAAUGUCCGCUUUCCCGAACUGUAUUAAUUUAUAGAGGUUUAAGUUUACCUUUUUUGUUAAUUAAAGUUACUAAAUUGUAAGUGCAAUAUUGUUAAUACUUUUGUGAAUGUUGUGUGCACUAAAUGUGCAUAUAUUUUGUUUAUUAUAUUUAUCUUUUAUCAAGAAAUAUAAGCAUUCUAUUUUAGUUGGAAAUAUAAGCAUUCUAUAUAUAUAAUGAAUAUAUUUGUUAUAUAUAGGGGAAAAAAAUGAUAAUAUAUAUAGAGUAAAUUAAAUAAAUACCUGAUCAUUUGGUGCAUGAGCCUCCACUGGUGCAUGAACAUUAUCUACUGGUGCAUGAGCAACCACUGGAGCAUUCCCUUGAUUUGGUGAUGCCAAAGUUAGGGUAAGAUCAAGAUUGAUAUCUUGGUUGUUGUUCGCCAUUAAAUUUAUUUGGGAUCUAUCUUUCAAUUUUUCUAAUCAAGAUACAAAACAUGAAAAUAAGUAUAAUUAGUUAUGUAGGAGUAUAUAUAUAAAUUAUGUAUUAGACAUUACACAAAAAUAAAAUAGAGAUGGAUUUCAAUUAACUUGUUAAAUCAUCUUUAAUUACUUAGAAAUAUUCCUGCAAACAACGGAAUAAAUAAAAAUAAAUACUUUUUUUAAAGGAAUUUUUUCACAGGAAAAUAAUCAGAAAGUCAUUUAAUACAAGCAUAAAGAGCAUUCUUGUCGAAUAAUAGUAAAAAAUUAAAAUGAUAAACUAUUGUCGGGAUCUUAUUGUAAGAUCUCCUAUAAUGGAUACAAAAUACCACAUAGCGAUGAAAAAAGUAAGACGCCAAAAAAUGGAGGAAAACAAAUCACAGUAACAUAAGAAUAAUAAAGAUAUAUUUUUUUUAUUACACAACAACACGUGGAUCGCUGAUCGCAUAUAAAUAAAAGUAAAAGUUAAAAUAAUCUAAGCAUACAAUCAUUAAAAAAAAUAAGCAUACAAUCAAAAUGGAUGUACAUACAUACCACAAAUUAAAGCACAUACAAAUUAGAAGAGUAUAAAAUUUCAAUGAAGUUAAACAUAAAAAUCGAUUAACUUACAAAAAAGUGAUACUAAAAUACUUGUAUAGAACAACUCUAAAGAAAAGAGAAACAAUGAAAUAUAUAGAGAUAGAUUAUAAAAAAUAACACUAACUACAAUAUGUUACUUCACUCUUCUAUUCGUUGACAAUAUUUUUACUUUUGCAGGUACUUUAAAGCAAGUAAUUUUCGGAUGGGUUCAACAUUUAUUGACAGUUCUUGAGUGCCAACUCAUGUAUAAUAAAUACUAUUUAGGUGUAUCACAAAUCAUGUGAAGAAUCUUUUGAGGUUUAGAUAAAUUUCAAAACCGCACAACUAAAUAUUUAUUAAACUUUGUCUAAAUAUAGUUAAGUGUAGUAGUUGAUUGGUACAUUAAAUGUCUUCAAAGCUUGUAUAAUUAUAUAAAUAAUGAUAGUAUACAUUUGAAAAAUCGCGUACUCAUCAAACAUAUGUAUAAUGGGUACGUGUUAUAAUUCUUCAAUGUUAAUGUUAUCAGCGACGAGUUCAGGAAUUUGUUAUAUAGUGGACUUAAAAUUUGUAGGGUGUCGGGAGGUUUGCUCCUGAAGAAAAAAAAAAUAGAACCUUUUUUUAACAAAAUAAAUAAACAGGAAAAUAGAAAAACGAAAAAGAAAUUAGGAUUUCUUUUGCUCUAAUUUAGAUUUUGAGUGGACUAAAAAAAUAAAAAUUGAGUAAUUAAAUAAUUAUAUAUCGGUGAAACAUAGUGGAUAAAUUCUUUAACUAAGGCUGGAUUUGAGUCCACACUUGCCCAUGGAUAGACUCGCCUUGGCAUUAUUAAGUUUGUUAGAUAAUAUUUAAGCAUGAACUGUACAAGAGUUUAUGCAGGAGCUUGCUCUACGAAUUUACCAAGCAAAUUACAAGCCUACUAACGGUCUCCUCAUUAGCAUGAAACAGAAAUAUAUAAAAUUAAUAUCUAGAAAAAUUAAUGCAUGAAGAAAAACAAAUAUAGUUGUUGAUUUUUCAAAAUAUUUAAUAUUUAUGUUAUGUCUUAAAAUUCAUGUCAUCUUGCUACAAUAUUUUGCAUAUUCGUUUGCCUUUUUAUAAAAUUUAAUUUAAAAUAAUUAUGACCUUUAAGAACAAGAAAUUUUAAUAUAUCGAUGCUCUUUUUUAUUUUAUUCUCUAUAAAGAACAUAUUAGAUUUGGGGUUUUUUUUUUUACUUUUAAAAAAUGAAAUUUUAGUAUAGGACAUUUUGUAAACAAUAUUUUCAUUUAUAAAGAUGAACUGAUUCAACAUAAUGGCAUAUAUCUGAGCAGUACUAAAAUUAAGAAUACCAAUAUGUUUUCCUUGUCUCUGUACCCUUGUUAACCUUCUAAAAUUUCUCAAAACCCCCAAAAUCCCCAAAACUCCUAUUAACUCUCAAUAAUUCUCUCCAAUACUAAAAUCUCACCAAAAUUGAAGGUAAUUUCUACUCUAAAUCAGUUCUAUGUCAAUUAUAAUUGGUUUAUUUCGCUAAUUACAUGUUUAAAACCUCUAGAAAUCGAAUUAUUCAUUAAUUACUUACAUUAAUCAGUAAUUAUACUUAGUUUAUUUCGUUAUUAUUAAUUAUUCAUUAAUUACUUAAAAAUUAUUAAUCAAUUAUUAGCUAUUACUAAAUAACUAUUAAUUAGUAAGUAUUUAUUUAUCGAUUAAUUAUCAACCAAUUAAUAAUUAAUUAAAAAUUAAAAAUUGUUAUUAUUUAUUAAUCAUUCAUUAAUAAUCAAGUAAUUACUAAUUAACUGGAAAAAAAAAAGAAACAAACAAAAGACAAAGCAUUCGCGCCCAUGUUGGGCGUGAGAACUAUUGUUCCACUCCCAAAUUGGGCAUGAAAUAGUGGUUCCGACGUCCAAUAUAGGCGUGGAUUGUGUUUUUCUGCUUGAUUUGGGCGUAAAACAUGCUACUUCACACUCAUUUUGGGCGCGGAUAGGAAAAAAAUUAAGGACUUUUAAAAUUCCGAAGAAAGAGAAUUUUCGAAAAUUAAAACCGUAUUCGUAAAAAUGGUACUGCAUUUAUCAAGUCCGAGAAUAUAAUACUUUAAAAUUAAGUUUAAGUGGUGGGGUCCAAUAAGAAGAAGUUAGAUUUCAAGUCCAAUAAAAGGACCACCCAUGCUAGGCAAUUGAUAGUCAGUCCUAGUUUACCAAAACUGUAAAAUUAAUCUUUCUAAAGGCGCCAACUUUAUAAAAUAAACGGUAAAAUGCAAACAUUCCCCUAAAUUAAGAGUCUAAGACUAAUAUCUUGGGUCAUGAUUAAGGUCAUUCAAAACUUUGUUACAAAUUUCAAGGUUUUCUUUGCUUAUGAAAAUGGUGGAAUUGUUUCAUUUUCCUGGUAUUAUCGGCGGUGAAUUUCACCGAUUGAAGUUUUUAUUUUUUUUUACAAUUGGGGUCUCUGAUUCUUCAGCUUAUAAAUGAAGAUGAGAAAUUAUGUAACGCAAGAUGGAUUCCAGCGGUGGAGUCGGCAGCGUGUUACGAACUUGUUAAGAGAGUUUUGUAGGAAAGUACUUAUAUUGCUUGAGUGCCUAUAAUUGCUUUGACACUAGGCCAAAACAGCUCACUUGCGACGUUUUUUUUUGCGACGAUUUAAGAAUAGUCGCGACCUUGCGACAAUUUAUAUUAAAAAACGUCGCCAAUUGUCGAAAAAUAAGAUUUCGGUAGAAUAUCUCGCGACGAUAAUAUUAAUCGUCGCACAUUGGCGACUAUAUGUCCAAAAACGUCGCAAACGGGGAAAAAAAAAUCCUCUCCUAGCGACGUAUUUAUAUAAACGACGCACGAUUUUUUUUUUUGCAAUUUAUUUUUUUACCCUAGCGACGAAUAUGACGUAUACGUCGCUAGUGCAAUUGUGAAAAAAAACAUUUUAUUGGGUUGACGACGAAUUUGGAUAAACGUAGCGUAGUAAAGUGGAAAUAUUAAAUAAUAUUUAUUCGUCGUGGCGAAAGUGUACUAAACGUUGCUAGUAAAAAAUUUUGUUAAAAAAAUUAUAAUUAUUAUUUGCGACUAUAGUGCACUAAUCGUCGCCAAAAGACGAAAUAGUUGGAAAACGUCGCCAAGAGAUUCGUUUAAAGCUGAGUUUGCUACGAUUUGUUAGAAAUCGUCGCAAAUAAUUUAAUUAGAAUACAGACCCUAAUUCGAUUUCCCCAUUUUCUCUAACCCUUUCUUCUCGUUUCUCUCUCUCUUCCAAUCUCUCCACCAUCUGCCAUCUGCCGGUGCCUCCCCCUCCGCCAGUGCCUCCCCAUCCGCCGGCGCCUCCCCCUCUGCCGGCACCUCCCCCUCCGCGUCCGCCGUCGCCGUCGGCCCUCUUCAAUCCCCCUCCGUCUUGCUCGUCCGCCGUCCGCCGCAGCUCUCUGUCCAGCUCUCCGCCCAACAUCCGGCGAGGUCUAUACGACGGCGCCGCCACCUCCCUCUUCUCCCUACGGCCUCGUUCAUCUGUAGCUAGCCCUAAUUUCCUCCUCUCUACCUAGCCCUCGAUCUACAACCACACUAAGGUAACUUUCUUGCCCUAAUUUUUUUUUCAUUAAUGUGAAAUCCUAAUAAAAUUGAUUUGAAGUUGUGUGUAAAUUACCCAGUCUGAAAUUUAUUUUAAAAUUCAUUUGAAUCUGCAGUCGACACUCAAUAGGCAAAUAUCAGAUUGAUGAAAUUAAAAAAAAAAAUAUUGUUUGAGGAUGAUGAUACAGUGACAAAUAUAUAAUAAUUGUUUGCCUUUUGGUGUUGAUUUUAAUGAGAUGUUGAAUGUAAAAUAAUACAAGUACAGAUUUUUAGUAAAGUAUAUUGCUGUGUUCAGUUGACUUUGUAGAAGAUGAAUUGUGAAACACUGAAACUAGAUUUUGGUUAGUUAAUAUGUUUUCAAUCACACUCGAGCCGAUAAUUAACUGUACGUAAUUGACAAAAUCUGUUUGUAUAUGUUCACCUUUAAUUUAGUUUUAGUUUUUCUAUAUAAUCUUCACUUAGAGCAACUCUAAUGGAGUUAUUAAAUGGGUUAUCAAAAUCAUUAACUACUAUUUUGAUAAUUCAAAUUAGAAUUUUCCCCUCCAAUGGAGUUAUCAAAUGGGUUUGUAUUUUGAUAUUUUAAUUUUGGGAUAUAAAAAUACAUCCGGAAGAAAUAAUGUCAAUUAAAAGUUACACAACUUAACCACCUAAAUAACCAAUUAGAUAAUGACAUGUGUUAAUUAAAAUAUAAAAUCACAUUAUUUAUUUUUAACUAUCAACUAUUUGAUAUCUAUGGUUGGAACAAAUAAAUUUAAUUAGGUAUCAAACUAAAAUAUAAAAUAUCAAAUAAAUAUUUGAUAAUUCAUUUUGAUAUUUGUGGGUUGGAGUUGCUCUUAAUAGAAUAUAUUUUUUUUUAAUUUAAAGCCCUCGGUAUUUCUAGGUAUACUUGCUAAGUAAAGAAUGUCAAAAGAUAGGAGUUGGUUUUGUUAGACGAUCGUCGUUUGGAAAUAUUUCAAAAGGGUUGUGUGGAAUUUAUGGAUUUCGCUUUUGCUAACUGUGACAAUGAUAGUAAAAUAAGAUGUCCAUGUAGAGAUUGUAAGUGUCGUAAGUGGGGGGAUCGUGAAUUUGUGCAUAAGCACUUACUUUGUAGGGGUUGGGAUAAACUUUAUGGGCAACGCCGAUGGACUUUGCAUCAAGAGUCUGAAGAAGAUUACAAUGGCGAUGAAAUGAACAAUACUAAUGUUGUAGAAGUUCCCGAAGUUGCAGUUGUAAAUGAAUAUGACGGUAUUUGCGUUGAUGUUGGUCAUAAUAUGGAUGAUUUUAUGCAUGCAUGUUUUAAUCAAGGUCAACAAGAUCCGCUUGAAGAACCCACCCCAGAAACCGAUGAUUUUCGUAAACUCAUUGAAGAGUGGUGCAUCCCCGUUUAUGAUGGAUGUCGUGUAUAUACUAAAUUUUCAUUUAUCAUGGAGUUUUACAAAAUUAAAUCUCGGGGCAAGAUGAGUGAUAAUACAUUUACUGAGACACUUUAGUUAAUGAGGAAGCUUAAUUUUUUAAAUAUACCUGAAACUUUUUAUGAAGUUAAGAAGCUCAUCGGUAAAUUGGGGUGAGGUUAUGUCAAAAUUGAUGCAUGUGAAAACGACUGCAUGUUGUUUUGGAAGGAUGAUUUGAACUUAAAUGCAUGCAAAGUGUGUAAUGAUUCCAGAUGGAAGAAUCCCGUAGAAAAUCAACCGAUUUCUUCAAGCGCUCAACGCAAAAGGGUACCAAAAAAAGUUUUACGACACUUCCCAUUGAUUCCGCGGCUUAAGCGGCUAUUUGUAUGUGAAAAAUCAGCCGUUAACAUGUGAUGGCACGCUGAGUCUCGGUUUAACGAUGGGGAAAUCAAUGUUACUUUUGGCGUCGGCCAAGCGGUGCAUCGAGAUUCCCAAUGGAGAAAGAGGAGUAUCUUCUUCGAAUUGCCGUAUUGGAAAGAUAAUCUCAUACGACACAAUCUUGAUGUCAUGCACAUUGAGAAGAAUGUUGGAGAAUUAUUUCUUAGGUGGUUAUUAAAUAUUCUUGGCAAAAAUGACGGUUUCGACAAUGCUAAGGAGGACAUUGGAAAAAUUAAAAAGCCACCGUCGGGCAAGUCCGGUCCUCGAUUUCCCAACCUCGUUCCAAAAUUAGGAAAGUAUCACAAAUUGUCUGCCUAAUCAAAAAAAGCAGUUUGUGAUGUUAUAGCAAAUGUAAAGGUUCCUAACGGUUAUGCAUCUAAUAUAGCCCGUUGUUUUGGUGAAGACAAAGUAGGGGGAUUAAAGAGCCAUGACUACCACGUGCUAAUGCAACAGUUGCUUCCAUUGGCAAUUCGCAAUGUGGGGUUACCAAAAAAGUUGGCAAGUACAAUAAUCCAAUUGUGCAGUUUUUUCCGAGAAUUGUGUUAAAAAACAAACUCAGCUGAAGAUUUUCGAAAACUGCACUCUGUUAUUGUAAAAAUCUUGUGUGAUCUUGAGAAAUUGUUUCCCCAUGCAUUCUUUGUUGUUAUGAUGCAUUUGCCAGCUCAUCUAGCUCAUGAAGAAAUGGUUGCUGGACCGGUGAAUUAUCGAUGGAUGUAUCCGAUAGAGAGGUAUUUAUAAUUUCUUAAAUGUUAAUGCAUUUUCUAAUAAUUUGAAUUUAUUUUAUUUUAUGUUUUAUAAAAAAAAAUUCAACCUCAGAUACUUGGGUCACUUAAAGUCAUUUGUACGGAAUAAAAAGUGCCCCGAAGGUUCGAUUGUUGAAUUCUAAAUCACUGAGGAGUGCUUAAAUUUUUGCUCAUUGUACACAGAAAAUUCAUCUAUGAAUAUUUGUGACAAUGACAAACAAGGCAAUGAAGUGCGACCUAAGUACAGAACGCUUAGUUAUGAUGAAAUGGAAAAGGCGCACACCUAUUGUCUUUUUAACUCAGAUGAAGUUCAACCUUACAUUAAGUCACUUGCUAAUAUUUCGAGUUACUACUAUCUUCAAUUGAUUUUCACUUAAAAGAAUUACACAAAUCCUUUUAGGGAGCAUUUCGAGACCAUUACGAACAAAAUCUCGACAAGUGACCAAUGCAUACCAAUGGCGCAUUCAGCAAUUACAAGAAAAAGAAUUUCGUCAUUGGUUCAAAUCCUAUGUAAGUGUUUGAUUUGACUUAAACUUCAUUUGCAAAUUAUUUUUAACAAAGUAAUAAUAAUUAAUUGGUAACGAAAUAGGUGCAAACAAAAAGUGAAUUGUCUGAAGAUCUGAAAGCCUUAGCUUGUUCACCUCAAUUUAGAGUGAAGACUUUUAAGAUAUUUGAAUAUGUUCCGCACAAAAUCAUCUGAAGAGUCUCUUUUAACUCAAAAUAGUGGUGCUUUUGUCAAAGCAAAGACUGCUAGUUUCGCAAGCUCAAAGAAUAAAUCUCCUAGAGAAGAAGAUGUAGGGUACUACGGUCUAAUAAAAGACAUCAUUGAACUUUCAUUCGUUGUAGGUACAAAAAAUGUGGUUUUGUUUGAGUGUGAUUGGCCUAAUAUUCGCAUGAAUAAGACGGAUGGUUUGGGAUUUACACUUGUGAACUUAACAAAACCAGAUACACUGAGGGAAACCGGGCCAAGUAUUAGUGAGGAAGGAGAUACAGAAGAACCAUAUAAUGGGAUAGCAACUCCUGAACAACUUCGCAUUUCGGUAAGUGUAAUGUAGUUUUAUUCUUUAAUUGGUUGUAUGUUAAUUAUUUAUAUUUAUUGUUGUCGCAUGUUUAUCAUAUGUAAAUUAUUUGAUAUGUUAAAUUAGUACGUAGUUGAGAUAUGUGGAUAUGAAUAUUUGUUUUAAAUAAUGUUAAGUUGUUGUAUACAUGGAUGGUUUUUUUGGAUAUGUUCAUUUAUUAGUUGUUAUGCUGUCGAAAUUUUCGCUAAACAAGUGUACUUAAUCAUUUUCAGGCUGAUUUGGAACGAGUCUACGAUGAGACAAUGCGUGAUGGGAGUGACGAAAGCACGGCCAACUCAACUGCAAUAGAAAAAGUGCUCGAAAAAAGCAAAGGGCUUGGAAUUAAGAUUGCAACCACCACAAGGAGUUCAAAGUCGAGAUUUUCUUCAAAUCCGCCAGAGGUGCAAAUGGAAAUGAAGUCAAUGAAAGAGCAAAUGCAACUUAAAGAUGAAAAAAUGGAAAGAUUGGAAGCGGAACUGAAAGAAACCCGAGAAAUUGUGAACACCUUGGUCGGCCGUUUUGGACUACAAGCCUCGACAUCGACUCCUUCCAAUGAUGGUGGAGUAUAAAAAGGGAUGAACUUUGUUUGAUUUUUGAAUUAAAGUUUGAAACACUACAUUAUAUGCUUUUAAGUUUUUAUGUACUUUUUUAAUUUAUGUUUUGUGCUACCUUGAUAUUUAAUCCAUAUAAUUGGUUUUAAUAUUUUUGAUAUAAGUAUUUUUUUUUUUGUACAACUGCUGAAUACAGGUUGAAUUUGUCAAUUAAAAAUAUAAAUGAACCAGAAUUUACAUUUUUGUCGCCAAAUUCCGUCGCCAGUCGAUCAUUUUGGCCUAGUGUGAUUUCUUGAAAGCUUAUAAAUAAAGAUCUUACUCCUAUUUUUACCAAGCCACCUCCUUAAUGGAUGGUGGAGAUUUAUUUGAUCUAAGAGCUAGGAGUUAUUCAAUAGAAUACACCAAAAAAAUCCUAAAAAUAUGUACAAAUGGAAGGUUCUAGAAAGUUUUCUAAAAUCCUCUAAUGAUCUCUACAAAACAUAUUUACAUUUGAGUCAACUUGGGCCUAACCUUAUUUGAGCUGAGUCUUAGACUCUUUAACCUCUCCAACCCAAGGAAAGCUGACAAAGGGUUCGGCCAAAACUGGCGGACCGUAACAGGCAAGUGGUAGUGGUGGUGGUGGUGAUGAAUGUGAUGGAGAAGCAUUCCGCGCGUUUAUAUUUUUUAUUUUUUAAUAUUUUUUUAAUUAAAGGAUAAUUUGAGCAGUUUCAUCAUUAUCUUAGAGUUUUGCUCGGAUUGAUAGCUUGAGGGGUAUUCGUAAUUAUCACUACCAUAUGGGUGUGUAAGUUAUUUAUCUAUACCUCAGGAGUGCUUGUAAUUUACACUAAAAUAAAUAAACACGAAUAAAUAGGGUUGAUGGAAUUUCGCUCCCUAAACUAUAGUGCGUUUUGCACAUUACCCCCUAGAAUAUUUUUUUUACAAGUUUCUAUAUGAACACUCGUUAAAUUGUUGCAGAGUACCAUAAAAUUGUCAUUUUCAUUCAUUUAAACUAAUUAUUUUUUUAAUUUGUCAUUCAAAUUUCAAUAAUCACCCCUAAGAACACAAAAAAAUAUUAUCAACAUAGGCUAAUUUGUAAAUAAUAGAAAACAAAAUAUUAAUUUAUAAUUAUUUUAUAAUUUGUUAUAACCUUAAAUAAUUUAAAAUGAAAGAAAAAGUUAAAUAUAUAUUAAAUAUUUCGGUAUACGGUACGAUAUACCGGACGUUAAUACCAUAUACCAUACCGAAUACCAUAAUUCAAAAAACAAAUUAUACAUAAUACAUAAUCGAAUUUUCGGUUCGGUAUUUAACACAUAUCGAAUUUUUGAUUCGGUCGGUUUACCAAUCAAUGAACGCCCCUAGAUUUCAGUAUUGAAAAGUAACAAAAUAAAAUCAGUAGUCAUUUUUUUAUUAUUUGAUUAUAUUACAAAUAAAAUUAGGGAAAAUUUGCUAGACCCCCCUUAUAUAGGUGGAGAUCCUAGUUGCUAGAUGAAUGCAUGAACAGGUCCUUUGAUCCAAAAGAAUAAUAUAAAUAAAGUAAAAUAAUUAGUAUAUAGACAUAAACACCCUCAAUUGAUAAGAAAACGUACAAAUAUCAUAUAUCACUCCCUCUCUCUCUCCAAUCUCACGUUUCUCUCACCAUAUACUUAAUCUUUCAUCUCUCUCCCUCUAUAUCUCACGCCUCCCUCUCUCGUUCUUCUAUGUUUUUUUCUUUUUCUUUAUUAUUAUUUUUUUAUGAAGAAAUAUUAUAUAGAAGGAUAAAAAAAUAUUUUUAGAUUAUGAGAUGAUUUAUUGGUGAAAGAGUUAAAGAGGACAACAAACAUCCCUUCCCCCUCCCAAUUUUUUUUUCCAGCCAAAAUUCGCGUUGUGUCUUCCGUAUGUAGAUACUUCCCAUCGUUUGUUGUUAGCAAUUUCCGUUUGCAGGUUGGUUUGACUUCGUUUAUUGUUUGAAGAAUUGCGUUUGGUGUUGAGAUUCGAUUCCUCUCGUUUACAAUUUAAAAGGUAUGUCUUAAGUUACAUUUUACAAACACUUUGUUUAAUGUUUUGUUGUUUGCAACAAGUUCCAUAAAUAAUGUUUUUGUUGAUGUUUUUAAUUAAUGAUGCUGAUUUUUUUUCAGUUUGUUGUAUACAUUUGGCGAAGUCAUAGGUAAUUUAUUGCUUGCAAUUCAAUUAUGCAAGUUCUGUUGAUUUUUUUAUUUUCAGUUUGCUGUUUGCAUUUGGCGAAGUCAUAUGUAGUUUUUUGUUUGCUUCAAUAAUGCAAAUUCUGGAUUUUUUUUUUUACUUUACUGUUUGAAUUUGGCGAAAUUAUAUGUAUUAUGUUGUUUGCAAUUCAAUAAUACAAAUUCUAAUUUUCAGUUUGCUAUUUGCAGUUUACGGGGUCAUAGGCGUCGCAGUUCACGGAGUCAUAAACGACGGUAACCUUUUUAGCAUAUGAGUUUGUAAAUUAAAUAUUAUAUUUUUUUAGGAAUUAAUUUAAUUUUUUAGUUAAUAUUUGGAAGAGAGAGGUGUUUGGGAAUUCGUUUUGAUAGAGAUGUUUGGGGGAUUUGAUUUGAUUUGACUAGGGUAUUUUUGCCACAAUAAAUAUUUAUUAAUUUAUUAAAACAUGAAGAUUUGACUUGAAUAGACAUAAAUUAUAAUAUAGAAAGACUUAUAGCAAAUUUUAUAGCAAAUUGCCCUAUAAAAUUAUGAUAUAAAUCCAAAAUAAGAAAUGAAAAAUACCUUGAAGCUAAAAAUCGCUUUAACUACUAAAAUAUUGUGAGUUUGUUUGGAUCAAAAUCUAACAAAAAAUCAUUAAUCAAUGUCAAUGGGCAGCAAAACACAAUUCAUCCGCCGGAAUGAAAUAUAACAGAAGAUCAAAAGGUGAGGGAAUGAUUUGAAGUCAUAAUAUGGCAACAAAUUUGAGAGAUGAAAAUGAAUUUUAAAAUACUCAAAUUGCAAAAAUAUUUUUUUUAUUUAGAUAAUUACAAUUAUUUAUCAAUUAUGUAUUGUCUUACACGUAUGUCCUUAUGGUUACACUUUUAACUACUGAAUGACGAGUUUUUCCAUAAACUAUACAAAAUUGAUGGGUAGUUGUAAUUAUCGAAAUAUGAAUUAUUUUUUGUAAUUUGAUAUCAUCUCAGUGUGGCCGUAAUUGACCCGAUAAAAUAUCUUUUUCUUUACAUGUAAUUGUAAAAUAUAUGAGCCAUAAUAAAAAAAACCAUACUUUUAAACGGCGAAGCCCAUUCCUUAAAUAAAGGGUUGUUGCUCUGUGAAUCUGCAGGCAACAGUAAAUAAACAAAUCCUUCUUUUUUUCCUCUCCACUUUCUUUUCCAAUUUUAUUUAUUUAUUUAUUUAUUUAUUUAAUUUUUAUAAGAGAGAGUCUAUCCACUUGAUUUAGAAUGUACGUUUAAUUGAUAGCUUGACCAUCAUCAUCACUUUCCAUCCAUCACACGGACGUGCGUGCCUGUUUGUUUCCUGUACCUACUAUUUCACCUUUUUUGACAGCUCAUUCAAAUAUAUAUACCAAAUUAAUCAUCCAACUUCACAACCCACAAACUAUACUAAUUAAUAAUGCAAUUCUUCAAUAUAUAUAUAUAUAUAUAUAUAUACACACACUUCACAAUUUGAUUUAAUUUUUAGUAAAUAUCUAGUUAAUUUAAGUUAGAGGAUUUUAAAUUAAAUAUGCACUUCUUAAUUUUGCAUUUUUCUUCAAGUUUUACGACAUGAUGCUUUCCGUUUUAAUUCGAGUUGGUCGUUCCAUUUCUUGCUUGGCUAGGCCACUUUUGCGUUGUCGUUGUCUGCAUGGAAUUCAAUUUUGAGUUUAUUUAUACAACGAUCUAAUCCCCCCUUGAGGACCUUUCAUUAGAAAAAAACAGUCAAGAAUUCAAGGAAAUGCUUGUUAUUCUAAAAAUUAACUUGAUUCAUUAGGGUCAUACUAAAAUUCAAGGACAACUCUCUCAAUAUACCCUAAUAAUUGAAUUGCUAAUAAUUCAAAUAUCAAAAAAAUGAAGAAAAAGAAAACUACAAGAAGGAGCAAAAAGUUGGUCAAUCAUGUAGAAGAAAUAGAUGAGUAAUUAGUCCGAUCCUAAAACUUUUUCGAUCGAGCUCGUCGCACAUGAUCAGCCCAAUUUUAGUUUAACUUUCUCAUGCAAUAUUUAUUUUUUCACUAAAUGCAUAAUAGAGAGUACAAAAGGAGAGCUAGUUUAAAAUGUGAAAAGGAGAGGGGGAGACAAGUAUUCAUGUAAUAGGGGUCUAAAACAUGUUGUGCACAAUAUCUUAGUUGUCCAUUAAUAUGAGAUGGGUCCUAAACCCUAAUAAUCAUACACUCACCUAACCAUAAGAUGACACAACCCUACCCCCCACCCUACCCCUCUAUCUUUUUAAGUCUCUCCAUCUUUCUUUUUCUUGGCAUUUGUGAUUUGACAAAUAUAGAGAGAGAGAGAGAGAGAGAGAGAGAGAGAGAGAGAGAGAGAGAGAGAGAAACUAGCUAGAAUAAAAUCUAAUUAUAUUUUGUGUCACCUUUCCUUUUGUCAUGAUCCCACACCCAUUCUACUGUAUACCAAUUUAUCUCUAUAUCUAUCCAUCUAACUAUUAAGCAGCCAGCCUUUUUGAUCAACUUUCUGAUUAUAAGCUUACUACCACACAAGUAUCCAUCUCUCUCUCUCUCUCUAGAUCGAUCUCUCUCUCUCUCUCUCUCUCUCACUCAACCACACACAAUACAGAGUAUAUAUAUGCAAUCAUAUAUGGAGUAAAGGUUGAUCAGUCUACACACACACACUCUUUCAUCAGAAAUGAUUAAUAGUUGCAGAUUAUAUGUAAAUAUUAAUUAUGUUAUGUUAAUGUUGUUGUUGUUGUUUAGUAUAAAUGAUUGUAAUGCGUCGAGAAAAACAAAUGUGUUGGAAACAAGACCCGCGGCAGAAGUAUUAUUACAUCAUCAGAAUAAUAAUUCAGCAGGAGGCCAUUUCUUACAUAUGCUGCCAAAGAGAAAAGUACCCGCCUCCGCUCCUUCAAGAAAACACAACGAUCUUGGCCUCCAAACACGGCGAUUUCCUUGAGCACCAUAUAUAUAUUUUUUUUAUUUCUGUUUUUGUUAUCUGUGUAACUGAUGAAUAUAAGGGGGUGUUAAUUAUAUAUACUGAAAUUGAUAUAGUUGCACGAUCAUUGAUGAUCGGAUAUACUAAAAAGUAGUUGUAUGUUUUUUGUAUGUUUAGAUGUAUAACAUCAUUAAUUUAAUACAGGUGUGGCGACAACAUAAUGUUUGCGCACGGAUGCUCAAAUUAUGUGUUCUCACCUUUUUGGAGGAGACAACAUGCUACAAAAAGAAUUCAACACUUACUAAUAAAUAUAGUAAUUAUUCAUCGUUCUACUUAGUGUACAUAUACAUAUAUAUAUAUAUAUACAUAUAUAUAUAUAUAUAUAUAUAUAUAUAUAUAUAUAUAUCUUUGACAUACCCUGGAGAGGUGAAAAUACUAUAUGUUGGGUGCUAAAUACCUAACACGCAAGUGCACGUAUCGCAAACAAGUAGUAAAAGUGGACUCGUGAGAGUCGGAUGUCGAUCCCACAGGGAAUACUUAAAUUAUCUAAUCCUAAUUAAGUACCAAAUUCUAACAACUAUGAUUUUUAUCCAGCCUACGCAAGUUUGUUAAAUUAAAUCAACUAAAUAAUUAAACUAAUUAUGAAAGAAAUUAAACACGAGAAAAUAUCAAUAAAAGCGGACCUAGGAUUUUAUCUUCGCCCUAUGCAAGAAUUGCUCACCCAAAACCCCUCAAUUAUGAAAUAUAUGAUUCAUGAUUAUUAACCCGAGACACUAAUUUACUCAUAACCCGGUGUCGCGUGUAUUAUGAGUCUAUUAUUCAUAAACGAUUCACUAUAUGUCUAUACAAACCAAUUAUAAAAUAAGCAUUAACUAACAAGUCUCGUAAAUGGCUACCUAAGGUGAUAUCUGUAUGUCUACGACACCACAUGCAAUUGACACAUUCAUCCGGUGAAAACUACUCGAAGGCUCUUCUACUUACCGUCUAAUUAUCAAAAUAGCUCUGUCGAGUCAAUCCCAAUAAUCACAGAUAAAGCAUAUAAAUUGAUCAAGUUCAUGCACUAACAAUCAUAACAAGUAUAAGAAAUAAUCAUAAAAUCAUAAUUGCAUAAUCUCAAGAAAACGGGUUCACAAUCCCCACAUAGGGUUCCAACAAAAUCCUAGAUUAAAAACUUAGCUACUCAUAACGAAAAACAUAAUAAAAGUAACAAAAGUCAUAGAUUAAGAAAAGAUAGGUGAAAGAAGAAUUAUGAUGAAGAGUUGUCAAUUCUCCGUCUUCGAUUCUUCGUUUUCUCGCUCCUCUCGCUCCAAGGUUGUGUCCAAAGUUCUCUAAUUCGUGCUUGGUUUUGGGCUUAAAUAGAUGUCCCAACUUGGUAGAUGAUUUUAGGUUUCCUUGUGUGAUUAAAAGUCCAAAAUUGUCUCCAGCGUGUGUUGGCACGGCCGCGCGAAAAUCAGUGCAGUUCUCACACGGCCGCGCGAGAAUCGCCGAAACCUUAUGCCCAAUUUCUGCUAUUGGCACGGCCGUCCCAUUUUUAGCUGUAAAUUUGGGACGGCCGUCCCGUGCCAAUUUCUUCAGAUUUUUAAUUAUUUCACUUUUGGCCCAUAUUUUCUCCAAAAUUGCAGUUUUGACCCCAAACUUUUCGAAUUCUUCAAUUUAUACCUAAAAUACAAUAAAUCAACUUUUUAGACAUCAAUUAUCGUUAACUCACACCAAAAGCUCAAAUAAAAAGGUACGAUAAAGUAUAAAAAUAUAUACUCAACACACCCCCAAACUUGAUCUUUUGUUUGUCCUCAAGCAAAAACUAGCAACUUUCACAGCAACACUCUCAACAAAUGCCUCUCAUCACAUAGAUUAAUGGUCAACUUUCAUUUUUUCAGAACUUGCAAUUAUCAUGACAAUUCUCAAAAAUUUACAAGCUCGUAAUUCAAAGAUACGUAUUCACUCACCAUUGCUAAAAAACACAAAUCAUGCUAUCGCUUCAAGUAUCUCAUAUUUGUACAUUAAAAAUUGAGAAAAUUUAUACUUACAUAUUAAUAUUCAACUCCAAAUACUCACCAAAUUUCUUUACUCGGCUAGUAUCAAAUAAUUGAGCUAUUGGGAUCAUUGGGACUUUUUGGCUUUCAAAUGUUGGGCUUUUUGGUUCGAGGUAGGAGAUAUGGGUAUAGGUGGCUAUGCUUCUUGAAUUGAGAUGAUUACGCUAAAUUUUGAUAGAUAGGCGUUUGAAACAAUGAAUUCACCUCUAAGGACUUUAAUAAACUCGAUUCUUAAGAGUUCAAAAGUCUCCACUUUUGCUCUUAAGACAAUGGAUCAAGCUUACAAAACAAUUCAACAACUAGUCCUUACUUCUCCUUCUAGUCUCUUCUUCUUCUUUUUCUUUCUCUUUUUUAUUAUUUUUUUUUAUAUUUCUUUUUUUUUUUUUUUCGAAGAAGAAGAAGGACCUUAUAAAAAAAUUCGACCGAACUCCAAGGGUUAAUUUUUCAAAAAUCUCCACUUAUUCUACCUUAUACACAUUAGCUAAAAGAAAGAACACCGUUUCUCCAAGGCUCAAUCAAGGUUCGAAUGAUAAAAAUUUAAAGGUAGGCUUGAAAGGCUCAAACGGUUCAAAGAUGGCCCAAAUCACUUCCCAAAUUGCUCAACAAUUUAAUAUUUCACUUUGUAAAUUCAUAAGACAAGUUCUAAAACCGAAUAGCAUAUGAUAUAACAUAAAUUAACUCAAAUUUUAAAACACAAAACUUUCAACCAAAGCAACGCAUAAUUCGAGAUUCCUAACAAUGACUCCUUCUUACGACACUUUGAAUCAAAAGCUCACCAAAAUUCGAUCAAAAUCAAGAUAAAACAAGCAAUUUCAUCAUUAAACAUCGACCAUCUUUCAUCAUCAUGAUUCAUCGAAGCAUUUAUCUCAAGCAAUUUUUUUUUUAUUUUUUUUAUUUUUUCGAAAGAAAUAACUAAAAUAAAAUAACUCAAAUAAAAAAAACUUAAGGCAUGCAAACUAAAAAAUUAAAGCACAUAAAAACCAGUAAUUUUCCACCCCCAAACUUAAAAUUUACAUUGCCCUCAAUGUAAUUAACACGAAGUUUAAGGAUAGAAUACACCUGAAUAAGUCGUCUUGGCCGUCUCCGGUUUUCUCUCCACCCUCGCCUUUAUUAUGCUUCUGUUGAGUUUCGCACGGCUGUAUGAGAUUUUGAACUAUUUUCCGCACGGCCGUGCGAUUUGCCAAUAUUGGGCAGUAACUUCCAGAUUUUUCACACGGCCGUGUGAAAUUAAGCCUUGUUUUGGGACGGCCGUAUGAGCUGCAAAAUUGCGAUUUUUGGUCCUAAAAAUUAAAAACAUGUUUAAUUUAUUAGCUUGCAUGCUUAUAAAAUAAAUAAACAAAAUAAAACAAGAAAAAUAAAUAAAAUAAAAUAAAAAACGAAAAUCUUGGGUUGCCUCCCGAGAAGCGCUAAGUUUAUAGUCUUCAGCCAGACUUUGUUCUUGCUCUUCAAUUCCUUAGCUUUUGAACCCAUCUCCGUACUUCCUUUUGGAGGUAGUCUUGAAUAAAUGGGUUGAUCCGAUUCUUCUUUCGACUGGUUCGCUUAUUCUUCUUGAUGUCAUGAGGCUUGCCAACAUCGUCUUUAAAACCCCAACUCUUUUGACUAUCUCCCGGAAGAGUUGGAAUUGAGUUCAUAAAAUAAACUUGCUCCUUCCGACUCCCGUUUCCGCCAUCAUCUCCUGCACUCAAAGAUUCUUUCCCAUGGUCCAAGAUCGAAACGUCAAAUUUUUCAUGAUUUGUAAAAUCCAUAAGAUCAAUAGCAAAACAAUCAUUAUUAUCACAUGGAUUUUUAUUAGCACUAAAAACAUUAAAUUUGAUCGUUUGAUCAUGCACCGUCAUUGUAAGAUCACCACUAGAAUAAUCAAUUAGAGUUUUCGACGUGGCUAAAAACGGUCUCCCUAAAAUAAGAGGUAUCUCCAUAUCUUCUUCUAUAUCAAGUAUAACGAAAUCAACAGGGAAGAUAAAUUUGUUCACUUUUACUAGCACAUUCUCUAAAAUACCUUUUGGGUAAACUAAAGACCUAUCGGCUAAUUGAAGAGUUAUAGCCGUCGGUUCAAUCUCACCUAACCCAAGAUUUUUAUAAGUCGAAUAAGGCAUAAGAUUAAUGCUAGCUCCUAAAUCAUUGAGCGAUCUAAAAUUUUUACCUCCUAUAGUACAAGGAAUAGUGAACUUACCUGGAUCGCCGAUUUUUUGUGGAAGGGGCCGUAUAAGAAUUGCACUGCAUUGCUCCGUGAGUUGGAUCAUCUCGUUCCCUUGCAAUUUCUUCCUCUUUGUCACGAGAUCCUUAAGGAAUUUCACCCACUUUGGCAUCUUUUGAAGGGCUUCGAUAAAAGGGAUGUUUAUGUGAAUCUCCUUCAACUUGUCCAAAAACCCUUGGUAUUCGGCAUCGAGCUUCUUCUUGAGAAACAUUUGAGGAUAUGGAAUUGGAGGGGCUCAUGAUUUCACUGUUGAUGAUAGUGAUUCUUCGUGAGUUGCUUCUUUUUCCCCAAUCACACUCGUCUUCUCGAUUACCGUACUUCUCUUCUCUUUUCGUGGGGCUUCCUCCAAUUGUCUCCCAUUCCUUAAACUUACAGCAUUGCACUACUCGAUGUUGCUCUUUCGAGGAUCUUCCGUAUUCGACGGCAGUGCUCCCGAUGGCCUCGCGGUUAGCUGGGUUGCAAGUUGACCCAUCUGUGUUUCCAAAUUUCGGAUGGAGGCUUGGGUGGUUGUCAUAAAUUGCGCCAAGAUAUUUGCGAGAUCUCCAUCUUGAGGUUGAGCUUCAAGUGGUGCUUGCCUUUGUCCUUGCUGAUUUCCUCCCCAUCCAAAGUUGGGGUGAUCUUUCCAUCCCGGAUUAUAGGUGUUGGAGUACGGGUUCCUCUGUUGUCGGUUGGUGUCAUUCACGUAAUUUAGAGACUCUGUUUCUUCUAAGCACUGGUUGGGACCGUUGAUUGCAUGGACUUGCUGAGUCUGCAAAGCUGCUACUUGCUUUGAUAGCUUUUCUAACUGGGCGGUGAUUGCGGUGACCCCGUCUAACUCCAAAAUUCCUCCCGUCUUGACGACUCCGCUAUUUGACCGGUCCGAUGCCCGCAUGUAUUUGUUCCUUGCGAUUCGCUCCAAAAGUUCGUACGCUUCGUCAUAGGUCAAGCUCAUGAACAUACCGCCAGCUGCUGAAUCGAGCACCGUUCUCGAAUUAUCUUGCAAUCCAUCAUAAAAUAUUUGAAGUUGCCGGCACUCUUGAAGUCCAUGAUUCGGGCAUCUCCGAAUUAAUUGUUUGAACCUCUCCCACGUCUCGAAUAGCGCUUCACCGGCUUCUUGCAUGAAAUUUUGUAUUUCUCUCCGGAUUCUCUCAGUUUUUGUUGGGGAGUUGUAGGUGUUCAUGAAGAGUUGUGCUAAUUGGGGACAAGACGAGAUGGAGUGCGGUGCGCAAGUUUGUAACCAUUCUCGGGCUGCUCCUUGUAAAGAGUGCUUGAACAAGCGGAGUUGCAGUGCUUCGGGUGAUACUCCGUUCAUCUUGUGCGAGUCGCACGUCUCGAGAAAAUUGACUAAGUGGAGAUGCGGAUCUUCGUGAGCUAAUCCGCUGAACAAUCCAUUGUUUUGGAGCAUCGUAAGGAGUCCCGCUCGAAUUUCGAAAUUGUUUGCUUCAAUGGGGGGCUGCUGGAUGCUUGAUUGAAACCCAUUGAGUGUUGGAACGGUGUACUCAUGCAAUGCUCGUUGACGAGGUGGUGGAUUAAUUAGCUGAAGUUGCUCUUGCUCGUUGACGAUAUUUCCUGCCGCAUUCGGUAGGCGCCCUUGGUCAUCUUCCCUACGAUUAUUCUCUUCUUCCAUUGUCGCAUAAAAAGUACCUAAAAAAAAUAAAAAAAUAAAAUAAUUAAAUAAAACAAAUAAAACGGCUGAAGUAAGAAAAAUUGCUCAAAUUUAAUAUUAGAAUAAAUAGAUAAUUUAGCCGUAUUCCCCGGCAACGGCGCCAAAAACUUGUUGGGUGCUAAAUACCUAACACGCAAGUGCACGUAUCGCAAACAAGUAGUAAAAUUGGACUCGUGAGAGUCGGAUGUCGAUCCCACAGGGAAUACUCAAAUUAUCUAAUCCUAAGUACCAAAUUCUAACAACUAUGAUUUUUAUCCAGCCUACGCCAGUUUGUUAAAUUAAAUCAACUAAAUAAUUAAACUAAUUAUGAAAGAAAUUAAACACGAGAAAAUAUCAAUAAAAGCGGACCUAGGAUUUUAUCUUCCCUCUAUGCAAGAAUUGCUCACCCAAAACCCCUCAAUUAUGAAAUAUAUGAUUCAUGAUUAUUAACCCGAGACACUAAUUUACUCAUAACCCGGUGUCGCGUGUAUUAUAAGUCUAUUAUUCAUAAACGAUUCACUAUAUGUCUAUACAAACCAAUUAUAAAAUAAGCAUUAACUAACAAGUCUCGUAAAUGGCUACCUAAGGUGAUAUCUGUAUGUCUACGACACCACAUGCAAUUGACACACUCAUCCGGUGAAAACUACUCGAAGGCUCUUCUACUUACCGUCUAAUUAUCAAAAUAGCUCUGUCGAGUCAAUCCCAAUAAUCACAGAUAAAGCACAUAAAUUGAUCAAGUUCAUGCACUAACAAUCAUAACAAGUAUAAGAAAUAAUCAUAAAAUCAUAAUUGCAUAAUCUCAUGAAAACGGGUUCACAAUUCCCACAUAGGGUUCCAACAAAAUCCUAGAUUAAAAACUUAGCUACUCAUAACGAAAAACAUAAUAAAAGUAACAAAAGUCAUAGAUUAAGAAAAGAUAGGUGAAAGAAGAAUUAUGAUGAAGAGUAAAACUACUCGAAGGCUCUUCUACUUACCGUCUAAUUAUCAAAAUAGCUCUGUCGAGUCAAUCCCAAUAAUCACAGAUAAAGCACAUAAAUUGAUCAAGUUCAUGCACUAACAAUCAUAACAAGUAUAAGAAAUAAUCAUAAAAUCAUAAUUGCAUAAUCUCAAGAAAACGGGUUCACAAUCCCCACAUAGGGUUCCAACAAAAUCCUAGAUUAAAAACUUAGCUACUCAUAACGAAAAACAUAAUAAAAGUAACAAAAGUCAUAGAUUAAGAAAAGAUAGGUGAAAGAAGAAUUAUGAUGAAGAGUUGUCAAUUCUCCGUCUUCGAUUCUUCGUUUUCUCGCUCCUCUCGCUCCAAGGUUGUGUCAAAAGUUCUCUAAUUCGUGCUUGGUUUUGGGCUUAAAUAGAUGUCCCAACUUGGUAGAUGAUUUUAGGUUUCCUUGUGUGAUUAAAAGUCCAAAAUUGUCUCCAGCGUGUGUUGGCACGGCCGCGCGAAAAUCAGUGCAGUUCUCACACGGCCGCGCGAGAACCGCCGAAACCUUCUGCCCAAUUUCUGCUAUUGGCACGGCCAUCCCAUUUUUAGGUGUAAAUUUGGGACGGCCGUCCCGUGCCAAUUUCUUCAGAUUUUUGAUUAUUUCACUUUUGGCCCAUAUUUUCUCCAAAAUUGCAGUUUUGACCCCAAACUUUUCCAAUUCUUCAAUUUAUACCUAAAAUAUAAUAAAUCAACUUUUUAAACACAAAUUAUCGUUAACUCACACCAAAAGCUCAAAUAAAAAGGUACGAUAAAGUAUAAAAAUAUAUACUUAACACUAUACUACCCUUGUAUGCAAUUUUCGGCCAAGCUGCAUUCAGCAUUUCUGAUGAUAUAUUUUGUAUUUUCGUUGAUUUAUUUAUUAUUAUUUUUUUUAUAAACUUGUUGUUUAAUUUAUAUUAUACAUUUUUUUAUAUAUUUUUUUUAAAUUUUAAUUUUGUUUUAAAUAAAUAUGUUUACUGUAAAAAAAGUAACUACAUGUAACUUUGGUAAGCUAUAGUAAUUCGUAGUUAUGUUCUUUUUCUUUUACCAAUAUUUUUAGUCAAUCAAUUAUGUAUACACACAAAUACUGACUUAUACAAAAGAAAUUCAUAAACCCAAGCAAUAAAAAUUUACAAAUUUCAAUAUUUAUAUUAUAAAUCACCUCAUAACAAAUAAAAUACAAAUAAAAAAUACACAAAUAUAUAUAUAUAUAUAUAUAUAUAUAUAUAUAUAUAUAUAUAUAUAUAUAUAUAUAUAUAUAUAUAUAUAUAUAUAUAUAUAUAUAUACAUGUUAUUAUAUGUAACUAGUAAUGUAUAGUAAUGUACAGUAAUAUAUACAGUGUGUUGAACAUUGUAACUUGAAGCAGAUGUAACUUCAACCAAUUUUUUAUCACCUUAAAGGAGAGGAUCAAUGGCUUUCAUUAAGCUGCAAUAGCAAAAUCAAAACAAAGAAAAAAAAUUGGUGCAAAUAAACAAAAAUUGAAAAACAUCAAAACACUCAAAAAUCAACAAACACUUAGAGAUCGAGAGAUAAAGACAGAAAGGCCAUAGCUGCGAAAUGCUACGAAUUUUAGACCAAACCACCAAUGACUCCUCACUCCAAUCGCCUCCUACCAAAACCCUAGCCGCCGUUAACCACCCAAGGUUCCGCGCUCACAAAUGAAAAAUUAUAGAAAUAAAUCUGACAAUAUAAAACUGAACCAAAAUUACCAUCAAAAUAUAGAUUUCGACAAGAGGAAUCCAACGGUGGGUAGCCCGUCAAAUUCCGACCGACGGAACACAAAUUACACCUCCGGCAAGACCCACCGUCGUCGAAAUACGCGCCGAUUAAAAAACAAUUGCAGAAACAGAUCCAGCGCUCCAAACUGAAUGAAAUCACCACCAAAAGUAAGAGCUCGACGACAGAAAUACAACGAUAGGUAGCCUGUCAAAUUCCGACUGGUGGAACACAAAUUACACCUCCGGCAAGACCCAUCGUCGUCGAAAUAUGCGCCGACUGAAAAAAAAUUGCAGAAACAGAUCCAGCGCUCCAAACUGAAUGAAAUCACCACCAAAAGUAAGAUCUCGACGAGAGGAAUCCUGCAGUAGUUAAACCAUCAAAUUCCAUUAUGACUCCGGGAAGCAACUUUGCCGGUGGGAGAUCUACGGGGGCGGGAUUUGAAUCUGAGAGUUAAGAGAGGAAGAGAGUGAGACGACUGUGAGUGGCUAGGGUUUAAAACUUAUUUUAAAAGGGCAUUUUAGGUACUUCAGUGUUGGCGAGGGGAUUUUUCAAAUUAAUUUCAAUAUGAAGGGGUAUGCACAAGUAUAUAAUUAACUUGGUGGUUAGUCAUACAUAAUUUCCAUAUGAGGGGUCUCUAAAAUAAUCCAUAUAUAUAUUAUUAAAAAAAUGGCAUUUAGAUUUCUUAGGUUACCCUAUUUUUUAUUAUUAUAUAUAAAGAUAUAUGUUAGGGCUAGGUGCGGAUCCAUCCGACAUACCAAUUUUGCUUAAAUUUAAGGGAUAAUUUGACAAAAAUCCCCAUUACACAAACGGUCAUUACAUUAGGCCAAAUUUUACUUUUCACUUUUAAGAAAAAUCCAAAAGAGCUUUUAUUAAUUAAAAACCCUUAAUUAUCACUAUUUGUGCCUCUAACUAAUUAAUACACGUGUUUUUAAUAUCUGUUAUUAGAAGAUACAUAAUAUCUUCUACAUAAAUAUUUUAAAUAGCACAACGCUUAUUGAUUGCUGAUUUCCGUUUAUGUGGAAUCGGAAUUGUAACUCACAUAAAUGAUAAUCUGUUUGUGUUAUUGGAUAAGUGGCGGUGGUGCAGAUUAACAUGGUGGUUUUCGGCUCACAUGAGAAUUUAAGGUGAGUUAUAUGUGAGGUUUUGUAUUAAUUUACGCUGGGAAGUAAUUUGUAUGUGUUUGUACACGUUUUGUUGAUGUAUAUAAGAUUUUUAUGUGUCUGGUGCAUUGUACAGGUUUUGUUGAUGCUUAAACAAAUGUAAGAGUGGUUAUUGCAUGCAGAGUGGUUUUCGUGCACAAAGUGAUUUUCGAGCGCAUAGUGGUUUCUGCCAUUUUCUUAUUAAAUCCAUAGAUUUUGACCUUCACAUUUUAUUAAAUCCACUAUUGUGCAAAGUGAAUUUUGCCAUUUCCACUGUAAUACACGUCAUUUUUUCACCGGAAAAGCUUAUGUGACGUUAAACCUAUAUAUGUAUGUUGUUUGUCCUAAAGAGAAUAAGUUUUUGUCUGAAAAUAAUAGUAGAUUCUCUUACAGUAAAAUGAAGCUAUUGUUGCAGUUUUUUGAGAUCAAGAGAAAAAAGAUGAAAUGGAUUUUCAAGAUACUAGGGAAGCUAGGGGCGAGAUUUUUAAAGAGAUGGAGAAAGAUUAGAUGUGAUAAACAAAUUAACAGAAUAAUUAGGUAAUGCGAUUUUGUCGGAGUGGAUUUCGAGCGUGAUUUUGGGGGAGAAAUGUUGGCAGAAUUUUUAGGUAAUGCGAUUUUGGGAGGGUUCUGCAUUUAAUUCACCGUAUUUUUAAUUUAAAAUAAUUAUACUAAUUAGCGGGGGCACAAAGGUUUUUUAGGCCCAAUGAAUUUAUGUUAAAUAUCAAUUACAAAUUAAGGAUUUAUCAAGAAGUGAAAUCUCAAUGGGGGUGUUUAACAAAUAGCCCCUAAAUUUAAAAAUCAUUAUAGACCUAACCUUUUUGGAUCUAUUGAUGGUUGGCAACCGAAUAUUUUAGUUUCAAAAUUAAAUUGGUCGGUUGAUGGGUUAUAUGCGCCACAUAGUUUACUUAAAAAAACAUUGAGAAAAAAUAUGCACAUUCUACAUAAUGCCAAUAUCCAUGAUCAUUUAUCAGUUCAAAAUAGUUAAUAUCCAUACGACAAAAAAUUUAUAACUAUAUUAACAAAAUUAUAUUAAUAUAAUUGGUUGGCCGAUAAUUAUCGGUCAACCGAAUUUUGAUAAUAUUAAAAACCAUCAACCGUCCAUUAUAAAUGUGUUGGUCAAAAAUUUCGACCCAAUCCAAUAUGUCGGUUUAAAAUUUAUUGUUGGCCUAGUAAUGGAUCGGUUGUUGGGAAAAACCAACUCAAUCCCAACCCUAAUAUAUAUAACGGUAAUGAAAGCAUAACCGACUGAUUCCUUCCUCUUUUUGGUAUUUUGAUAGGGGUUAGUUUGACAGAACCCCUUCAAAACACUUAUGUGUUUAUUCUUUUUCGGGCAAAUUCUACUUUCUCCCUUUGUAUUUUGGCUCGAUAUCACUUUACCUCCUUCUACUCUUGAUUGCAUCGAUUAGCCCUCUGCACUUGAAAAAUUGUCUCAAUAUGGUCAUCACAGUUAGUUGUCAGUCAUUUGACAUUAACACCGUUUGGUCUAAGUUCUGAAAUAUCAAAAAAUGUUACCUCUCCCAGUUUAGAUAAAUAUUAAAAAAAAAAAAAUCAAGACAACGAGAAAACAUAUAGUCCACCACAUAUAUUUUCCGACUCCAUGGGGGGUGCAAAUCGAUGCAAUCGAGAGUAAAGGGGAUAAAGUGAUAUCGAGCUAAAGUAUACAAGGGGGAAAGUGGAAUUUAUUCUUCUUCUUUUUUCCCCUUUAGCAACACUAACCAUGUUUGUCUUUUAUAAUUAUUUUCAAUCUUCAUGCUAUUGAUAUGCCUAUCAUACCCUAAUAAGACAUAUAUUUUUCACCAAAAACCCUACCCUACAACACAUCUCGUCAUUUGCAGCCUUCUCUCUAUCUUCUUUGUUCUCUCUCUUUGUUUCUCUCGCUCUCUCUAUACUUCUCUCUUCCCCUUUUCUGCUACGGCGAGAGACACAGCGGCUAGGGUUAGAUGGUGAGAAUAGCGAUAUUGGCGAUGCCGACAACUUUUUUUUUUUUUUUUUUUUGCGGCGGUGGGUUGGUGUUGGUGUUGGUCGCGAUAUAGGGUUUGGUGGCAUUGUGUUUUGGUGGCGGCGCUAGAUUUCACACAGCGAUGCAAGGUUUUGGUGUUGGUUGCGGCCAUUCUCGCGCAGUGCAGGCCCAAAGAGGGGGUAUUGAAGGAGAUUCAUAAUUUGUAGUUGUUUUGAAAAUAAAACGAUAUAUAGGUAAGGUUAAGAGGGCUGAAGAGUUGGAAUAAUGUAACGGUAAAAUAGGGUUAUGAUAAGUUAGUUAGGAUCAAAUACAAAUAAUGAAGUAGGUCUAGUUCUAUGAAAACAAAUAAUGAGGGGGGUCUCGAUAAUAGACCCUUUUGACAGUGAAUUACUAUUAAGACACCAAUAUUUAAAUAAAAAGCUAAUUUCACAUACCUCCUUUCAUUAAUGCAUAAAAUUUACUUAUCUCCCUUGUAUUAACUAAACCUUCAAUUAUCGUCCUCAAUUAUAUUUAACACCAACUGUUGGAAUCACGGCUGCACUCAGAGGAUUGAUCAAGAAGUUUGUGGUUAGGACUUGAACUCUAUUUGUUCACUCUUUUUAUUAUUGACAUAAUAAUUCACGAUUAUAUAAAGAUAGGCAAGGUGAGGCGCGGACUAGGUCGCUCUCUUAAGAUGAAUUUCACGAUCCCUUCUCUAAUGAGGUGCAGAAAGGUUUCUCGUGUCGCCUAUGGGAUAUAACCGCUCAGCCUAUCUUUCUAUUGUAACUUCACCGAAACUGCAUGUUCAAGUGAAGUAGAAACUUACACCCGUCACACAAUAAGAGCUCAAAAUAUAUCUAUAUAAUAUAGAGAAUACAUGAUCUUUAGAAAUACAUUUUUCUUUCACAAUUUUUGUUGUCUCCUCUCCUUUGUCAAGCCACAAAGCCACCAUUUUAUAGUAUAAAAUAAGGCCAUCAUAAAAGCUACAUUUAAUAUAGAAUUAGGGAGAUUUAUAGAGGUUUUUGUUAGGGCAUGUGACCGAGAAGCCAACUAAUUGUUGUGCUUUCCUACGUUACUCGUAAAUAAUCUAUUUCGUAUUAAUGAUAAAAACCCCGUUUGGCAUUCUAUAUCUUUGUCUCUUGCAUAAGCAUGGGUUGAUAAGCUCUUACGUCUGAUAAGAUGUUUUUAGAGCUGAUAAGUUGUUACAUCUUAUUUUUAUGAUUAAUUUUUAGAGUGUUUGAAUAAUGAGCUCAUUUCCUAUUUUUACUCAUUAUAAGAUCUUAAAUAAAAAGGUGGGGUAGAGGUACUUAUUUAAAAAGAUUUUAUUUGGUCUCCAACAGCUUAUUUAAAAAAAAUAAGAUUUUUUUUCAAAAAUUUACCAAACACUUUAGAAGAGCUUAUAAGCUCUAAAACAUCUUAUAAGCUCCUUUUAACAUCUUAUAAGCCAAACACCCUCUACAUUAGAUAAUCUUGAUGAUAAAAACUGCAUCAGUUGCUGCAAUUGUUGUAUGGUCAUUUAGGUUGUUGCUGCCAACUCUCAUUAAUAUAAAAAGAACAGAUGAAAAUUUUAAAAAUUAUAAGUACAGUUCGUUAUUUAUUUUGUAAUUCUUUGUUAUAAUAUAAAUAAGUUUUAAUAAUGAAAAUCAAAAAUUGAAAAAUAAAAAAAUAAUAAAAAGAAUAAGAAAUGAGCUUCGGCUCGAGGUCAAGCUAAACAAACGCAAGUUAACUAUAAUUUAUUUAUUAUUUUGAUAAGUUAGCUAUAAUUUAUUAAUUGUGAGUAUAUGGUCAUUAUGAUUAGUUAUAUAAAUUUCUAAUUGAAAGAAUAAAGAAUUCGCCAAUUUCGGUGGGCGAGCCUUGAAUUGAUGUUGAUUGUUGAGUUAAAGCGGUGGCAAAAAAAGUGAAUUGGUGUUUGGCUUUAGCUACUACUCGCACGGCGACUUUUGCAUCGUCCAAAUCGGCGGAAAUCAUUAAAGUUGCCCAAGCCGUAGGCGUCACAUGCUUUUUUUCAAAUUGAAUUGAAAAUACCACAUACACACACACACACAGCGCGUACCCAGCUCAGUCUCGCAAAGCCCUUUUUUNNNNNNNNNNNNNNNNNNNNNNNNNNNNNNNNNNNNNNNNNNNNNNNNNNNNNNNNNNNNNNNNNNNNNNNNNNNNNNNNNNNNNNNNNNNNNNNNNNNNAUAUAUACAUAUAUAUAUAUAUAUAUAUACAUAUAUAUAUAUAUAUAUAUAUAUAUAUAUAUAUAUAUAUAUAUAUAUAUAUAUAUAUAUAUAUAUAUAUAUAUAUAUAUACAUAUAUAUAUAUAUAUAUAUAUAUAUAUAUAUAUAUAUAUAUAUAUAUAUAUAUAUAUAUAUAUAUAUAUAUAUAUAUAUAUAUAUAUAUAUAUAUAUAUAUUGGUAUUUUUUCCCGUGCGUGCGAUGCAUGGGAUCAUAUUUUAAAAGUGAAAAAUAUAAUCAAUUUAAUACAUAAUAAAAAAAAUAUAAUAUACUAAUCCAGCAAAAUUUAAGAAAAUUGUACUAUUCAUAUUUUACAACAUUUUUUUUAAUAGGUUAAGAAUUAAAAAAUCGAAUUUCUAUCUUUAUCUCAUAAAUUUGAGAUAGUGGCAAAUAUUUUAUAUAUUUCAGUAGUUGUCUUUUAUAUUGUAAUAACAAAUAGAGAAAGAAUAUCUAAAAUUACAUAAAAAUAAAUAAAGAAGAAAAUAAAUAGAGAAGGAAAUAGGGGGAGGGGGCAAAAACACAUAUCUUAUAUAUAAAAGAAAGAAACGCUGGGCAACCCAAAAAACCGUAAUGGCACAUCUGUAAAUUUGUUUUUUCAAUAUUUGUCUCCUAAAUAUUAUUUUCGAUUUUUAUCUCCUUAAUAUUAUUUUAAAUAUUAUUUUCGAUUUUUAUCAGAUUUUUACCUCCUAAAUAUUAUUUUUGAUUUUUAUCGAAUUUUUAUCUCCUAAAUAUUAUUUUAAAUAUUAUUUUCGAUUUUUAUCAGAUUUUUACCUCCUAAAUAUUAUUUUUGAUUUUUAUCGAAUUUUUAUCUCCUAAAUAUUAUUUUAAAUAUUAUUUUUGAUUUUUAUUAAAUUUUAUAACCUAAAUAUUAUUCUAAAUACUAUUUUCGAAUUUUAUCAAAUUUUUAUCUCCUAUAUAUUAUUUUAAAUAUUAUUUUCGAUUCCUAUCAAUUUUAUAUCUCUUAAAUAUUAUUUAAAAUAUUAUUUUCGAUUUUUAUCAAAUGUUUAUCUCCUAAAUAUUAUUUUUGAUUUUUAACAGAUUUUUAUCUCCUAAAUAUUAUCUUUUAGUUUUAUCAAAUUUUUAUCUCCUAAAUAUUAUUUUAAAUACCUAAAUAUUAUUUUGAGGACCGUAAUUAGCUUCUUCAGAAAAAAAAAAUUCAAAAAUUUCUAAACAUCCAUUCUAAUUUCAAUAGGCUUGAAAAUUUUGGGGGGAAUUUUUUUGUCGUAAAAAAAUAGUCGUAGCUUGUUGGAUGAUUAUCUCAUCAUUUUCAUUAAUGUUUUAUAUAUUACUCCAAUUAACCCCACAUGUGAAAUCAUCUUAAUCAAAUUUUUUAAAACUUCUCAAAUUAAAGAUGCAACACUUUUCGAUUGAUUUUUUUUUUAAUUUUGACGAGAAUAUGAGAAAAAAUGCCAUAAAAGAUUAAACAUACAUGACGAGCACAUGUUUAGUAGUCUCAGUACAUUGGUACGGUUGACUAUGACUUUUUUUUUAUUAUUUUAACAAAAAAAAAUUAUGUCAAAGUUUGACUAUUUCGUACGUUGAUUCACAUCUUUAGGGCAACGCCAAUGGUAGGCAUUAAAAUUGAGUAUCAAACUUUCAAUUGAUGCUUGAUAUAAUACGUUAAUACUUCCAAAAAAUUCUUGUUUUCCAACCUAUAAGUAUCAAAUAGAUUAUUAUUUAAAUAAAAUUGAUUUAAAAAUAAAUUAAUAGAUAUAAUAAUUUUCAAAAAAAUUAAAAAAAUUCGAAAUUAGCUUCAUCCAAAAAAUUUCGAAAUCUAGAAAUCCAUUCUAAUUUCAAUAGGCUCGAAAACUUUGGAAUUUAAGAAAUUCUAUAAGUUUUAAAAUUUCAAAACUUAGUAGAAAUUUUCCAAAAAUAAGAACCGCGUCGAUAAAAAUAAAACGAAGUUGUAACUACUAAAUUUCAGUUCAAAAAAAAUAAAAAAAAGUUAAAUCAAAUUAUAAUAUCCAAUAAAACUUCUAACAAAAAUUCAAUAUGUCAAAAUCCUAAACCAAAACUUGCAUUAAAUUUAAUGCUUCAGAAAAAAAAAAAAAAAAAAGAAAAGAACAUUUAAAAUAAGUAUUAUAUAUUAUAUUAUAAUUUAUGGGUCUAUUUCUCGGGAAAAAACGGAUUUUUUCACAAUUAAUUUUGAUAAUUAAAUUGGAUUGAAAAUCGAAAAUUCCUAUUCUUUUUUAUAUAAUUCCAAUUCUUAUCCAAGAGAUUUGGGAAAAUUCGAAAAUCAAAAUUUUGGAAACCGAAAUUUCUGAAGUCGGAAUGAAAAUUUUAUUCCAAAAUAGAAAUUUUUCUGAUUGGAACCGGCGAAAAUCAAAAGUUCCAUUCCAAAUUGCAUAUAUAUAUAUAUAUAUAUAUAUAUAUAUAUAUAUAUAUAUAUAUAUAUAUGUGUGUGUGUAUCCUUUUUUGGGAAGUAAAAUAGGAAACAAAAAUUGAAAUACAUAAAGAUAGAUAUUUGUGAAUAGAUAGAUAGAUCCAGGUCAAGCUUAUGUCAGAAUUAUCCAUAGCAGAUAUGGGCAAUUGAACUUUAUGGAUAAGUCAAAGAAUACAUUUCUAUUAGGUGUCAACCUAUCCAUAACUUGAAGCUCAUUACUUUUUACUCUUAUAUAUACAUAAACCCAUACCAUAUUGUACAACUCAAUACCUACAUUCAAUUAUUCCCCAUAUUUUAACGAUCAAAACCAAAACAAAAUAAAACACUAACACUAGAGAAGAAGAAAUUAAUACAAUGAGGGCAAUCUCUUUAUACUCAUCUGCUACCUUACUCCCUCAAACUGUUCCCCAUGAUGUAAAUAAUAGGUACUAUUAUUUUCAUUUUGAUAUUAAUUUUUUUAUUUUUUAUUUUUUAUUUUUUUUCACAUUCAUUUUGUGGGUUCCUCAAUUUGUAAUUUUUAUUUAUAUUUUGGCAUUUUUAGGUGUGUUUUAGUGUCUUCCUCAUCAGCUGUGAUCAAGUAUCAGGCUUCGCCCACCAGACGACGUAGUUUAAGAACUAGCAAUAUUAGAGGUGCUCCCAAUUUGAGGUAACAUUUAUUCAAUUUGGUUAUUUGGUGUUUAAUUAGCAUAUUGGGAUUUUUAUUGAAAAAGAAAAUCUCAUUUUUUCAUAAUUAAAUCAAUCCCCUGCAACUUGUAAUUUUUUUACAUUAACACCCUUUUAUAGGCGGUGGCAGAAAUUUAUAAAACUACAUAUCGCUGAAUGUAAUUUUUCAAAAAUAAAAAUUUCUUUUUAAUUACACUUUACCUGGUGGAGAUUGUUGUAAUUUCAGCGAUUAAUACAUCAGUGAUUUCAUUAAUUAAUACACACGUGACAUGUAACACUAUCUUUUUUUCAAAUGAAAUAUGAGAUGUAGAUGUCAUAAUAAUCAUAGACACCGAAUACGGUCUAAUUAUUUGAUUAUGUAUCAUAACUUAUCUUAUAAGAACAAAAAAAAAUGUAUAUAUAUAAUAAAUUUAUCGCAAACUAUUAACGAUUUUGACGAAAUUGUACUUGUACAUAUUGUUCUUGAACAUUCGAUUUUUUAUUUUAAAUUUUUUUCGUUUUUAAUUGCAGUGGGAUGGCUACAGAGACCAGAAAUCUGCAGUGGACUAUUGCUCCGACCUCUGUUCCGGUUCGUGUAGCGAAUGAGCUUCUUCAAGCCGGUCAUCAUUAUUUGGAUGUUAGGUGAUCUAGUUAAUUUUCUUGAUUAGCUACUAAUAAGACUUCCUUAGUUAAUUUAACGCUUCAAUUAAUAUUAAUAUUAGUAUUAAUAUAAUAUCUCUAUGGUUGAUAAUCGAUAUUUGAUUAUUGCAUAAUAAUUUACAGGACCCCGGAUGAAUUUAGCGACGGGCACGUUGUUGGCGCCGUCAAUGUUCCUUUCAUGUUAAGACUUGGUCCAGGUUCGCCAUCGUUUCCGUUAUUUUUUGGACAUAAAUAUUAAGGAUGAUGAAAUAAUUUUAAAAAUAUAUUAUAUUUUUCUUUAGAGAAAUGAUACAAAAUCCCCUCCGAAUUAAAAGCUACCUUAAAAUACAUUUUGUUGUCGGAGGGCAUUUUUGUUAUUUCAAUCUAAUAAUCGCCUGAAACCGUCACAAAUGCCAUGAGCUCUAAGAAUUUGCCUUCGACUAUAUUUAUUAAUUAUUAGUUAUUAUGACAAGGGAAUUUUCGUUAAGUAUUUAAUUUCUCUCUAUGAUUUGAAAAGGGGUUGUACGAUUCGAAUCUCAUUGACAUCCAUUUACGGAGAAAAGUACCUUUACUUUCACGGGCUAGAUUUCAAGCUGUCGAAGAUAUUAAAUACAUAAUGUUUCUAAAUUUACUAGUAAAAACGGUGCCAUUAAUCAAUAAUUAUGAAUCCUUAGAAUUGCUCGUGUUUUGAUUAGUUAUUUUAACCCUACUUGUUCGAAUUAUUUUAACAUGUGAUGUAGUGAAUCAUAAUACGAAAUCGAAAUCAACAAAUUUUUAAACGUUCGAGUCUGGUUAAGCAGGUAUGGCAAGGAAUCCAAAAUUCUUGGAGCAAGUGUUGGCUAUUUUUAGGCAAGAUGAUGAAAUUAUUGUUGUAAGUUCAUGUAAAUUGUUACUGUCUUAUUAAAAAAAAUUAAUUAUUUUUGGUGCUAAAUAUUAGUAUUUGUGGCAUUUUAUAAAUUUCAGGGAUGUCAAUUAGGGAAAAGGUCGUUCACGGCUGCUUCCGAGCUCGUAUCUGCUGUAAGUUUCCGUCUCUUCCCAAAUUAUUCGCCUGCGUUUUCGUGUACAAAAAAUUGAAUAGUUGCAAUAUUUUGUGGGUCGUACUUUUAGUCAUGUUUGAAUUAAUUUUAGAUAGCAAAUCUAUCCGAUAUCUUUAUUUUGUGUAGCAAUUCUGGGUUUUUACUAUACUGCUUAGGAUGAAAUACACCGAAUACGUCUUUAGUAUUCAUAUACACACAAACACCCACACACCCACAGGUAUGUGUAGACAACGAUAAAAAUUCACUUGGUCUAAUCUUCACCGGAUUUAGCAUAGACAUAAUCGCAAUUUUGAUCCGGUUCUCACAUAAUAUUUUCGUGAAAAAACAUUGGAAAAAUGCGCGACGCUUCUUUAAUUUGAGGAUUCUUUGUCGUACAAAACUAAUCAUAGCUUGUUGAAUGAUUAUCAUUUUCAUUAAUGUUUUAUAUAUUACUCCAAUUAGCCCCACAUGUGAAAUUAUCUUAGUCAAAUUUCUUUAAACUUCCCAAAAUAAAGAUGUAACACUUUUCGAUUGAACUUUUAUAAUUUUGACGAAACUAUGAGAAAAACUGCCGCAAAAGAAUAAACAUACAUGACGAGCGCAUGUUUACUAAACUCAGUACAUAUGUAUGGUUGAUUCCGAAUUCUUUGAUUAUUUUAACAAAAUAAAGUACGUCAGAGUUUGCCUAUUUCGCACGUUGAUUCACAUCUUUAGCCAUUACUACUUUAAUUAGGUUACCCAAUAAUUUCUUGAAUUAUACCUCUUUGUUAAAAAUUUGAUAAGCAAUUUUCAUAAUAUUUAAAUAAUUAUCUCUUGCCUUAUAAUUAAAGCUAAUGAAAUUAUUUAAAUAACUUGUAGGGUUUUACUGGAAUUACUGAUAUGGCUGGAGGAUAUGCUGCUUGGAUACAAAAUGGACUUCCUUCCACGUAGACUAAAAUUCUGGAAAUAUGUAAAAUAUAUUAAAUUAAUGUAUAUUUCUUUUAUCUGCUACUUUAAAUAAUAGAAUGUCUCACAUACUUCCUGUAUAUAACCACAAUCUGAAUAUUAAUGUUUUAUUUGGACAGUAUUGUAUACAAAAAGUUCUUCUUUACUUAGAAAUUGUAUACAAAAUUAAGAAUAUUAGUUUUUUGUUCGAAAGCUAUACCAACUUCUCAAAUCUAGAACUAAAAAUAUUAAUUAACAUGACUUUAAAGGACUCUCAAACACAUUUAAGAAUAAAUUUAAUUUAAUAAAUUAAAAUUUAGGAUUAAUUGAUUAGUUUGUACCAGAAGGCGAAAUCCAUCGCCUCCAGGGCUCCCAUCGCUUGGCCCGACAAGUAUUUGAUGGAGAAAUGUAAAUUAUGGUGACUCAACGGCCUGUUAAGGUAGCGGACCCGGACUUGGUGCCCAUAAGGAACCAACCCUCAUUGGAGUUGAAAUUUCCACACUGAGGCUACCAGGAUUCGAUCAUAGGACCUUGUACCAACGUACCACCUUCGGAACCAGUUGAGCUAUAUCCAUGCGGGCAGACUAAUUGAUUUAGUUGUGCAUUGCUAAGCAUGAAUGUUGGCAUAACAAGUACUCCUUUUGUUUCAUUUUAGAAUACUCCUUUUCUUUCAUUUUAAGUGUCGCAAGGUUAAUGCACAUCAGUUAUUUGACAAAACUACCCCUGUGUGUUUUUCAACUUACUUUUAUUACGUCAUUAAUUUGUUAUUAAUGCUGGGUAAAGUCGAAGAAAAAAGAAUUGUCUAACAUUGAAAUUCCAGAGUGACACUUAAUAUGAGAAAGUAAAAUUAGUUAAGGAGACACUUAAAAAGAAACAAAGGGAGUAAUAUGAGUAUUAGAAAUGGGGUUUUUUGCAAAAACCACCCUUGUGAAAUCUCAAAUGGCUAAAAAAGUCCCCAUGUUAAAAAUAUUAGCAAAAACCCCCCUAUGAAAAUUAGUCAAAGCCAGAAAGUCCCCUGCGGGCUGAUUGUGUGUUACACGCGCUGUGUGUGCGACUCUUUGUUAUAUUUUUUGUCAUGAAAAGUCCCAAAUGCCCUCUAAAAUUAUUUUAUAACUAAACAUAAAUUUAUUUGGAUUUAAAAAUAAAUAAUCCAACUUUUUGGAUGAAAUUGCAAUUUAAAAAAAUUUAUUUACACAACUUUUUCUCAGCACCAUUUCAUCGUCACCAUCAAACCAUCCUUCCAAUAGUGCAACCCAUAUCCCCACUAUGUACCUCAUUGCCGCCGCCACAUCGACGACUAUCGGUGCUCCAGAAUUUAUCGAAAUCUUCAUCAAAAACGAAUUCAAGUGUAAAAGCCCUACUUUAGGGUCUGAGGUUUUGGGCUUUCUCAACAUAGAGAAAGAAGAGUGCCAAGAUUCAAUUUUCAAUAGGGCCGCCCUAACCCUCGAGACAGAGAAAGAAGGGACCAAAUUCCAGAUCCAAUUUUUUUUUUAUUCCGGAUUUUGGGAUUUUGGAACAAAGAAGAUUCACCCAUAUACACAGGGGCAGAGAUUUAAUUUGUGAGUGUAGCUCCACAAUGGAAUCCGCCGCCGGUUUGCAUCGUCACACCUUCCUCGAUGCUGGUUGAACCUCCGUUUUUCUGCGGUCCUUAUAUUAGGGGAACAAAGAAGAUUGUUGGAAUUUUGUUAGUUUUUUGGGAAUUUCUGAAGGAGGGGACGGAGAAGAGGAUGUAAGUGGAGGGGGAGGGGGUACAACGACAAAAAGAGGGAGGAGGAAGGAGAUGGAGAAAAAAACAAAAGAAAAAUAAAGUUCCUACCGGAGAAGAUG
rnacentral:lncRNA from 1 species